UAAAGAUCAAAGUCGCUACACACGGUGCAAAUCUCUCGGUCUCUCUCCCGACGCGAGAGGCGGUUUCCAGGCGGGCUGCCUCCGCUGGUCUCCAUCGCCUCCGGUAAGCCGUCGGGCUCUCGGAGGUGUGCGGGACAGUGUACGACCGUGAUGCGGUUGUAGAUAAUGUUGUUUUAGGAUUUUAUUCUGGCACUGGCGGGCAGGCAGGGGCGACGUCAAUGCUAUGGGAUAAGGUUCCCCCUGGCUCCUUUCCCGUCUCUGCGGUGCUCCCUCCGGCCGGUGGCACUGUGGGGUUAGGGAGGUUGGCCUCUCUCUUAUCCAGCGAGGUUUGGUCGGUGAUGGGGGUGCACAAUAGUAUAGAAGUUGGGAUUUGUGGAGAGGGAUUCCCAGAUCAGGUCGCCUCGGACGGCCGACAGCUGCACACUGUUGCGGGCGAAGUGGUUUGAGUUGCGGCUCCACUCCGUCGUAGGCUACCGCUGGUCAAGGGAUCACUUGGUCUACCCCAGGCCGAUGCACCGGAACCCUCCCUGGUUCCGUCUUUUGGGGCGGGACUUAUAUGCGGCUCACAAAGCCAUGGAUCGGUGAUGCUGCUCCUCAUGCCCGUUGUCUUGUGGAUGACGGCUAGCACCGGCGAGUGCAGAGAUCAGCGUGCCUAGGUGAAUAAGGAAGAUGAACUGGGCUGUAAGUUACUUUGUUUGCUCUGUCGGUGUUAUUCCCUUUAGUGUUAUCUCUGCCUCUCUAGUUCUCAAGCUCCAACGACAUGCCCUUUUUUGUGCUGGCCAUGGAGGCUAGCAGCGGCAGGACUGCCAUGACUAGGCCGCGCAAUAUUUCUAACAGUGUUGAGCUACUCGUUCCCGACAGCUCCGAUGCCAAGCUGCCAAUAGAAGCAGAGCAGGUAUGUGUGUGAUGGAUCUUUUAAUGAUAAGUUUGCUUCCUGUUCGAUUAGGUGCAUAUUUCGCAAGGUAAUGUUGUUCUAUCAUGUCUCUGAUUUUGAUUUUGAUUUUGAUUUUUUCUGCAGAUUUCAGGAUAUAGAAGGCAGCUUCAGGAAGGGGUCGCUGACGAGGUGAGGCCAUUGCGUCUAUUCUUGUGUUAGUUUGUUUCAAAGAAAUCACACUAAUUUCUCUCAGUAUACUCUAUAGAGAAAUAAGUACUGAAGCAGGCUUCACCGAAGACUACUGAUCUAGAAUUGUCUGUUGCUGAAAUAAGUCCAGGAGCUAUGGAGCAGGCUGAACAAUUUUCUGUUGAUUUUACUCAAUGGAUUGUCCCUGUAAUUUGACCAAACGUCAUGUCGCCGUGCCACUGAAGUUUUUGCACAGAAUUCUUGUCUUUUUGGGUGGUGCCAAGCUGUCUUUUUGUUGAACAAUGCCACAAUUGCAUAGUUGUAAGUUAUUUAGGAUUGUCUCUAUUGCAUACGACCUGGAGUUACAAGAGGUCCAGUACUAAUUUUGUGUAUGUAUGUACAUGUGCAGUCGCCCAUUUUCUAUACACAUGAUUCCAAAACAUCUUUUACUGUACAUUUUGUUUCUUUGCUCGGUACAAAAUGUAUUGCAAGUGUUGUUCAUUUUUUUCCCUUCUGUAAAUAUACUAGAGACCCUCUAAGGGCUCAGUUUUCUUCCCGUUGUCUGAAUAUACCCAGAUUUAUUUUGUGUGUGCGUAUUUAACAAAGCAUUUAGUUAACCACUUCUACUUCAUUCUUGUUUCUCGUGAAACCACAUAUAAGUGUGUGCUCAAGUUAUAGUAUGUAUGUUAGGAAAUACACAAGAGCUCCCGGGUGCUUCUCUAUAUUAUGAAUAUUAAACUUAAAAAACUCUGGAAUUUGAGGAUAUCAAACCCGGGUGCCCAAUCCACUCCCGGGUGAAGUUUCGUGAAAAAAGUGGCAAAGGAAAUAUAGUCCAAACUAAAAUCUGUCCAAACAUUUUUUUACGUGCAUAGUUUUCUUCUAUCUUUUUUUUUUUGCCAUGGAUACAUUUCAUGGUAUUUUUUCAAGAAAUUUCAUACGAAAGUAGAUUCAACGCCCAAGUUUGAUAUCCCAAAAUCCCCCCAAAGAAUAAAAUUUUCUGGUGAUUUUUUGAACUUAAUGUUCAUAUAGGGGGUGGAGCACCUUGGUGCUACAAAUCCUCCUUUGUAUGUUAAUAUAAUGUCUUGAUUGCUAUCUUCAAGAUAUUAUUAUGUGUUAUUUGAUAUGAUUCUUUUUUCGCCAAAUCUUGCAAAGAGGUUUGGAAUGUUACAACAUCAAUUUAUUUUGGAUGUCAUCAUUAUAUUUUGGUCAUGGUUGGCAUGUUGCAUCAUAUAAUGCUCAUAUUCAUGUAGAGAUGACAUGUGCGUGACAUGGGCGGGUUGCGGGUCAGGAUAUGUUUUUAACCCAUUGGACUAGGAUAAGUUUGUAUCCAUCGCAAGUUGCCACAUGUGUGUGGAUGGAUUUUAAAUUUUCUGCAUGGUCCGUCCCCUGGUAAAUGAUACUGUGAGCAAUGAGAAAGGUGAGUAGGGGCGCUUUUUUCACGUUAACACACCCCCUAUGCCAUUACCACUAGCAUCACAAUGAAUCUCAAAAGGUUUUUCAAAGUUGGGUAAUGCAAGCACGGGGGCAUGAGUAAGCAAAUUCUUAAGCUCAUUAAAUGCGGUAUCUUGGGAUGGUCCCCAAAAUAAUGGCGCAUUUUUCUUACUCAAAGAAUGUAAAGGUGAAGCAAUGUGCUAAAAUCCUUCACAAAGCAACGAUAGAAAUCGGCUAAACCAAGAAAACUACGCACUUGUUGCAAGUUGGUUGGUUGGGGCCAAGUUUUAAUAGCAUUGAUCUUAGAUUCAUCUACAUGAACACCCUUAGAAGAUACAACAAAACCCAAGAAAACAAGCUUAUCAACACCAAAAAUGCAUUUGUCCAUAUUAGCAUAAAGGAGCUCUUCCUAAGGGUUUGCAACACGGUUCUAAGAUGGGUGACAUGAUCUUUGAUGGAUUUGCUAAAUACAAGAAUAUCAUCAAAAUAGACCACAACAAAUACACCAAUAGAGGGACGAAGAACAAAGUGCACUACUAGCAUGAAAGUACCGGGUGCUUUGGAUAAGCCCAUUGGCAUAACUAGCCAUUCAUAUAAGCAAAAUUUGGUCUUGAAUGCAAUUUUCCAUUCAUCACCUUCUUGGAUGCGUAUUUGAUAGUAGCCACUCUUAAGAUCAAUCUUAGAGAGAAUGGCUGCUCCGUUAAGCUCAUGAGGUAUAUCAUCUAAGAGUGGAAUAGGGUAACAAUAUCUACCGGUGAUAACAUUGAUGGACGGCAAUCAGAAACCAUGCAAUAAGUACCAUCUUUCUUUGGAACAAGAAUGACCGGAACGACACAAGGGCUCAAGCUGUCACGUACUUGACCGUCGUUGAUGAGUUGUUGUACUUGCCAUUGGAUCUCCUUAGUUUCCUCGGGGUUGACACGGUGGGGAGCCUUGUUAGGUAGAGGUGCUCCGGGGAUGAGUUUGAUUCGAUGUUCAAUGCCUCGUAGUGGAGGUAGACCCGGAGGUACCUCAUUGGGGAAAACAUCUUGGAAUUCCUGCAAAAGAGAAGACAACACUAAAGGUAGAUCAUGAGAGGUGUUAGUUUUAGGUGUCUCGUCCUUGCACACAAGGACAUAGUGCAUAACACUUCAUGGGUUCUCACACACUUCUCUCAUCUCACUUUUUGUGGCAAAGAGUAUCAAGUUUUUCGUCGCUCAUCGUGGAGGCACUCAAUUUUGGCUUGUGGCGCUCACUCUCUUUUUUGUGGGUCACUCUCUCACUCUUUUCUCCACGAUGUGUGGCUUGCUUGUCGGCGAUCACUUGACUUGGAGACAUAUGUCGUAGCACGUACUCAUUUCCUUUCAUCUUGAAACUACAGUGAUUGUUACGCCUGUUAUGGAUGACGCCACGGUCAAAUUGCCAUGGUCGACCAAGAAGGAGGUGGCAAACGGACACCGGGAAGACAUCACACUCCAAAGUGUCUUCAUAUGCUCCAAUUUUGAAAGAAACGUUGACCAUAUGCUCAACUUGGAUAGUGCUAGAAUCGCUUAGCCAUUGAACCUUGUAGGGGUGUGGGUGCUUCAUCUUGACCAAUUGGAGCUUGGAGCAUAGUUCUUCACUUGCCAAGUUGUGACAACUUCCUCCAUCGAUGAUGACCUUGACGGACCUUCCACUGAUGCCACCCUUGUUGUGGAAGAUAUGGCAUCCUUGGUCUUCGUCUUGUUGAUGUUGAAGAGUCAAGACUUUGGAGACAACGAGAGAGAGGCUCGAAUCCUCAUCACAAAAUACUUGAUCAUCUUCAUCUUCGUUCACACGCUGGUGCAUGGCCACUUUCUCAAGGGUUUCCAUCUCCUCUUCACUCAUGGAGUCAUAGGUUCCGUCGUCGUUGAGGAUCAUGGUGCGCUUGUUGGUACAAUCAAAGGACUUGUGGCCUCGGCCGCCGCAUGUGAAACACUUGAUGGAACUUGUCUUGGCGGUCUCAUCGGCUGGAGUAGAUGAUGAAGCGCGAGGCUUGAAGUUGCUUGUAGUAGGAGGACGACUUGAGGUUGUCGAAGUUUUCUUGUAACUCGACUUGUUGCCGUUGUGUAUAGAUGGCUUGGUUGAGGUAGAAGGUGUUGGAGUUGUUGAAGCUUGGGUGUUGGAGAAGACGUAGCUCUUCGAAGAGUACUUGGCGUACUUGAAGUCAUCUUGCACUUGGCAUUCCGCUUUGAUAGUGUGAUGCACGAGCUUAAUGAGGUUGGAGUAGGGUUGGAAGUCGGCAAUCUUCUUGAUGGGAUGAUUGAGGCCAUUCAAGAAACGGGCCAUAGUUUGCUCGUCAUCUUCCGUGACAUUGGCUCUUAUCAUGGCAAUCUCCAUUUCCUUGUAGUAUUCUUCAACGCUCUUUGUUCCUUGCUUGAGGAGUUGGAGUUUCUUGAAGAGGUUGUGGUUGUAGUAUGUUGGCACAAAGCGUGCGCGCAUGACAUCUUUCAUUUUCUCCCAUGUGGUGAUUGGUGGUUCACUCUUGCUUCGCGGAGCUCAAUGACUUGUUCCCACCAUAUGAGUACAUAGUCUUGGAACUCAAGGGAUGCCAUAGCGAUCUUCUUCUCUUCCUCAUAGUUGUGCAAAUGAAAGAUUUUGUCGACCUUCAAUGCCCAUGAAAGGUAUUCUUUGGGAUCAUUGCUUCCGUUGAACUUGGGCAUGGUGAACUUGAGCUUGCCGUAGCGUUGCUCUUCAUUGUGAUUGGGUCAAGGGUGGUGAUGACACCCUUGACAUGGAGGAUUGUCAACCUCAUAUUGCUAUUGGUGAACUUCAGGUUGUGGAGGAGCUUGUCGAGCUUGUGGAGGAGCUUGAGGAACUUGACGAUGCACUCUUGCUUGGUAGUUUCGCUCUUGAAUUUCUUCACAUAGUGCUUCCUCUUGAUUUCACAUAUCUCGGUUGUGGUUGGCAAUGGCUCGACUUGAUUCUUGAAGUGCAUGUUGGGCCUCAAGAGCUUGUGCUUCAUGUUGUUGUUGUUGAAGACAUUGAGCCUCGACCUCUUUUUCAUCUUGAUGUUGUCGCGCUCGCUCUUCCUCUUGGUGACGUUGACGUUGAUGAUGUUCUUGCUCGUCGAAUUGCUCUUGUGGAUGGUUGCCAUGAAGAGGAUUGCAGUUAGCUUGACGGUCUUGGCGCGUGGCUCGACGUAGAGUGUUUGAUGUUGGUGUACUUGAGCCGGAGAAGGUGUCGUCAGUGUGUUGACUCGAAAGACUCCGUCUUGAGUAGGAUGAAGUGGUAGAAUGGCGGUUCACCAACAAGGCACGGAUCUCAUCCAUCCUUGCAUUGUUUUCUUGUUUGUGAGCGUCGAGCUUGUUGUCGACGUAGUCUCUUGUUUGUUGGUCGGAGAGUCGCAAGUCGGUGGCGAGAUUGUCGAUGCGGUCGCUCAUUGCUUGUUGUUCUUGAUGUAAAGCUCGUUGUGCUGGAGCUUUAUGAAGAGUGGGUUGGUAGAAGAACUUGGCCUAUCCAUCAUUCCAAAGAAAUAUGUGAGUGGGAGUAAUAGAAGAGCUUAUACCAAAUGUACCUUGACCGAUGUUGAAGAAGGAUCAAUGAUCACUCAAAUGUGGAACAAGGAAAUAGCACAAUUGGUACCAAUUCUUCUCGGUUCACACACCUACACAAGUAAAAGCUUAUGGUGGAGCUAGGUUAGGAUGGUGGCACAAAAUUUGAUGCAAUUGUUAGCGAGCCUCAAUAAUGUUGGAAAAUAUUCACAAAUUUGCAAAUGCAACAAGUAGACCAAUAUCAAGAUAUGGUACACGGAAACACACACACAAAUAGAUAAGUGGGGUCGUGCAACCAAGGGAUGAGCCAAAAUGUGGAAACCACAAAAAUGCUCUUGUUGCACAGCACUAGAAAGACUCUAGCACGAUUGCACAAUAGAUGGAUACGGAACUUGUGCACAACCUACUAAGCAAAAAUGCAACGACUUCUAUCCCAAGUAUGCUAUAUGUAUGGUAUUUCGGUGAUAUGAUCCAAGAUAAUCGAGUAUGACAAUCUUAAUGUAGUAUGAUGCUAUGGUUCUUGAUUAUAAGCUCUUUGCUUAUCUUUCCUUCUUUCUUAAAAGCUUGUUUGGAUCUUUCACUCUUGAGCUCUUUUCUCAUGCAAAACUUCACGAACCAAGAUUGCAAUUGUGUAUGCGAUGAAAACUUUGUGACACAAAGAUGAUACCAAGAUAUGAACCACUAUGAUAUGGUAUGUAUGCUAUGUGGAGUAUGAUCACUAAUGUGCACAAGUCAUGUUGCCGGCAAUACUCAAAGGCUAGUCCCGAUGGAAAGCAACGCAAAAUUGGGCUAUGGUGGUUAUCAAUGCAAUGGCAAGGAAUGUACCAUGACGAUACCAAGAUAAAGGUAUAGGUUAACGUUCUUGCUUACGGUCGAGGUGUCAAAAUUGUGAAAUGGUCGAUGUCGAUGAUGAAUAUGAGCAGCGGUGUUGUCGUUGUCGAACCAUCCCUAAGUAGCCAAAACACGUUAGAAAAAAAACCGCAACUCAAAACUCAAAGACCAAAAUGUGUCAAAAAAAUUCGGAGUGCGAGACGGGUGAGCGAUGGUGGUUGCGAAAAGCGGUGGUGGCAUGCAAGUGCGUAUGCGGAAGUGGCGGUGGAACAGUGGGGGAAACCGAACUAGAAAUAUUCAGUUUUGUCAGGGAUGGUCGGACAACCAAUGGUGGUCGGACGACCGGUGCUGGUUGAACGUCCAGUGCCUGGGCGAUUUCAGGCAUGGGAUGAACUCAGGAUUUGGAGAUGGGGAUGGCGAAAAAUGGUCAAAUCCGAGCGAAUUUGUGGAUGGAAAUGGUGGAGAUGAUGGGGGAAAGAUAGAUCCACUCGUGGCAAAGAAAAUCCAUGUAUCAAAUCCAACAAAACUUCAGCACACCAACAAAUCACAAAACAUUUUGGGGCAAUUUUUGGUCGGGAUUUUCAAAAAUUGGGGAAGAACACAACAAAAUCAAGCUUGAAAACAAAGGGUAGGGGCUCCAAAUACGUGAUCAACGUGGCUCAUGAUACCAAGAUAUGAUGUAGGGUACAACCCUAGAUGCCCGAUCUUUCAUGAUUGGAGGGGAUCCUACGAAGAACACGAGGGUAAAAACAAGGGGAACACGAGAGGAAACACAAGAGAAAUCACUCAACCAACAAGAUCCGGUCACACAUAUGCUAGAUCCUCGAAUCACAAAGAGUGAUACACGAUUCAAGGUCAACAAAGGACGAUACAAAAGGUCUUCUCCGUGAGGAGGUCUUGAAGGGUCUUCCCGUGAUGGGGUCUUGAAUCCGCUUGGGGGAUCUUCUUCGAAGAGGUUGUGAGCUCCAAGGAGAAGUAACCAAGUGGAUGAGCAAAGCUCUAUCUCAAAUAUGAGCUAUCACAAUGCUAACCCUAGAAAGUGGCUGGAGGAGGUCUAUUUAUAGUCUUAGUGGAUGAAAGGGUAAGUGGCUUCAUCCCAACACGCGGGCGGUCACACAGGCGUCGGACGUCCGACGGUCACUGGUCAUCCGAAGGCUCGCGAGAGUCCGGACGUCCGGUGCCGGUCGGGCGUGCGAUGUUUCGGCUCUAUUCAGGACUUGUCGGUCAUCCGGUCGGGGUCGGUCGAUCGGUCGGUCGUCCAGACGUCUCCAUUCUUUCGACAUUUUGGCUUGAGUGUGGUGGUGCCGGUCGUCCAGUGUCGCUCGGUCGUUCGGACGCUAGGAGGUGUCGGUCGUCUGGUGUUGCUCGGAUGUCUAGGCACUGGAGCGUGCGCUGGCUGGGACUUGGCUGGCCGGUCAGAGCCUCCAGGCGUCGGACGUCCAAGAGACGUCGGCCAACCGAUGAUUGGGAGUUUUGAGCAGUCCUUCUUCUUGUCCAUUGAACUUGAUGUCCUCGCUAUCUCGUCCGUUGGGUCUAGCUGAUCAAUGGCUUUCCUCCAAACACCUGAUCACACAUAGGGUCUCCGCAUGAGGUAGUAGCCAUGUCUCAUAGGUAGAAAGUGGGAGUUCGAAGAGGAGCGAGUUCACCUUAUCUUUGAUAGCCUUUGCUCAAGCUCUUGUCAUUGGUCCAAGAAGUGUCGUGGGAGAUUUAGAUACGUCCAUGGGGAUGAUCGUGGGAUGCUCCGCAUCAGGCUUAUCUUUGAUAGUCCUUGGAGAUAGCAUGCGGUGGGUAAACAAAUUACUGUUGGGCAAUUGAUAGAAAACCAAAUAAUCAUGACAAUAUCCAAGACAACGAUCAUGUAUAUAGGCAUCACCUCCGAGUCAAGUAGUUUGACUCCUGCCUGCUUCUACUACUAUUACUCCACACAUUGACCGCUAUCCAGCAUGCAUUUAGAGUAUGAAGUUCAUAAAGAAUGGAGUAACGCCUUAAGCAAGAUGACAUGGUGUAGACAAGGUAAACUCACACAUGAACAAAUCCCAUCUUUUUAUCCUUCGUGGCAUCAAUGCAAAUACGUGUCUUGUCCCUUUUUGUCACCGGGAUAUAAAUCACCGCAAGAUUAAACCAUUACAAAGCACCUCUCCCAUUGCAAGAACAAUCAAUCUAGUUGGCCAAACCAAAUCAAUAUAUAGAAGAGAAAUAAAAAGCUAUAAUAAUCAUGCAUAAUAGAGCUCAUAGAAGAUUCAAUAUUAUUCAUUGACAAUCCGAUCAUAUACUCACAAUUCAUCGGAUCCCAAUAAAUACACCGCAAAAGAAGAUUACAUCAAACAGAACUCCAAGAACAUCGAGGAGAACAUUGUAUUAAAGAUCAAAGAGAGAGAAGAAGCCAUCUAGGUACUAGCUAUGGACCCAUAGGUCUAUGGUAAACUACUCACACAUCAUCGGUAGGGCAUCAAGGUUGAUAUAAAGCCCCUCUGUGAUUGAUUCCUCCUCCAGCGGAGUGCUGGAAAAGGACUCGAGAUGGGAUCACGCGAGAACAGAAGCUUGCGGCGGCGGAAUAAGUGUUUCAGGUGGAUCUCUGUUGGUUUCCCGAUUUUAGAGAGUUUAUAGAGGUAGAAUUAUGUCAAAAGGACGCUCAUGGGCUCACAAGUCACCAGGGCGCGGCUACCCCUGGGCGCACCCUUGUGCCUCGUGGGCCACUCCUUCAUCUUCUAGUCCUCUCCCGAAGCUUCCAAGGUCUCUUUUGUCCAAAAAAAAUCACCAAAAAAAUUUGUGGCAUUUGGACUUCGUUUGGUACUGAUAUUCUCGAAAAUCAAAAAUAGACAAAAAAAAUUGCAACCGGCGCUUGGCACUAAGUUGAUAGGUUAGUCCCAAAAAUGAUAUAUAAUGACAUAUAAGACAUGCAAGAUUGAUACUAUAAUAGCAUGGAACAAUAAAAAAAUUAUAGAUACGUUGGAGACGUAUCAAGAAGGCAAAUAAAAAGUAGAGCAAGUAGAUGAGAGUUUGAGUGAAGGUACUUGCAGUGAUUUGAUGAUGUCUCCCCGGCAACGGCUCCAUAAAUUCUAUCUGCUACAUGUGAGCUGCGUUGGGAUUUUUCCCAAAGAGGAAGGGUAAAUCAAUAUAGUAGCUGAUAAGUAUUUCUCUCAAUGAGAACCAAGGUUUAUCGAACCAAAAUGAGAACCACCCAAAUCCUAGUGAAAGUGCUACUUGUGAGCUGCGUUGGAAUUUCACCGACAAGGAGAGGAUGAUGCAAUAUAGUAGAGACAAGUAUUUUCGUCAAUUAAGGACCAAGGUUAUCAAUCUAGUAGGAGAACCAAGCAACACCUUGUUAGCUGUACCUACACACCAAAUAUCAAAUAAUUGCACCCAACACGAACAAGGGGUUGUCAUCCCUCGGUGGUUAAUUGCAAUGAUCAAAUAUCAUAGUGAUAGAUAGAUAAAUAAAACACAAAAUCAAAUAAAUUAAAGAAAAUUGCAGCAAGGUAUUUUUGGAUUUUAAUAUAUGAUAAAAGUAAGACUCGGGGGCCGUAGUUUUCACUAGAGGCUUCUCUCUUGAAAAUGGCAUAUGAUGGGUAAACAACUUACUGAUUGAAAUUGAUAGAAAAGAGAAUAAUCAUGACGAUAUCCAAGCCAAUGAUCAUGUAUAUAGGCAUCACGUACAAGAGAAGUAGACCGAGUCCUGCCUGCAUCUACUACUAUUACUCCACACAUCGACCACUAUCCAGCAUGCCUCUUGAGUAUUAAGUUCAUAAAGAAUGGAGUAACGCCUUAAGCAAGAUGACAUGAUGUAGACAAAGUAAUCUCACGGAUGAAUAAACCCCAUAUUUUUAUCCUUAAUGGCAAGAAUACAAAUACGUGUCUUGUCCCAUUCUGCUGGGAUGUAGAUCACCGCAAGAUUGAACCCAUUAUAAAGAACCUCUCCCAUUGCAAGAGAAAUCAAUCUAGUUGGCCAAACCAAAUCAAUAGACCAGAGAGAAAUACAAAGCUAUAAUAAUCAUGCAUAAAAGAGUUCAGAGAAGACUCAAAUAAUAUUCCUGGAUAAUCUGAUCAUAAACUCACAAUUCAUCGGAUCCCAACAAACACACCGCAAAAAGUGAUUACAUUGAAUAGAUCUCCAAGAACAUCAAGGAGAACAUUGUAUUGAAGAUCAAAGAGAGAGAAGAAGCGACCUAGCUACUAGAUAUGGACCCAAUGGUCUGUGGUAAACUACUCACACAUCAACGAAAGGGCGGCAAAGUUGAUGUGGAGCCCCUCCGUGAUCGAUCCCCCCUUUGGCAGAGUAUCGGAAAAGGCCUCCAGAUGGGAUCUCGUGAGAACAGAAGCUUGCGGCAGCGGAAAAAGUAUUUUGGGUGGCUCUCUGUUGGUUUCCUGAUUUUAGAGAAUUUAUAGAGGCGGAAUUAGGUCAAACGGAUGCAAGUGGGCUCCAUAAGGCACCAGGGCAUGCCCUGGCACCUUGUGCGCUACUCCUUCAUCUUCUGGCCCUCUCCCAAAGGUUCUAGGGUCUCUUACGUCCAGAAAAAAUCUCCAAUAAGUUUCGUGGCAAUUGGACUUCAUUUGGUACUGAAAUUCUAAAAAAACAAAAAUAGACAAAAAAGCAGCAAUUGGCACUUGGUACUAAGUUAAUAGGUUAGUCCCAGAAAAUGAUAUAUAAUGAUACAUAAUUGCAUAUAAAACACUGCAGGAAUCAUGCACUUUGCCGUCAGCCAUGGCUAACGGCAAAGGCAUGCCAAGCUGACCGCAAUAGGUCUGGUUGAGUAGGCUACGACAAAGGCCUCUUUGCCGUCUGCUGGCAGACGGUAGAGAUGCAAAGAGCUUUGUCAUCUGCUGAUAGACGACAAAGAGCCUGGAUGGCACACGUGGCAGUUCAGGUCCGUUAAGUGGUUAACGACGUGCUUUGCCAUCAGCUGGCAGAUGGCAAUGACCUUUGCAUCGUUGUCGUCGGCCAGUGGACAACAAAGAUGCAAAGUCCUUUGUCGUCUGCUGGCUGACGACAAAUCUUCCAUAUAGGCUAGCCUAGUACACCCCAGGUUGUACAGGUAGCUGCCACGUGGCAGCUUUGCCGUCUGCUAGCAGACGACAAAGUGGCUAUAUAGCCCCUGUUUUUCCUGUUUUUUCCUAAAUUCAUUCAAUUUGACAGAAUUUCACACACACACACACACACACACAUAUAUAUAUACACACAUUUCAAAAUAAUUUCAACAAUCAUACCAACAAUAAGUUUCCAACAGCAUAUACAAGUUUCCAACAACAUGAACAUAUACAAGUUUCCAACAACAUACAAUGGUUUCCAUCAACAUAUCCAUACAUACAUAUCCAACAAGUUUGUAACAAGUUUCCAUAAACAAAAAGGAAGCACAAGCACAGGUAAGAGUUUGCAACAAGUUUCCAUCAAUGCAAGCUUCCUCAUCUCAAGCAAAUCUGCAAAUUAGGAAAGAUGAAAGUUAGAAGAAGAAGAAGACUAGCUAGAAGAAAAAGAACAAAAAGAAGAAGAAAAAGAAGAAGAAGACGAAGAAGAUUUCAUCUUCUUCUUCUUCUUCUUCUUCCUUCUUCUUAUUCUUCUUCUUUUUCUAACUAAGGUAGGUAAAAAUGCCAUUUUUUAGCUAAGGUAGGUAAAAAUGCUAAGUGUGUAGGUCAUUUUAGAGCUAAGCUAGGUAAAUAGGUCAUUUUCGAGCUAACCUAGGUAGUUAUGCCAUUUUUGAGAUAACUAAGCAUAUUUAUUCAUUUUAGAGGACAAAAUGGUAAGUGUAGGUCAUUUUAGAGCUAUCCUAGUUAAAAUCGGUCAUUUUGGAGCUAGGUAAGGUUAUUUUGUCAUUUUGGAGGAAAAUAAACUAAUUAUAUGAUAGUUUGGAGCUAAACCAUGGUUAUUAUGCCAAUUUUUACCUAAGUAAGCUAAUUAUGUCAUAAAUGAACUAGGUAAGCUAAGUAUAGAUAAUUAUUUAGCUAUCCUAGGUAGUAAUGUCAUUUUUCAGCUAACUAAGAAUAUUAAGUCAUUUAGGAGGAAAAAAGGCAAAGUAUAGGUCAUUUUAUAGCUAUCCUAGGUAAAGUAUGUAAGUUCGGAGCUAAGUAAGGUUAUUAUGUCAUUUUUGAGGAAAAUAAGCUAAGUAUAGGUCAUUUUGGAGCUAAACCAAGGUUAUUAUGCCAUUUUUACCUAAGUGCGCUAAUUAUGUCAUAAAUGAAAUAGCUAAGCUAAUUAUAGAUCAUUAUUGAGCUAUCCUAGGUUGUUAUGCCAUUUUUUACCUAAGUGAGCUAAUUAUGUCAUAAAUGAAUUAGCUAAGCUAGCUAUAGAUCAUUAUUGAGCUAUCCUAGGUAGUUAUGCCAUUUUCUAGCUAACAAAGCAUAUCAAGUCAUUUUGGAGGAAAAAAUGCUAAAUAUAGGUCAUUUUAUAGGUAUCCUACGUAGAACAUGUCAUUUUGGAGGUAUGUAAGGUUAUUCUAUCAUUUUCAAGGAAAAUAAGCUAAGUAUAGGUCAUUUCUUAAGAUAAGUAUGCAUUUGUUAAGCAAAACACUUGGGAAAACUUACCAUCAUCAGGGAGGUGAAGUACCGGUCGGGGUUAUGCCAUCGCAAGACAGAGAAGGAUCAGUCGAUCCUUUUUGGGAGGCGUGCUGCACCAAAGAUCAUUUGCAAUGUUUAGUUAUCAUGAUGCAAGUGAAAUGCGAAUACUAGUAACUAAUAACCAUUCAAAUGAAACUCAUCGUGUCUGCUAUACCAAUCUGGGGCAUUGGCAGAGGGGUCUGGACGGUUUUCUUGCACAGACUACACAUUUUGUUUUCACGAGUUACUCAUUUAGUUAGUAAUGAAACGAACAUUACGUGCAUGAUUUGGCUAGUAUGUGGGAGAAACUUACCAUGAGGAGCUCGUAUAGGGCCCAGUGACCCGCGUCGUUCCGGUUCCUCUCCGCCUCCAACAGAUUAGCCGUCCUCUCCUCCAGCUGCCUCUCCCUCUGCGCCGCCUGCCCAGUUGCCUCCGCCAGAAGCUCCUGGGCCCUAGCCUCGACGUAGAGCUCCAUUGGCCGUGGUCGAGGCCUCAUCUCAGGAAGAGACCUCGUCUGGCACUUCUUGAUCUUUGGGAGACUUCUAGGGUAACCUAUUAGUCCAUCCCCAAUGGCUACCAAGCCAUGUCUCCUCCCAUCACCAGAUAGCAUCACGUGCUCAGGAUCAAAAGGACUCUGGCUCGGGUUGAAGUCCUCACCUUUCAUCUUCUUCCCCCAGUCUCUGUACCUCACGAGCUUGUCGUGGAAGGAGAUGUUGGUGAAGCUCUCUGGAUCAACGUCAUCCUCCGAGAAUGCCUUGGCCUUCUUGAACGGGGCACUAUGGGCCAUGGCAUAGAGGUCAUAUAGCGGUGGCACCUCCUUCUUGUUGUGUCGCGCUUGAAAGAGAGGAACAGGGUAAAUUAGUAAUUAAAGGGCUAAAGCUAGCAUGAAGAAUGAAAUUGCAUGAAUCGUUAAGGGCUCAAACCACAUACCUAGUGAUCCCCGUACUCAAACAGGUUGGAUCUCCCUUGAUGGUGUGGCACACCUUGCAUCUGGGCACGCUUGUCCCUGGCCUUGUUGUGGACGGCUAGCCAUUGGGGAGAGCACCACUCAUCCACCAACCUCUCCCAACAGUCCAUCUUAUUCGCACACCAUCUCGGGGGCACCUAAGUUAGACAAAGAGAAAUUUUAGCACUACGCCUACGAAUCAAAUCAAGGAAACUAAGUACAAGGCCUUAACAAUAGGUAAUUACCUUCAUGUACUUGUCCUUACUCAGAUACUUGCUGCGGCACUUCUUCUUCUGCCUCCUAAUGUUAGUCGAGCCGUAGUAGUCUCAAACAGCCUGCACCCGAGCCUCGUGUUGUAAGUUCUGAAGUAGGCACUUGCACUCGGCUUCAAGAACCAUAGCCGCGUCCGCCUCGUGUUCCUCAAGGCACCUGUAGAAGGUAUGCAAUCAAACUAAAAAAUACUGAUCAUUAGUACAAUCACUAUGUACUAUUGAAUUUUAAUUCUGUAACGGAGAAAUUACCCAAAACCACCGUCUCACAAUGUCGGCCACCGUCUCGCACACGACACCAUCGACCAUCUCCCUCGGUGGGGCCAGGGAAGCCUCGUACAGCUCCCAGGUCAGUGCUAGCUAUGGAAGCUCACCCUCACUGGGCAACGUGACCCACCCCGGGAAGUGGUGCCGGCAAAGAGUACCAGGGAGCUGGUUGGGCCUGCAGACACCAUCUGCGUGUAUCCAACCCCUGCAGUAUGACACGGCCAACACAUUAGAUACUAAUUUGAAGAAACAUGAAGGAAAAAGGUUACAAAUAGUAAAUGCACUUACUUCUCCCCGUUAGGCUGAAUCAACCACCUCUGGUCGCGGGUCGCCGGCACGGACAAUACCUUAGUACCACCAUGCUGGUAGACCUUCUUGCCCUCCUCAACCAGCUCGCCCUUGCUGUAGCUAUCCUCAGAAAAGGUCUCCUCAACACCAUCAUCAUGGCCGCUAGUCUUCGGAGUCACGUGGCACGAAGACUCUGGGACCUGAGUCUCCUGGGAGGAAGACUCUGGGACCCGAGGCUCGGCGACCAGAGGCUCGUCGACCCGAGGAUCGUGGACCGGAGUCUGAUACGGGUCCACCUGAGACGGAGCACUCCGGUGUCCAGAGACUCAGUGGGGGGUGGUGGCGAGGAAGGCCCAACAACCUUCCUACCUCUCCCAGCGCCACGUCCACCUCUACCUGCACCCAUCUUCUUCCCCCGACCUCUCCCGACCGAAGAAGAAGCGCCUGCCGAAGGUGAUGGGGGUGUCUACAUGCUAUCUACCAGCGCUCUCCGAAGGUGCUGGGGUGCAAUAACAAGACCCCUCCCAGCACGCGCCAAGGAAGGAGGCUCGGAGCGCUCUCGACCUAAGCCAACCAUCUGUCAACACCUGCAAUGACAAAGAUUAAACGAAAUUAGUACAACAUAAACAUAAUAAAAAAUUGAAGUGUGUAUCAUGAACAUAAUAAAAAAUUGAAUACCUAAUAACUUAAACAAAUUAAAAUAUAUAUAUGUACAUAAUAAUAAUUGAAUACCUGACCUAACUCAUAAUUCACAAAUAUAUGACCCUGUCGGCCUCUGGACGGUCGAAGAGCACCUUUUUCGGGAGGUGCCGUGUCGGGGUCUCAGGGUGUUGGGGGUCGGGGGUCNNNNNNNNNNNNNNNNNNNNNNNNNNNNNNNNNNNNNNNNNNNNNNNNNNNNNNNNNNNNNNNNNNNNNNNNNNNNNNNNNNNNNNNNNNNNNNNNNNNNNNNNNNNNNNNNNNNNNNNNNNNNNNNNNNNNNNNNNNNNNNNNNNNNNNNNNNNNNNNNNNNNNNNNNNNNNNNNNNNNNNNNNNNNNNNNNNNNNNNNNNNNNNNNNNNNNNNNNNNNNNNNNNNNNNNNNNNNNNNNNNNNNNNNNNNNNNNNNNNNNNNNNNNNNNNNNNNNNNNNNNNNNNNNNNNNNNNNNNNNNNNNNNNNNNNNNNNNNNNNNNNNNNNNNNNNNNNNNNNNNNNNNNNNNNNNNNNNNNNNNNNNNNNNNNNNNNNNNNNNNNNNNNNNNNNNNNNNNNNNNNNNNNNNNNNNNNNNNNNNNNNNNNNNNNNNNNNNNNNNNNNNNNNNNNGUUGUUUUCUUCUUAUUGUUGUUUUCUUCUCCUAUAAAUUUUUCCAACAACUAAUCUACAGACUAACCUAGAAACUAACCUAACUAACCUAGCAACUAACCGAACUAACCUACAGACUAACCUAGAAACUAACCUACAGACGGACAACAACAACAACAACAACAACAACAACAACAACAACAACAACAAGAAGGCAUGCCAACAAACAAUCAUAUCUUUCAAAAUAUCAAUGCUAAAGAACUUUAUCCCUCCAAAAUCAUAUAGCCUUGUCAUGCUCCAUCUUAUUAAUGCAAAGUAUUUUUCAUGCACAAACCCAAUGACAAGCUGAGCAAUUAGUUCAUAUUUUUUAAUGCGCUUCAGCUUUUUCAACUCUCACGCAAUACAUAAGUACAAGCCAUGGAUAUAUCACUAUGGGUGGAAUAGAGUAUGGUGAUGGAGAUAAUUUGGAGAAGAUAAAAAGAAGAAAGUAUCACAUUGACGAGGCUAAUCAACAGGCUAUGGAGAUGCCCAUCAAUUGAUGUCAAUGCAAGGAGUACUGAUUGCCAUGCAACAGAUGCACUAAGAGCAAUAAGUGUAUGAAAUCUCAAAAAUAAAACUAAGUGGGUGUGCAUCCAACUUUCUUGCUCAUGAAGAUCUCGGGCAUUUGAGGAAGCCUAUCAAUGCAAUAUAUAAGCCAAGUUCUAUAAUGAAAAAUUCCCACUAGUUAUAUGAAAGUGAAAGCAUAGGAGACUCUCAAUACGAAAAACAUGGUGCUACUUUGAAGCGCAAGUGUGGAAAGGAUAGUAACAUUGCCCCUUCUCGUUUUUUCUCUCUUUUUCAUUUUUUUCUUUUCUCUCUUUUUGUUGGGAUCUUUUUGGCCUCCUUUUUGUGGGCUAUUUUUGACAAAAAAAUUAUUUUUCAUCCGGAGUCUCCAUCAUCCUUUCCUCACUUGGGACAAUGCUCUAAUAAUGAAUAUGAUGAUCUUCACACUUCUGUUUACUUACAACUCAAAAAUUACAAUUCGAUACUAGAAAAGAAAUAUGACUCUAUAUGAAUGCCUCUAGCGAUGUACCAAGAUGUGUAAUGAUAGAGCAUAACAUGUAUAAAAAACGAUGAACGGUGGCUGAGCCACAAAUACUAUGUUAGCUAUAUGAUCAUGCAAAGCAUGUGACAAUGAUGAUGUGUGUCAUAAUAAUGGGUCGGUGGAAGUUGCAUGGCAAUAUAUCUCGAAAUGGCUAUGGAAUUGCCAUAAUAGGUAGGUACGGUGGCUAUUUUCAGGAAGAUAUAAGGAGGCUUAUGUGUGAUAGAGCAUAUCAUAUCACGGGGUUUGGAUGCACCAACUAAGUUUGAACCAAAACUCAAGGUGAGAAAGGGCAAUGCACGGUAGUGAGGAGGCUAGCAAAUUGUGGAAAGGUGAGAGUGUGUAUAAUCCAUGGACUCACAUUAGUCAUGAAGAACUCAUAUACUUAUUGCAUAGUUUAUUAGCCCUAGAAGCAAAGUACUACUAUGCAUGCCCCUAGGGGGAUACUUUGUAGGAAAAGACCAUCGCUCAUCCCGGCCGCUACUCAUAAGGAAGAUAAUCAAUAAUAAAUCAUGCUCCAACUUCAUAGCAUAACGAGGGACUAUACGUGCAUGCUUCAGGAAUCACAGACCUUAACACCAAUAUUAUUACUAAACCACAAUUACUCACUAGCACAACCCACAUAUUACCACCUUUAUAUCGCAAAACUAGUGCAAGGAAUCAAACUUAUCAUAUUCAGUGAUCUACAUGAAAGUUUUUAUUAUAUCCCUCUUGAAUAACUAUCAUAUUAGGACCAAAUUCAUAUUUGUACUAAUUGUCAUUACUAUUAUCAACUCUCAAAAAUAUAUAAGUGAAGCAUGAGAGUUCAACAAUUUCGUUAGAAUAUGGCCACCGUCGUGCUCUAAAAGAUAUAAGUGAAGCACUAGAGCAACUGCCUAGCUCAAAAGAUAUAAGUGAAGCACAUAGAGUAUUCUAAAAAGCACGAAUAAUGUGUGUCACUCUCAAAAUGUGUGUUCAGCAAAGAUAUGAUUGUGACAAUCUAAAAAGCAAACAAAGUAAAGACUCAUAUAAUACACGAAACUCCAAGCAAAAUAGCUAACAUGUGGUGAAUAAAAAUAUAUCUCCAAGUAAUAUUACCGAUAGUUGGUAGAAGAAAGAGGGGAUGUCUUCUGGGGCAUCCCCAAGCUUAGAUGCUUUGGAGUCCUUGAAUAUUACCUUGGGGCGCCUCAGGCAUCCCCAAGCUUAGGCUCUUGCCACUCCUUAUUCCUUCAUACAUCAUGAUCUCACUCAAAACUUGAAAACUUCAACACACAAAACUCAAUAAAAACCUUCAUGAGAUCUGUUAGUAUAACAAAGCAAAUCACUACUUUAGGUACUAUUGUAAACCCAUUCAUAUUUUAUUAUUGCAUUAUACCUACUGUAUUCUAACUCCAUCAUGGCGUAUACCCCCCGGUACAAUCCAUAGAUUCAUCAAAACAAGCAAACAACACAAAAACAGAAUUUGUCAAAAACGGGACAAUGACCAUACUUCUGUAACUCCGAAAAUUCUGGAAAAAUAGCACAACGUGGGAAAUUUGUAUCUCAAUCAUGUGUAAAAAAUUCAGAAUUUUUUCACGCUCCAGCAAAUUUUGACAAUUCUUCUAGUGGACGCAGAAGUUUCUGUUUUUGCACAGAAUCAAAGCAACUAUCAUCCAAAUCAUCCCGAAGGCUUUACUUGGCACAAACACUAAUUUAAACACAAAACACAAACUAACAUCUAAUUGGAUAUAUAUAUAUCAUGAUCUUUCAAACACAAGGAGCUUGCCAAAGGAAAAAAUGAAAAAGGGAAAGGCGAGGAUCACCUUGACUCAAGCAUAAAGUAAAAACAUAAAGUAAAAGAUAGUCCCUUCGCAGAGGGAAGCAGAGGUUGUCAUGCGUGUUUAGGGUUGGAUGCACAAAAUCUUAAUGCAAAAUAAUGUCACUUUAUAUUGCCCCUUGUAUGUGGACCUUUAUUAUGCAGUCUGUCGCUUUUAUUGCUUCCACAACAAGAUCGUACAAAGCUUAUUUUCUCUGCACUAAUAAGUCAUACAUAUUUAGAGAGCAGUUUUCAUUGCUUGCACCGAUGACAACUUACUUGAAGGAUCUUACUCAAUCCAUAGGUAGGUAUGGUGGACUCUCAUGGCAAAACUGGGUUUAAGGAUAUUUGGAAGAACAAGUAGUAUCUCUACUUGCUGCAAGGACUUUGGCUAGCAUGAGGGGGAAAGGCAAGCUCAACAUGUUUGGAAGGUCAAUGACAAUAUACUUUAACUAAGAUGCGCGAAAACAUAAACCAUUACGUUGUCUUCCUUGUCCAACGUCAACUCUUUUAGCAUGUCAUACUUAAUGAGUGCUCCCAAUUAUAAAAAAAGGGUGUCCAAGAUAAUAUAUUUGUAUGUGAACCCCUCUUUCCUUAUCACUUCCUAUUAAUUGCAACAAUGACCAAAACUACGUUCACCAACUCUCAACAAUUUUUAUGCCUCAUACUUUCUAUAUGUGAAGUUAUCACUAUCCACAAGAUCAAUAUGAGCUCUUUUAUUCUUUCUACUUUCUCAAGAUCAUAGCAACAUAGCAAAGCCCUUGACUCAACACUAAUAUUUAUUAUAGAUAGCUCACGGACUCGAUUACAAAAAGAGAUUAUAAAGCAAAACUCAAACUACUUGAUAUCAAAACUUCAAUCUACUAGAUCAAUAUACUACUAAAAAGGAUCAAACUGAAUAAAACGGUAAAGAUAGGAGUGUGAUGGUGAUACGAUACCGGGGUACCUCCCCCAAGCUUGGCAGUUGCCAAGGGGAGUGCCCAUACCCAUGUGAUUAUGUCCUCGGAGGUGGUGAAGUAGGAGUUGUUGAUGAUGUAGGCUUGUCGUACGUCUUCCAAGGCAUAGGCUCUCCAUCGUAGAAGGAUGAUCGAGUCUCCGGGAUCCUUAAAUCUGCAGCCAAACUCAUCCUCUUAAAUCUAUAUUCAUACUCACAGUUCUGGUUUUGCAGGUCAUAGAUCUGGUCUUGGAGGUGCUCGAUUUUCUCUUGAAUCUUGAAGAUGGUCUCCCCAAUGACUUUGGCGUCCAGCUUGUGGUUGUGGGUGAACUCUGUGAUCAUCAUUUGGUUGGCGUUGAGUCCACGCUCCACCAUCCCUUGACACUUGAAAACUUGUUGUUCCACGGCUUCGAGCUUUGUCUCCACGCUCCCGGUACGCCUUGGUCCCUCCACAUCGUGGAUGUGCAGCACCCCCUCACGCAUCUCAAUGGUUUGAGGGUGUUGCAGCACCUCCACGAGAUAGGGGUUGAUAACCCUCUCGAAAAACUUGUCCCUGGGAGCGCUUGGAGAUGUCAUGAUGCUCUAAAUCUGAAACAGAAACAGCUCGAAACAAAAAAAGAGGAUAUUUGCGUGAUACAAUGGUCAAAACCUUCGGGAGUAUAUAUAAUGAAUUUUUACAGACCAAAAAACGUAACGUGCAAGAAAACAGAGUCUGGGAGGCACACGAGGUGACAACGAGACAGGGGGCGCGCCCAGUAGGGGGGAGCCCUCCACUCUCGUGGGGGCCUCGUGUCCCUUUCGGACUUCUUCUUUCUUCCUAAAAUUCUUAAAUAUUCAAAAACUGAUAAAAAUUGCCAUUGGAGUUGUUUUGGAGUUAGUUUACUUACUGUACCACAUACCUAUACCUUUUCGGAGUCUGGAACGUUCUGGAAAGUGUCCCUUAUGUAUUCCUCGGGGGUUACAGUUUCAAUAAUAUUAGUUUCAACAUUGAUAGGAUUACCUGAAAUAUAAUGUUUAAUUCUUUGACCGUUUACCACCCUUGGACUCGUGCCUUAGAAGUUGUUGAUUUUUAUGGCACCAGAACGAUAGACCUCCUCGAUAACGUAAGGACCUUCCCAUUUUGAGAGUAGUUUUCCUGCAAAAAAUCUCAAACGAGAGUUGAAUAAUAAUACAUAGUCUCCUACGUUAAACUCACGCUUUUGUAUCCUCUUAGCAUGCCAGCGUUUGACUUUUUCUUUGAAUAGCUUGGCAUUCUCAUAGGCUUGGGUUCUCCAUUCAUCAAUUGAGCUAUUAUCAAACAACCUCUUCUCACCGGCAAGUUUGAAGUCAUAGUUGAGCUCUUUAAUAGCCCAAUAUGCCUUGUGUUCAAGUUCAAGAGGCAAAUGACAUGCUUUUCCAUAAACCAUCUUAUAUGGAGACAUACCCAUAGGAUUUUUGUAUGCAGUUCUAUAGGCCCAUAAUUCAUCAUCGAGUUUUUUGGACCAAUUCUUUCUAGAUCUAUUCACAAUCUUUUGCAAAAUUAAUUUGAGCUCUCUAUUGCUCAACUCUAGUUGACCACUAGACUGGGGAUGAUAAGGAGAUGUGAUUAUAUGAUUGACAUCAUACUUAGCAAGCAUCUUACAGAAAGCACCAUGAAUAAAAUGUGAACCACCAUCAGUCAUAAGAUAUAUAGGGACUCCAAACAUCGGAAAAAUAACUUCUUUAAGCAUUUUAAUAGAAGUGUUAUGAUCAGCACUACUAGUUGGAAUAGCUUCUACCCACUUAGUAACGUAAUCAACAGCAACUAAAAUAUGUGUAUAGCCAUUAGAGGCAGGAAAAGGUCCCAUAUAAUCAAAGCCCCAAACAUCAAACGGUUCAAUAACAAGAGAGUAAUUCAUAGGCAUUUCUUGACGUCUACUAAUGUUACCUAUUCUUUGACAUUCAUCACAACAUAAGACAAACUUACGAGCAUCUUUGAAGAGAGUAGGCCAAUAAAACCGGAUUGUAGUACCUUGUGUGUAGUUCUAUCUCCAGCGUGGUGUCCUCCAUAGGAUUCAGAGUGACACUUACGUAGGAUCUGUUCCUGUUCAUGCUCAGGCACACAACGUCUAAUAACACCAUCUACUCCUUCUUUAUAAAGGGGUGGGUCAUCCCAGAAGUAAUGUCUUAAAUCAUAACAGAACUUUUUCUUUUGCUGGUAUGUGAAACUAGGCGGUAUAUAUUUAGCAACAAUGUAAUUAGCAAAAUUAGCAUACUAAGGAGCAAUACGAGAAGCAUUGACGACCGCUAAUUGUUCAUCAGGAAAGCUAUCAUUAAUAGGCAGUGGGUCAUCAAGAACAUCCUCUAACCUAGACAAGUUAUCUGCAACGGGGUUCUCAGCUCCCUUUCUAUCAAUAAUAUGCAAGUCAAAUUCUUGGAGCAAGAGAACCCAUCUAAUGAGUCUAGGCUUAGCAUCUUUCUUUUCCAUAAGACAUUUAAUAGCAGCAUGAUCACUGUGAAUAGUAACUUUGGAAUCAACAAUAUAAGGUCUAAACUUAUCACAUGCAAACACAACUGCUAAGAAUUCUUUUUCAGUAGUAGCAUAAUUUCUCUGGGCAGUAUCAAGAGUCUUACUAGCAUACUGGAUAACAUUCAAUUUCUUAUCGACUCUUUGCCCUAGAACCGCACCUACAGCAUAAUCACUAGCAUCACACAUAAUUUCAAAAGGUAAAUUCCAAUCAGGUGGCUGGACAAUAGGUGCAGUGAUCAAAGCUUUCUUAAGUAUUUCAAAUGCUUCUACACAAUCAUCAUCAAAGACAAAAGGAAUAUCUUUUUGCAAUAAAUUAGUCAGAGUCCUUAAUGAACCUCCUAUAAAAACCUGCGUGACCAAGCAAACUUCUUAUACCUUUUAUGUCCUUGGGACAUGGCAUCUUUUCAAUAGCAUCAACUUUGGCUUUAUCAACUUCAAUACCUCUCUCGGAGAUCUUAUGCCCCAAGACAAUGCCUUCAUUAACCAUAAAGUGACACUUCUCCCAAUUUAGGACGAGACUAGUGUCUUCGCAUCUCUGCAAAACUCGAUCAAGGUUGCUCAAGCAAUCAUCAAAAGAGGAUCCAUAAACUGAGAAAUCAUCCAUGAAUACCUCACAAAUCUUUUCACAAAAAUCAGAGAAUAUAGCCAUCAUGCAUCUUUGAAAGGUAGCAGGUGCAUUACAUAAACCAAAAGGCAUACGUCUAUAAGCAAAAGUACCAAAAGGGCAAGUAAAAGUAGUUUUAGAUUGAUCCUUCGCUGACACAGGUAUCUGAGAGAAACCAGAAUAACCAUCUAGAAAGCAGAAAUGUGUGUGUUUGGAUAGUCUUUCUAGAAUUUGAUCAAUAAAAGGUAAAGGGUAAUGAUCUUUCUUAGUAGUUUUACUUAACUUACGAAAAUCAAUUACCAUCCUAUAACCUGUAAUAAUUCUUUGCGGGAUCAAUUCAUCUUUAUCAUUAGGAACAAUGGUAAUACCUCCCUUUUUGGGAACACAGUGGACAGGACUUACCCAUUCACUAUCAGCAACGGGAUAAAUAAUACCUGCCUCAAGGAGCUUUAGUAUCUCCUUUCUUACCACUUCUUUCAUCUUGGGAUUUAGUCGUCGUUGAGGAUCUCUAACUGGUUUGGCAUCGUCCUCCAUAUUAAUUUUGUGUUGGCAUAAUGUGGGACUAACGCCCUUAUGAUCAUCCAGAGUAUAUCCAAUAGCAGCUCGGUGCUUCUUUAGAGUUUUCAAUAAUCUUUCUUCUUCUUGCUCUGAAGGGUUAGCACUAAUAAUAACAUGAUAUAUUUCUUUUUCAUCAAGAUAAGCAUACUUAAGUUUAUCAGGUAAUGGUUUAAGUUCAAACACGGGAUCACCCUUGGGUGGAGGGGGAUCCCCAAGAAUUUCAACGGGAAGGUUAUGUUUCAGCAUAGGUUCCUGUUUAAGGAACACUUCAUCUAUUUCCCUUCUUUCCUUCAUAAACAUAUCGUUUUCAUGGUCUAGCAAGUAUUGUUCUAACGGAUCAGUUGGAGGAACAACAAUGGAAGCAAGACCAAUAAUCUCAUCCUUACUAGGUGGUUCCCUAUCACGAUGUUGUCUACUAAACUUAGCGAAAUUAAACUCAUGAGACAUACCAUCUAUGCCAAUAGUGACAAUAUUCUUUUCACAAUUAAUCUUAGCACUAGCCGUAUUCAAGAAGGGUCUACCAAAAAUAAUUGGACAAAAGGCAUCUUGUGGGGAAGCAAGAACAAGAAAAUCAACAGGGUAUUUAACUUUCCCACACAAAACUUCAACAUCUCUAACAAUCCAAGCAGGUUUAAUGGUGUCCCUAUUAGCAAGCUUAAUAGUAACAUCAAUGUCUUCUAAUUCAACGGGUGCAAUGUCGUGCAUAAUUUCUUUAUAUAAAUCAUAAGGUAUAGCGGUAGCACUAGCACCCAUAUCACAUAGGCCAUGAUAACAAUGGUCUCCUAUUUUAACAGAAAUAACAGGCAUGCCUACGACAGGUCUACGUGUCUUAGUAUCCGGCCUAGCAAUAUUAGCAGUCUCACCACAGAAAUAAAUAACAUGCCCAUCUAAAUCAUCAUCAAAGAGAUAUUUAACCAUAGCAAUACUAGGUUCAACAUUAAUUUGCUCAGGAGGUGUAUAAGUCCUAGUAUUACUCUUACGAACAAUAGUUGAAGCUUUAGCAUGAUCCUUUAUCCUAACGGGAAAAGGAGGUUUUUCAACAUAAGUAGUAGGAACAAUAGGAUCACUAUAGGUAAUAGUCUUUUCUUCGACUGUAAUAGGUGCAACUACUUUCACUUCAACAGGAGGAUUAUAUUUAAACCACUUCUCUUUAGGGAGAUCAACGUGAGUAGCAAAACAUUCACAGAAAGAAGCUACUAUCUCAGAGUCAAGUCCAUACUUAGCGCUAAAUCCACGAAAAGUAUCGGUAUCCAUAAAAGAUUUAACACAAUCGAACUUAGGUGUCAUACCUUACUCCUUACCAUCGUCGGAACCCCAAUCUUCAGAGUUGCGUUUAAUUCUUUCCAAUAAAUCCCAUUUGAAAUAAAUAGUCUUCAGCAUAUAAGAACCAGCACAGGAAGUAUCGAGCAGGUUGCAAUUAUCAAGAGAAAGUCGAGCAUAAAAGUUCUUAAUAAUCAUUUCCCGAGAGAGCUCAUGAUUGGGGAAUGAAUAUAACAUUGACUUAAUCCUCCCCCAAGCUUGAGCGAUGCUUUCUCCUUUGCGAGGCCAGAAAUUAUAUAUGUCAUUACGAUCACGAUGAACAAGGUGCAUAGGAUAGAACUUCUGGUGAAAUUCCAGCUUCAAUCGUUUAUAAUUCCAAGAUCUCGUAUCAUCACAUAGCCUAUACCAUGUCAAUGCAUCUCCCUUCAAAGAUAAAGGGAAGACCUUACUUUUGACAACAUCAUCGGGAAUACCUGCAAGCUUAAAUAAUCCACAAACUUCAUCCACAAAGAUAAUGUGUAAAUCGGGAUGCAAUGUUCCAUCUCCUACAAAUGGAUUAGCUAGUAGUUUCUCGAUCAUACCCUAAGGGAUCUCAAAGUAAAUAUUUUCAUAAAGUUCAGUAGGUUGAGGAGCAACUAUUUGCGCUUCUGGUUGGGGUGAAGAUACCCCAAACAAGCCACUCAAAGGUUUGUUUCCAUAGUGACACGUAACAGAAAAUUUCAGCACACUAUAUAAAUGUUUCCUUACCAACUUCCACUCACCAAAAGCGCUAGACUCCCCGGCAACGGUGCCAGAAAAGAGUCUUAAUGACCCACAAGUGUAGGGGAUCAAUCGAAGUCCUUUCAAUAAGUAAGAGUGUCGAACCCAACGAGGAGCAGAAGGAAAUGAUAACCGGUUUUCAGUAAGGUUUUCUCUGCAAGCACUGAAAUUGUAGGUGAUAGAUAGUUUUGUGAUAAGAUAAAUGAUAACGAGUAACAAGUAAAUAAAGUAAAUAAAGUGCACCAAGCUGGCCCAAUCCUUUAUGUAGCAAAGGAUAAGACUAGACAAUUUCUAAUAAUGAGAAAGGAGCUCCCGAGGACACAUGGGAAUUAUUGUCAAGCUAGUUUUCAUCACGUUCAUAUGAUUCGCGUUCGGUACUUCGAUAAUUUGAUAUGUGGGUGGACCAGUACUUGGGUACUGUCCUUACUUGGAUAAGCAUCCCACUUAUGAUUAACCCUUAUUGCAAGCGUUCGCAACUACAAAAGAAGUAUUAAGGUAAACCUAACCACAACAUUAAACAUAUGGAUCCAUAUCAGCCCCUAACGAAGCAAUGCAUAAACUAGGGUUUAAGCUUCUGUCACUCUAGCAACCCAUCAUCUACUUAUUACUUCCCCAUGCCUUCCUCUAGGCCCAAAUAAUGGUGAAGUGUCAUGUAGUUGACAUUCACCUAACACCACUAGAGGAAAAGACAACAUACAUCUCAUCAAAAUAUCGAACGAAUACCAAAUUCACAUGACUACUAAUAGCAAGACUUCACCCAUGUCCUCAGGAACAAACAUAACUAUUCACAAAGCAUAUUCAUGUUCAUAAUCAGAGGAGUAAUAAUAUGCAUAAAGGAUCUGAACAUAUAAUCUUCCACCAAGUAAACCAAUUAGCAUCAACUACAAGGAGUAAUCAACACUACUAGCAACCCACAGGUACCAAUUUGUGGUUUUGAUACAAGAUUGGAUACAAGAGAUGAACUAGGGUUUUGAGAGGAGAUGGUGCUGGUGAAGAUGUUGAUGGAGAUUGACCCCUUCUCGAUGAGAGGAUCGUUGGCGAUGAUGUUGGUGAUGAUUUCCCCCUCCCGGAGGGAAGUGUCCCCGGCAGAACAACUCCGCCAGAGCCCUAGAUUGAUUCCGCCUCGUGGUGGCGGAGUUUCGUCCCGUAAGCUUGCCCACAAUUUUUCCAGGGUAAAAGCUCUAAUAUUGCAGAAGAUGGACACCGGAGGCCCACCAGGGGGCCCAGGAGAUAGGGGGCGCGCCCUAUAGGGGGGCGCCCUCCUCUCUCCUGGACAUAGUGUGGUCCCCCUGGUGUAUUUCUUUCGCUCAGAAUUUUUUAUUAAAUCCAAAAAGAUGUUUUGUGCAGUUUCAGGACUUUUGGAGUUGUGCAGAAUAGGUUUCCAACGUUUGCUCCUUUUCCAGCCAGAAUUCCAGCUGCCGGCAUUCCCCCUCUUCAUGGUAAAACUUAUACAAUAAGAGAGAAUAGCCAUAAGUAUUGAGAUAUAAUGUGUAAUAACAGCCCAUAAUGCAAUAAAUAUUGAUAUAAAAGCAUGAUGCAAAAUGGACGUAUCAUACCUUGCUGCAUUCGUGUCUAUGUGCGAGAACUUUCUGGGGUGUCGACCGCACUGGGGUCUUUUGAAGCAUAUUUUCACCAUCCGUUCUCAGUCGGUGAAGAAAGCAAACACGAGUGACGAGAAAACACAUGUCAUUCAGAUGUGUGUGGGUUUGGGUAUCCAGAAGAGGCAGAGGAGCUCUUUCCCUUCCAUGACUCUUCCUGAAUCGGUUAGGGGCUGGUAGUCGACCUGGUUCUACUGCCAGGACCUCGCAACUCCAGGUCAGUCGAUCGGGCUUCCCCACUUCACCUUUGACCAUGUUCAGACUCCUUCUUCGCUGAAAGUGACUGCUGCUGAGAGCGUGGAGACAAACAUGCUAGUUGAGAGGGUUGUCCAACUGAUCAAUCAGGGCGUCACUGGCAUGGACCUACUGGAAGUAUUCCUCGGUCGACGCAUCCAGCCUCUUCAGGCCCGUGACCAUCCCAUGUGGAUGUACUUUGGGGCUGACGACACUGCUCGGGUUCAUCCAGAAGAAGUACCGGCCAAGACAGUGGCCAUGUGGUUGAAGAGCAUUACAGGCAACAAGGACAACCCUAGAGGAGCCAGGAGAGUCGUCCCCUUCAAUGAUGACAAUCAACCUGAAAAGGUAUGGCCUCCAUUAUGACCGUUUUUGAAUACACAUUCUGACUGCUCUUGAGCCCGACUGACUUUUACUUGACUUCUUGUCUUGUAGGUUUUUACUGACAUGUAUUCGAUGCCCAAUGGUGAACAAGUUCUGGAGAAAGGCCAGGAGGGAGAGGCCAGUGCGGAGGAGAGAGGCAAAUGGGAAUUUUCGGAUGAUGAUGACGAGGAGGCUGUCGACUCGCCGCCCCGCUCUGAACGCCGAUUCAAGCAACACCAUGACCCGGCGGGCAGGCGCGGAAAGAACAUGGCCCCAAGCACCCAAACGCAGAAGCGCACCCAGACGUUGACUCCGGAGCCAAUAGAGAAAGUUGCCAAGCAGCCCAAGGUUGCUCCUCCAAAGGCUCGGAAGACUCUGCCGAGGAUCAAGAUGGACGUCCCUGUUGCCUCAGGGUGAGCAUAUUUCCUGUGCUUUUCUCUGUCGAUUGAUUCUUCUAUUCUAACCAAAUGGAUCGUGUACCUUUCCAUCCCGACCUCUGCCAUGACUGACAUGGAUAUUGACAAGGCCCCAGGAGAUGGGGAAGCCGAUGCCGCGGCCACCUACUGAGCUGGAAGUCCGCUCGACCAAAACUUAUUUUAUCGAUUGAGUUGUCGGUCAGUUGAAUUUCUGAUGUUUUUCUUUUCGCUGCAGCUCCACGAGACAUUGUCGUGCUUCCUGAAGAAGAAGAGGAAGAAGAAGCGCCUCAGAAGGAGAGGAGGAGGAGAGGCAAGGGCUCGAGCGGGAGAGGUCUUGAAGUUCAAGCCCCUCAGUUGAUGCCAGUGCUUGAGGAGGUGGUCGAGCGAUCCGGAGAUCUAGUUCGGACCAACGUCACCUUCGCUGACCCGCUGACGACUGAUUGCCCGUGAGGAUCGACUGCUCCGACUCCUGCUGCUCCAGUGCAACUCCACACAUCUGACCCAGUGGCUGCUUUGGCCGCAUUGGAGACAUCACUCUUUGAUGCAUACCAAACUCCAAAUGACUCGCCAAGUGCUGCCAGGGAGGCUCUUCGCCAGGUGAAUCUUGUUAUGGGGCAGGUGAAGGUGAUGCACGAGGCCAGUCAGGUGGCCUAUAAUGCCAGCACCGCUCUGCAGACCAAUGUUAAGGUCAGUUAUCUCCCGACUGAACUUUUGAACGCUGCCCAUAUGUGCAUCUAAUAUCAUGGGUCUAUGUUUCAUAUCCGAUCACCAACUAGGGUGUGCCUGCUUUAGAGUUUUAAGAGGUCUUCCACUCCACUCGACUCAUUCUGAGUCUAGUUUUUUGUCCGAACCAGUGGGGGCACGCAGAGUGCACCCACUGGGUGUAGUCCCCGAGACCACGGUCGACUGCUGGCAGUCGGCUAAGGUCUGAGAAUCUACUUUUUUUGACUCACGCUGGGCAGACCAUGCUGAGUGUUGAUCUAAACCAGUGGGGGCACGCUAAGUGCACCCACUGGGUGUAGUCCCUGAGACUACUGUUGAAUGUUUGAUUCGGCAGUAGUCUUAGAGUAACUUUCACUGUUAUUGUCUUUUGUUUCUGUCGACUGAUAUAUCCCUCUCUGUCGGUGUACAAAAGUAGGGGCUCUGCUUUUGACCCCUUUACUUGUGCACGGGCAGUCAUAGCCACCCGCCACGGCCACGCAUAACAGGGCAGUGAAGGGAAGCCGGAGAGAAGCCGAAGGCACAAGACAAACAAAGCAACGACAAGGACCAAGGCCAUAGAGAUCGGAUGGAUGAAGCAGGUUUCCUCGGCAAGGACCCUUGCCGGGGCAGCCUCAGCGGCCCCAGCAAGACCCUUGCCGGGGGAGCUCGUCCCCACCAGCCGAGCGAGCCACCUUUGAGCCCACCAACGCUAGAAAAACACAUUGGGACAGGGCUCGGGAGGCACCUCCAUGGUGGCAUGCAGAUCUUUGUGAAGAAAAAGAAUAGUCAAGAUCAAAUGAGGAUAGGAAGGCAACAAUCCUCACCAAGACCCCCAGCAAGAUCCUUGCCGGGGACGACAACGCGCCGUGGCAAGACCCUUGCCGGGCCACCCAACAAGACCCUCGCCAAGCGCACCAGCAGGGCCACUGCCAGGCCCAUGCUAGCCAAGUCUCCGUCGCCGUUCGCAUGCAACUGCCGACCCAACCAGCUGGGCAGGCACUUGUGUGGCAACAUGCAGCCCUUCGUGGAGGCUCCACCACUGCGCCACCUCAGCUGCCUGCCUGCCUACAUGGCACCGCAUGCACCGCUGGCCAGGGCGCGUGUUAAAGAGAGGAGGAGCGGCGAUGGACGGGACGGGCCUCGCUCCCGUCCCCAAUAAUGUGAGGGACACCUAAGCCUCGCAUUAAAUGUGCUUUGUCCUGUAAUACGAGCGAUAAGCUCACAGCGCUGUAGCACUUUCCACCUCCUGUGUGCCACUGUGGCAGCCCCUUUCGCCUAUAAAAGGAGGCCCAUGGCGCACUGGACAAGGAUUCGGCUCUUUCGAACCUAGCAGCUACUAGAGCUAGUUCAAGAGCUCUAGAACACUAAAUACAUCCACCAAAGCAGGAUCAUAGGGUUUUACGCAUCUUUGCGGCCCGAACUCGGGUAAAUCCCCUUUGUGUUGUCUGCUAGUCCUGCUCUUCUCACGAUCCCCACGCCCCGCAACCGUAGUAGGGAUUACAGUGAUCCCAUAGGUGUCGUUUCCCACCGCCAUCUUUGGCACAUCAGGGAGGGGGCGCAAUUGUGAGAAUCCGGUCUGGCAGUUGACCGAGCUGUUCUUUGUCGCCAUGGCUCCCAAGAAGAAGAUGACCACGGCGAUCGGUUCAUCCGGGACCGGAUUGCCAGUGCCGGUGCAGACUAGUAGUGGGCCAGUCGCGGAGAGAACCCAUGGCACGGACCGCGAACAUCCACAUCACCCUGGCGGUCUAGGCCCGGCGAGUGGUGUUGUUCGCGCGCCAGGCGACGAGCCACCACUCGCGGGCUCUAGAGACGGAGUUGGGCCCCCCACAGGCGGCGCGGGGCCCUCCAGGGGCGUCGCCCUCCCGCCAGACGGCGGCGUGGUGGCCUCCAAGACACCAACACCAGCGCCCACGACGCGCUCUUCCCAGGUUGUGCGUGAUGAGCAGCGUCACCCUGCUAGUGACCCUGCGCGCCACCCUGGGAAGAGUCCUGUGCGCCCAUCACAUGAUGAGGAAGGCCAGCAUACGUGCCGAGGCGCUGACGGAGGUGGCGAACGGCUGCGGGGCCGUGACGCAGCUCCUUCUAACAUGGUUAGAAGUCGAGGCGCAUCGCGGUCCACCCAGCUCUCACCGCCACCGACGCCAGUGGAAGCCCUAGCACGCGCGCAGCUCCUCCUCGAUUUUCCUCAUGCUGCGGAGAAGCUCGACGAAUGGAGGGCCACCGUCCGGAGCCUCGUCGGCAUCGCCAACAAUGAUGAGUUGCGUCUGGCGGGACCCGUAGGCCGUCGCUCCGCCGGGCCACCACGUGCCGGCGAAGGCCGUGCCAGAGGCGAAGCGGCCAUGGUGCACUCCCCUCCUCCGUCCCGGCCACCCCGGGCGUCAGUCCGUCGCGACGACGCGCGUGAUGAUAUCUCCAUCGCGUCGUCCGACCCGCGAACCAACCGUGAUCAGCAUCAAGUCCUUUGGGAGCGGGUUCAUGAGGACACUCAAACUACCAUCAAGCGUCGUCGUGACGCGCGCCACCAGUCGGACUGGCGGGCAGGGCCCGCUACGGACCACCCAGCACCGGGAGGCUACGGUGGCCUACCCUACGAGGUGGGCUGUCCGGCUUUCACCCGUGAGCUGCGACAGUUCCAGUGGCCCUCCCACCGUACGUUCAAGCCUGACGUUGGCAAGAAGUACAAUGGCAAGACUCACCCGUCAGAGUUCCUCAGCAUCUACACCAUUGCGAUGCAGGCUGCUGGGGCCCGCGAUGAUAAGUUGCUUGCCAAUUACUUCCCGUUGGCACUCAAGCCUAAUGUUAUGUCAUGGUUGAUGAACUUGCUGGUGGAUUCCAUCUCUUCUUGGGCGGAUCUGUGCCAUGAGUUUGUUGGCGCAUUUACCGGAGGUCACCAAGCUCAUGGCUAGGCGAGUGAUUUACACAUCAUCCCCCAGAAGGAAGGGGAAAACUUGCGCAAGUACAUCCAAAGGUUCAGCCGAGUGCAGUACAACAUCCCCGACGUUCAUCCUGCCGCCGUGAUCAGUGCAUUCCAUCAGAAUGUGUGCAAUCGUAAGAUGCGUGAAGAGCUGGCGAUGAACAAGGUCAGAGAUGUGGCCGAACUUUAUGUUUUGGCCGAUCAGUGCGCUCGUGCUGAGGAGGGAAGGAAGUACCCCGGCAAAGACGCCGGUGCGGAACCGACUCCACGAAUGAUACCGCCACCCCGACGAAGAAGGGCCGGCACCGUAACAGGAAGCGUAGGAGCAAGACCAUGCUUUCCAUCGAGGGAUCCGACAAUACCGGCGCCACGAAGAAACCCAAGGGAAGUGACCCCGGCAAGGAGGUUGCCGGGUGUGCCGCUUGCCGGGCCUUGGCGGCUGCCGAUAAGCCAGGGGGCUCCGAUAAGCAGUAUUGAAAGAUCCACUGCACCAAGGGCCAUGACCUCCAAAACUGUCGGCAGGUAGAGCUGCUCGCCGAGAAGCAGAAAGCUGAGUAUGAGCGGCGGGACAAGGAGAAAGGCCCAGAUGGUGACGAGGGAUCCAGCAAGAAAGGUGGCGGCCAAGGAGGCCACCGCGGCAAGGAUAAUCAGUAGGAGAGGCCCGCCCGGGGCCGCGACAAGAAGCAGGAAGACAAUGAUCAUGACGAGGACAACGAGUCCGACGACCACGAGUUUCAAAAGGCCACAUAGGCCAUGUGCAUCGAUGGUGGCGCCUUGCUGCAUACGUCCCACCGCCAACUAAAGCAGUGGGCGCGUGAGAUCACGGCGGUGGAGCCAUCGUUCGAUGCACGAAAGCCGCUGAAAUGGUCCAGCAUGCCCAUCAUCUUCGACACCAAGGACCACCCUGACCGCACUACUGCGGUCGGGUGCUUGCUGUGGUUGGUUUCACCAACAAUCCGAAACCUCAAGGUGACAAAGAUGUUGGUUGAUGGCGGGGCCGGCCUGAACUUGAUCUCGCCUGUUGUGGUCAAAAGGCUGCAGAUCCCCGAUGGAGACCUCGAGGAGACGGGCACGUUCCAAGGGGUUAACCCGGGGAGGAGCGAGCCAAAGGGAAAGGUCACGUUGCCUGUGACAUUCGGAGGUGAGCCGAACCCCAGGACGGAAAGGAUUGUUUUCGAUGUAGCCGAGAUCCCCUUGCCUUACAACGGGAUCCUCAGCCGCCCGGCACUAGCCAAGUUCAUGGCCGCUUCACACUAUGCCUACAACAUGCUGAAGAUGCCCGGGCCGAUGAACAUCAUCACCAUCCCCUCCGACAAGAAAGAUGCACUAAUCUGCGCCAACCAACUCCCCCGGGAAGCAGUUGCAGCAGCUGCCGCUAAGGCACCCGCUCCUGCCGACGGAGCCCUCGAGGGGGGGGGGAGAAGACCGGUGAGACCCCUCGCACCCACUCCGGCAAGCGCACCUCUUCGGGGUGCUGCGCUUCCGUUGAGAAUGUGCCAGAGAGCUUCGUCGGCAAGAGCAAGAAGUCCAAAGCCACACCACUAGAGACCAAGAAGGUGUCCGUCAAGGAGGACGGCACGGGCGGAGCUUUUACCAUAAGCUCCACCCUCGAUGGCAAAUACGAAAGCAAGCUCGUCACCUUCUUGCUGGUGAAUGUCGAUGUGUUUGCAUGGCAAGCCUCCGACAUCCCCGGCGUUCUGAGGGAGGUGAUUGAGCACCACCUUGUUGUCUGUCCUCAUGCGCGGCCCGUCAAGCAGAAGGUCAGGAAGCAAGCUCUGGAGAGACAGGAGUUCAUCACGGAGGAAAUCAGAAAGCUAGAGGCGGUGGGCUGGUGAGAGGAGUACUCCAUCCGACGUGGUUGGUCAAUCCGGUAGUUGUGCGCAAGGCAAAUGGGAAGCACAGGCUGUGUAUUGAUUACACACACAUUAAUAAGGCUUGUCCAAAGGAUCCCUUCCCGUUACCGCACAUUGACCAGAUUGUUGAAUCCACGGAUGGGUGUGACCUGUUAUCAUUCCUUGACGCCUACUUAGGGUACCACCAGAUCUUCAUGACAAAAGAAGACGAGGAAAAUACAACAUUCAUCACCCCGUGUGGUACGUAUUGCUUUUUACGAAUGCCUUUCGGGUUGAAGAGUGCUGGCUCAACCUUUGCAAGAGCAAUCCAAAUUGGUUUUGAUCCCCAGCUACAUAGAAAUAUGGAAGCUUAUAUGGAUGACAUAGUUGUAAAAACCAAGGACAAAACGACCCUUGUGCAAGAUCUGGAGGAAACAUUUGCAAACCUGCGCAAGAUCAACCUCAAAUUGAACCCUGAGAAGUGUGUCUUCGGCGUCCCGUCGGGCAAGCUUCUCGGGUUCUUUGUGUCCCAGCGCGGGAUUGAAGCAAACCCAGAUAAGAUCAAGGCCAUCGAGCAGAUUGAGGCACCCAAACGGAUCAAGGACGUGCGUCGGCUCACUGGCUAUGUUGCGGCCAUGAGUCGGUUCAUCUCCAAGUCCGGGAGCGUGCCCUUCCUUUUUUCAAGAUCUUGAAGAAGGCAGGGCCAGUGGAGUGGACCCCAGAAGCCGAGGCAGCGCUGCAAGAUUUGAAGAAAUACUUCUCCUCUACCCCAGUGCUGGUUGCGCCCAAACCACAAGAACCGUUGCUGCUUUACCUAGCGGCAACAAAUCAGGUGGUUAGUGCCGCACUAGUGGCGCAGAGAGAGGUCGAUGAGGAGACAGCAGUAGCGGCAGAGUCAACGGUUGGUGGGCCAGAACCCUCCCCGGCAGGGCUCGGUCCCGACAAGACUGAUUCCCCGGCAGGGCUCGGUCCCGGCAAGACUGGCGCCAGUACGAUAGGACCCACAUGGCCAGGUGAAGUGGUGAAAAGGAAGAAAAUGGUACAACACCCAGUUUACUUCUUCAGCUCCCUCUUGCAGGGGGCUAGGUCGAGGUACUCAGGUGUGCAAAAGCUGCUCUUCGGCCUCCUUAUGGCUUCGAGGAAGCUGCGCCAUUACUUCCAAGCGCACGAGAUCACUGUGGUCACCCGCCUCCCAUUGCAACGGAUACUGCAUAACCCAGAUGCAAUGGGGAGGAUCGUGGAAUGGGCCCUGGAGCUGACAAGCUUUGGUUUGAAGUUCGAAAGUACCUCGACGAUUCAGAGCAGAGUCUUGGCAGAGUUUGUUGCGGAAUGGACCUCGACGCCCGACGAAGAGGUACAGGAGACCACUCUCCCCGGCAAGGAAACAAGCCACAACUGGAUCAUGUACUUUGAUGGUGCCUUCUCGCUGGAAGGCGCCGGUGCUGGUGUGCUUCUUGUCGCACCCACCGAAGAGCACCUCAAGUAUGUCAUCUAGAUGCACUUCCCCCGGGAGAUGUCAACCAACAACACCGCCGAGUACGAAGGUUUGCUUGCCGGUCUUAGGAUCGCGGCAGACCUCGGAGUUAAAAAGCUCAUCGUCAGGGGAGACUCAUAGCUCGUCGUCAGGCAAAUCAACAAAGAUUAUCAAAGCCCGUUGAUGGAAGCUUACGUAGAUGAGGUGAGGAAACUGGAGGAGCGCUUUGACGGUAUACAAGCGGAGCAUGUCCCUUGGGCGGAGAACGACAUCGCCGACUACCUAUCAAAGCGCGCUGCCCUCAAGCUACCUGUGGAACCAGGUACUUUUGUGCUUCAGUUAACUCAACCAUCCGUGGAGCCGUCGACCAGGCAGAACAAGCGGAGGAAGCUAGUCCCUAGCAAGUACUUCCCCACCAAGCUCCCCUGAUCCACCGGCGAAGAUGUUGUCAUGGAUGCCGAUCCUGCAGCAGGACAGCCGACUCCGGCAGGACCUCAGGUCAUGGCCGUGGAGAUGGCCGCUCCCGUGGCAGAAGAGAUGCCUUUGGUCCUUGUCGUCGAGCCACAGGCUCCGGCAUGGGCGCAACACACCGCCCGAUUCCUUCAAAAGGGAGAGCUUCCUGAGGAGCAGGAAGAGGCAGAAAGAGUAGCCCGCCGGUCUGCUCUGUACCAAUUCGUUGAUAACGUAUUGUACAAAAAAAGACCGAAUGGGGUGAAAUUGAAGUGCAUCUCCCAGGAGGAAGGACUAAAGCUGUUGGCAGAGAUACAUGGAGGCAUAUGUGGCUCCCACAUAGGGUCGAGGGCCCUUGACGGCAAGGCCUUCUGGCAAGGUUUCUUUUGGCCCAUCGCCCUCCAGGAUGCGAUGGCACUAGUAACCAAGUGUGAAGCAUGCCAGUUCCAUUUGAAGAAGCUCCAUCAACCAGAUCAAGCCCUGCAAACUAUUCCUCUCUCCUGGCCCUUCUCGGUCUGGGAGCUCAACAUAUUGGGCCCCUUCCCUCGUGCUGUCGGGGGCUUUGAGUACUUGUAUGUCGCAAUCGACAAGUUCACAAAGUGGCCAGAGGUGGAAGCAGUGAGGAAGGUGACGGCGCAGUCAACCAUCAAGUUCUUCAAGGGACUAGUGUUCCGUUUUCGGGUGCCCAACAGGAUCAUCACCGACAAUGGCACAUAGUUCACAGGCCAUGCCUUCAUGCAAUACAUUGAGGAUCUCGGCAGCAGGGUCUGUUUUGCUUCCGUGGCACAUCCAUGGAGCAAUGGCCAAGCGGAGAGAUCAAAUGCUGAAGUCUUGCGAGGCUUAAGAACGAAGACUUUUGACAAGCUGCGCAAAAGUGGAAGACGCUGGAUUGAUGAGUUGCCGGCAGUUCUUUGGUCGAUUAGAACGACGCCAAAUCAAGCCACCGGCCAGACACCCUUUGCCCUGGUUUACGGGGCAGAAGCAGUUCUCCCCACGGAACUCAUAUACGGGUUACCUCGAGUGCUCUCUUAUGAUGAGCUUGAGCAAGAGCGACUGCGACAAGAUGACGCAACGCUCCUUGAGGAAGAUCGUCUCCGGGCGGCUGUGAGAGCAGCACGCUACCAGCAAGCCUUGUGCCGCUACCAUAGCCGCAAGGUUCAUGCCCGGAGCUUUGAGGAAGGCGACCUUGUUCUUCGGCAUGUUCAGUCGACCAAGAAUUCCAACAAGUUGACACCAAACUGGGAAGGCCCUUAUCGGGUAACACGAGUCACCAGGCCCGGCGCAGUCCGGCUGGAGACUGAAGAUGCCAUUCCAGUGAGCAACUCCUAGAACAUCGAGCAUCUCUGCAAGUUUUACCCAUAAGGCGCGGCUGCCGGGCCUCCUGGCAAGCCACCCUUUUGUACAAGCCUUGCCGGCAAGGCAUGUAACCCUUUCUACAAAGCUAGGCGCAGACCCUUGAGUCUCCUCCUUGGUUAGGGUUGAUAGUGCUUAGUGGCGGCUAACCCCUAGCUUAGAGGUCGAGUGCGCAUCUCUCUGUUCUUCUCUGUCUUCUUUGGUUCACAGGACACAUAAAUAUCCCUACCGAGCUAUUUUGGACGAAAGGGGAUGGACCGGCGUCCGAGCCCCGGCAAGCCAAGGUUGCCGGGGGCUGCGAAGACAACGAUCCAUCCGCGGCAAGACGAAGUUGCCAGGGGCUGUAGACCUAGAUAAGUUCUCUAUCCUCUAUCAUGCAUUUCGUUAUGGACUGGGAUACAUGAAACCCCAUUCUAUCUCUGAGCUACCGUGCUCCCCUCUUUUCGGCACCCAAGGAUUAUCCCCUGGGUCCGAAUUUGGUCGUAGCCGCGGCAGCGGGGAAGAGGAACGAGGAUCCUAAGCCCACCUCAUCCCUGCCUCUGCCAAGGGCGUGAGAAAGGUCGAGCGAAGUGGGGAGACGACAAGGCCUGUUGCCGGGCAAAAAAAGUUUAUCUUAAAGAUAACGAGGAUUCACUCCUUGUCGUGGGUUCUGCCUGCGAACGAAAAACCCGGCAAACAUCCCUUUUUCAUUAAAAAAACAUCCCGUACAGGUACAGUUCAUACGAAAUGAAAAACAUGAGCAAGGGGAUUACAAGUUAUAAAGAUUAACAAAGGCCCGAGGGUUUACAAGACUAAAAAGAUAAGGUGCCCGUAAUCCCUUUCUUGUCCCUCUCCUCAGGAAAUGGAACAAGAAAGCAGAAGGGCAAAAGGGGUGCCUAGGCGAGCUACGAGUGGCAGAGGACACCAAGAGAACAUCUCGGUGGCUGUCCAAGGGCUGGAUGGUGAUGGCGGCGCCGGAGGAAGAGCUCGAAGGCGAGGCGGCAGGACGUCAAUACGCGACGAAGGCGUCGAUGCCCGCAUACUCUGACUUGACAGCCUUGCCGCUCGCCCUCUUCCUCUUCCACGCCUCCCCACGCCAGCCGCCAAGGAGGCGACCCCGAGAAGUUCAAGGAGCCGGCGACAUAGAUGAUGGGGUCGCCGGUGCCACCCGGAGUGGCGCCCGACACCUAGUCGGACCCGUCAUCCUGCCGCCCGCUACCCUCGUCGUUGCUGCCACUGUCCUCCUCAUUACCCUCGCUCGAGGAGGAAUCGUCAUUGUCAGAGGAGCUCUCCAUGCAGCACCUCACGCGAGUCCCGAAGUGCCCGAAGAUCUUGACGGAGAGGAGGCCACCCUCCAUUAGUUUGAAAUGGAGAGUGAGCCCCUCCGUCAAGCUAUGGAGGCAAGCGAAGGUCUUCCACGCUCGGUGGAGAAAUAUGACGUGAGGGGCGGAGAACUCGACGUUGGCCCAUGUGCCACUGUUCCCACAACCCCUCAUAUGCAGCCGCAACGCCUGUGGCGGAUCCAGCUCCAUCUCCUGAGCAAUUGCAAUCGGAAGGCGAAGGCGACGGCGCGAUGGCUGGCGGAGCCUGACGAAGAAUUCGCAAGGGUUGUCCCCGACGUGUCCCUCCAUUGGAGGAGGGGCUGCUGACGGAGGCGAGGCUAAUCUGCCGCCCCAUUCUCCUCUCCCUCGAGCACCACGACGUCCUCGACCUCGCCCCCUCCCCCUUCUUCUAGCGGCCGGUGAUAUCUACUACACAACCUUCUUCUUGUAGACGUUAUUGGGCCUGCAAGUGCACAGGUUUGUAGGACAGUAGCAAAUUUCCCUCAAGUGGAUGACCUAAGGUUUAUCAAUCCGUAGGAGGCAUAGGAUGAAGAUGGUCUCUCUCAAACAACCCUACAACCAUAUAACAAAGAGUCUCUUGUGUCCCCAACACACCCAAUACAAUGGUAAUUUGUAUAGGUGCACUAGUUCGGCGAAGAGAUGGUGAUACAAGUGCAAAAUAGAUAGUAGAUAAAGGUUUUUGUAAUCUGAAAUUAUAAAAACAGCAAGGUAACAAGUGGUAAAAGUGAGCGUAAAAGGUAUUGCAAUGGUAGGAAACAAGGCCUAGGGUUCAUACUUUCACUAGUGCAAGUUCUCUCAACAAUAAUAACAUAGAUAGAUCAUAUAACAAUCCCUCAACAUGCAACAAAGAGUCACUCCAAAGCCACUAAUAGCGGAGAACAAACGUAGAGAUUAUGGUAGGGUACGAAACCACCUCAAAGUUAUUCUUUCGGAUCGAUCUAUAAAAGAGUUCGUACUAGAAUAACACCUUAAGACACAAAUCAACCAAAACCCUAAUGUCACCUAGAUACUCCAUUGUCACCUCAAGUAUCCGUGGGCAUGAUUAUACGAUAUGCAUCACACAAUCUCAGAUUCAUCUAUUCAACCAACACAAAGUACUUCAAAGAGUGCCCCAAAGUUUCUACCGGAGAGUCAAGAAUGUGUGCCAACCCCUAUGCAUAGGUUCAUGGGCGGAACCCGCAAGUUGGUCACCAAAACAUACAUCAAGAGGCACAUGAUAUCCCAUUGUCACCACAGAUAAGCACGGCAAGACAUACAUCAAGUGUUCUCAUAAAAGACUCUAUCCGAUAAGAUAACUUCAAAGGGGAAAACUCAAUUCAUCACAAGAGAGUAGAGGGGGAGAAACAUCAAGAUCGUGCCAUAGAGGGAACACGAGAGAGAACACGAGAGAGAGAGAGAGAGAGAGAGAGAGAGAGAGAGAGAGAUCAAACACAUAGCUACUGCUACAUACCCUCAGCCCCGAGGGUGAACUACUCCCUCCUCGUCAUGGAUAGCGUCGAGAUGAUGAAGAUGGCCACUGGUGAAGGAUCCCCCCCCCCUUCGGCAGGGUGCCGGGAAGGGCUCCCAAGAGGUUUUUGGUGGCUACAGAGGCUUGCGGCGGCGGAGCUCCCGAUCUAUCUUCUUCGUGGAUUUUUUAGGGUACGUGGGACUAUAUAGGCGAAAGAAGUCGGUCGGGGGGUGCUCGAGGGGUCCACGAGACAAGAGGGCGCGCCCCUGUAAGGGGGGCGCGCCCUCCUAUCUCGUGGGCUCCUCGAGGAUCUUGUGACUUGAUCUCCAAGCCUCCAGGAUGAUAUUCUUCCAAAAAAUCACGAUGCCGAAGGUUUUAUUCCGUUUGGACUCCGUUUGAUAUUCCUUUUCUUCGAAAUACUGAAACAGGCAAUAAAACAGCAAUAUGGGCUGGGCCUCCAGUUAAUAGGUUAGUCCUAAAAGUAAUAUAAAAGUGUAUAAUAAAGCCCAUAAUCAUUCAAAACAGGUAAUAUAAUAGCAUGGAACAAAUAAAAAUUAUAGAUACGUUGGAGACGUAUCAGCCGGCUCCGCCACUGCGAGCUCUUGGGGAGGAGCGAUGCGCUGUCUGGCCAAAACCCUCGCCGCCACCGAUGAAGCGUCGCCACGCCCCCUCGCCAUGGCAGAAGAAAGGAGGAAGCAGGAAUGGGGAGAGGCAGACGGCAGAGGGUUGAGAGGCACCAUUCCUCCCGCUCCCCUCUUUAUAAAGGGGCGGGGGCGAGGCUCGGCCGCCCCCUCUCAGCCAAUCCGGCCCGUUGAAGUGACAGCAAGCGGGGCGGUCGACCGUCCUCCCCGCUCCAUUGAAGGCGCGUGGGAAUCGACCCACGCACGCGCAUGACUUCUCACGUCCCGUGCGCCUAUCAUUCGCCCUGCGUCGUGCAUGCAGCGAUCGUGGCACGAGGGAUAGGCGCAGUGGGACGCGUGGAGCGACGGUUCCCAAGCGAGGGCAGUAAAUGAGCAGCGGUCCUGCGGUCUCGAAGAGGCACGCGAGCCGCCUCAUUACUGUCCACCACGGGAUGACGCCAGCAUGCUUCCGUCAUGGCGCGCACGGCCCCCACAUCGCACGUUCAAUGUUGGUCGUGGAGAAGCGCAGCGGACGGAGCAGUUACCGCGGUAAAAAUCCGCCGUAACUGCCCGCGCACGGUUCUAGGCCUGGCCUAACAACGUGUUGCGCUUAUGUAUGGCCCAGGCCCGGGGGCUCCUGUCGGUGUACAAAAGUAGGGGCUCUGCUUUUCACCCCUUUACUUGUGCACGGGCAGUCAGAGCCACCCGCCAUGGCCACGCAUAACAGGGCAGGGAAGGGAAGCCGGAGAGAAGCCGAAGGCACAAGACAAACAAAGCAAUGACAAGGACCAAGGCCACAGAGAUCGGAUGGACGAAGCAGGUUUCCCCGCCAAGGACCCUUGCCGGGGCAGCCUCAGAGGCCCCGGCAAGACCCUUACCGGGGAGCUCGUCCCCAACAGCCGAGCGAGACACCUUUGAGCCCACCAACGCUAGACAAACGCAUUGGGACAGGGCUCGGGAGGCACCUCCGUGGUGGCAUGCAGAUCUUUGUGAAGACAAAGAAUAGUCAAGAUCAAAUGAGGAUAGGAAGGCAACAAUCCUCACCAAGACCCCCGGCCAGAUCCUUGCCGGGGACGACAACACGCCGCGGCAAGACCCUUGCCGGGCCACCCGGCAAGACCCUUCCUGGGCCACCCGACAAGACCCUCGCCAAGCGCGCCAGCAGGACCACUGCCAGGCCCACGCUAGCCAAGUCUCCGCCGCUGUUCGCAUGCAGCUGCCGACCCAACCAGCUGGGCAGGCACCUGCGUGGCAACAUGCAGCCCUUCGUGGAGGCCCCACCACCACGCCACCUCAGUUGCCUGCCUGCCUACAUGGCACCGCAUGCACCGCUGGCCAGGGCGCGUGUCGAAGCGAAGAGGAGCGGCGACGGAUGGGAUGGGCCUCGCUCCCGUCCCCGAUAAAGUGAGGGACACCUAAGCCUCACAAUAAAUGCGCUUUGUCCUGUAAUACCAGUGAUAAGCUCACAAUGCUGUAGCACUUUCCACCUCCUGUGUGCCACUGUGGCAGCCCCUUUCGCCUACAAAAGGAGGCCCAUGGCACACUGGAGAAGGAUUCGGCUCUCUCGAACCUAGCAGCACCUAGAGCUAGUUCAAGAGCUCCAGAACACUAAAUAUAUCCACCAAAGCAGGAUCGUAGGGUUUUACGCAUCUUUGCGGCCCGAACCUGGGUAAAUCCCCUUUGUGCUAUCUGCUAGUCCUGCUCUUCUCAUGAUCCCCACACCCCACAACUGUAGUAGGGAUUCGAGUGAUCCCAUAGGUGUCGUUUCCCACCGACACUCUUGCUGACUGCAGAGGUCUUGUGAUCUUGGGGCUCAACUUUCUGAGUUGAACAAGAAUCAAAUCAGCCUCAAUCUUGAUCUUGAACUGGCGAAGAAGAACCUCAAGACUGCUCAAGAAGAAACAACCAUCAUGGGAGGUAACCGAACGACACCUGUCUGCCUCGUGGCUUGCGCUUUUCGGUGUUUUUUCUUUCUGUCUCUUUGAACCGAGUGACUUCACAUGAACAGAUGUGCGUAGUGAAAACCGUCAGCUUCAAGCUUGUCUGAAGAGUGUUGUUUCUUUAGAGAAAAUGAAGGAAGCUCUGGAGAAGAAGGAUCUGGAUCUUGCUGCUGCUCAGAAGGAUGCGCGAGAGAAGACAACGCUUGCGGACAAGAAGCUGGCUUCAGUCGGUAAGUUGGAAGAGGAGAACUCGAAGCUGAAGACUGCCAUCUCUGAAGCCAAUCGGGAAGUUGAGCAACUGAAGAAGGACAAGGAGAAUCUGACCAAUGAAGUCGGAAGCCUUAAAGCCAAGACGGGUGAGCUGGAGUUCUAUAUGGGACAACUUGCUGCAAAACUGGUCCUGAAGCUCGAAGGUAUCAUCAUUCGACUGGUUAGUUGUCGUCGAUUGGAAUGUCUUGUUAUAUUGUUGACUCACUAUUUUUCCUGAUUGUGCAGAACUUUGCCAGGACUUUGAGGCUGAGACUGGGCAGGUCGAGACGGGUCUCGACCCCAUCAAUUGUCCUGUGAAAGAUGACGUUGCGAUGAACUUGCUGCAGUUGGAAUCACUCAUGGACAGUGUUGUCGCUUAUCUGGCUCGACUGAAGGCGGCGAUCACUCGGGUUGAUGCUGAACUCUGGCCCCAGGUGGAACUUUCACAAGAUCUCGAGUCGCUGAUGACUCGACUGAAUCAGAUCCCUGGCCAAGUGGAGGGAUGGAAGAAGUCAUCUACUCGUUGUGGCACUGACGUUGCCCUGUCAAUGGUUCGAGUGCACUUCAAAGACGCCAGAUAAGACAAGCUAGCGGCCCUCAAGGUUGCGAAUACUAAGAAGCACUCCUUCGAGUCCUUCAUGGACACCUUUCUUGAGGCUGCCACUCAUAUUGCAGACAGCAUUGAUCUAGACAGUUUUUGCGAUCCAACCAACCCUUCCCCUAACGAGUGACCGAAAAACAUUAUGCACCACCUUUAUUUGCCCCAGUAUGCCGAGUGAUAGUGUAAUCGUUAAACUCUUUCGGGCCUAAUGCCUGAGAAAUUUAAUCCGUGGUCUGGAACUUUUGGAUUUAUCUGAACUUGGUUUAUCUUUGAAUAUGUUGUGUUUAUCUUCGAGUGGAACCUGUUCUUCACUCGGAUUAGUUCUUGUACUUUUGAUGCAGUUCUGAGGAAGAGGUCAGAGUCGACCUGUACCUCAUCGUCCUUGCGGAUCGGGUUGGAGUAGCCGUUGGAUGAGCCUUUGGCAGCAUUGAUCAGCUCAUCAGCAUGGCACUCAGCAAUGUUCUUGACGUUCCUGAAAGCGGUUCGCCUUGGCAUCAGCAUUGGAUGAGCCCUUGGCAGCAUUGAUCAGCUCAUUAGCAAGGCACUCAACAAUGGUCUUGACGUUCCUGAAAGCAGUUCGCCUUGGCAUCAGCUAUUGGAUGAGCCCUUGGCAGCAUUGAUCAGCUCAUCAGCGAGGCAUUCAGCAAUGAUCUUGACAUUCCCGAAAGUGGUUCUCCUUGGCGACAAGCUCAAUCUCAUCCUUCUUCUUGAUGGCGCAGCUCUGAGGAGGGGGUCAUGGUCGACCUGCACCUCGUUGUCCUUGUGGAUCGGGAUGGAGCGUAUGGCUAAGUCCCCGAGUGAGAAGAUCGGUUUUCACUCGGAAUGUAUUUUCAAACUUAGGCGAGUACUGGAUUGCAGCUAAGCCCCCGAGUGGGAGGAUUGCUCACCACUCGGUAGGAUUUUUCAAACUUAGGCGAGUACUGGACUACAGCUAAGCCCCAGAGUGGGAGGAUUGCUCACCACUCGGUAGGAUUUUUCAAACUUAGGCGAGUACUAGACUGCAGCUAAGCCCCCGAGUGGGAGGAUUGCUCACCACUCUGUAGGAUUUUUCAAACUUAGGCGAGUACUGGAUUGCAGCUAAGCCCCUCGAGUGGGAGGAUUGCUCAACACUCGGUAGGNNNNNNNNNNNNNNNNNNNNNNNNNNNNNNNNNNNNNNNNNNNNNNNNNNNNNNNNNNNNNNNNNNNNNNNNNNNNNNNNNNNNNNNNNNNNNNNNNNNNNNNNNNNNNNNNNNNNNNNNNNNNNNNNNNNNNNNNNNNNNNNNNNNNNNNNNNNNNNNNNNNNNNNNNNNNNNNNNNNNNNNNNNNNNNNNNNNNNNNNNNNNNNNNNNNNNNNNNNNNNNNNNNNNNNNNNNNNNNNNNNNNNNNNNNNNNNNNNNNNNNNNNNNNNNNNNNNUAGGAUUUUUCAAACUUAGGCGAGUACUGGACUGCAGCUAAGCCCCCGAGUGGGAGGAUUGCUCACCACUCGGUAGGAUUUUUCAAACUUAGGCGAGUACUGGACUGCAGCUAAGCCCCCGAGCGGGAGGAUUGCUCACCACUCGGUAGGAUUUUUCAAACUUAGGCGAGUACUGGACUGCAGCUAAGCCCCUGAGUGGGAGGAUUGCUCACCACUCAGUAGGAUUUUUCAAACUUAGGCGAAACGGAUUCACAGCUAAGCCUCCGAGUGAGAGGCUUGCUCACCACUCGGUAUGAUUUUUUAACUUGGGCGAAAUGGAUUCGCAGCUAAGCCUCCGAGUGAGAGGCUUUCUCACCACUCGGUAGGAUUUUUUCAACUUAGGCAAAACGGAUUCACAGCUAAGGCACCCACUGGGGGAUUUACAACAUGUAAAAAAGGAACAACAAUCAUUCGAGAGACUGUAAAAUCAUGUCUUUGAUAAUCAAACUAGAAGGUAUUUCUUAUUGCAUCUCAAUAGUCUGAAUGCUUAAGAGUAAAAGGGGCGGAGCAGCUCCGCUUUCCAAGCGCGUGGCUCGUCUUUAUUGUGCUCGACGUUGAAAAGAUGGUAUGCUCCAUUGUGGAGCAGUUUGGUGACGACGAAGGGGCCUUCCCAAGCAGGAGCGAGCUUGUGUGGUUUAUGCUGGUCCACCCGAAGAACCAAGUCUCCCUCUUGAAAUGCCCGACCCCUCACGUUUCUAGAGUGGAAUCAACGCAGGUCUUGCUGAUAAAUGGUCGACCGGAUCAAGGCCAUCUCUCUUUCUUCUUCCAGGAGAUCAACUGCAUCUUGCCUAGCCUAUUCUGCUUCAUCUUCUGAGAAAAGUUCGACUCGGGGUGCAUUGUGAAGCAAAUCACUCGGGAGUACAGCUUCAGCUCCGUAGACUAAGAAGAAUGGAGUUCAGCCAGUCGAUCGAUUAGGAGUUGUCCUCAAUCCCCAAAGUACUGAUGGAAAUUCAUCGACCCAGUCGCCUGCUGCAUGCUUGAGGUCACACAUCAAUCGGGGUUUCAGUCCUUUGAGAAUCAAUCCAUUUGCUCUUUCAGCCCGUCCAUUCGACUGAGGAUGGGCGACUGAAGCGUAGUCGACCCUAGUGCCUUGGGAAGCACAAAAGGAUCUGAACUCAUCAGAAUCGAACUUUGACCCAUUAUUGCUGAUGAUGCUGUGUGGAACACCAUAUCUAAAUGUUAAUUCUCUGAUGAAACUAACAGUUGUACUCGCUUCAAGGUUUUUAAUGGGCUUGGCUUCAAUCCAUUUGGUAAACUUGUUGACUGCUAUGAGCACAUGGGUAAAUCCACUCCUGCCAGUCCUCAAAGGUUCAACCAUAUCUAAUCCCCAGACAGCAAAAGGCCAGACGAGUGGAAUAGUCUUCAGAGCUGACGCGGGUUUAUGGGACAUGUUGGAGUAAAACUGACAACCUUCACAUUUGUCUACUAUUUCUUUCGCCAUCUCGUUGGCAUGUGGCCAGUAAAAUCCGGCUCGGUAUGCUUUGGCCAUGAUGGUCCAAGAGGACGCAUGGUGACCACAGGUCCCCGAGUGAAUAUCAUUGAGGAUCAUUCGGCCUUCUUCUGGCGUGAUGCAUUUCUGGCAGACUCCAGUUACACUUUCUCUGAACAACUGUCCUUUUAUCACAGUAAAGGCUUUGGAUCGUCGGACGAUCUGUCGAGCCUCUUCUUCAUCCUCUGGAAGUUCUUUCCUAAGAAUGUAUGCAAUGUAUGGCACUGUCCAGUCGGGAGUGACGACCAAAACCUCCAUGAUCAAGUCGACCACGGCUGGGACUUCGACUUCAGUCGGAUCCGUGUCACUCUUAGGUUGUGGGGGCUCUUCAGUGAAAGGAUGUUCCUGAACUAAUGGUGAGUGAAUAUGUUCCAGAAACACAUUGCUGGGAAUGGUCUCUCUCUUGGAUCCUAUCUUUGCCAAUUCAUCUGCAGCUUGAAUUUUUCAGUCGGGGUAUAUGGUGAAGCUCCAACCCCUCAAACUUCUUUUCUAACUUCCUUACUCCGUUGCAAUAACCAGUCAUAGCCGGGCUCCUGACAUCCCACUCUUUCAUCACUUGAUUAACCACCAAAUCUGAGUCACCGUAGACCAUGAGGUGAUAGACGCCAAGUGAAAUGGCCAUACGCAACCCGUAUAAAAGUGCUUCAUAUUCAGCUUCAUUGUUGGAGGAACCAAAAUGAAUCUGGAGAACAUAGAUGAGCUUGUCUCCAUGGGGGGAUACCAAUACUACCCCAGCAUCAGAACCAUUCAGCAUCUUGGAGCCAUCGAAGAACAUGGUCCAAUGCUCCGAGUGAACUUGAGUCGGCAGUUGCUGCUCAAUCCACUCGGCAAGGAAAUCUGCAAUUGCUUGGGACUUGAUUGCUUUCUUUGCUUCAAACUGGAUAUCCAAUGGAAGGAGUUCAAUCACCCAUUUUGCCACUCGACCAGUUGCAUCUCUGUUGUUCAAAAUUUUAGAUAAUGUUGCAUCGCUGACGACUGUAAUGGAGUGAUCAAAGAAAUAGUGUGCAACCUUCUUCAUGGUCAUGUAGAUUCCAUAAACAAACUUAUUAUAAUGCGGAUAUCACUGCUUGGAUGGAGUUAAAACUUCAGAAAGAUAAUACACUGGGCGCUGAACUUUAUAGGAUUUUCCUUCUUCUUCCCACUCGACCGUGAGUACUGUACUGAUAACUUGUCCAGUGGCUGCAAUGUAAAGCUGUAAAGGCUCUUUGCUGAUUGGUGCAGCAAGCACCGGCUGGGUGGAAAGCAGGGCGUUAAGCACUGCAAACGCUGCGUUAGCUUCAUCAGUCCACUCGAAUUUAUCAGAUUUCUUCAUCAAUUGGUAAAGAGGUAAUGCCUUUUCACUAAGACGAGAAAUGAAUCGACUCAAGGCGUCCAAACAACUAGUAAGCUUCUGAACGUCAUGCACACGCAUAGGGCGUUUCAUUCGGAGGAUGGCACCAACUUUCUCUGGGUUUGCGUCGAUCCCCCAUUCAGAAACAAGGAAACCGAGUAGCUUUCCACCUGGGACCCUGAAUGUGCACUUCGACGGAUUAAGCUUGAUAUCAUACCUUCUUAAGUUGGCAAAGGUUUCUGCGAGGUCGGUCAGCAGGUCGGAACCCUUACGCGACUUGACCACAAUGUCAUCCAUAUAUGCUUCCACAUUCCGACUGAUUUGAGUGAGCAGGCACUUUUGAAUCAUCCUCAUAAAUGUGGCGCCAGCAUUUUUGAGACCGAAUGGCAUGGUGACGUAGCAAAAGCACCCGAAUGGAGUGAUGAAAGCCAUUUUUAUUUCAUCGGGACCAUACAGUCGGAUCUGAUGAUACCCGGAAUAUGCAUCUAGAAAAGACAAGCGCUCACACCCCGCAGUCGAGUCGACAAUUUGAUCGAUGCGGGGGAGAGGGAAAUGAUCUUUUGGGCAGGCCCGAUUGAUAUGCUUGAAAUCGAUGCACACACGAAGUGAAUCAUCCUUCUUAGGGACCAUGACUACAUUGUAAGCCACUCAGAGUGGUAGAUUUCACGGAUGAACUCCGCUGCUAGGAGCCGAGCCACUUCCUCGCCAAUUGCUUUUCUCUUCUGCACGGCGGACCGUCGAAGAUGCUUUUUCAUGGGUUUUGCCUUCGGAUCAACACGCAAACGGUGCUCAGCCAGUCCCCUGGGUACACCCGGCAUGUCAUAAGGUUUCCAUGCAAAGAUGUCCUAGUUCUCACGGAGGAACUGGAUGAGCGCUUCUUCCUAUUUGCUAUCGAGUGUUGUUGAGAUAUGAGUCGGUGCAGCAUUGGGAUCGGUCGGGUGAAUAUGAAUCGGCUUUGUUUCUCCAGAUGACUGAAAUGCAGAAUCUGUAGCAGGCUUCUUGGCUCGUAACAAAUCACUCGGAUCUGCAUUUUUCUGAUACUCUUGUAAUUGAACUGCUGCCAUUUGUGCAUCGGCGAUUUUAGAACCCUUCUGGAAGCAUUCCUCUGCCUUCUGCCAAUUGCCAGUGAUUGUGAUCACUCCCCUGGGGCCAGGCAUCUUCAGCUUGAGGUACACGUAACAUGGCUGAGCCAUAAAACAUGCAUACGCAGGGCUACCCAGAAUAGCAUGAUAAGCACUCUGGAAAUCCACUACUUCAAAUGUCAACUUUUCCUUACGGUAAUUCUUGGAAUCACCGAAAACCACGUCAAGGGUGAUCUUGCUAAGUGAUUCGGCUUUCUUUCCAAGGAUAACGCCAUGAAAACUCAUAUUGCUUUCGCUAAGCUUGGACAUCGGAAUGCCCAUCCCUUUUAAGGUUUCAGCAUAAAUGAUAUUCAAGCCACUACCAACAUCCAUUAGCACUUUGGUCAGUCGGGUGCAUUCGACAACUGGGUUGACCACCAACACUUGCCUCCCACGAGUGGCUAUACACGUCGGGUGAUCAGACUAGACGAAUGUGAUGGUUGUUUGUGACCAUUUCAGGUAUGUGGUCGUCGUUGCUGGGGCAAUCAUAUUUACCUCUCUGUUGAUAACUUUCAAUUGACUUUUGCUCUCAACAUCAGCAAAAAUCACCAAGGUGGAAUUGACCUUAGGAUAACCAUCAUCUUCAUCUUCGUCCUCGUCCUUGUCUGACUCCUUUUCCUUCUCACUGGGUUGUUUCUCUCGGAAUUGCUGGAUGAGGAGUGGACAUUGUCGAGUGGUGUGCUUAGGAUAAAUCAGAUUACCCUCUUCAUCCUUCUUCGUAUGAAUGUGACAUGGUAAAUCCAACACAUGAUUCCCCGCUUGAUCUUUUACCUUCUUAGGGGUCCAGGGCCCCUUAGGUUUCCCUUUAAACUUUCCUUGAACUACUGCCGCAAUUUCACCAGGCGCUGCAGGUUCAGCCUUACGUUUCUGUUUCCGAUUGGAAUUUCCUCCACCGGCGUCCUGGCCGACUAGUUUACUAUUUCCACUGUGGAGUUGAUCCUCUUCUUCCCCGUUAGCAUACUGGGUGGCUAUUUACAUCAUCCGAGUCAGGGACAUAUCUCUAGUCCGACUGAACUUCAGGACCAGCUCUCGGUAUUUAACGCCUUCCUUGAAGGCACACACUGCUUGGUGCUCAGAUACAUUUCCACUGUGUGAUGCAAAGUGGUCCACCUCUGAAUGUAAUCCCUUAGAGUCUCAUUCGGUUUCUGCACACAAUGCUGCAAUUCUGUUAAUCCUAUUGGCUGCUUGCAAGUACCCUCAAAAGUUCUGACAAAUACUCGGGCAAGCUCCUCCCAACUGAAUAUACUUCUCGGGGCUAACUGAGUCAACCACAGUCUGGCUGACCCUUCCAACAUCAGAGGAAGAUGCUUCGUGGCCACUUCAUCAUUUCUGCCACCAAUCUGCACAUCCACUCGGUAAUCCUCAAGCCAAGUUUCAGGCUUGGACUCUCUAGUGAACUUGCUGACUCUAGUCGCCAACCUGAAGUUGGGAGGAAUCACUGCAACCGUGAUGGCUCUGCUGAAACAUUCUGCGCCCGAAACAUGAACUCUGCUUCCAGUCAGAUGAUCUCUAUCAAGGUCCUCCCUCUGCGCUCUGUUCCGGUCGACUAGACUUUGAACAAGAAUAGAUCUCGCAUCAAAGCCUGGCUCUCUUGGGUCGACCGGUACUCUGCGCUUGCCACUGUGAAGGCGUCUGUCAUCGUAUUGCCGAGGCACAUAUGACCCACUCCUCGGAGGAGGUGUGGGAAGUCGACGACGGUCGUCAUGGUCGAGUCGGUGAUCAUACUGUCCAUGGUUCCUAUACUGAUCCUGUUGAUGCCCACGACCUUCACGCCACAGGGGCGAUCUUGGGCUGUGGGCCGACUGAACUGUAUCCGCCACCACAGACCUACUAUGAAUCCUAUUCCGCGACUGAGACACCACUGUGUUCCGUUCUCCUACUGCCCAGAGUAAGGCCUGGAUCUGCAUCAAACCUCUGCCAGCCUCUGACUAGGAAGGCUGAAUUGACUCUGCUAUACGGGCCGCAGUUGUGAGAUUUUGAAUCGGAGUGCGGUAUACCUCAAGUUGAGGCGGAAAAAGCUGUCAUCGACUAGACUUGGGGAUCCGCUCCCGAGCACGCUCAUCGAGUGUGUGCUGAAGGUUCUCCAGUCGAGUGCGAUCAGCCAAAUUGGCCAGGCGCACCUCUUUCAAGGCCCGAGCCUCGGGGGUUUCCCCAACGAUGGGCGUGUGGAGUGCAUCCAUGUUGCGGUGACGAAGUUCUUCUCUCUGCUGUGAACAGAGAGGUUCGGGACAGUACUCCUCGUGAACGCGUGACGGAUCGCCCCCACCAUCACCGCCGUCAUCACGGCGGAAGCCAAGCGGACUACACGAUCCGUCGACCAUCAAAACUUUAGCUACAGGGUCGCUGCUAUCGCACUCGGAUGCGGUCCCAAUGGAGCCAGUCGAUAGGUCGAACAGGCCGUAGAGAGUUUUGUCGGGCUCGAUUGCCGUGACUUGAUGGGUGGCCAAAUGAUGAGCCACCGCAUGUUUCACCCAUCGCAGAAGCCGCAACCGACCAGAUCACUUGCCACGACGAACAGCAGGGAGAGAAGACACCACGGGAGCCGACCGAUACUGGGUCGACGGCUGCCGGAGAAGGACGCCGCGUGCGCACGCGCGAAAGUGCGUCGCCCCUCAGAUGGGUGAUACGUCCAUUUUGCGUCAUGCUUUUAUAUCAAUAUUUAUUGCAUUAUGGGCUGUUAUUACAUAUUAUAUAUCAAUACUUAUGGCUAUUCUCUCUUAUUUUACAAGGUUUACCAUGAAGAGGGGGAAUGCCGGCAGCUGGAAUUCUGGCUGGAAAAGGAGCAAACGUUGGAAACCUAUUCUGCACAACUCCAAAUAUCCUGAAACUCCAUGAAACAACCUUUUGGAAUUAAUAAGAAUUUCUGAGUGAAAGAAAUAGGCCAGGGGGCCCACACCUUGUCCAGGAGAUAGGGGGCGCACCCCCCUAUAGGGCGCCCCUAUCUCCUGGGCCCCUGGUGGGCCUCCGGCAUCCAUCCUCUGCUAUAUCAUCACAUUUACGCUGGAAAAAAUUGUGGGCAAGUUUACGGGACGAAACUCUGCCGCCACGAGGCGGAACCUUGGCGGAAUCAAUCUAGGGCUCUGGCGGAGCUGUUCUGCCAGGGACACUUCCCUCCGAGAGGGGGAAAUCAUCACCAACGUCAUCACCAACGAUCCUCUCAUCGGGAGGGGGUCAAUCUCCAUCAACAUCUUCACCAGCACCAUCUCCUCUCAAAACCCUAGUUCAUCUCUUGUAUCCAAUCUUGUAUCAAAACCACAAAUUGGUAUAUGUGGGUUGCUAGUACUGUUGAUUACUCCUUGUAGUUGAUACUAAUUGGUUUACUUGGUGGAAGAUCAUAUGUUCAGAUCCUUUAUGCAUAUUAUUACUCCCCUGAUUAUGAACAUGAAUAUGCUUUGUGAGUAGUUACGUUUGUUCCUGAGGACAUGGGAGAAGUCUUGCUAUUAGUAGUCAUGUGAAUUUGGUAUUGGUUCGAUAUUUUGAUGAGAUGUAUGUUGUCUUUUCCUCUAGUGGUGUUAUGUGAACGUUGACUACAUGACACUUCACCAUUAUUUGGGCCUAGAGGAAGGCAUGGGGAAGUAAUAAGUAGAUGAUGGGAUGCUAGAGUGACAGAAGCUUAAACCCUAGUUUAUGCGUUGCUUCGUUAGGGGCUGAUAUGGAUCCAUAUGUUUAAUGAUGUGGUUAGGUUUACCUUAAUACUUCUUUUGUAGUUGCGGAUGCUUGCAAUAGGGGUUAAUCAUAAGUGGGAUGCUUGUCCAAGUUAGGGUAGACCCAAGUUCCGGUCCACCCACAUAUCAAAUUAUCAAAGUACCGAACGCGAAUCAUUUGAGCGUGAUGAAAACUAGCUUGACGAUAAUUCCCAAUGUGUCCUCGGGAGCUCCUUUCUCAUUAUUAGAAAUUGUACAGGCUUAUCCUUUUCUACAUAAAGGAUUGGGCCAUGUUGCUGCACUUUAUUUACUUGUUGCUCGUUACUAUUUAUGUUAUCACAAAACUAUCUAUUACCUACAAUUUCAGUGCUUGCAGAGAAAACCUUACUGAAAACCGUUUAUCAUUUCCUUCUGCUCCUCAUUGGGUUCGACACUCUUACUUAUCGAAAGGACUAUGAUAGAUCCCCUACACUUGUGGGUCAUCAAGACUCUUUUCUGGCGCCAUUGCCGGGGAGUAGCGCUUUUGGUGAGUGGAACUUGGUAAGGAAACAUUUAUAUAGUGUGCUGAAAUUUUCUGUUACUUCUCACUAUGGAAACUAAUCCUUUGAGAGGCUUGUUUGGGGUAUCUUCACCCCAACCAGAAGAGCAAAGAGUUGCUCCUCAACCUACUAAACUUGAUGAAAGUAUUUACUUUGAGAUUCCUUCGGGUAUGAUAGAGAAACUUCUAGCUAAUCCAUUUGGAGGAGAUGGAACAUUGCAUCCCGAUUUACACCUUAUCUUUGUGGAUGAAGUUUGUGGAUUAUUUAAGCUUGCAAGUAUUCCCGAUGAUGUUGUCAAAAGGAAGGUCUUCCCUUUAUAUUUGAAGGGAGAUACAAUGACAUGGAAUAGGCUAUGUGAUGAUACAAGAUCUUGGAAUUAUAAGCGAUUGAAGUAGGAAUUUCACCAGAAGUUCUAUCCUAUGCAUCUUGUUCAUCGUGAUCGUAAUUACAUAUAUAAUUUCUGGCCUCGCGAUGGAGAAAGCAUCGCUCAAGCUUGGGGGAGGCUUAAGUCAAUGUUAUAUUCAUGCCCCAAUCAUGAGCUCUCUCGGGAAAUGAUUAUUCAGAAUUUCUAUGCUCGGCUUUCUCUUGAUAAUCGCAACCUGCUCGAUACUUCCUGUGCUGGUCCUUAUAUGCUGAAGACUAUUGAUUUCAAAUGGGACUUAUUGGAAAGAAUUAAACGCAACUCUGAAGAUUGGGGUUCCAAUGAUGGUAAGGAGUCAGGUAUGACACCUAAGUUUGAUUGUGUUAAAUUAUUUAUGGAUACCGAUGUUUUUCGUGGAUUUAGCGCUAAGUAUGGACUUGACUCUAAGAUAGUAGCUACUUUUGUGAAUCUUUUGCUACUCACGUUGAUCUCCCUAAGGAGAAGUGGUUUAAAUAUAAUUCUCCUGUUGAAGUGAAAGUAGUUGCACCUAUUACAUUCGAAGAAAAGACUAUUACCUAUAGUGAUCAUAUUGUUCCUACUGCUUAUGUUGAGAAACCUCCUUUCCUUGUUAGGAUAAAGGAUCAUGCUAAAGCUUCGACUGUUGUUCGUAAGAGUAAUACUAGGACUUAUACACCUCCUGAGCAAAUUAAUGUUGAACCUAGUAUUGCUAUGGUUAAAGAUCUCUUGGAUGAGGACUUAGAUGGCAUGUUAUUUCUUUCUUGGGUGAGACUGCUAAUAUUGCAAAACCUGAUACUAAGACACAUAGACCUGUCGUAGGCACGCCUGUUAUUUCUGUUAAAAUAGGAGAUCAUUGUUACCAUGGCUUAUGUGAUAUGGGUGCCAGCGCUAGUGCGAUACCUUAUGAUCUUUAUAAAGAAAUUAUGCACAACAUUGCACCCGUUGAACUAGAAGACAUUGAUGUUACUAUUAAGCUUGCUAAUAGGGAUACCAUUAAACCUAUUGGGAUUGUUAGAGAUGUUGAAGUUUUGUUUGGGAAGGUUAAAUACCCUGCUGAUUUUCUUGUUCUUGCUACCCCACAAGAUGCCUUUUGUCCCAUUAUUUUUGGCAGGCCCUUCUUGAAUACUGCUAGUGCCAAGAUUAAUUGUGAAAGGAAUUUUGUUACUGUUGGCAUAGAUGGUAUGUCUCAUGAGUUUAAUUUUGCUAAGUUUAGUAGACAACCUUGUGAAAGGGAACCACCUAGUAAGGAUGAGAUUAUUGGUCUUGCUUCCAUUGUUGUUCCUCCAACUGAUCCUUUAGAACAAUAUUUGCUAGACCAUGAAAACGAUAUGUUUAUGAAGGAAAGGGAAGAAAUAGAUGAAGUGUCCUUAAACAGGAACCUAUGCUGAAACAUAACCUUCUCGUUGAAAUUCUUGGGGAUCCCCCUCCACCCAAGGGUGAUCCCAUGUUUGAACUUAAACCAUUACCUGAUAAUCUUAAGUAUGCUUAUCUUGAUGAAAAAGAAAUAUAUCCUGUUAUUAUUAGUGCUAACCUUUCAGAGAAAGAAGAAGAAAUAUUAUUGAAAACUCUGAAGAAGCACCGUGCAGCUAUUGGAUAUACUCUGGAUGAUCUUAAGGGCAUUAGUCCCACAUUAUGUCAACACAAGAUUUCAGUGGAGAAAGAUGCCAAACCAGUUAGAGAUCCUCAGAGACGAUUAAAUCCCAAGAUGAAGGAAGUGGUAAGAAAGGAGAUACUAAAGCUCCUUGAGGCAGGUAUUAUUUAUCCCGUUGCUGAUAGUGAAUGGGUAAGCCCUGUCCAUUGUGUCCCUAAAAAGGGAGGUAUUACCGUCGUUCCUAAUGAUAAGGAUGAAUUGAUCCCGCAAAGAAUUAUUACAGGUUAUAGGAUGGUAAUUGAUUUCCGUAAGUUGAAUAAAGCUACUAAGAAAGAUCAUUACCCUUUACCUUUUAUUGAUCAAAUGCUAGAAAGGCUAUCCAAACACACACAUUUUUGCUCUCUAGAUGGUUAUUCUGGUUUCUCUCAAAUACCUGUGUCAGCGAAGGAUCAAUCUAAAACUACAUUUACUUGCCCUUUUGGUACUUUUGCUUAUAGACAUAUGCCUUUUGGUUUAUGUAAUGCACCUGCUACCUUUAAAAGAUGCAUGAUGGCUAUAUUCUUUGAUUUUUGUGAAAAGAUUUGUGAUGUAUUCAUGGAUGACUUCUUCGUCUAUGGAUCCUCCUUUGAUGAUUGUUUGAGCAACCUUGAUCGAGUUUUGCAGAGAUGCGAAGACACUUGUCUCGUCCUAAAUUGGGAAAAGUAUCACUUUAUGGUUAAUGAAGGCAUUGUCUUGGGGCACAAGAUCUCCGAGAGAGGUAUUGAAGUUGAUAAAGCCAAAGUUGAUGCUAUUGAAAAGAUGCCAUGUCCCAAGGACAUAAAAGGUAUAAGAAGUUUCCUUGGUCAUGCCGGUUUUUAUAGGAGGUUCAUUAAGGACUUUUCUAAAAUCUCUAGGCCUCUGACUAAUUUAUUGCAUAAAGAUAUCCCUUUUGUCUUUGAUGAUGAUUGUGUAGAAGCUUUUGAAACAGUUAAGAAAGCUUUGAUCACUGCACCUAUUGUUCAGCCACCUGAUUGGAAUUUACCUUUUGAAAUUAUGUGUGAUGCUAGUGAUUAUGAUGUAGGUGAUGUUCUUGGGCAAAGAGUUGAUAAGAAAUUGAAUGUUAUCCAGUAUGCCAGUAAGACUCUUGAUACUGCUCAGAAAAAUUACGCUACUACUGAAAAAGAGUUCUUAUCAGUUGUGUUUGCAUGUGAUAAGUUUAGACCUUAUAUUGUUGAUUCCAAAGUUACUAUUCACACUGAUCAUGUUGCUAUUAAAUAUCUUAUGGAAAAGAAAGAUGCUAAGCCUCGACUUAUUAGAUGGGUUCUCUUGCUCCAAGAAUUUUACUUGCAUAUUAUUGAUAGAAAAGGAGCUGAGAAUCCCGCUGCAGAUAAUUUGUCUAGGUUAGAGAAUGUUCUUGAUAACCCACUGCCUAUUAAUGAUAGCUUCCCUGAUGAACAAUUAGCGGUCGUCAAUGCUUCUCGUACUGCUCCUUGGUAUGCUGAUUAUGCUAAUUACAUUGUUGCUAAAUUUAUACCGCCUAGUUUCACAUACCAGCAAAAGAAAAAGUUCUUUUAUGAUUUAAGACAUUACUUCUGGGAUGAUCCACACCUUUAUAAAGAAGGAGUAGAUGGUGCUAUUAGACGUUGUGUGCCUGAGCAUGAACAGGAACAAAUUCUACGUAAGUGUCACUCUGAAUCUUAUGGAGGACACCACGCUGGAGAUAGAACUGCACACAAGGUACUAAAAUCUGGUUUUUAUUGGCCUACUCUUUUCAAACAUGCUCGUAAGUUUGUCUUAUCCUAUGAUGAAUGUCAUAGAAUAGGUAACAUUAGUAGACGACAAGAAAUGCCUAUGAAUUACUCUUUUGUUAUUGAACCGUUUGAUGUUUGGGGCUUUGAUUACAUGGGAACUUUUCCUGCCUCUAAUGGUUAUACACAUAUCUUAGUUGCUGUUGAUUACGUUACUAAGUGGAUAGAAGCUAUUCCAACUAGUAGUGCUGAUCAUAACACUUCUAUUAAAAUGCUUAAAGAAGUUAUUUUUCUGAGGUUUGGAGUCCCUAGAUAUCUUAUGACUGAUGGUGGUUCACAUUUUAUUCAUGGUGCUUUCCGUAAGAUGCUUGCUAAGUACGAUGUCAAUCAUAUAAUAGCAUCUCCUUAUCAUCCGCAGUCUAGUGGUCAAGUAGAGUUGAGCAAUAGAGAGCUCAAAUUAAUUUUGCAAAAGACUAUGAAUAGAUCUAGAAAGAAUUGGUCCAAAAAACUUGAUGAUGCAUUAUGGGCCUAUAGAACUGCAUUCAAAAAUCCUAUGGGUAUGUCUCCUUAUAAGAUGGUUUAUGGAAAAGCGUGUCAUUUACCUCUUGAACUUGAACAUAAGGCAUAUUGGGCUAUUAAAGAGCUCAAUUAUGACUUCAAACUUGCCAGUGAGAAGAGGUUAUUUGAUAUUAGCUCACUUGAUGAAUGGAGAACCCAAGCACAUGAGAAUGCCAAGCUUUUCAAAGAAAAAGUCAAAUGCUGGCAUAAUAAGAGGAUACAAAAGCGUGAGUUUAACGUAGGAGAUUAUGUGUUAUUAUUUAACUCUCGCUUAAGAUUUUUUGCAGGAAAACUUCUCUCAAAAUGGGAAGGUCCCUACGUUAUCGAGGAGGUCUACUGUUCUGGUGCUAUAAAAAUCAACAACUUCGAAGGCACGAAUCCGAGGGUGGUAAACGGUCAAAGAAUUAAACACUAUAUUUCAGGUAAUCCUAUCAAUGUUGAAACUAAUAUUAUUGAAACUGUAACCCCUGAGGAAUACAUAAGGGACACUUUCCAGAACGUUCCAGACACCGAAAAGGCAUAGGUAUGUGGUACGGUAAGUAAACCGACUCCAAAACAACUCCAAUAGCAAUUUUUAUUAGUUUUGGAUUAUUUAAGAAUUUUAGUAAGAAAGAAGUAGUCCAAGAGGGACACGAGGCUCCCACGAGAGUGGAGGGCGCGCCCCCUGUCUUGUGGGCACCUCGUGUGCCUCCCGGACCCUGUUUUCUUUCACGUUAUGUAUUUUGGUCGGUUAAAAUUCAUUAUAUAUACUCCCGAAGGUUUUGACCACCGUAUCAUGCAAAUAUCCUAUGUUUCGUUUCGAGCUGUUUCGGUUUCAGGUUUAGAGCACCAUGACUUCACCCUCCUCCAACAAUGAAGACAAGUAUGCUUGUCUUUUGAAGAUAGAGCUGAAAAGAGAAGAACCAGAAGAUAUCAACAAGGAUGAAGGGAUCAAGGAAGCCAUGGAGGUUCAAGCUCCGGCGGUGAAAGAAGAAGAUAUCCCUCAAACUUUACCUAACCUCUUUACUCCAACAGAGAUUGAAACUUUCAAGAUGAUUGAGUUAGCCCGCAUACAGGACAAGUAUCUCACACAGGAGAAUAUUCUGUUGAAGGAUCAUAUUGCUGGGCUUAAGGGCAUUAUCCGCAAGUUGGAGGAACUUUUACGCUCAAUGGGCGAUUAUCCACCAUCAUCAUCACCACCUCCAUCACCUUCGAGGACAUAAUCACAUGGGUAUGGGCACUCCCCUUGGCAACUGCCAAGCUUGGGGGAGGUGCCCCAGUAUCGUAUCACCAUCACACUCCUAUCUUUACCGCUUUAUUUAGUUUGAUCCUUUUAGUACUAUCUUGAUCUAGUAGUUUGAAGUCUUGAUAUCAAGUAGUUUGAGUUUUGCUUUGUGAUCUCUUUAUGUAAUCAAGUCCGUGUGCUAUCUAUAAUAAAGUUUAGUGUUGAGUCAAGGGCUUUUCUAUGUGAUAUGAUCUUGAGAAAGUAGAAAGAAUAAAAGAGUUCAUAUUGAUCUUAUGGAUAGUAAUAACUUCACAUAUAGAAAGUAUGAGGCAUAAAAAUUGUUGAGAGUCGAUGAACGUAGCCUUGGUCAUCAUUGCAAUUAAUAGAAAGUGAAAAGGAAAGAGGGGCUCACAUAUAGAUAUAUUAUCUUAGACAUCUUUUAUGAUUGUGAAGCACCCACUAAGUAUGACAUGCUAAAAGAGUUGAUGUUGGACAAGGAAGACAGCGUAAUGGUUUAUGUUUUCUGACAUCUCAGUUAGAGUAUAUUGUCAUUGACCUUCCAAAUAUGUUGAGCUUGCCUUUCCCCCCUCAUGCUAGCCAAAUUCCUAGCACCAAGUAGAAAUACUACUUGUGCUUCCAAAUAUCCUUAAACCCAGUUUUGCCAUAAGAGUCCACUAUACCUACCUAUGGAUUGAGUAAGAUCCUUCAAGUAAGUUGUCAUCGGUACAAGCAAUAAAAAUUGCUCUCUAAAUAUGUAUGACUUAUUAGUGCAGAGAAAAUAAUCUUUGUACGAACUUGUUGUGGAAGUAAUAAAAGCGACAGACUGCAUAAUAAAGGUCCACAUACAAGGGCCAAUAUAAAGUGAUGUUCGUUUGCAUUAAGAUUUUAUGCAUCAACCCUAAACGAGCAUGACAACCUCUACUUCCCUCUGCGAAGGUCCUAUCUUUUACUUUAUGUUUUUACUUUAUGCUUGAGUCAAGGUGAUCCUCACCUUUCCCUUUUUAUUUUAUCCUUUGGAAAGCUCCUCGUGUUUGAAAGAUCAUGAUAUAUAUAUCCAAUUGGAUGUAAGUUAGAAUGGGCUAUUAUUGUUGACAUAACCUAAAGGUGAAUGCGUGGGGAGGCAACACAAUAAGCCCCUAUCUUUCUCAGUAUCCGGCUGAAACUCUAUAACCACAAGUACUGCAUGAGUGUUAGCAAUUAUAGGAGACUACAAGAUGGUUGAGUAUGUGAGCUUGUUGAAAAGCUCUAUUAUUGACUCUUUCUGAGGUUACGAUAAAUUGCAAUUGCUUCAAUGACUCAGAUUAUAGUUUAUUAGUCCCCAAUGAAGUUUUUGAACCAUACUUGAUAUUGUGAAUUCCUUGUUACUUGAGCAUAGGAAAUCAUAUGACAAAAUUUAUAUAUGUUGCUGUUAUUAGAUUAAUCAUGAUGCCCUCAUGUCUGUAUUUUAUUUUUAUCGACACCUCUAUCUGUAAACAUGCAGACAUCUUUUUCGAUUUUGGCUUCUGAUGUUAGGGGAUGAUAUGGAUCCAGAUGUUUAAUGUUGUGGUUAGGUUUACCGUAAUACUUAUUUUGUAGUUGCGGAUGCUUGCAAUAGGGGUUAAUCAUAAGUGGGAUGCUUGUCCAAGUUAGGGCAGUACCCAAGUUCCGGUCCACCCACAUAUCAAAUUAUCAAAGUACCGAACGCGAAUCAUUUGAGCGUGAUGAAAACUAGCUUGACGAUAAUUCCCAAUGUGUCCUCGGGAGCUCAUUUCUCAUUAUUAGAAAUUGUCCAGGCUUAUCCUUUGCUACAUAGAGGAUUGGGCCACCUUGCUGCACUUUAUUUACUUUAUUUACUUGUUGCUUGUUACUAUUUAUCUUAUCAUAAAACUAUCUAUUACCUACAAUUUCAGUGCUUGCAGAGAAAACCUUACUGAAAACCGCUUAUCAUUUCCUUCUGCUCCUCAUUAGGUUCGACACUCUUACUUAUCGAAAGGACUACGCUAGAUCCCCUACACUUGUGGGUCAUCAACGGGGAGCGCCUCGAUGUCUAGGGGAGAUUCCUGAAGCUAGGCGGAGUCGUCGGGCGACGAAGACGAGCGUACUGAGACGGAUCUCGUGGCCCUCAGCCAAUCCACCGCCGGAAACCAUGAUGAUGGGGAUCAGAAAAAUCGCAACUUCACCAACAAGUCGCUAAGACACCUGCCCCAAGGUGGGCGCCAACUGUCGUGGUCCUAAGACUGGUAGUAGAAUAGGGGGUAGGUAUGGAGAGGCAAGAUCUCAGCUAUGGUGGAGUUGUACACACAAGAUUUACGAGUUCAGGCCCUUCAUAGUGGAAGUAAAUGCCCUACGUCUCGGUGCCCGGAGGCGGUCGAUUGUAUUAUAUGCGUGUGGUGUUACAGGGGGUGCAAACCCUUGUGCCAGAGGAGGGGGGUGGCUUAUAUAGAGUGCGCCAGGACCCCAACCAUCCUCCAUUACAAGGGGUUCAAUGUACAUAAAUAUGGGGCGUUACUGAUAACGCCAUCCAUAAGUGCUAUUAAUGACCUUAAAGACUACGGGGUGAACAUCUGACCGUUGCAGUGCUGAGUGACUCCUGGUCUUCAGUAGGUCGAGUGGUUUCUUGUAUGGUCGAGUGACAUCAGGAAGGAGGGGUACCCGAGUGAUAUGAUUUGUCGAGUGGAUUGCACUCGACACCUUUGACUGGGGAUUCUUUGUUGUCUCUUGGACUUCUUUGCUUCUAGGGUAGUGACCUUGGGUAGGGUGUAUAGGUCAGGUCUAUGACCCUACCCUGGGUCUGUAUCCUCAUCAAGUACCGCCUCUGGUGCAACGCCGUGUAUGCAUCUGAUGAGAAUUUGAUGGUGAUGCGGUAGCGAUGGCCGUCAGCGACAUGGAAGCAGAUCUAGGAGGGUAGACGGUGGAGGCGGGGAAACAUCCCGCCGCGAUGGACAAGAGGGUCGUAGGAGCAGUGUUGGCAAGGUGGACGACGACCAAGAUGAAGUGAGAGGUCGGGAUGCAAGGAUCCUGGUCCGAAGCAGUGGGGGAGAGAGGUCGAUCUCUUGUAAUGGACGACGACGUCGGGGUAUCAGCUUCGGCAUGGUGGUGGAGGACGGCGGUGGAUGGGGUGGCGGACGGAGGAGGCUGGGGUGGAGAGGAUGUUAUGGUGCCCGCAAAGCACGAAUGGGGAAAUGGAGGGAGAGAGGAAGGAGGAACCAUGCCUUCAGGGUGCGCUUGUCUCAAAUUCGAGGAAAUUUACAAACUUAGCCCCCGUCUAAAAUUUCCUACAUCACAGCAAUAAUAGUCGGUUGGGGAUAGGACGGUAAUCUCGCAUACACCAAAUACUUGCCGCUGGAGAUUUUGGCCGAGGAGAGUUGUUUUGGCGCCCACCGUGUAUGAAUCCGGGUGAGAGGGACCUAUUGCACAGCUACCCCUAUCAAGACCUAUUGAAAUCGAGCUGACAUAUGUUGCGUGUCAGGGACAGGCGGUAAUUUCCAUCUCCCAUAUUUUGGUUUCGGGCGGUUACUGCGAGCUUGGCCGCUUCAUUCAAUUUUUUGAGAAAAAGCUUGCACGUUUACCGUGCCAACUCAAUUCCAGUCUAUUUUGUAUUCUAUUUUUGUUCGGGCAUGAUCCAUUUUUGAUUGAAAUAAAAUUCUAUAUACAUCAUUGUUUAUAUAUACUUUCGAAAACACAACAAAGAUUUCUGCUCCUUUAUAUAUAUAUAUAUAUAUAUAUAUAUAUAUAUAUAUAUAUAUAUAUAUAGGAAAAUGGGUUGGUACACCUAGGAGUACAUACUCCUAGGCCACGUGUAGCCUUUUAUUCCCACCGAUGUGUUUUGACUCUCACUAACAAAACCUGUUUAGCGCUUAAUAUGUUAGUUAGUUAUUUAAAUAUAUAUGGUACUGUCGUAGGAAGAGAAGAGAUCACAUAGCGUUUGAAAAGUUGUUCCAUAUUAAUAGGGAUAAGCCACGUGCAAUUGUUGGCUGCAUAUUACGAUAUUUGUUUCUUCUUCUUCCAUUAAAGCAUUCACGUUACAAACAAGACUUGAUGAGCACAUUGAUCUGGACUAGGAGACAAGAAGUGACCGGCGGCGGCUCGAUAGGGGAGACAGGAUGCAGCUGGCGAUGACUCGACGCGUGGCAGUUAGAAGAUGGAGGCGGAUGCAUCUGGCGGCCAUUCGCCGAUGGAGACGAGAAGCCGCCGAGGUAUGGACCUGGAUCAUGAUGCACGAUGGAGCGCCUCGCAUGCAUGUUAUUCAUAUCGGCAUGUAUCAUGGCAAGGCAUGGCAUGUCUGACGAUUAAUUCCUACACAAGAAUGCAUAAUGUGAUUACUUGCAUCCCUUGUACUACCUCCCUCUCAGUUUGCAAGUCCUACGCGUAUACCUCGGUUGCCAAUUUGAUCACCCUAAUAUAAACUAUGUAACAUAAAAAUUAUAUCUUUUGAAAAUAGAACAUCUGAAGUUUAUAUUGAUAUAUUUUUUGUAAUAUAUGACUUGUAUUAAGUUGGUCAAAUUGACGAUCUAGGGGUACGCGCACGCCCUGUAAACCGAAAAAGAGGGAGUAGUACUAAUUAAUUUAUACUAUUCGUGAUGGAUCUAGAUGACGUCCGCUCCAAUGCUCCACAUGACUACGUUGAAGCUUCACCUCAUCUGAACCAGAUUGGCGAGUCAUCUUCACAGGCCAACGUGAAACUCUAAUCAAGAUCGACGGAUGCUACCCAAAAUACUUAUGAUUCAAAACACUCCGCGGUCUACGCCACCGUGGAACUCCGGCCAAGAUUGAUCGAUGUCGCAUGUGAUACACAUACAUAGCUUUAAGUGUUGUAUUUGAGUGGGAAAAUGGCAGCAUUCAUAAUGAAUUAUACUUUUUUAUUUUGUUCUACUUCUUUUAGAAUUAAAUUAUACUUGUUUUUAGGUUACUAUGUACACUCCAUCGCUAAAAUAGUGUAUAUACCUCAUUUAAAAGAUAUGGUAUAUACUCCAUUGUAAUGAAUAUACUCAUCAUAAAUUUGUAUGUACUCAUCAGAGAAAAUAAGGCAUACACUGCAUUGAAAAGAUGUGGUAUAUAUUCCAACAAAAAAAAUUGUAUGUACUCCAUGCCAAAAAAUAUACCCAUGACCAAAAAAUGAUAUAUACUCCAUCACAAAAUAUAUGGUACAUACUCCAACCCAUAAUAUAUGGUAUAUCCAUCACAAGUUCACAAGGAAGUGGUAUAUACUUCAUCCCAAAAAUGUGGUAUAUGUGUGCUCCCUCAAGAAAUAGUAUAUACUUCAUAAAAAUUAGUAUAUAUGUAUGACAUACUAUAUGAAAUAAACAAUGCAUGCAAGCUCAGCAAAUUCGUAUACUUCGAACGUACUUAUACUACUUCCUUUCAAGUCGAAGAUAUAUUCUUCUAUGGACUAUAUGAAUGGCUUCUGAAGAAAACUUGGAGUAUAUGAAUGGAACACACGUGUAGACAAAGGUAGCUGGGUUUUUUUUCGUGAAAAAGGAUAUCUGGUUUUUGAUCCCUUAAUUCUAGGAUGAAGCACAUGCAUGCACGCUCGAAGAAAGUAGUUCCGUGGACCCUAAAAAAUUGGCUACAGUUAAUUUCUACCAAUCGGCCGGUGUGCUACUUAUCCACGGGAAUAUCCAAUUAAAAAAACUGUUAAUAGGUGGGAGUAUGUACACCCGGGAGUAUNNNNNNNNNNNNNNNNNNNNNNNNNNNNNNNNNNNNNNNNNNNNNNNNNNNNNNNNNNNNNNNNNNNNNNNNNNNNNNNNNNNNNNNNNNNNNNNNNNNNNNNNNNNNNNNNNNNNNNNNNNNNNNNNNNNNNNNNNNNNNNNNNNNNNNNNNNNNNNNNNNNNNNNNNNNNNNNNNNNNNNNNNNNNNNNNNNNNNNNNNNNNNNNNNNNNNNNNNNNNNNNNNNNNNNNNNNNNNNNNNNNNNNNNNNNNNNNNNNNNNNNNNNNNNNNNNNNNNNNNNNNNNNNNNNNNNNNNNNNNNNNNNNNNNNNNNNNNNNNNNNNNNNNNNNNNNNNNNNNNNNNNNNNNNNNNNNUAAAAAGUCAACUGUUAUCUAUGUUUGACCAAGUUUACAGCAAAAUAUAUGAAGAUUUAUAAUACUAAAUAUAUAAAAUGUAAAAAUAUAGUUCAUGAUGAAUCUAGUGAUAAUGAUUUGGUAUUCUAGAUAUUGAUAUUUUUGUCUAUAAACUUGGUCAAACUUAGAGAAGUUUGACUUUUUGAAAAAAUAAUACACCUUAUAUUGAGGAACGGAGGGAGUAUAUAUAUAUAUAUACGGUCUAUUCUGCUAAUAUUAGCAGAAUAACUACUCUGCACACCACUUCCGCACUGCACGCUGAACGCACGUGCACUGCAUCUUCUGGACGACGAGCAAUGCAAUAGAGACUAGUGAACUUCUCGUCGGAAAAAACUAAACGCGUUAUUUUUUCGGUACUGUUUUCGCUCUAAUUUUUUAACCGUUUAUCGGAAUGAGGCGUGUAAUAUACCAUUGAAAAGCUAUGGAUUAGGCGCAACUUCGACAUGUUGAACACUUUUCGAGAUUCCACACGGUUUAAGAGCAGUUUUGAAAAUGGUGCGGCGGAUGACGAGUGGCAGCGAGCGUUUUUUCGUGUUGUUUUCUAAACCUCUUGUCGGAAUGAAGCAAAUGAUACGCCGUUGGAUAGAUAUCAUCGAGGCGCAUCUUUUUCAUAUAUAAAUCUUUCUCUAAUUCAUUACGGUUUAAGAGCAGUUUCAAAUUUACUAAAUCGUGGAACUCUGUUUUUCAAAUUUUUUGAAAUUUUCGGUACUGUUUUUGCUCCACUUUUCUAACCGUUUGUCGGAACGAGACGUAUGAUACGCCGUUGGAAAGCUACGGACAAGGCGCAACUUUGAUAUGUUGAAAUGGUUUUGAGAUUCCUUACAGUUUUUAGUUAAUUUUGAAAAUCAUGCGACUGACUUCGAGAGACAGUGGCUGUUUUUUCGUGAAAUUUUUACAAACGGCUGGUCAGAAUGAUUCAAAUCAUACGCCGUUGGAAAGAUAUCGACGAGACGCAACUUUUUCAUGUAGAACACUCUCUCUAAUUCCUUACGGUUUAAGAGCAGUUUCGAUUUUACCGAAAAGCGAACACUGUUCUUCGCGAGACCAAAAUCGUCGUAUGUACUGCAUCGGACAGAAGAACGCAUUGCUUUAGACAAAAUACCGCACUGCAUCAGAUGGGCAAGUGCACUGCAUGGUUUCUUUUUGUUUAAACAUAUUUUUCGUCGGACGAGGAAAGAAGAACACACUGCUUCAGACGAAAUACCGCACUUCAUUAGAUGGGUAAGUGCACUGCAUGAUUUCUUUUUGUUUAGACGUGUUUUUUCUCGGACGGGAAAGAAGCACGCACUGAUUUAGACAAGUAUUUUUAUCUCGGAAGGGGAAAGAAGAACGCACUGCUUCAGACGAAAUACCGCACUUCAUUAGAUGGGCAAGUGCACUGAAUGAUUUUUUUUGUGGGACGUAAAUUUUCGCAAACAAGGUGUAGUGCACUUCAUGUCGAACGUUGGUGAACCGCAAUACUAUGAAAAGUGAACCUCGAGACUACCGUAAACGGGUCGUGUCACUACCGAAAGUGAACCGCUUGAGUUUUUACUAAACUCAUUUUACGUGCGUAGACCGAGCGAAUGGACCGCAGGGACUGAACAAGUGAAGUACAUAUAAUGAAAAGCGAUCUUCUUUGAGAUAUAUAUUUUUCCUAUUUACCAAGCAAACCACGGAGGAGUAUUAUAACAAACUGCAUGAGACAACAAAGUGAGCUUCAAAGCCACAUCUAUCUGAUAAAGACACUCUGUUUCUUCCUUAUUGAAUGCGGUGAACCACAAGACUCCUCGAAGUGGGCUGCAUCAACCUUUUAUUUUUUUCAUGAAAAUGAACAUAUCCAACAUGACAAACGAACUGCACUAGACCGGAUUUAAACAAAAACAAAAGAGUGUUAAAACAAUUCAGGAAGUGAACUACCUAAAAAGAUGACCCCCAUGGAGGAGCGAACCUCUCCAACAUACACAGUGAACCCCUCAUAAAAACGACCACGUGUGCAUAGUCCAAGGGAACUGCCCGUGCACACGCGAGUUCACCGGAAAACCGUCGACGCCAUGGGCCAAAUUGCACGUCCCGUUGGUCAAGCUGCACUCCUACGUGCGCAAAACUGCAUGGUGGGCAGGGCAACCUGAAGUCAGGUGGUUUCAUGGAGGAAUUACCAUAGCCAUAGGUAGGAAACGGUGAAAAAUUUAUAGGGGAGUGAGAUCACCUAGUCACCCAAGACUGAUGAGCACUAGCCCAGGAAUCCUUUUCAUCGGUUUCUGCAAAACAAACAGAAAUCAAAGACAAAGAAGCACAAAUCUAGCGGUCAGCUCGGAUUGGAACAAAAGGUAUAUCAUACAUAAAUUCUUCGGCUGGCGCACACAAGGAAGCCAAAUUCUGAAUCGACAAGGCAAGUUGACCAAGUAAACUACACUUUGUCUCGAAAUAAUAAACUGAACUUCACGAGCACCUUACUUUUUUAACAAGUUUCUCUAACAGCUUUUUUGGGAACUUCAAUCAUAUUUGUUUGUGAACUUCAGUCCACUUUCAGGCUGCAGGUGGGACAAUACAUGGGAGUCCCACCUCCAACCCACCUGAUCCCACUAUGUUUAGUGGGAGUAACUCGACACCCCAUCAAAACAUGCAUAAAUUAUAUGGGCUCAAGUGGGAUCCCAUUUAGCAAAUGGAAGAUUGAAACAUAAUACUCCAGUACGCACUAGUUUAGCAUCCAUCUGCCGAGUCCACAUUACAGUGUCACCCUUACUCCUCUGUUCUCUGUAAUUUUGCUUCUUUCGUUUUAGUUAGCACUGCACGAGCCCACUAUAGUGUGUGUGCGCGCUGUGCAACGGUGCAAGUCAGCAUCGACGACCGCAGUGCAAGCAUAUGUAGUCCGGUGACUAGCUCUCCCUUUCCAUUGGUGUUGAAAAUAGAAGUAGAGAAGAAAAUAUUGCAGCAUGUUUAGAGCUGCCAGAAACACACGACUCCUCUGUUCUUCAUGUGUGUGAGAGUUGAGACCUGACAUUGCCCAGCACUUCGGACCUGCAGUCGCCUCCACGGCCAGGCGACCGACCAUGGAGCACCACAUGACGUUCCUCUUGGCGGCCAUAACCAAUCAGCAGACCUGCCUGCAGCCCGACAUCCGCCAGAUCUUGCUUCCAUGGCCAAGAAGCUGCCCACUAAUCCUUGCGGCCUGGUGCCAGGAAGAAGAAACAGGGGUGCAGCAGCGGCGACGGCCAUCAAUCGGCGGCAGCGGCGGGAGCAUGCUGUGGCACCGUGCUCUACUGUGCAGUUGGCUAGCUUAAUAGGGCAAGAUGGGAUCCCAACGGGCUAAGUGGGAUAGCCCGAUUAACUUUUUCCCUAUCCAAUGGGAUUCCACUAAAGCAAAUUAAGUGGGAUGGACUAGUUAGUCCCACUUGAAUCCACUUCCAUCUGCAGUCUGAGUCCACUUGGUCUAGAUAGUGAGGUGCUUGCGCACGUCGCUUGUGUGAAGUGAGCAGGUCGUGUGGGAGGCGAAAUUGGUGAACACCACCGGCAGUCUAACUGCAUUGGAGCACCAAGCGGUGAGCUACAUCACCAUACGAACCGCACUGCACGCAUGCGAUGGGGGAAGCAAACGACACGCAGAUGAGCUCCGCACCACAGGGGUGCAUCGCGUGAACUGCACAGGGGGUCUACUGUUGACAUUGUCGCUGCCAUCGGGGCCAGGGAGGACCCGCUGCUGUAUACCAGGGGGGCUGCUGCGCCCGUUGGUGGCGAGGUAAGGUCCGAGGCUGGCAGGGAGGCACGUGUGGAGGGUUGGGAAGCGUCGGCGUGUGGCCGAGCUAGGUGCCGGCCCGAGCUCGAGUAAGAGGAGAUGAGGAGGCUAUCGGUGACACCCUGCUGCUCCUUGGAAGUUGGAUCAGGGAAUGAAGAGGGUCACGGCGGUGCCUGCAAAGCGCCGGUGGAGGAAGAUUGCAAUUUGCAAGAAUGGCAAUCGGAGACUGCGGGGCGGAGGAGCGGCUCACCUGUUUGACUCGUGUGGCGGCUCGGUCGUCAGAUCCAGGGGUCGACGUGGAGGAGGGCGGAUUGCAGCGAGGCGUAAGGCUGGAGUGGCGGCAACGGCGCUGGUCAGGGAGGUGCAGCGCUGGGGCGGCGGCGGCGGCGCGACCGAGCUGCACGGGGGCCGCGACCAAGCUGCACGUGGUGGGGUGGCACCCGAGUACCUACGGGUGGCGCAGAUGAGGGUCUCGCCGGAGACCGCCACGAGGAGAGGGCUCGUCGUCGACUUGAUCCAGAUCGAGGACGAAUGGCGGAUCCGGGCGUGGGGAAUGGGUGAUGCCGGGCAGGGGCGGCGGGAGACCAGCCCGAGGGGCACUAGGAGGUGCGGCCAGCUGCGGCGCCGGCGGGGGAAGAAGCCGGAUGAGGUCCGCCCUGACUCGUUGGAUGUCACCGUCGGCGCACGAUCUAGGGAGGAGAGGUCCAUGAGGGGCUCACCGGAUCUGGGGAGGAGAGGGCCACGGUGACCUCGACGCCCCACGGCCGCAGCCAUCUGGGAGGCCGGAUCCGGUGGGUUCUCGUCGUGAACCCACGGCCGGAUGCGGUGCUCGGCUACCCUUGUUGCACGAAGGAAGUGCUGGUGGCCAGGGGGGGCAGAGCGGGGAGACGGUGGUUGGAGCCACGGUGGCCGGGGCGCGAGAGAUCUGGCGGCGUCGGUGCCAGGAAGAAGGUGGGGAGCGGGGUUUCUGGUGGCGCGGGGGCCCCGGCAGAGAAGAAGGUGGGGGAGCGGUGGUUCUGGUGGCACGAUGGCCCCGACGGGGAAGAAGGUGGAGGAGCGCGUGGGGUUGCGCGGCGAUGGAGGCUCAGGGGUGGUGGAUCUAGUUCCGGUCGGGGGGACGGAAGAGUGUUAUCAGAAUAAGGCGAUUUGACGUGCAGAAUAAGCUCUUAAGGUGUUAUCAUAUAUAUACUAGCAAAAGGGCCCGUGCGUUGCAACGGGAAAAAAAUUCAUAAUCUUCAAUGGCCAUGAUCACAUUUUGCUGCAUCACUGAGAUACACUAUCACUCUCAAUUUCGUAAAAUCAUGAAUACAUUUUUAAACUCAUGAGCAUAUUUGAAAUCGUGAUCUUUUUCAAAUUCGUGAACACUUUUACAAAUUAUCAAAUAUUUCUAAAAUCAACAAAGUUUAUUGAACUCAUGAACAUUUUAUACUGUUUGCAUACAUUUUAUAAAAAAUUGUGAACAUUUUUUUAACGAUUAUCUUGAAUCAGUGAACAUUUCUUGAAUGGAUGAACAUUGUUUUUGAUAUUUUUUCCAUUCAUUUUUGAAUUGGCAAAAUUUUGUUCAAUUUCAUUAACAUUUUUAAUACACAAACUUUUUAAAAAAUCAUGAACAUUCUCUGAUUUCCCAAAAAAUUGUUUUCAAAAUUUCGAACAUUUUUUGAAUAAGCAAACAUUUUUCAUCAUGAUACUUAAGAUAACACCAAUACCUCGUGCAAACAAUAUUUAAGAGAGUACCAAUAUUUAAGGUCGAGCAGAAAUGCAUGGAUAGCAUGAGGUGAUACUAAGACAAAUCAAAUUAUAUUCAACCAUAGAUAGGAUAGGCACAUCCAUCAGUAUUGUUUUAGUUUGAUAUAUUGCUGUCCAAGAGAAUUUUAGUUUAGAGACUGUUCGGAUCUCCUCAAAUCUGUGCUUCGCCGAUUAUGCGAAGCGGAGGCUUCUUGCGGUGCAAUUUGGUGAAGCUGCCAAAGCUUAGCUUCCCAAAUCCGAAAUCAUUGGAAUGCCACCACCAAGUCAUGUGACGCUUCGUUGUGAAUUCCCCUUCUCACGAACCCUAUUGAAGCGCCUUCCCAUGACGUCGCCAGUGUCCCCUUCUAACGAGCCCGACACCGCCCACUCGCCAGCCCUCCCCUUCCUCUAUUCGUCGUGCCAUCCAUCAUUGUCUCCCUCUCCUCCCGCUGACCUCCCCAGCAACGCCCUCUUCCACACCGAUUGCCUUAUUUCUAGGGUCACCCUCUACCCCGACGUAGACCACCUCCCCGUCGUCUGCCUCCGUUUUGUUUGUGGCAACCCCUCAGCCCAUGGAAGCUGAUCAACGCGUCGUAAAUGGUGUAGCUACUCCAAGGAAGCUGGAGCUUGAACGCUUCUGAAUAGGCUUACAUCCAUGUUUGUUGCCUUGGAGUUGCCGAGGCCAGAAAUUUUUUGGCUGUGUUAACUUCAGCCAAAAAAAGUAUAUCUACUCUAGUAAUAGCUCAUCUAAAUGAAUUAUGUUUUUCACUUGUAUACUUUGCAUGUAAUCUUUCGCCAAGAUCCAACACAGAUAUAACAUCACUAACAUUCAAUUGCAAAAAAGAAACAGAAAUUACUGACAUUCAAUCCACAAUUCUAACAAUUCUCUAAUUGACCUUUUUAUUCUAUUUUCCCGAUCUAAGGUCAGGACAACAUUUUUAGAUAACACAAUGUAUCAGUAUUAUCACCACUGCUAAAAUAAAGAAAUUUAGGACAUGGUACAAAAUUCAGAAUCACUACAUCUACAGUUCAUAUGAUAAACAACAGUGGCCUGUAGCUCGUACAUGUACAGUAUCCAUGUUAGAAAGACCCCAAGUAUUUCAAAUAGACACACACACACACACACAUAUAUAUAUAUAUAGAGAGAGAGAGAGAGAGAGAAUAUUACAUUACUCGACUCUCCAAGCAUGCACACACUUGUGUUUUGCAAGACUGUGCUCUGCCCCUACAAGCAGACCGUGCUCUGCCCCUACAAGCAUGCAUGUUAAAGUAAAUAUCCUGUAUAUUUGGCAUGUAAUCAGCCCUUGCCGUAUUAUCGGAUUGUAUUCUGUCUAUGAUUGAUACGGCUGGGUCAAGUCCUUGUUUCCCAAGGCAUCUGUACAUGAUGGAUAUAUAUACUAAUAUGAGCUGAUCGCCCAAGCGUGGCGUUUCCCUCAAUUCUCCCUGUCUCUCUUGUUUACAUGGUAUCAGACUACAUCUGCAUCGCAUCUGCAUAGUUCGAUCCUUCGGCCUGCAACUAGACGCCAUGACUUCCUCCGGCCAAACCUCCGGUGCUCUUGGCGCCAUGACCUCUCCAUCUCAGCUCUCUGCCACAAACAGCGCCCUCACCACCGUCACGGCUCCUGCAUCCCCGGCCUCCAACGCAGUGCAUGUGGCCAGCGUCAAGACCCAUGUCCCCGUCGUCCUCGACCUCAAGGCGUCGAACUUUACCAAGUGGCGCAUGCUGAUCACCGUUCUCUUGGGCAAGUACGACCUCAUCGGCCAUAUAGCUGCCGCUACUCCGGCUGCUGAUCGCACGCCAGAGUGGAGCCGCGAGGACUUCGUCGUCCGCUCGUGGUUGUACGGCUCCAUUAGCGACGACAUCCUGGAUAUUAUCAUGGCGGAAGACCAGACGGCGCACGAGGCGUACACGCUCAUCCAGAACUUGUUCCUCGACAACCAGAUGACGCGCGCUGUUUAUCUCGAGGCGGAGUUCCGUGCCAUCGUUCAAGGCGAUCUCACCAUCACCGCCUAUUGUCACCGGCUCAAAUCCCUCUCUGAUGCACUCCGCGACGUCGGCCAGCCGGUGUCGGAUCAGACCUUGGUCUUGACGUGCCUACGUGGCCUCAAUUCUCGCUUCGCCGACAUCACCACUCUGGUCACCAUGCAGGUUCCGUUCCCUACGUUCCUGCAGACAAGGUCUCUCCUUCUUCUUCGUGAGACGCAGCUCUCGCACACCAUGCCUACGCCACCGCCGCAGACCGCCAUGUACGGCCACGGCGCCGGUGCCUCCUCUGGCGGUGCCUACAAUGGAGACCGCUCCUCAGGUGACCGCAACUCCGGCGGCAACGGCGGCCGCUUCCAGAAAAAGAAGAAGAACGGGGGCGUCGGUCACUACCGUGGCAACGGUGGCGAGCGUAACCACAACGGCGGUGGCUCUUCCGGUACCCACGCUGCAGCUGGUCCGUGGAUCUGCUUCAACCCCUACACGGGCCAGGCCCAGCCGCUGCCGGUCUCCUGGCGCCCCGCUGGUGGAGCAGGCCUUCUUGGACCGCGGCCUGCUGCACCCCAGCGCCCGUACGUACCUGCCCAACAGCAGUUUGCGUACGCGCCGCCCCAGCAGCAAGCGUAUACUACGCUGCUCGCUCCACUCCAUGGGCAGGCGUACGGCACUGACCCACCGCCACCGGGUACACCCUCCAGCCACGGCGCUCCAGCUUGGGACUGCUCGGCGCUCAUGGCUGCCCUAAAUAAUGCUGCUGCAUCAUCUUCAUCCGCUGGUGAAUGGAUCAUGGACUCGGGAGCCACCUCCCAUAUGGUUUCCAACCCUGGUAUAAUCUCUCUUCCUUCCAAACCGCCUCCGUUUUCUCAUAUCACCGUCGGCAAUGGGGUCACUUUACCCGUUGUCUCCACCGGCCACAUGACUUUGCCUACUUCGGCACGUACCUUUGCUCUCAAUAAUGUCCUUGUCGUUCCUGAUAUUAUUAAAAAUCUUCUUUCUACUCGCAAAUUUAGUACCGAUAAUUCUUGUUCUGUGGAGUUUGACCCUCUUGGUUUUUCCAUCAAGGAUCUUCGAACCAGGCGCGAGAUCACACGCUGCAAUAGUCCCGGUCCUCUCUACACCGUCUCCGCCGCCGCCAACCCGUCAUCUACUUUUGGACUCCUCGCAUCAUCCGACUCCACCGAGCUAUGGCAUCGUCGAUUAGGUCAUCCAGGUCGUGACGCUAUGUCACAUUUAUCAAAACAGUUUGCUAUUCCUUGUAAUAAUGCAGCCGUUUCAGUCUGCCAUGCGUGUCAACUUGGCAAGCAUGUUCAUUUGCCGUUUUCUAGGUCUAAAACUUUUAGUGUGGUGCCUUUUCAGUUAAUUCACUGUGAUUUGUGGACAUCUCCUAUUCCGAGUAAUUCUGGUUUAAAAUACUAUCUUGUUAUUGUCGAUGAUUACUCCCACUACAUGUGGACAUUUCCUCUCCGCCAUAAGUCAGAUGCAACCACUGUGAUUACUAACUUUGUGGCAUUUGCACGCACACAGUUUGACCUUCCCGUUGUUGCCAUGCAAGCCGACAAUGGCACUGAGUUUGUCAACUCCACAUUGUCCACCUUCUUUACUGGUCACGGCAUCCAUCUUCGCCUUUCAUGUCCCUACACAUCUCCACAAAAUGGAAAAGCCGAGCGUGCUCUUCGCACCCUCAAUGAUAUUACUCGUACACUUCUCUUCCAAGCCCACAUGCCCUCCUCUUAUUGGGCUGAAGCUCUUGCUGCUGCUACCUAUCUUCUAAACCGACGACCUUCUCAGCCUAUUGGGUUUUCCAUCCCAUACGAGCUUCUUUAUCGCAUGCCCGCUUCCUAUGCCGAGCUACGUGUUUUCGGAUGCCUUUGCUACCCAAACCAAUCUGCCACAGCAAAACACAAAUUAUGCCCUCGCUCCACUGCAUGUGUUUUUCUUGGAUACCCCUCCUCACAUCGUGGCUAUCGUUGUCUUGAUCUUUCAAGUCGGCGUAUAAUCACUUCUCGUCAUGUCAUUUUCGACGAACAUACAUUUCCGUUUGCUAGUAUUAACCCUGCUCCUUCCGCUACAUCUCUCGACUUUCUUCUGGAUUUAGUAGCCACCGAGCCACCUCCAUUCACUCCUUCCCUCACGCAUGCUCCUGUUGCACCACAUGCACGUACUACUGAUCCACGUACUACUGCAUGUCCUAGCUCAGGUGCUAGUUCCUGUCCUAGCUCGCCCAUGCAUCAGCCACACUCACCAGCACCUGAUUCUCCUCCUAUGCAUGCCUCGCCUACCUCGGCCAACUCUCCCGCACCUGUCGCUUCGCCGGCGCAAGCUGCUGCACCAGAAACCCAGCCAAAAACCCAACGUGGACGUACUGUCUCUCGCACCGAACCAGCCACCAACACACACCAUAUGCUGACACGCCUCAAGCACGGCAUUGUCCAACCGGUUGAUCGCCUUAAUCUUUCGGCUGUUCACACCUCCAUUUCUCCUAUUCCUAAAACAUACCGGGGUGCCCUCCAUGAUCCUAACUGGCGUAGUGCAAUGGCUGAUGAAUAUAAUGCACUAAUUCAUAAUCGCACAUGGACCCUGGUUCCUUGUCCGGUUGGUGCUAAUGUUGUUUCAGGUAAAUGGAUCUUCAAGCAUAAGUUCGCAUCUGAUGGUGGCCUUGCUCGCUACAAGGCUCGAUGGGUGGUUCGUGGCUUUUCUCAGCAGCCGGGCGUCGACUUUGACGAGACAUUUAGCCCCGUCGUCAAGCCUGCCACCAUCCGCGUCGUCCUCACCAUCGCGGCUUCUCGUGGCUGGCCGGUUCACCAACUCGAUGUCAAAAAUGCCUUUCUCCAUGGCACAAUUGACGAGGUGGUGUACUGUGAGCAGCCCCCUGGCUUUAUCGACUCGGCUCGUCCUCAUCACGUGUGUCGCCUUCACAAGUCGCUCUACGGUCUCAAGCAGGCUCCGAGGGCAUGGUACCAACGCUUCGCCCACUAUGCUCAUCGCCUCGGCUUCGUCGCAUCUCUUUGUGAUGCUUCUCUCUUCAUACUUCGACAAGGCGAUGAGCUUGCGUACCUACUGUUGUACGUUGAUGAUAUCAUCCUCACAGCUUCGAGUUCGGAUCUACUACAGCACAUCACCGACAUGCUUCACCGCGAGUUCUCUAUGACGGAUCUCGGGGAUCUAUCCUAUUUCCUCGGGAUUUCGGUCUCUCGCUCGUCAUCGGGGAUGCUUUUAUCCCAACGCCAGUACGCCAUCGACCUUCUUCACCGUGCCGGCAUGCUUGAUUGCAACCCGUGUGCCACCCCCAUCGACACUCGUUGCAAGCUCUCCGCCGAUGAGGGUCCUCUCGUUGACGAUCCCACGGAGUACCGCAGUUUUGCCGGUGCACUUCAGUACUUGACACUGACACGUCCUGACAUAGCUCACGCUGUACAACAGGCAUGUUUGUACAUGCAUGCACCACGGGAGCCGCAUCUAAACCUUGUAAAGAGGAUUCUUCGCUAUGUCAAGGGCACAUUGGAUCUUGGUCUUCGCCUCCACUCGACACCGGCUACGUCUCUCACGGCCUACUCCGACGCUGACUGGGCAGGUUGUCCCAACACUCGUCGCUCCACUUCUGGCUACUGUGUUUACCUUGGGGACAACCUUGUGUCAUGGUCUUCCAAGCGCCAGGCUAUAGUCUCCCGCUCUAGUGCCGAGGCGGAGUAUCGCGCAGUGGCCCAUGCUGUAGCUGAGUGUUGUUGGCUCCGUCAGCUUCUUCAUGAGCUUCAUCGACCCCUCCACUCCGCGACCAUCGUCUUUUGCGACAAUGUCAGUGCUGUCUACAUGGCCUCCAACCCUGUGCAACAUCGCCGCACGAAGCAUAUUGAGAUUGACAUCCAUUUUGUUCGUGAAAAGGUGUCUCUCGGGCAGAUUCGGGUUCUUCAUGUGCCAUCGUCUCAACAGUUCGCUGACAUCAUGACGAAGGGUCUACCGUCUCAGCUCUUUUUGGACUUUCGGUACAGCCUGUGCGUUCGUCCUCCCGACGCACUGCCUGAGGGGGGAUGUUAAAGUAAAUAUCCUGUAUAUUUGGCAUGUAAUCAGCCCUUGCCGUAUUAUCGGAUUGUAUUCUGUCUAUGAUUGAUACGGCUGGGUCAAGUCCUUGUUUCCCAAGGCAUCUGUACAUGAUGGAUAUAUAUACUAAUAUGAGCUGAUCGCCCAAGCGUGGCGUUUCCCUCAAUUCUCCCUGUCUCUCUUGUUUACAAUGCACACACUUGUGUUUUGCAAGAUACACAACCAGAUUAUGGACAGAUAAUAUACAACAUCUGGUUUGAUGAUGCCCUUGUUCUUGGUAACCUACAACAAAAACAACUAAUCAUUUUCAUCUUCUGUUAGAGAUAGGGGUUUGUUGUACUGCGGGUACUACUAUAGGACAAGGGUUUAGAUUCUCUAUUGUUCUUUCUUGUCUAAAAAUGAAUAAGAAAAAUUAUAUCUUCAUCAAUGAUGUUGGCAAAAUUCUAUGAAGUCCUUCUAGCUGGUAAAUCAUUCAAACUAAUGGCGAUGUUUCCCUACCACCAUACAGGAAAACUUUGUAGCCUGACUGGAUCUCCUAUGAUUGCAGCAAGGAAUUUGCGUCAUUGCCACACUCUAAAACUGGAAUUUGUCUUUCAGGGAGACUGUGUCGAGUGACAAUGGACCUUAGCUUCUGUCAUAUAAGAAGAUCCUAUAUGACAAACUCUACUUCACGAAUUGGAGUAAGACAACUAUUGUCAUUAUUCUUCUGAACAACUAAUAAAAUGAAAUCAUCGACAUCCAACUCACAUUUAGCAUGCAUACGUCACGAAGCACGUCCUUCUUCCAGAAUAAAUAAUAGUAUAAUUCUCAGAAAACAUAUUCUGUUUUGACUGACUUAUGGAAAACAGAAGUUUUAGAAUGUUUUCUUCCCUGACAGAAACUUGCUUUGCUUCCCUCACACUAUUAGUUCCAAUACAACAUAUCAGAUACAGGUUUUUUUUAUUGAUUUUCUUUUUAUGAAAGAAACAUGCAUGUGUAGAACGUAAUGAUAUCAUGUUUAGAGUUAACUACCGAACAUUAAAUGUUUGGCACGUAGCAUUUUUGCAGCUUGAUAGACAAUCAUAGAGUUAUUGCAAAAGCAGGAGCAUGUACCAGAUAAUUUGCAGAAUCACAACAUCUGGAGGUGUCUUCAAAGUUACAGGACUGUUCUAUGUCACAUAAAAAAGUUAAAUCGCUAUUAGAUUAAGGGACUGCAUUCCUUCUCCAAAUUACUACUCGUAAAAUUUUGCAAACAGGCCCAAAUGCAGAUUUGUAUGAACAACCUAAACUAUGCGAUUGCAGUUUCAGACUUUUAAUACCACUUGACACCAAUAUUAUCAGAAGUAUAGAUGGAAGUGCAUACUACGCGUUUAUCACAUCGACUUGUGAUAACCGAAAGGAUAACUAAGCACAAUGUGCACAUGAACCACAAUGCUAAUUCAAGUCCAAUAAACCAUGUGAAUUUUCAGGAAAAGAAUGUUAUGUGAUCCAAAUGAAAUUGUUAUUUAGAUAUACAUAGUGUCGAUCGAAACUACUGUGGCCUUAAGAGAAGCAGUAGACAUCGAGCUAGAAACAUACUACAGGUAGAUAACAUAAGUGCCAGGAUCCAAUAUUCAGUAAGAACAAUUAAAGCACCAAGUAGCCAAAUCAAAAUAUGUCCAUUUGCGCCUUUGUACAGAGAUUGAACAUGCUGAAACGCAGUGGAAGUAAAUCACAUGGGUAGCUGGUUAUAUUGUCUUAAAGUGAUCUUCUCAUACUGGAACCAUACAGAAAGUAAAUAGCAGAUUAUAUCGUCCUAAGUGAUCUUGCUAGAGAGGAUUAUCUAGAGAAAUGAUAAAGGAGAAAUAUAACCAACCUUGACCUGUUUGCAGCAUUUGGCCCCCAAGGCAACCUGGGUCAUUUACAAAUCCAGAUUUUAUACACCUCAUAGUCACCGGCAUCUUGCCACAAUAGGCCAAUACCUAGCCACUCAUAGUACCAUCAUCGUCCAUUGUUCUGGCCUGUUGCAUUCCUGGAUUGCAGUACACCUGAAAUUGUAGGAGUUCAUAACCUGGACACCACAGAGAAAGCUUCAUUGGUUGAGAAAAUUCGUUGCUUUUCACCACCUGCUGUAAGGGAAAGUACCAAUCACCCCAUUGAUCCUCCCUCUAAUAUCAACAAGCUGACAAAGUGGCAAUGGAGACCAAGGCUUAGCAUAUUAUUUCAAUCGAUUUGUCUACAACUUGUGUAUGUCCUGCAGAUUGAAAUUGAAGCGGUGAAGACCCUCUGGAAGGCAAGCCAAAGGAAGAGCACAAGUUUGUUAGGGAGGAGCGGCUGGGACUGCCCAGGCACAACAGAUCGGGAGUAGCAGCUACGAUCGUCGGGGCGGGAGCGCCGCUACCAUGGCAUAGAGAUGCUGCUGGAGAGAAGUGACAGGCGGGGAUACAUGAGAGGUUUCCAUGCCCGGCAGCGCAGAGCUGUGGCAGCUGAUUUUGCAACAGAGUUAAGAAAUGUCUGAAUGACUACCUACAAGAACAUGAGUUGCAUCCUUGAGUUGAUUUAUCCCAUGACCCAAAUCCAAUUUCUUCACUCCAUCCCUACAGAUAACAAACAUAUUGUAAUGCAUAUGUUGAGACCUGAGAGCUAAGAUCGAAGAACAACCAAAGCAAAGAAACAAUUGAGGUUCUUCCAGCAAAGAACUGAAGAAACGACAACAUAGCUGAUGCCAAAAUUCAACACAUGAGCAAUGGCCUUUCUGAGUAAAAUAACACAUCUGCCAUGAGGGAGAGGGCGAGCAUUGGAGGUACUUUACUGGAUCCGGUCAUGGCGACGAGCGACUGGGUGCAGUGGCAGGAGUACUCAAGGCCGGAGAUGCUGGUGAUGUGCGACCGAGGCUUUGGCUACACAGCACAUGUCGUUAAGGCGGAAGAGGUGAGAGAGGUGAGAGGAGGAAUACCAGGGAGGCAGCAGCAGUGGCGCCCGUCCGCCGUUGUCCGGCACCGGUGAGCUCUGGCCUAGGUCGCCGCACUGCCCCUCCUUGCUCCCUUCUUCUCUCCCUCACCUCUGUGUCUCCUUUCUGUCCAGGAGCCGCCGAUGCUAUGGAUCCUCCCCGGAAGCCGCGCUCCGGCCUUCCUCCUCAUCACCAGCGAACCCCGUCUCGCCAAACACCUCCGGAUCCUCCUCCCCAGUGUGACGCCCUCGAUUCAAUCGUACACUAAUCAUACACGCAAAUGUGUACGAUCAAGAUCAAGGACUCACGGGAAGAUAUCACAACACAACUCUAGACACAAAUUAAAAUAAUACAAGCUUUAUAUUACAAGCCAGGGGCCUCGAGGGCUCGAAUACAUCAGCUUGAAUACAAACGAGUCAGCGGAAGCAACAAUAUCUGAGCACAAACAUGAGUUAAACAAUUUGCCUUAAGAAGGCUAGCACAAAAGCAUCUAUGAUCGAAGAGGCAAGGCCUCCUGCCUGGGAGCCUCCUAACUACUCUUGGUCGUCGGCGUCCGUCACGUGGUAGUAGGCACCCUCGGGGUAGCAGCAGUCGUCAAAGGUGGCAUCUGGCUCCUGGACUCCACCAUCUGGUUGGAACAACCAGAAAGAAGAAAGAAGGGGGAAAAGGGGAAGCAAAGCAACCGUGAGUACUCAUCCAAAUGUACUCGCAAGCAAGGAUCUACACUACAUAUGCAACAUUAUCAACGGAAGGCUGUAUAUGUGGACUGGGCUGCAGAAAUGCCAGAAUAGGGAGAAGGCCUAGUCCUAUCGAAGACUAGCAUCUUCUCGAACCCACCAUCUUGCAGCAACAGGAGGGAGUAGAGUAGCAUAAAGUAAAGCGGUAGUAGUGUUAUCAACCUCGGCCAGAGAUCCUUUCUCGACUCCCUGCGAGAAAGCAAUCCCAGAGCCAUACUAUCCAGUCAUCAUCACAAUCAAAUCCUCAUCACCAUCCAGUUCUCAACACAAGUAUCCAGUUCUAGUUGUAUCGAUCGGGAUACAACUCCAAGUGUCCGUUACCGUAGGACAGGCUAUCGAUAGAUGUUUUCUUCCCUGCAGGGGUGCACCAACUUACCCACCACGCUCGAUUGACUCCGGCCGGACACACUUUCCAGGGUCAUGCCCGGCCUCGGCCAAACAAUACGCCGCAACCCGACCUAGACUUAACANNNNNNNNNNNNNNNNNNNNNNNNNNNNNNNNNNNNNNNNNNNNNNNNNNNNNNNNNNNNNNNNNNNNNNNNNNNNNNNNNNNNNNNNNNNNNNNNNNNNNNNNNNNNNNNNNNNNNNNNNNNNNNNNNNNNNNNNNNNNNNNNNNNNNNNNNNNNNNNNNNNNNNNNNNNNNNNNNNNNNNNNNNNNNNNNNNNNNNNNNNNNNNNNNNNNNNNNNNNNNNNNNNNNNNNNNNNNNNNNNNNNNNNNNNNNNNNNGGCUUGCCUGGUUGCUCUGGCAAGGAGGGGUCGUUGUCAACGACGUAGUCGAUCACCGGGGCAUCAGCGGCCUCGGGGCCUACCGGAGAGAAGAGGGGGAAGAAACAGUAAAUACAUAGCAAACAGAGGUAACACCAAGCAUGACAUGACGAUACGUAGCGCUAAGCGUGCUCUAACGCGGUCCUAGACGUUAUAGGUGAAGGGGGAAAACAACCGGGAAGGUGUUCCCGGUUCCGGACCUGUGUCAGACAGAUGACCGGAGGGGGAAAGUUCCAUGUUCAGCAUGCUAGGGGCAUGUGACAGAUGAACAGACCGCGUAUUCGGAUUCGUUGGAUUUUUCUGAGCAACUUUCAUAUAGAAAACAUUUUCAUCCGAGCUACGGUUUAUUUUCUAUGAUUUUCUAAAGUUUUACAAUAUUCUGAAAUUGUUUUAAUUACUAAAUUCAUCAGAAAAGAAUUAUGACGUCAUGCUGGCGUCAGCCCUGCGUCAGCGGUCAACAGACCAGUUGACUAGUCAAUGGGGCCCAUGCGGGGCCCAUAGGCAGUGACAGGGCGUUGCCCAGUCAGCAUUUGACCGGGUCAACGGGACCCAUGGGGCCCAGNNNNNNNNNNNNNNNNNNNNNNNNNNNNNNNNNNNNNNNNNNNNNNNNNNNNNNNNNNNNNNNNNNNNNNNNNNNNNNNNNNNNNNNNNNNNNNNNNNNNNNNNNNNNNNNNNNNNNNNNNNNNNNNNNNNNNNNNNNNNNNNNNNNNNNNNNNNNNNNNNNNNNNNNNNNNNNNNNNNNNNNNNNNNNNNNNNNNNNNNNNNNNNNNNNNNNNNNNNNNNNNNNNNNNNNNNNNNNNNNNNNNNNNNNNNNNNNNNNNNNNNNNNNNNNNNNNNNNNNNNNNNNNNNNNNNNNNNNNNNNNNNNNNNNNNNNNNNNNNNNNNNNNNNNNNNNNNNNNNNNNNNNNNNNNNNNNNNNNNNNNNNNNNNNNNNNNNNNNNNNNNNNNNNNNNNNNNNNNNNNNNNNNNNNNNNNNNNNNNNNNNNNNNNNNNNNNNNNNNNNNNNNNNNNNNNNNNNNNNNNNNNNNNNNNNNNNNNNNNNNNNNNNNNNNNNNNNNNNNNNNNNNNNNNNNNNNNNNNNNNNNNNNNNNNNNNNNNNNNNNNNNNNNNNNNNNNNNNNNNNNNNNNNNNNNNNNNNNNNNNNNNNNNNNNNNNNNNNNNNNNNNNNNNNNNNNNNNNNNNNNNNNNNNNNNNNNNNNNNNNNNNNNNNNNNNNNNNNNNNNNNNNNNNNNNNNNNNNNNNNNNNNNNNNNNNNNNNNNNNNNNNNNNNNNNNNNNNNNNNNNNNNNNNNNNNNNNNNNNNNNNNNNNNNNNNNNNNNNNNNNNNNNNNNNNNNNNNNNNNNNNNNNNNNNNNNNNNNNNNNNNNNNNNNNNNNNNNNNNNNNNNNNNNNNNNNNNNNNNNNNNNNNNNNNNNNNNNNNNNNNNNNNNNNNNNNNNNNNNNNNNNNNNNNNNNNNNNNNNNNNNNNNNNNNNNNNNNNNNNNNNNNNNNNNNNNNNNNNNNNNNNNNNNNNNNNNNNNNNNNNNNNNNNNNNNNNNNNNNNNNNNNNNNNNNNNNNNNNNNNNNNNNNNNNNNNNNNNNNNNNNNNNNNNNNNNNNNNNNNNNNNNNNNNNNNNNNNNNNNNNNNNNNNNNNNNNNNNNNNNNNNNNNNNNNNNNNNNNNNNNNNNNNNNNNNNNNNNNNNNNNNNNNNNNNNNNNNNNNNNNNNNNNNNNNNNNNNNNNNNNNNNNNNNNNNNNNNNNNNNNNNNNNNNNNNNNNNNNNNNNNNNNNNNNNNNNNNNNNNNNNNNNNNNNNNNNNNNNNNNNNNNNNNNNNNNNNNNNNNNNNNNNNNNNNNNNNNNNNNNNNNNNNNNNNNNNNNNNNNNNNNNNNNNNNNNNNNNNNNNNNNNNNNNNNNNNNNNNNNNNNNNNNNNNNNNNNNNNNNNNNNNNNNNNNNNNNNNNNNNNNNNNNNNNNNNNNNNNNNNNNNNNNNNNNNNNNNNNNNNNNNNNNNNNNNNNNNNNNNNNNNNNNNNNNNNNNNNNNNNNNNNNNNNNNNNNNNNNNNNNNNNNNNNNNNNNNNNNNNNNNNNNNNNNNNNNNNNNNNNNNNNNNNNNNNNNNNNNNNNNNNNNNNNNNNNNNNNNNNNNNNNNNNNNNNNNNNNNNNNNNNNNNNNNNNNNNNNNNNNNNNNNNNNNNNNNNNNNNNNNNNNNNNNNNNNNNNNNNNNNNNNNNNNNNNNNNNNNNNNNNNNNNNNNNNNNNNNNNNNNNNNNNNNNNNNNNNNNNNNNNNNNNNNNNNNNNNNNNNNNNNNNNNNNNNNNNNNNNNNNNNNNNNNNNNNNNNNNNNNNNNNNNNNNNNNNNNNNNNNNNNNNNNNNNNNNNNNNNNNNNNNNNNNNNNNNNNNNNNNNNNNNNNNNNNNNNNNNNNNNNNNNNNNNNNNNNNNNNNNNNNNNNNNNNNNNNNNNNNNNAAAAAGUUGGUUCACCACCAAUAUUAGUUGUGGAAUAUUCUGCACAUGAUGAACAUUUUUGUUUUCAUGUCUGAGCCUUUUGAAUUUCAGACAAAAUUUGAAUUUGAAUUUGAAUUCAACUGGAAUUUAAAAGAGAAAGGAGACAAUUAUGAUCAGGAACAUGUUUAGCAAAAAGAUUAACUUAACCCCAGGGGUUACUGUAGCAUCAUUACACCGGGGUGUUACAACUCUCCUCCUCUAAAAGAAAUUCUCGUCCCGAGAAUUAAGAGGUAGAAGGGAAAAGAUCGGGGUAUUCAGCCCGGAGGUUAUCUUCGCGUUCCCAAGUGGCUUCCUCUUUAGUAUGAUUCGACCAUUGCACCUUGAGGAACUUAGUAACCUUCUGGCGGGUUCGACGUUCAGCUUCUUCAAGAAUGCAGAUCGGAUGCUCCUUGUAUGUGAGAUCAUCUUGAAUUUCAAUCAAUUCCGGAUCCACUUCACGUUCCGGAUCCUUGAAGCAUCGACGAAGUUGUGACACAUGGAAGACGUCAUGAACGUGAGAGAACUGAGGUGGCAACUCCAGUUGAUAAGCCACCAGUCCACGACGGGCGAGAAUACGGAAGGGACCAAUGUAGCGAGGAGCUAACUUUCCCUUGACUCCGAACCGAUGAGUGCCUCUCAAAGGAGUGACACGCAGAUAAGCUUGUUCACCAGGUUGAUAAGUUGAACCCCAGUGUUUCCGGUCAUAGUUGCUCUUCUGGCGGGAUUGGGCCGCCUUGAGAUUAUCCCGGACAAUGCGAACCUGCUCUUCAGCUUGUUGAAUAAUGUCCGGACCAAUGAGUGCUCGUUCCCCAGUUUCUGACCAAUUCAGAGGGGUUCGGCACUUACGUCCAUAAAGCACUUCAAAGGGUGCCAUCUUCAAGCUGGCUUGAUAGCUGUUGUUAUAGGAGAACUCCGCAUAAGGGAGAGAUUCUUCCCACUUCUUGCCGAAAGAAAUAACACAAGCUCGAAGCAUGUCUUCAAGAAUUUGAUUGACUCGCUCGACUUGGCCUUGGGAUUGGGGAUGAUAAGCAGUGCUCCAGGUAAUAUGAGUUCCCAUUGCCUCUUGGAAACUAUCCCAGAACUUAGAAGUGAAAAUACUGCCGCGGUCUGAACUGAUCUCCUUUGGAAUGCCGUGGAGUGACACAAUUCUGGAGAUAUACAAGCUUGCUAAUUGACUAGCAGUGAUAGUCUCCUUGACUGGCAGAAAGUGAGCAACCUUCGAGAAUUGGUCGAUGACGACAAAUAUAGCAUCGUUACCUUUCUGAGACUUGGGAAGGCCAGUGACGAAGUCCAUUUGGAUCUUAUCCCACUUCCAUUCAGGAAUCGGAAGCGGUUGUAGAAGUCCAGCCGGUUUUUGAUGUUCUGCUUUGACGCGACGGCAAACGUCACAUUCUUCGAUAUAUCGAGCAAUGUCUUGCUUCAUCUUAGACCACCAGUACUUCUGACGGAUGUCAAGAUACAUCUUGGUACUUCCCGGAUGAAUAGAGAGAGGGGUGUCAUGCGCUUCUUUCAUCACCUUCUCUGUCAUAAGCUCGAACCGGGGUACGACAAUGCGAUCUCUGAAGUAUAAGGUUCCAUCUUCACCAAGUGAGAAAUCUCUGGAUUUCUCUAAGGCCAGAUCCUUUUUCAUCAGAUCAACAUGAGCAUCUUUGGCUUGAGCAGACUUGAUUGCUUUCAGAAAAGUUGGUUCCAAAACAAGGUUAUUCAGAGAACCCUGUGGAACUAGUUGAAGGUUCAGCUUGCAUAGCUCUUCAUAAAGGCGGGGUUGAGCUUUGUAGACCUGGUGAUUAUUGCAAUAAGACUUUCGGCUUAGGGCAUCGGCCAUUACAUUAGCCUUGCCAGGUGUAUAAGAUAUACCGCAGUUGUAGUCAGCAAUAGCUUCCAUCCAUCGCUGCUGACGGAGGUUCAGAUCUGGCUGAGUAAACAGGUACUUCAGACUCUGAUGAUCAGUGAAGAUCUCACAACGAUUACCGAGAAGGUAUUGUCGCCAUAGCUUCAAUGCAAAGAUAACCGCUGCAAGCUCAAGGUCAUGAACCGGGUAGUUUUCUUCGUGAGGACGCACUUGACGGGAGGCAUAGGCAAUCACCCUGCGCUCUUGCAUUAGAACACAGCCUAAUCCUUGACGUGAAGCGUCACAAUAGAUGACAAAGUCCUUGCGAGAAUCAGGGGGAGCAAGCACUGGGGCAGAAGUCAGUUUAUCCUUGAGUGCCUGGAAACUUUCCUGACAUUUGUCUGCCCAAUCAAACUUAACGCCUUUGUGAAGCAGAUUAGUCAGUGGCUUGGCGAUCUUGGAGAAGUUCUCGACAAAGCGGCGACAAUAGCUGGCCAGUCCGAGAAAGCUUCUGACUUGCUUGACAGUCUUCGGAGGGGUCCAGUCAAGAAUAGCCUGAACGCGCUCUGGGUUGACGGCAAUACCAUCCUUGGAGAUCACAUGACCAAGGUAGGUGACUUCGGGUAACCAGAAUUCACAUUUGGAGUACUUGGCAUAAAGUUGAUGCUCUCGAAGCUUCUCCAGAACCAGACGAAGAUGUUCAGCAUGUUCUUCUUUAUUCUUCGAAUAUACCAGUAUAUCAUCCAGAUAGACUACGACGAACUUGUCGAGGUAAUCCAUGAAUAUAUAGUUCAUCAGACGAGAGAAUGUAGCUGGAGCAUUGGUUAAACCGAAUGACAUGACGGUGUACUCGUAAGAACCAUAACGAGUCACAAAUGCGGUCUUUGGAAUAUCCUCUUCACGAACACGGAUCUGGUGGUAACCCAACCUCAAGUCGAGUUUAGAGAAUAUCGAUGAACCAGCCAGUUGAUCAUACAGAUCAUUGAUCCGAGGAAGGGGAUAUUUGUUUUGAAUUGUAGCUUGGUUGAUAGGACGAUAGUCUUGGACCAAACGGUUCGUACCGUCCUUCUUCUUGACGAAGAGAGAAGGUGCUCCCCAAGCAGAGGAACUUGGACGAAUGAAACCCUUGUGAAGAGAUUUGUCGAUUUCCUCCUUAAGCUCAAGGAGUUCAUGAGGUGGCAUCUUGUAGGGUCGUUUUGCAAUAGGAAUGGUGCCUGGUUUCAAGUCGAUGACGAACUCGACAGCCCGGGCAGGGGGUAUUCCUGGAAGUUCUUCUGGAAAUACGUCUUGGAAGUUGCGAACGACUGGAAUCUUUUCAAUUCCCUCAAGAGGUGCCGCGUUCAACGCAUUCAGAGCAUAAAGUCGUGCUUCAGCGUUUUGAACAAGCUGAGCAUGGUAGCUUACUAUCUCAUCGGAAGGAUGUAGGAGGUGAACGACCUUGGUGGCGCAAACGAUAGAGGCAGUAUGCGCUUUCAACCAUUCCAUUCCCAGAAUGAGGUCAAUAUUGGAAGAAUCAAGAAUAAUGGGAGAAACACGAAAUUCCAACCCUUCAAUUUCAACGGGGACGUCGCGACCAAUCAUGGUAGUUCGACACUGACCCGCAGGGGUGCGUACCACUAUCGGAGUGUUCAUGGGCUCGCAACGGAUGUCAUGUGCGUAAGCAAAAUUUUCUGACAUGAAAGAGUGUGAUGCUCCUGAAUCGAAUAAAACAGAAGCCGGCACUGAAUUAACAAGAAGAGUACCCAUCACAGUGGCAGGCUGGUCUUGAGCUUCAUUCAGAUCAACAUGAUUAGCCUGACCAUGACCAUAAGGUCUGGCAUUAUUGUUAUGGGGCUGAUUGUUACGGCCAGUUGAAGGUAGAGCCAGCUGGCUCUUUUUCUGAGUGCACUCUUUAGCAAGGUGGCCGGGGCGGCCACAUCUGAAGCACAGACCAUCAUUGGGAUCGGGAGCAGGAGCUUGGGAUGGUACAUCUCGAAGAGGCUGCCUCUCUGGUGGAGGAGGCAGACGAGGUGCAACAAAGGACUGUCUUGGUGUAGGUGCAGUUGGACGAUACAUGCUGUGGGGAAUCCAUAUACGACGCUUCUGCGCUGACGGGCCCGAAGAUGGGCCAGCGUCACGGCUACGCCUGAGGGAUCCCUGGUGUUCCUGAAGACCAGUCUCAACCUGAAUAGCCUUGUUCACCAAGGUGGCGAAGUCGGCAAAGUCAUGAACGAGCAAUGCUAGCUUGAUAUCAGGGUGAAGUCCAUCACGAAACUUCUCUUGUCUACGAGCAUCAGUAGCAAUGUCUUCUUCAGCGUAACGGGACAAUUCCAAGAAUUCCCGCUGAUAAGCAUCUACAGUCUUGUUGCCUUGGGUGAGGUUGCGGAACUCUCGCUUCUUCCUGUCCAUGGUUCCCUGAGGAAUGAAACGGGCACGGAAGGCAGCUUGGAAAUCCGGCCAAGUAAUGACCGUUCUAGCCGGUAGGGUACGCCGGUGGCUGUCCCACCAUUGAGCAGCAGGACCCUUCAGAAAGAAAGAUGCGAAGGUGACAUAGCUGGCAGGGGCAACACCUGCAGACUCCAUUUCAUAUGUGAUGUCGCAGAGCCAGUCAUCAGCAUCAAGGGGUUGAGUUGAGCUGCGGUAGAUAGAUGGGUUGAGGCGCAUGAAGUCCUGCAGAGUUACUCGGGUUGGAUGUUGAUUCAUGUUCGGACGAGGAAACUGAGCCAUCAUUCCUUCCAUGAACUGGCGAGUUAACUCAAACUGUUGCCUCAUUCCAGUAAAGAAUUCAGGCGGUGGUGGGUCGUUGGCACCACAGCCACGACCAGCGGGUCUAACCAUCCUGCUAACAUGUAACAGGGGUAGUUCAGCAUUGAGCAUUUGCAAAGAUAAGGAUCAUUCAUGAUGAAAACAUACAUAAUGAAGGAGGUACGAUGGAUUCCACUCCGUAGUCAACACGACAGGGUGUGCGCUACUCAAAAAGCUAUUCUAAGGGAUAACUAUGGCUUCAUCCAACUUCGGGGUGAAUGUGGUCACGGGAUCCUAAUGUUAGUAAAUUCAUUUAACCCGAGUAGAAGAGAGUUUAGAGUCCCAGAGUAUAGACGAGGAGUAAAAGAUGCUAAUACCACCCAUAUGGCGACGUGGGCCCGUAAGCCACACAGCCAAGUUAGUAAAACAGUUUUGGACGACUAGACUCAACUUCGGCCAAGGAGUUGGAAAGGGGGCUACCUACAGGCAGUCGGCUCUGAUACCAACUUGUGACGCCCUCGAUUCAAUCGUACACUAAUCAUACACGCAAAUGUGUACGAUCAAGAUCAAGGACUCACGGGAAGAUAUCACAACACAACUCUAGACACAAAUUAAAAUAAUACAAGCUUUAUAUUACAAGCCAGGGGCCUCGAGGGCUCGAAUACAUCAGCUUGAAUACAAACGAGUCAGCGGAAGCAACAAUAUCUGAGCACAGACAUGAGUUAAACAAUUUGCCUUAAGAAGGCUAGCACAAAAGCAUCUAUGAUCGAAGAGGCAAGGCCUCCUGCCUGGGAGCCUCCUAACUACUCUUGGUCGUCGGCGUCCGUCACGUGGUAGUAGGCACCCUCGGGGUAGCAGCAGUCGUCAAAGGUGGCAUCUGGCUCCUGGACUCCACCAUCUGGUUGGAACAACCAGAAAGAAGAAAGAAGGGGGAAAAGGGGAAGCAAAGCAACCGUGAGUACUCAUCCAAAUGUACUCGCAAGCAAGGAUCUACACUACAUAUGCAACAUUAUCAACGGAAGGCUGUAUAUGUGGACUGGGCUGCAGAAAUGCCAGAAUAGGGAGAAGGCCUAGUCCUAUCGAAGACUAGCAUCUUCUCGAACCCACCAUCUUGCAGCAACAGGAGGGAGUAGAGUAGCAUAAAGUAAAGCGGUAGUAGUGUUAUCAACCUCGGCCAGAGAUCCUUUCUCGACUCCCUGCGAGAAAGCAAUCCCAGAGCCAUACUAUCCAGUCAUCAUCACAAUCAAAUCCUCAUCACCAUCCAGUUCUCAACACAAGUAUCCAGUUCUAGUUGUAUCGAUCGGGAUACAACUCCAAGUGUCCGUUACCGUAGGACAGGCUAUCGAUAGAUGUUUUCUUCCCUGCAGGGGUGCACCAACUUACCCACCACGCUCGAUUGACUCCGGCCGGACACACUUUCCAGGGUCAUGCCCGGCCUCGGCCAAACAAUACGCCGCAACCCGACCUAGACUUAACAGAGAGGUCAGCACGCCGGACUAAACCUAUGCCCCCAGGGGUCAUGGGCCAUCUCCCCGGGAACUCCUGCACGUUGCGUGGGCGGCCGGUGAGCAGACCUAGCUACCUCCCUAAAAAGGCAGGAGCUUACCAGUCCAACCCGGCGCGCGCCGCUCCGUCGCUGACGUCUAUUAAGCUUCGGCUGAUGUACACGACGCAGAACGCCCAUACUAUGCCCACGUGAUGGUUAGUGCUAUCAGGCCAGAGGCCCCUCGGAUCAAAUAUCCAAAUCGUAGUGGAUUAGGAACGCGCGGUAACAAGCAGAGACUCACGAAAGAGGUGACCCCGUUGCCCCGUCUCGAGGACUUGCGGCAAGGGCUAAGAAUGCCCGACCACGCCUCGUAAUUAUCUCACGGGCACCUUCCAGGUCAACCCGUCUCCACAUCACUUUCCAAGUAACAGUUGUAAAGUCCAAGUAUCCGUGUGUCCAAACAUCAAGAGGAAAACCCAAGGAAUCACCCUCGGUGGGUUCCACUCAAUGUAAUCAUCAAGGUGAACGUAGAGGAAUCACCCUCGAGGUUCACACUUGAGGGGUUGCACGACAGAGUCGUAUCGGAAGUGAUUAAAGAGGAAAUCACCCUCGAUGACCACGACCGAAUAGCUACACUACAGGUUAACAUCAGAAGUGCUGUAGAGGUCUCACCCUUGGCACUCGAUAGUAACCCAGUAGUGUCGAGCAACUAAGGGGAAAGUGAUGUGCGGUGCCGGGGCCUGGUCUUCAAUCCCGUUGAACGGGUCUUCAAUGAUGAAGCAGGGGCAACAAGGACAAGGUGGGGGUCACUGAUGGAUCACUAAUCAACCUAUACUAAGCAGUUUAGGAUAAGCCGGUAAGGUAACAAUAAGCAGGUUACAAAAAGAGGCUAUGCAUCAGAAUAGGUGCAAACAAUAACAGUAGCAAAAUCUAAUGCAAGCAUGAGAGAAUGGAAUGGGCGAUAUCGGGAUGAUCAAAGGGGGGGCUUGCCUGGUUGCUCUGGCAAGGAGGGGUCGUUGUCAACGACGUAGUCGAUCACCGGGGCAUCAGCGGCCUCGGGGCCUACCGGAGAGAAGAGGGGGAAGAAACAGUAAAUACAUAGCAAACAGAGGUAACACCAAGCAUGACAUGACGAUACGUAGCGCUAAGCGUGCUCUAACGCGGUCCUAGACGUUAUAGGUGAAGGGGGAAAACAACCGGGAAGGUGUUCCCGGUUCCGGACCUGUGUCAGACAGAUGACCGGAGGGGGAAAGUUCCAUGUUCAGCAUGCUAGGGGCAUGUGACAGAUGAACAGACCGCGUAUUCGGAUUCGUUGGAUUUUUCUGAGCAACUUUCAUAUAGAAAACAUUUUCAUCCGAGCUACGGUUUAUUUUCUAUGAUUUUCUAAAGUUUUACAAUAUUCUGAAAUUGUUUUAAUUACUAAAUUCAUCAGAAAAGAAUUAUGACGUCAUGCUGGCGUCAGCCCUGCGUCAGCGGUCAACAGACCAGUUGACUAGUCAAUGGGGCCCAUGCGGGGCCCAUAGGCAGUGACAGGGCGUUGCCCAGUCAGCAUUUGACCGGGUCAACGGGACCCAUGGGGCCCAGUGGCAGUGGCUGUGGGGAGGUCCACGUGGACAGCCACGUCAGCGACGCCGGAAACGGCGCCGGAGUUGCUCCGGUGGCCUCCUGCGGUGGCGAGCUCGCCGGACUUCGCCGGGAAUCGCGCACAGGGGGUCAUUUGGCCCGGGACUUGGCGCGUUCGAACGAGGAGACGAAGCCGCGCCGCAUGGUGUGGUCGGUUGGACGCGGGGGUGACCGGAACUGCGUCGGCGACGAGUGGAGGCGGCGGUGGGGUUCGGGACCUCGUCGGGAUCGGUGUUGCAGUGCGUGUUUUGGCGAACGAAGGAGCUGGGCGAGGUCUACGGCGCUCCAGGAGCUCGUCGGAGCUACUAGCUCGAGCGGAGGAGCUCGGUGGCGAGCCCUACGACGGCAAUGGCGGACGGCGGAGCUCGGCUUGCGAGCGAGCUAGCUACGGUGGAGGCGGAGACGCGCGAGGAGAGGGAAAGGGGGGGCGGCGGAGCUCACCUUGGGGGCACACGGUGGCCCGUUGGGUGACUAGGAGCAGCAGAGACGGCGCCGGAGACGAAGAAGGGCGGCGACGACCGGAGACGUGGACGAAAGGGAUCCGGCGCUUCGGUGCUCCCCAACUCCAGCUGAGGCCACCGGUCGAUGGAGAGGGCGAUGGCGGAGGUCACCGACAAGGUCAGCGGGCGCGGGGUCGCCGGUGGCCGCGACAACGAUGGAGGACGGCGGCGAGGGCGCUCGGGCCACGGAUCUGGAGGAGAGGAGGGCGGAGCGAGCGAGGGAGAGGGAGCGAGAGUGGCAAGUGGGCGAGUGGGAGGCGAGGGGGCCGAGGCGUCGGGGAGGCGCAAACCUUAUCCCCUCGCCCAGACGUCGCCGGCGAGGCGGGUCCGGCGGGGACGGUGCCCCUGUAGCGGCGCGCACCAGGGGAACAGGAAGGGGGCGCAGUGCGGGGAGCUGGGCCGGCUGGUUGAGGUGGGCCGAGGCCCAUGGGGGGGGGCACGGUGGCCAGCUGGGCCAGUCGGCCCAGUUGAGGGGGGGGCCCUUUUCCUUUUUCUUUUUUUUAUUCCAGCAGCAUUUUGCCUUUUCUUUUAGCCAUUAAAGACUUUGCAAAAAUUAUGCCAUUGGCCAAAAUAAUUUCAAAGAAGUAUAUUGCACUACCAAAAAAAAGGGGGGAGGCUUUUGGAAAAGUUGCCAAUUUUAUAAAUUAAAAAGGGCAUUUAAUUUAUUGCUUAGGCCACUGUUUGAAGUAGCUUAGGCCACUCAAACCUUUUUGCAAAAAAGUUGGUUCACCACCAAUAUUAGUUGUGGAAUAUUCUGCACAUGAUGAACAUUUUUGUUUUCAUGUCUGAGCCUUUUGAAUUUCAGACAAAAUUUGAAUUUGAAUUUGAAUUCAACUGGAAUUUAAAAGAGAAAGGAGACAAUUAUGAUCAGGAACAUGUUUAGCAAAAAGAUUAACUUAACCCCAGGGGUUACUGUAGCAUCAUUACACCGGGGUGUUACACCCAGCCCCUGCCGCACACGAAUCCGUCCCCUGCAAGCUCCGGCCGCCGCCUUCGUUCUGCAUCAUGCAGCCAUGCCGCCUCCAGCCGCUCGAGGAGCGGGCAGCCCGCCGACGCGAGACUCGCGGUGCGGCACUCCGCUCCCCCGUCAGGCACCACGUCCACGCGCGGCAGUCCUGUGCGCGGCGGCAGGGCAGGGGGUGGCGGCGUACCGGAGGUGGAGACGGGAUUGGGAGGCUGUGUUUUUUUCCUAUCGCUCGUACCGUUUCGGUUGACUUUUACAUGGACUGCGGGUUGAAUAGCCUAAAGCAUAUGGAUUUUUCUGCAAAAAUGCCAAUGACGUAUGACCAGAAGCAAUAGCCGCUUUAUUAGUAGGGAAAGAUAUAUAUAUAUAUAUAUAAUAUGCUUUACAAAUACAAUGAUCUCAAAAUCAUAAGGUUGAAUUCAAAAAAUUUAAACCAAAUUACGUUCUACUAAAAUGUAUGGAUCGAUAAUAUCCACAUUUUAAAUAACAUAGAUGCGCGUGAAUUCAUAUGAGUAUGCAUGUUUGAUAGAUCUAUUUUGGUUCGAGUACGAAUUACAUGUAUCAUCAUCUCGAAGUCAAAUAUUUGAAUCCCUUUCAUGUUGACAUUUUCUAUACACGCAACUAAAUAUUUGAAUCUCCUUUCACGCCCAUCUCUCUUGCUUGCUCCUUCAUGUAGCUAUCACUCUCUUUUCUCCAGCUCACCCGCACGCCCACUUCAUGUUUCUCCUAUAUUUUCGCAAACAUGGUCUCUCAACGUCUCCCUUGAGAAGUAUCACACUCUCCCUAUCAUUAUACAUUACACGGUUUUCAUUAUCUCUCGCGUCUCUAUCAUUCUCUGGUAUCACUAGGUACCUAUGCUUUCUUUUCACCUCCACACACACACUCUCACUCGUCUUUCACUUUGUCUUUCUCUCCAGGGUUCUCUCACGCACCCCAUAUCUCUCUAGAUAUGACUCCUACCACUAAAAUUACCUCUCCCGCACACACAACAUUUGUUGCGGUCUACUUACCGUAUUCAUCUCAGUUAUAAAACUGACAUUAUUCAUUUGUUUACUGAUCUGACAAACUCCCCCCUUUCUCUCACACACACACACACACACAACUCCUGCUUCCACUCCCCUUCCCGACUACCGUCUCUCUCACAGACACACAAAACUCUCGCUUUCGCACCCCGGCUCGUAUUUCUCUCAUAAACAUUGAUCGACUAGCCUCCAGAUAGGUUUAUACAUCCGCACACUCUUGCUUCCACUAUAUCGUACAUGUCUCUCUCGCGCUCCUUGUAUCUUGGUUUUCGUCCCUUCCUGAGACACGCCCUCUCGAUCGUGCACACACACACUAUCACCUCAUUUUAUGGUGAUACCUCUCACACACACACUCUUUGUGUCUUUGUCACACACGCACUCCGUCCUCCUCCUUUCUCCCUCCCUCUCUCACACAUACACACACACACCACACACACACAUGGGCUUUUUGCAACAAUUAGCAAGAUGCCCAUGCCUUGCACGGAACAUUAAGAUGCAUUUGUAUGAGUAGUUUAUCUUGUGGGAGAAAAGGAUGAACGAGGGAAAGCCUUAUUUGAAAAAGUGGAGAGGGGUGUGGGUAUCUUUUUGCAAAAUUGCCAUAGUUUCAUUCCUAUCCAUCAGAUAUAAAUCGGACGAACUAUAUUGCAGGAUGGCAGGCACACCAUCAUCACUAACUUUGUUUUUUUAUAAGAGUAGAGAUAUGCCACUUCUUGAAUCUUGAAACCAACCACAUUCCUCCCUUAUCUCAUCAAAACCGCCAAAGGAAUAUAUUUUGAGUGAAGCAUAACAUUUUUUUACUGAUAUACGUAUUUCAAAACUAGACUCUUUUCUAUCAAAUCGGUGAAUAUGUAUUAAUCUACUUUGAUCAUGUGGCAACACAUUGGCACAUUGCUAGUUAUUACUACUGUAUAAUUUUUUGGACACCAGACAAAUGGUGGAGUACAUAUACGAAGAGAAGAGUUGCACACACGCAGUUGGUCUCUCGCUGUCUUGCACACAUGAGAGUUACGUAAAGGCACCGUAAACAAAUAAACCCUAAAACCCUAUGUGCAUGAUUGCUGCAUGCGCGGGUACCAGGUAGUACGUGGUGGAGCGCACAUUUGUAGGAAUAGUCAGCUCCAUGAUAAUUUGAUCCGUAGGAGUUGAUGGUCGGGAGUCGGGACCACAUGUGAACGACCUGGAGGCGGUGGCUCGCCAGUCGCCACUGAUCGAGUAGCCACAUUUAAAAUAUCAUUUUUUAGCGGGGUAAGAGUUCCGAUUUUAAAUGGUGUGUUAUAAGUACUAGUUUUUAGAACGAUUGGUAUGAAGCGAAAAUGGAAUUCAUAACUACUACCUCCGUGCUGGUUUACUAGUCCCCAUCGUUUUUUGCAUCAAAGUUUGUCCACAAAUUUUACUUGUAAAAAUGUGAAUGGAAAACGAUAUUUUGUUAUACCCAAACAAAAAAGAACUCGAGGGAGUGAUUGCUCUGACACAGACAUGACCUCUCAUAGCACAGGCAUUGAACCGACAUGGUGGCCAAGAGGGCCCCAUUCGUUGCAGGCCAGGCUGAACACGCCUCCUCGCCACAUGCAACCGGCUUCAGACUGCCCCUCCUGCCUCCAUCCGUGCGUGUGCCGGCAACACGUCCUUCCGUGAGCUGGGCGGAAUUUUAGAAGACAACGCAGCGGCUCCUCUUGCCCGCCCGCUAUUUAAACGAGGCCAGAUGGCUGGCAAGAACAGCACCACACCGCCGCUCCCCAUAUCCUCCUUGCACCAUUUUCAACACACUCUCCAUAGCAUCUGGUGAGCAGGAUGACGAGUUCUCCGGCAUAAAAGCCGGAUGGGUGGCCACCGCCGACACCGAGGUCGAGAGCCACUGCCGCUUGGAACCCAUGAAUGCUACGACCACUGCGUCGUCGGCAGACACCCGGUAUGUUGCUCGGUUUGGCUCAAAACAUCAUGGACCCCAGCUGCGGCCGGCAUUAGAAAUAUUAUACCUGCCUCCAUAAGUUAUUUGCUUUUAGUCAAAAAAUGUCCAAAGUAUAAUUAAUUAUGUAUGGUCUUGACUUGUUGUGCUUGCACUAGUAGUAGGAACUAGAGAUUUUUCUUUAUUUAUAACUCUCCUCACAUUUUUUUGGCUUUGCAAUGAACCAUGGUUGUGGACAUCAUCUAUGAAUGUGCAGAUAUCUGUGAACAUGAGUUUGAUGUGGAAGUUGAACUUAGAAUGUUGGGCUUGCGUGUGAACUAUACCAUGUCCAAUGCUUCGUCUGUUAUUGUUUGGAAAGUAACUGUUGUUUUUCCAUGACCCCAAAUUUUUUUAUUUUGUGCCACAUCAGUAGAUGCACGGACAUCACAACAGGCAUGUUGACUGGAUAAACAUUUGAACCUAGCUAUAAUGAAGGAAAAUUUGUAUUGACAACAGUUUUAGAUAGCAGGAGACGCCUAGCCUGCUCUGGCUCUGCUAGCCUCUUUCUGGCUUCUUCCAUCUCUUAUUUGGCUUGGGUGAAGAGAGCAUCUGAUUGCUCUUUUCGCUCCUUUAGGAACUCAGCUACAUUUUGAAGCGUUGCUGCAUGCUUUCUCUUAGCCUUUACUAGAGCCAUGAGGACACGAACAGUUGACGACUCCACCUGGCUUGUGUGUAAUCCAGCAUCAUCUGGGAAUUUGCACCUUGUGUCUAAUCCAUCAUCAUUAGGGAACGGGCACCUUGUGUGUAAUCCAGCCUCAUUCUGGAAACAUGAUCUCGAGGUUGACCAUACUUCCCUCCUCGCAGGAACUGCAUGCUAACAUGAAGUAACUUCUUUUUUAGAUCAAUACACAGAGCAACCAGAUCCAUUUAGUAGAAGCCAGAUAAACAAGACUCGGAGAAGUGAAUUCAGAAGGAGAAAUAUAAAAAUAGACUCCAAGGUAAGAACAUCCACUUCCUACAUCAAGCUAAAAAUGAAAGCAUUAUGAUGAUUAAGACUCUUCUUAUUACACACCGAAGAACAUGAGGCUAAGAGAAACAGAAACUACAACAUAUACACAUCGAAGAACACGAGGAUAAACGAAAGUUAUUGAAAGGGUGUUACUUACCAAAGCUCAUUUUACAGGUUCGGUGCAGCUCCUCUUUAACUUGCCACGUUCCUUAAAGAUGUCCCCAAUAUCCCGUGUUUGGUCUUCAUUGCUUCUUUGCACGUUCGCACUCGUGGUUUUAAAAUCUCAACAUGGGAAGAAAAAUAUAGUAAUACUCACGCGUCUUGUGGGCAACAUUAAAGAACUCAUCUGCCAUGUUAGAGCAUCUCCAACAGAAGCGCAUCAUGUGACGCAUUAAAAAAGCAUUUACAAUGCUAGAAUAGCCAGUUUUUGUGGGCCGCGGAGUGCUGGGUCCAGCGAGCGCUGCAAAAAAUUGCGCGCGCGCCGCUCUAGCAGACGUGCUAUAUUUUUUCUCCUUUCUACUCUGACUUGAUACACAUUCGACUCCGAGUUGAUACUGGCAUAGAUAGAUACAUAGAUAGUUCUCAGCAUAUAUAGCAUAGAUAGAUAGAAAAUAGAUAGUUCAACUACUCCUCGUUGUCCGGCUCGGUGAUGUCCUCCUCCGAUGUCUCAAUGUAAGCGGCAAGAUACCGACCAUCGCCGGAGUCCCAGAGCAACGCUUCUCCUAGCUUGAUGUUGAAUUGAGCGGCCGCCUUCCGCAUACGCUUGUCCUCGCGAUAGGCGGCUCGCUCCGCCCUCCUCUUCUCCCUCUCCGUCCUCCUUUGCACGUAGAACUCAUGCUCAUUGAUGAUGUCCUGCGGGAAACAUUGGCGCCACAGCGCCAUGGCUUCCUCGUCCAUCUUGGCGAUGCCAAGACGGUGCUCCCGCCUCCGGUUGUUGUGAAAAUUCUCGUCGGUGAUAAGCCGUUGGGGAGGUGCGAGCUCCUGCGCCCGCUUCCGCGUCGGCACAUUGGGGAAGUUCAAUGUUCUACGAGGCCAUCGGAGGCGCCACGCCGCCGCAUCAUACGAGCGGCGAUCUCGUGUGCGGUGUCGAAAGUGCCAAGGGAGAGGCGCGUUUUGAGGAACCGGAUCUCGGCGGAGAAGCCGCCGGAAGGGCGCGCGCGGAUGCCGCGUGAUACGUCUCCAACGUAUCUAUAAUUUUUGGUUGUUCCAUGCUAUUAUAUUACCCGUUUUGGAUGUUUAUGGGCUUUACUUUACACUUUUAUAUCAUUUUUGGGACUAACCUACUAACCGGAGGCCCAACCCGAAUUGUUUUUUUCCUAUUUCAGUGUUUCGAAGAAAAGGAAUAUCAAACGGAGUCCAAAUGGAAUGAAACCUUCGGGAGCGAUCUUUUUGGAACAAACGCAAUCCAGGAGAGUUGGAGUGGACGUCAAGCAGUGAACGAGGCGGCCACGAGGGUGCCCGGCGCACCCUAAGGGGAUGAGCGCGCCCCCACCCUCAUGGGCCCCUCAAGCGUCAACCGACAUACUUCUUCCUCCUAUAUAUAUCCACGUACCCCGAAAACAUAUAGGAGCACCAUGAAAAACUAUUUCCACCGCCGCAACCUUUUGUAUCCACGAGAUCCCAUCUUGGAGCCUUCGCCGGUGCUCUGCCAGAGGGGGAAUCGACCAUGGAGGGCCUCUACAUCAUCUCCAAGGCCUCUCUGAUGAGUUGUGAGUAGUUUACCACAGACCUUCGGGUCCAUAGUUAUUAGCUAGAUGGCUUCUUCUCUUUCUUUGAAUCUCAAUACAAAGUUCUGCUCGAUCUUCUUGGAGAUCUAUUCAUUGUAACUCUUUUUGCGGUGUGUUUGUCAAGAUCCGAUGAAUUGUGGGUUUAUGAUCAAGUUUAUCUAUGAGAAAUAUUUGAAUCUCCUCUGAAUUCAUUUAUGUGUGAUUAAGUUAUCUUUGCAAGUCUCUUCGAGUUAUCAGUUCGGUUUGGCCUACUAGAUUGAUCUUUCUUGCAAUGGGAGAAGUGCUUAGCUUUGGGUUCAAUCUUGCGGUGUCCUUUCCUAGUGACAGCAGAGGAAGCAAGGGACGUAUUGUAUUGUUGCCAUCGAGGAUAAAAAGAUGGGGUUUAUAUCAUAUUGCAUGAGUUUAUCCCUCUACAUCAUGUCAUCUUUCUUAAUGCGUUACUCUGUUCUUCAUGAACUUAAUACUCUAGAUGCAGGCAUGACUCGGUCGAUGUGUGGAGUAAUAGUAGUAGAUGUAGAAUCGUUUUGAUCUACUUGUCAUGGAUGUGAUGCCUAUAUACAUGAUCAUGCCUAGAUAAUCUCAUAACUAUGCACUUUUCUAUCAAUUGCUCGACAGUAAUUUGUUCACCCACCGUAAUACUUAUGCUAUCUUGAGAGAAGUCACUAGUGAAACCUAUGGCCCCCGGGUCUAUCUUUUAUCAUAUAAGUUUUCCAUCUACUUUUAUUUGCAUCUUUACUUUUCCAUCUAUAUCAUAAAAAUACCAAAACUAUUUAUCUUAUCUUAUUAUCUCUAUCAGAUCUCACUUUCACAGGUUACCGUGAAGGGAUUGACAACCCCUUUAUCGUGUUGGUUGCGAGGUUCUUAUUUGUUUGUGUAGGUGCGUGGGACUUUUGAGGAGCCUCCUACUGGAUUGAUACCUUGGUUCUAAAAAACUGAGGGAAAUACUUACGCUACUUUGCUGCAUCACCCUUUCCUCUUUGAGGGAAAAACCAACGCAAGCUCAAGACGUAGCACCGCGGUAUCCCCAAGUUUCCCGGCGACGUGGCGGCAUGGUGGCGCGGUGGUGAUGAGGCGAGAAAGAGCGGGGAGAGAGCGGUGGUGAGGCACAGAGCAGGGAGAGAGCAGUGGCAAGGUACAGAGCGGUGGGAGGUCAUUGGAUUUUAUAAAGCGCGUCGAACGCCGUGCGCCAAAACUAGCACGUGCCUGACCACUUUUUCCCCCGCGUGCGCGAUCCUUUCCCGACGUCCCUGCUAUCUCUACUGGCUUCUGUACUAAAAAUAUCAAUAUCUACAAUACCAAAUAUAUAUUUUAUGAAACUUUAUUUCAUAAUGUGUAUAAAAAUAUUGAUUUUACAUUGUGAAUGUUGAUACAUUUUUUUAUAAGUUUGGUCAAAGUAGAGGUACAUUGACUUCAGACAAAACUUAUAUGCACAAUGCAGACUAGUUCCUCUGUCGAGGUGCGUGUCAUGUCCUAUCUAGUCAUCACAACAAGGUUAGCUAUUAGAGUACUACUACCUCCCUUCUAGUUUAAAGGGCUCGAUUCAAAAAUUUCACCUACUCUUACCAAGAUAGAGGCGGUGGAAUAGUUUUUGUAGUCUGCAAAAGUACUCAAUUAGUGCUCUCGUUCUUCACAAAAAAAUGUGUUUACCAAUGCAUUAUCGCAUUGCAUGCAUGCAUGCAUGAACACUAGUAAAUGACGAAGGAUUUUACAUGCAUUAGUUAAUAUUCUCUUUAGGCUACUCAUAGUGGAAAGUACUAUCAUAUACUAGUAUCAUGUGCAUGAUACUAGUGUAUGAUACGGGACUACCUUUAUAGUGCCAUGCAUGACACAAAGUAGCAUAGUAUUUAACAUGAUAUAGUUUCCCUCAAUUUUUUAAACAUGAUACAGUAUCUGCCUAUGUUACUCUAACCCCCUUCUCUUCUUUAAUUCUUUGCCACAUCAGCAUGUUUGCUAUUCCGGUGUGCAUGAUACCAGCACAAUGGCCAGCCUUAAUCAUCGCAUGCAAUAAUUUAGUGCACCUUGAAAUCUAAACAUGUGUGGGGCGUGUAUGUUUUUAAUGACUUGAGACUAUACCUAGCCUGGCAUGCAUGCAAGAUGACUUAAUAUGCACUGUUCCCCAAACCUGCUGGAAGCCCGUUCGUCUCCAAAUAUUUUCCUCUCCAUGUGUGAAAACAAUCUACCUGCUUGACUCUCCUUCUCCCUCUGGCAGUCCCACCACUCCAUCUCAUGUGAAAAAAUCUGCAUGCAUGAGACUCUCCUCCCCCGCACUCGUCCAAUACAUUGUGACCAGCAAUAUUUCCACCCCUUCCCUCCCCCGUAAUUUACUCCAACAAAUAUGCCCACGUAGCUAUUACGUUAAUCACGCAACAUAUAUUAUGUAGGUGUGCCAUUUCUCGCUAUAAAUACUACACCUCUCACGACAUUUGGAAGAACGCUCACGUUCAUCGCUAUCUCCUUCCCCUCCCUCUCACAUCGACCACAAUGGCCUCGUCCCUCCCAAGCCCUAGGUAGCCCUCGCUGCACUGCCCGAAGGGUCACGCGUCGUCAUUCCGUUCCUCGCCACCACUAGUCGAGGAGGACGUGUCAGUGUUCCGCUCCUCGCCGUGACGCGUGUUCCCAGUCUCACCAACACGCGUGUCGAAGGAUGCGUCGGCUCCCCGCUACGAGGAGAACGUCGCGCCGCCUGCUGAGCCCCCCAGCCUUGAGGAGCUUUGGAAAGAAAUGGAGGUCGCCUUGUGGGAGGCUUUGCUUCCGGCAGAGCGUGCAAAAUAGAGGUGGAGAAGAAGUCCAAGGAAGAGAAGCGCGCCAAGAGGCAUGCUGCCUGGCAGGCCUAUGUCACGUCCGAGAGAGACAGGCAAUUGGCUCUUUGGAAGAAGGCUCGUGCGAUGGUCGUGAGCGUGGCAGAAGACGCCCAUGCCAAAGCUCUGUGUGCAGUCGGGCCCAAGCGCCUCAUCUACGCUUGGUGGUACGUGGACCGGGUGCACGCUUCCAGCGAGGAGGAGUACUUGUUGGCUAUGGAUCACCACACCGAUGAGAUCGCGCUCGCCUGCCGGCAAGCCGCCAAUCAGCACCUCGCGAGUUGCGAGGCUGAGGAAGAGGCAUUAUGUCGGCGCGCUGGGAAAUGGCCGCGGACCAGGGCACUCAUGACGCGUCGCAAGUGCUCCUGGGAGCGUUGUGGCUUUUAUUUGGAAUAAUUUAGUUUCAUAAGGCGAUCUCAUUAGUUUUGGGACUCAAAUGAUAAAUCCCGAAUGUUUAGGAAUUAUUAGCGUCCUUAAUUAAGUAUGUAAAAGGAAAAGUUUGGAAACCUUGUGUAUUUGUACACAUUUUGUAAGUACGUGCAUAUAGCACAAACUUAACUAUAUAUCGCACUAAACGUCUCUCUCUAUAUAUGCUUGAAGACUGUGCAACUACUAUUACUUAUGUACGUGCAAAUGCACGUUUUAACAUUACGAUGCGCGGUUUUUGUAAAAGUAGAAAAACAACACUAGUCAAGCUUGUGAAACGAUUCAAUGCAAAAGAAAUGCAACAAUGCUCGUUUGAUUGUUUACUUUUAGCUUCCUUCUUUGUGGUUAUUUCUCUAUCGUACUUUGUACGGACUAUCUCACUGGUCGGGAAGGCAUGCAAAUUCCCAAACCGCUUCGUACACCCUGUAUCAAUUUUUUUUGCCUAAAACAUUGUGCCGUUCAAUUGGAAUUCCAACUUGAGUAGAGUAGUACUACUAGUAGUACCAGGGGACAGUUCUUUUAGGCUUCUAAAUUAGUAAUCCCAUAACUACUACCUCCAUCCCCAUUGUAAUAUGUGUCAAAUUUUGACCAUAAACUAGCAAGAUGCCUGUGUGUUGCACGGUAAAUCAAGAUGCAUUUGUAUUAGUAAAUUAUCUUGUGAGAGAAAAGGGUGAACGAGGGAAGGCCAAAUUUGCAAAUGGUGAGAGGGGUGUGGGUAUCUUUUUGCAGAAAUUGCUAUAGUUUCCUUCCUAUCCGUCAAAUAUUAAAUCGGACGACCUAUAUUGCAGGAUGGUAGGCACACCAUCAUCACCAAUUGUUAUAGUUUUUAUAUCAGUUAAAUCUUUGGUCAAAAUUUAGCACAAAUUACAAUGGUGACUAAUAAACCAGGACGGAUGUAGUAGUUUGUAAGCCCAAAUGAAUGAGUGAGGCGCCUUAUGUUACUCUCCACUGUGACUAGUCUUAUGGGAAAAGCUGGGAAAGAGACGACUUAUUUUUUAAGACGCCAAAAGAACUGGCCCUAGGAGUAGUAUCUAGGGAUACUGGAGUAGUAGCUAGGGAUUGAGUGUGCAAGAUGAACCGGAAAAAGUAAAUGGAGAGAUGAAAUGCAAAAAAAAACAGAGGGAUGUGAUGGUUGCUUGUCCGUUUAUUUUACUAGGCCACUUAUUCCUGGGAGUGGUGGGGUUUUGUGAGAUGACGGCUUUACUGCCGCGCCAUGAGCGGGGUGAGACUCCCGUCCAGCGCCGCCCUCUACACUAGUACUACCUCGGUCGUGGUUUAUUAGUCCCCCAUGUAAUUUGACUGAAGAUUUAAGUGACAAAAUGUUAGUGCAUGUCAACAAAAACUAUAUUGUUGGAUUCGUAUUUAAACAUAGUUUUCAAUGAUACAAUUUUUGGUGGCAUGCAUGAGCCUUUAUCGUACUAUAUAUAAUGUUAGUUAAAUUUAUGGCCGUACUAUAUAUAGUAAGGUGCCCAUGCAUUGCACGGAACAGUGAAAUGCACUGAUCGGGGAGUUGUUGGCAAAGUAUGUGGGGGUCAUCUCAUGUGUAACAAGUAUCAAUAGGUUUCUUCGGAUAUUAUUUCUUCUCUAGAGCUCACAAGCAUCCGGGUGAAAUAGAUAAAAAAGUAUCUUUUGCAAACAAAAGCGUUCAACUGUUCAACCUGCAUCCAAAACUUGUGAAGAAAUAACACUUAUUGUGCUUUGCAAGAAAUGAUCUUUAAGAAUUAGUUUUUGAGUAUCGAUUUUGUUUAUUUUUUCUAGACCACCAUGAUUGUACUUCCUCCGUCUAGGUGAAUAAGUCAUCUUAAGUUGUGCAGCGUGACCAAGGAGGGGAAAAUGAGAGAACUUAAUGUUUAUUUGCUAAUUAAUAGCAUUGCAUGCAAUGAACUAACCACUACAUGUUGUGUUUGGUAGUCUCGAGUCAUUGAAAACAUGCACGCCGCAUAGCUCUUAUGGAUUGAUAUGUCAAGAAACAAGAAGCAAGGUGGGAGUUAAUGCACCGCGCCUAAGUGUUUUAGGAUUAUUUGGUUUUUGUAAGGUGACUUGGAAGGGGGCAGAGGAGAUGUAAGAAAUGGAUCAUCAUAAAUUUUUCACCAUUACUGUAGUAAAAAUUAUCAAUUAAUCUCAUAAAUGGCAAGCGAGAACUCUAAUGGAGCAAAAGCAUACAUGGAAUAUUGUAGACUAAACCAUAAAUGGAUACACUUUUAUUCAAGCGCGAUACUCUAAUAGAGCAAGAUCAUACAUGGAAGGUUCUAUACUAUAUAAAUAAGAAGUCUCCACAUGCGAAGACAACAUAUUACAUUGAGCGAAGACUAAUGAUGAACAACUGACUUGCUAAUGCAUAUGACCAGGUGAACGUCCUUGGAGUCCUCGUGCAUCAUCUUGGGGUGAAAAUCAUACCAGGCGUCUUCCAUGUCCACACUGUCAGGAACGGAGCAGCUCGGCACAGUCCCAGUCAGCAUGAUGGAGGCGGCAUGGGCACCCUCAUACUUCAGAGCAGUAGUAAUAGUGAGUACGCACCCGUACACUGGCCUCGUGUCAGCGUCAGCGGCGUCGCCCCUGACACACACUAUAGAGACGGGGCGGCAGCCUGCGCAGGCCUUGCCGGUGCCCACAUCCAAGAGGAAGAUGCUUCCGUCCUCCUCCGUGACUAGAAGGCGGCGGUGAUCCUCCAGCGACUCUGGCACGGCAAACGGGUAGCACGUCUCAUACUUGAUGUUCACCGCCGCGGGCCAGUAGUGAUUGACGGACGGUGUCGUGAGGUGAUGCACGAGGCUCGCCAGCGAGCCCUCAAAUGGCUAUGUGCACUCAUAGCAGUAGCAGGGUGCGUGUGCGCAUCUGGAACUAUGCUCCGCCAGCGAGUGGCUGUAGGGGAUGUUGUGCCCGCCGAAUGGAGCGCAGGAGUAGCACACAAAGCAGUAGAGGGUGAUAAUGGUGUGCUUGCCAUCCUGUAAUAUAGGAUGUCCGAUCUAUAUCUGACGGAUAGGAAGGAAACCAUGGCAAUGUUGCAAAAAUAUACCCACAUCCCGCUCCACAUUUGCAAAUAAGGCCUUUCCUCGUUCAUCAUUAUCUCCCACAACCUCAUUGCUGAUCAAUUAAAAAAGGAAUUAUGUCGAACAAUCUGGCAUGGUGGCCGCUGCCGAUGCCGUCCAUCCUCAGGCCUCCGCCCAGUCCGACCACCAGCCACCACCACGCCCCACUCCUCCUCACCUUAUCUCUCAUCUUUCUCGAGAUAUCAUUUUUACGAUGAAAUUCUCGAGAUACCAUUUUUCCGAUGAAAUUCUCGAGAUAUCAUUAGUUUUUACACAUGGGAUUACUCCUGCAUGGGUCAAUCACAACAGGUGUUUUGCAAAAAAAAAAUGCAUCUUGAUGUUUUGUCCAAUGCACAGGCAUCUUGCUAGUUUGCAUAUAAUUCCAAACACCACGUAGACACGUUCUUUGACCAUUUUACAACUAUGUUAGUACUGUAACUGCGUCGUGGGCGUUAGUGGUUAGCCCGUGCAAGUUAUAGCCCCAGGUGUUUUAACCCUUUUUUUAGUAAUGAUAUCUGGCGAUUGUUCGCCACGAGUCCAAUCCUGGAAAAUCCCACAUAACCAUUAGAUUUCCAUCCGAGGGUGGCCUAUUUUUAAGCCAUAGUAUUUGACAAAACCGCCACCCUUACACAUGUACUAUAACUGCGUUACGGGCUUUUGCAACUGCCAUCCGUCCUAGUGAACGUUUACUGGGGAUUGGACUUAGCACCAAUGGCGGUUCGUAGUCGUUCCCCACUCGGGCAUUGAAGUUUGUAACUAUUUUACAAUAUACUACUCCUCUGGUGCUAGUAGUAGAGGAGAGUCCUACUCCACUAUAUGCAAAAAAACUAGGGCAUAGUAGUAGGUACUGUGAUCACUCAAGCAAGUUGUCUGGCAUCAAUAUGACCCUACGCUGUUGGGAUGCGUCUCGAAAGUCAAGCGGCAUGCUGCUGCUACAUUUUCAUCAUCACAUGUCCACUUCCCGCAACACAUAUUUGCUUCUCCAUCCUCGUCCGCACAUAAUCGUCCAAUCUUCCAUCCCCGCUAGGUGCCUCCCCCCUCUUCCGAAACCCAAGCACAAAGAAUGGCAGAACCGAGCAGCGUUUGCCAAAAGAGUGGCUAGAAUUCGCUCCCCACAAAGGUAAUCAAGCUCAUUGUUUUGCGUGUGGACAAUCUCAGUACCAUGCCGCUCACCGCCUGCUCUUCAGGGCUGUACCGUUUACUCAAAGCCCUCAGGCCGGAGCUUUUUAAGCCAGCUCCUUGCUUGCUGAUGUUGCCUGAUCAUCAGAAAUGGCAUGUCACGCAGCAUAACGAUCGUAGGACGGCGAGCAUCAACCCCCUUGAUUGCGAUCCGAUCCCCGUGACCCUCAACUACAUUAACGGUAUGUACUGGGUCGGCAUGAACAAGUCUUGGAUGGUGCUCGUCGAUGGUUGCGACAGGUGGGUGCUCAUGGAGGUCUACACCCGGCAAUUGACCCCCCUUCCUUCGAUUAACACUGCACUGCUUUGGCACCGCAGCCCAGAAUACUCAGAAUCUUACAGUAGACAACAUGAUACCAAGUUUGAUUUGCUCAAGGUUGUAAUCUGCCAAGUGCCCACAAGAUCUCCGAAUUAUAAAGACUUCAGGCUAAUUGCGUUCAUCAACCGCGGCUAGCCUAUCUGACAGGUCACUGCGGUAAGUGGAUAAAUCUACAUGUCCACCGCAGGAUCAUACAUCCUCCAUGGUUUUCUAAUGCCAUUGAACACAAGGGCUUCAUUUACGCUAUGGGCUCCUUCUAUGACUGGACGUAUUGCUGGCCUACUCCAGUCAUCCCUACAAAUGGCUGUUACAACAGUAUGUUACUUUCCUAUGAUAUCAUGAUGGCUUGCUUGUGACACCCGGAUAAUUAAGCUACAGUAAACCUCCACUAAUGCUGCCACGUCACCACAAUUACUCUUGUUAAUCUCGCGAUGAUUAAAUCCCGUUCGAAUUCAAAAUUUAAAAUCAAGUCAAAAAUAAAAGUUUUCAUAUGUCAAAACUAAAAUGUACAAACUGUGGAAAAUAUUCCAUAAGUAAUAUGGUGGUGAACCAACUUUUUUGUAAAGUGUUUUAGUGCACUAACAUUAAAUAAAACUGUAUAAUAGUAAAUAAUAAUAAUAAAAACCUCCCUCCUCACCCUAGGCCGCUUGGCCACCAGACCCACCCGGUCGGCCCAGCCGGCCCACUAAGCCCCCCGGUCGCUUCCCCCCCGCCGCUCCUUCCUGUUCCUCGGUCCCUGACCGCUACAGGGCGCGGGUUCCGCCCGACCACCUCGUCGGCGUCGAUUGAGAGGAUAAGGCCGACGCCUCGGCCUCUCCUGUGCCACCUCUCCCACUUGCUCCUCCCCACUCACUCCCCCUCACCCUCUCUCUCCCUCACGCUCGCCUCCCUCCUACAGAUCCCUCAUCAUCGCCGCACCACCAUCGCGGCCAUCGGCCUCCCUGUGUUGCGUGGCCGUGCCCCCGGGGACCGCCGUGAUUCGCUUCAUCGACCCCACCCCGAGAUCGACGCUGGGGAGCUUCACCUGCGCCGCCCACGACCGUCUCGUCCUCGGCAUCAAGACAACACCACCGUCGACCCGCCUCUCCGACUCGUCUCUGGCUGCUCCGACGCCUCUGAUGACCCACAAGUAUAGGGGAUCUAUCAUAGUCCUUUCAAUAAGUAAGUGUGUCAAACCCAACGAGGAGCAGAAGGAAAUGACAAGCAGUUUUCAGUAAGGUUUUUUCUGCAAGCACUGAAAUUGUAGGUAACAGAUAGUUUUGUGAUAAGAUAAUUUGUAACGGGUAACAAGCAAUGAAAGUAAAUAAAGUGCAGCAAGGUGGCCCAAUCCUUUUUGUAGCAAAGGACAAGCCUGGCAAAUUUCUUAUAAUGAGAAAAGAUCUCCCGAGGACACAUGGGAAUUAUCGUCAAGCUAGUUUUCAUCACGCUCAUAUGAUUCACGUUCGGUACUUUGAUAGUUUGAUAUGUGGGUGGACCGGUGCUUGGGUACUGCCCUUACUUAGACAAGCAUCCCACUUAUGAUUAACCCCUAUUGAAAGCAUCUGCAACUACAAAAGAAGUAUUAAGGUAAACCUAACCAUAUCAUUAGACAUAUGGAUCCAAAUUAGCCCCUUACGAAGCAACGCAUAAACUAGGGUUUAAGCUUCUGUAACUCUAGCAACCCAUCAUCUACUUAUUACUUCCCAAUGCCUUCCUCUAGUCACAAAUAAUGGUGAAGUGUCAUGUAGUCGACAUUCACAUAACACCACUAGAGGAGAGACAACAUACAUCUCAUCAAAAUAUCGAACGAAUACCAAAUUCACAUGACUACUAAUAGCAAGACUUCACCUAUGUCCUCAGGAACAAAAGUAACUACUCACAAAGCAUAUUCAUGUUCAUGAUCAGAGGAGUAUUAAUAUACAUUAAGGAUUUGAACAUACGAUCUUCCACCAAGUAAACCAAUUAGCAUCAACUACAAGGAGUAAUCAACACAACUAGCAACCCACAUGUACCAAUUUGUGGUUUUGAUACACGAUUGGAUACAAGAGAUGAACUAGGGUUUUGAGAGGAGAUGGUGCUGGUGAAGAUGUUGAUGGAGAUUGACCCCCUCCCAAUGAGAGGAUCAUUGGUGAUGACGAUGGUGAUGAUUUCCCCCUCCCGGAGCAAAGUUUCCCCGGCAGAACAGCUCCACCGGAGCCCUAGAUUGGUUCCGCCAAGGUUUCGCCUCGUGGCGGCGGAGUUUUGCCCCGUAAGCUUGCUUGCGAUUUUUUCCAGGGUAAAAGCCUUCAUAUAGCAGAAGAUGGGCAUCGAAGGGCCACCGGGGGCCCCGGUAGACAGGGGGCGCGCCUAGUAGGGGUGGGCGCGCCCUCGCCCUCCUGUCCAGGGUGUGGGCCCCCUCUGGUGUUUUCUUCGCUCAGUAUCUCUUAUUAGUUCCAAAAAUGACUUCCGUGGAGUUUCAUGAUUUUUGAAGUUGUGCAGAAUAGGUUUCCAAUAUUUGCUCCUUUUCCAGCCAGAAUUCCAGCUGCCGACAUUCCCCCUCUUCAUGGUAAACCUUGUAAAAUAAGAGAGAAUAGCCAUAAGUAUUGAGAUAUAAUGUGUAAUAACAGCCCAUAAUGCAAUAAAUAUUGAUAUAAAAGCAUGAUGCAAAAUGGACGUAUCAACUCCCCCAAGCUUAGACCUUGUUUGUCCUCAAGCGGAAGCCGAAAUCGAAAAAUAUGUCCACAUGUUUAGAGAUAGAGGUGUUGAUAAAAAUAAAAUACGAACAUGAGGGCAUCAUGAUCAUUCUUAUAACAACAACAUAUAUAGAUUUUUGUCAUAUGGUUUCUUAUGCUCAAGUAACAAUCAAUUCACAAUGUCAAGUAUGGUUCAGAAAUUUCAUUGGGAACUAACGAACUAUAAUCUCAGUCAUUGAAGCAAUUGUAAUUUAUCAUAACAUCAGAAAGAGUCAAGAAUAGAGCUUUUCAGCAAGUCCACAUACUCAACCAUCAUAUAGUCUUCUACAAUUGCUAACACUCAUGCAAUACUUGUGGUUAUGGAGUUUUAAUCGGACACUGAGAAAGAUAGGGGCUUAUAAUGUUGCCUCCCAACGUAUUCACCUUUGGGUGAUGUCAACAAUAAUAAUUGAUGCUAACUUACAUCCAAUUGGAUANNNNNNNNNNNNNNNNNNNNNNNNNNNNNNNNNNNNNNNNNNNNNNNNNNNNNNNNNNNNNNNNNNNNNNNNNNNNNNNNNNNNNNNNNNNNNNNNNNNNNNNNNNNNNNNNNNNNNNNNNNNNNNNNNNNNNNNNNNNNNNNNNNNNNNNNNNNNNNNNNNNNNNNNNNNNNNNNNNNNNNNNNNNNNNNNNNNNNNNNNNNNNNNNNNNNNNNNNNNNNNNNNNNNNNNNNNNNNNNNNNNNNNNNNNNNNNNNNNNNNNNNNNNNNNNNNNNNNNNNNNNNNNNNNNNNNNNNNNNNNNNNNNNNNNNNNNNNNNNNNNNNNNNNNNNNNNNNNNNNNNNNNNNNNNAAAGGUGAAUAUCACCUUGACUCAAGCAUAAAGUAAAAACAUAAAGUAAAGAUAGGCCCUUCGCAGAGGUUGACAUGUGCUUUUAGGGUUGGAUGCACAAAAUCUUAAUGCAAAAGAACGUCACUUUAUAUUGCCACUUGUAUAUGGACCUUUAUUAUGCAGUUCGUCGCUUUUAUUGCUUCCAUAACAAGAUCAUAUAAAGCUUAUUUUCUUCACACUAAUAAGUCAUGCAUAUUUAGAGAGCAAUUUUUAUUGCUUGCAGCAUGACAACUUACUUGAAGGAUCUUACUCAAUCCAUAGGUAGGUAUGGUUUACUCUCAUGGCAAAACUGGGUUUAAGGAUAUUUGGAAGCACAAGUAGUAUCUCUACUUGGUGCAAGGAAUUUGGCUAGCAUGAGGGGGAAAGGCAAGGUCAACAUGUUGGGAAGAUCAAUGACAAUAUACUUUAACUGAGAUGUGAGAAAACAUAAACCAUUAUGUUGUCUUCCUUGUCCAACAUCAACUCUUUUAGCAUGUCAUACUUAAUGAGUGCUCACAAUCAUAAAAGAUGUCCAAGAUAGUAUAUUUGUAUGUGAAAACCUCUCGUUCCUUAUUACUUCCUAUUAAUUGCAACGAUGACCAAAACUAUGUUUGUCAACUCUCAACAACUUUUAUAUCUCAUACAUUUUAUAUGUGAAGUCAUUACUAUCCAUAAGAUCAAUAUGAACUCUUUUAUUCUUUUUAUUCUUUCUACUUUCUCAAGAUCAUAGCAAGAUAGCAAAGCCCUUGACUCAACACUAAACUUUAUUUUAGAUAGCUCACGGACUCGAUUACAUAAAGAGAUCACAAAGCAAAACUCAAAACUACUUGAUACCAAAACUUCAAUCUACUAGAUCAAGAUACUACUAAAAGGAUCAUACUAAGUAAAAUGGUAAAGAUAGGAGUGUGAUGGUGAUACGAUAUCGGGGCACCUCCCCCAAGCUUGGCAGUUGCCAAGGGGAGUGCCCAUACCCAUGGGAUUAUGUCUCCUUCUUCAUAAUUGGUGUUGUGAUCUUCUUGGCGAUGAUGCCUCUCAGGAUACGAUUCUCCUCCUCGAGCUUAUUGACUUGUUGUUUGAGAUCCAUAAUUUCUUUGCGGAGCUUGCCAGUGAUGGCUAAAGCUCCUUUUACCCAAGGGUGCUGCAUAGCUUCUGGAGAACAAGUGACGCUCUUUUUCAUAUUUUCAUAAGAAAGAAAUUUAGCAUUGGAAGGGAUGACCGAAUUUGGAAUAGCCGAGCUCCGCAGUUCCCCCAUCGUGAAUCCUGCUUGGAAGCGAGAGGUAACUUCUUGAUCCUCCUCCAUAGCAUCUAUCCUUGUCAAGUCGGCCUCCAUCUCAUCCUCCGUUUAUGGUCCAAAGUGAUAAGCAUCGUUGUUUGCUUUUGGACCUGGUGUCGGGUUUGACACCCGACUCUCCCCUACCGACUCUUGAGAAGACAUCUUGCUCUAAAUCUGUGACAGAAACAUCUUGAAACAAAAACAGAGGAGUUUUGUGUGAUAUGGUGGUCAAAACCUUCGGGAGAUUAUAUAAUGAAUUUUUACCGACCAAAAUACGUAACAUGCAAGAAAACGGAGUCCGGGAGGCACACAAGGUGGCCACGAGACAGGGGGCGCGCCCAGGAAGGGUGGGCGCGCCCUCCACCUUCGUGGAGGCCUCGUGUCCUUCCCAGAUUACUUCUUGCUUUCCAAAAUUCUUAAAUAUUCCAAAACAGAGAAAAAUUGCUAUUAGAAUUGUUUUGGAGUCGGUUUACUUACCGUACCACAUACCUAUUCCUUUUCGAAGUCUGAAACGUUCUGGAAAGUGUCCCUUAUGUAUUCCUCCGGGGUUAUGGUUUCAAUAAUAUUAGUUUCAAUAUUGAUAGGAUUACCUGAGAUAUAAUGUUUGAUUCUUUGACCGUUCACCACCCUCGGACGUGUGCCUUCGAAGUUGUUGAUUUUUAUGGCACCGGAAUGAUAGACCUCCUCGAUAACGUAAGGACCUUCCCAUUUAGAGAGAAGUUUUCCUGCAAAAUAUCUUAAACAAGAGUUGAAUAGCAACACAUAAUCACAUACGUUAAAUUCUCGCUUUUGUAUUCUUUUGUCAUGCCACCGUUUAACUUUUUCUUUGAAUAGCUUGGCAUUCUCAUAGGCUUGGGUUCUCCAUUCAUCAAGUGAGCUAAUAUCAAAUAACCUCUUCUCACCGGCAAGUUUGAAGUCAUAGUUGAGCUCUUUAAUAGCCCAAUAUGCUUUAUGUUCAAGUUCAAGAGGUAAGUGACAUGCUUUUCCAUAAACCAUCUUUUACGGAGACAUACCCAUAGGAUUUUUAUAUGCAGUUUUAUAGGCCCAUAAUGCAUCAUCAAGUUUCUUGGACCAAUUGUUUCUAGAUCUAUUCACAGUCUUUUGAAAAAUUAACUUGAGCUCUCUAUUGCUCAACUCUACUUGACCACUAGACUGCGGGUGAUAAGGAGAUGCGAUUCUAUGAUUAACAUCAUACUUAGCAAGCAUCUUACGGAAAGCACCAUGAAUAAAAUGUGAACCACCAUCAGUCAUAAGAUAUCUAGGGACUCCAAACCUCGAAAAAAUAACUUCUUAAAGCAUCUUAAUAAAGGUGUUAUGAUCAACACUACUAGUUGUAAUAGCUUCUACCCACUUAGUAACGUAAUCAAAAACAACUAAAAUUUGAGUGUAACCAUUAGAGGAAGGAAAAGGUCCCAUAUAAUCAAAGCCCCAAACAUCAAAUGGUUCAAUAACAAGAGAAUAAUUCAUAGGCAUUUCUUGACGUCUACUAAUAUUACCUAUUCUUUGACAUUCAUCACAAGACAAGACAAACUUACGAGCAUCUUUGAAGAGAGUAGGCCAAUAAAAACCGGAUUGCAAUACCUUAUGUGCAGUUCUAUCUCCAGCAUGGUGUCCUCCAUAUGAUUCAGAGUGACACUUGCGUAGGAUCUGUUCCUAUUCAUGCUCAGGUACACAACGUCUAAUAACACCAUCUACUCCUUCUUUAUAAAGGUGUGGGUCAUCCCAGAAGUAAUGUCUUAAAUCAUAAAAUAACUUUUUCUUUUGCUGGUAUGUGAAACUAGGUGAUAUAAAUUUAGCAACAAUAUAAUUAGCAUAAUCAGCAUACCAAGGAGCAGUAUGAGAAGCAUUAAUGACCACUAAUUGUUCAUCAGGAAAACUAUCAUCAAUAGGUAGUGGGUCAUCAAGAACAUUCUAUAACCUAGACAGGUUGUCUGCAACGGGGUUCUCAGCUCCCUUUCUAUCAAUAAUAUGCAAAUCAAAUUCUUGGAGCAAGAGAACCCAUCUAAUGAGUCUAGGCUUAGCAUCUUUCUUUUCCAUAAGAUAUUUAAUAGCAGCAUGAUCAAUGUGAAUAGUGACUUUGGAAUCAACAAUAUAAGGUCUAAACUUAUCACAUGCAAACACAACUGCUAAGAACUCUUUUUUAGUAGUAGCAUAAUUUCUCUGGGCAGAAUCAAGAGAUUUACUAGCAUACUGGAUAACAUUCAAUUUCUUAUCAACUCUUUGCCCUAGAAUAGCACCUAUAGCAUAAUCACUAGCAUCACACAUAAUUUCAAAGGGUAAAUUCCAAUCAGGUGGCUGAACAAUAGGUGCAGUAAUCAAAUCUUUCUUAAGUAUUUCAAAUGCUUCUACACAAUCAUCAUCAAAGACAAAAGGAAUAUCUUUUUGCAAUAAAUUAGUUAGAGGCCUAGAGAUUUUAGAAAAGUCCUUAAUCAACCUCCUAUAAAAACCGGCAUGACCAAGGAAACUUCUUAUACCUUUUAUGUCCUUGGGACAUGGCAUCUUUUCAAUAGCAUCCACUUUAGCUUUAUCAACUUCAAUAACUCUCUCGGAAAUCUUAUGCCCUAAGACAAUGCCUUCAUUAACCAUAAAGUGGCACUUUUCCCAAUUCAAUACAAGACUAGUGUCUUCACAUCUCUGCAAAACUCGAUCAAGGUUGCUCAAACAAUCAUCAAAAGAGGAUCCAUAAACGGAGAAAUCAUCCAUGAAUACCUCACAAAUCUUUUCACAAAAGUCAGAGAAUAUAGCCAUCAUACAUCUUUGAAAGGUAGCAGGUGCAUUACAUAAACCAAAAGGCAUACAUCUAUAAGAAAAAGUACCAAAAGGGCAAGUAAAAGUAGUUUUUGACUGAUCCUUUGCUGACACAAGUAUUUGGGAGAAACCAGAAUAACCAUCUAGAAAGCAGAAAUGUGUGUGUUUGGAUAGUCUUUCUAGCAUUUGAUCAAUAAAAGGUAAAGGGUAAUGAUCUUUCUUAGUAGCCUUAUUUAAUUUAUGGAAAUCAAUUACCACCCUAUAACAUGUGAUAAUUCUUUGCGGGAUCAAUUCAUAUUUAUCAUUACGAUAGUAAUACCUCCCUUCUUAGGAACAUAAUGGACCGGACUUACCCAUUCACUAUCAGCAACGGGAUAAAUUAUACCUGCCUCAAGGAGCUUUAGUAUCUCCUUUCUUACCACUUCUUUCAUCUUAGGAUUUAAUCGUCGUUGAGGAUCUCUAACUAGUUUGGCAUCUUCCUCCACUUUAAUUUUGUGUUGGCAUAGAGUGGGACUAAUGCCCUUAAGAUCAUCCAGAGUAUAUCCAAUAGCAGCACAGUGCUUCUUCAGAGUUUUCAAUAAUCUUUCUUCUUCUUGCUCUGAAAGGUUAGCACUAAAAAUAACAGGAUAUAUUUUCUUUUCAUCAAGAUAAGAAUACUUAAGAUUACCAGGUAAUGGUUUGAGCUCAAACACGAGAUCACCCUUGGGUGGAGGAGGAUCCCCUAGGAUUUCAACUGGCAAGUUGUGUUUCAGAAUAGGACCCUGUUGAAGGAACACUUCAUCUAUUUCCCUUCUUUCAUUGAUAAACAUAUCAUUUUCAUGGUCUAGCAAAUAUUGUUCUAACAGAUCAGUAGGAGGCACGUCAAUAGAAGCAAGACCAAUAAUCUCAUCCUUGCUAGGUGAUUCUUCACGGGGUUGUCUAUGAAACUUAGCAAAAUUAAACUCAUGAGACAUAUCCCCUAAGCCAAUUGUAACAAUAUCCUUUUCGCAAUCAAUCCUAGCAUUAACAGUAUUCAAGAAGGGUCUACCAAAUAUAAUGGGACAAAAGUCAUCUUGUGGGGAACCAAGAACAAGAAAAUCAGCAGGAUAUUUAACCUUCCCACACAAGACUUCAAUAUCUCUAACAAUCGCUACUGGCUUAAUAGUGUCCCUAUUAGCAAGCUCAAUAGUAACAUCAAUAUCUUCUAUUUCAGCGGGUGCAAUAUCAUGCAUAAUUUCUUUAUAUAAGUCAUAGGGUAUUGCACUAGUACUAGCACCCAUAUCACAUAAGCCAUGAUAACAAUGAUCUCCUAUUUUAACAGAAAUAACAGGCAUGCCUACAACAGGUCUAUGUAUCUUAGCAUCUGGUCUAGCAAUAUUAGCAGCCUGUUCACAGAAGUAAAUAACAUGCCCAUCUAAAUUAUCAUCCAAGAGAUCUUUAACCAUAGCAAUACUAGGUUCAACCUUGAUUUGCUUAGGAGGUGUAUAAGUUCUAGUAUUGCUCUUACGAAAAACAGUUGAGGUUUUAGCAUGAUCCUUUAUCCUAAUAGGAAAAGGUGAUUUCUCAACAUAACUAGUAGGAACAAUAGGAUCAUUAUAAGUGAUAGUCUUUUCUUCAAGUAUAAUAGGUGCAACUACUUUUACUUCAAUGGGAGGAUUAUAUUUAAACCACUUCUCCUUAGGGAGAUCAACAUGAGUAGCAAAAGAUUCACAAAAAGCAACUAUUAUCUCCGAGUCAAGUCCAUACUUAGCGCUAAAUCCAUGAAAAGCAUCGGUAUCCAUAAAAGAUUUAACACCAUCAAACUUAGGUGUUAUACCUGACUCCUUACAUCGUCAGAACCCCAAUCUUCAGAGUUACGUUUAAUUCUUUCCAAUAAAUCCCACUUGAAUUCAGUAGUCUUCAGGAUAUAAGAAUUAGUGCAGGAAGUAUCAAGCAUGGUGCGAUCAUUGAGAGAAAAAGCCGAGCAUAAAAGUUUUGAAUAAUCAUUUCUCUUGAGAUCUCAUGAUUGGGGCAUGAAUAUAACAUUGACUUAAGCCUCCCCCAAGCUUGAGUGAUGCUUUCUCCUUCACGAGGCCAGAAAUUAUAUAUGUAAUUACGAUCACGAUGAACAAGAUGCAUAGGAUAGAACUUCUGGUGAAAUUCCAACUUCAAUCGUUUAUAAUUCCAAGAUCCCGUAUCAUCACAUAGCCUAUACCAUGUCAAUGCAUCUCCCUUCAAAGAUAAAGGGAAUACCUUCCUUUUGAAAACAUCAUUGGGAAUACCUGCAAGCUUAAAUAAUCCACAAACUUCAUCCACAAAGAUAAGGUGUAAAUCGGGAUGCAAUGUUCCAUCUCCUGCAAAGGAAUUAGAUAGCAAUUUCUCUAUCAUACCCGAAGGAAUAUCAAAGUAAAUAUUCUCAGUAGGUUUAGUAGGUUGAGGAGCAACUCUUUGCUCUACUGGUCGGGGUGAACAUACCUUGAACAAGCCCCUCAAAGGAUUAGUUUCCAUAGUAACAAGUGACAGAAAAUUUCAGCACACUAUAUAAAUGUUUCCUUAGCAAGUUCCACUCACCAAAGGCGCUUCACUCCCCGGCAAUGGCGCCAGAAAAGAGUCUUGAUGACCCACAAGUAUAGGGGAUCUAUCGUAGUCCUUUCGAUAAGUAAGAGUGUCGAACCCAAUGAGGAGCAGAAGGAAAUGACAAGUGGUUUUCAGUAAGGUUUUUUCUGCAAGCACUGAAAUUGUAGGUAACAGAUAGUUUUAUGAUAAGAUAAUUUGUAACGGGUACCAAGCAAUGAAAGUAAAUAAAGUGCAGAAAGGUGGCCCAAUCCUUUUUGUAGCAAAGGACAAGCCUGGACAAUUUCUUAUAAUGAGAAAAGAGCUCCCGAGGACACAUGGGAAUUAUCGUCAAGCUAGUUUUCAUCACGCUCAUAUGAUUCGCAUUCGGUACUUUGAUAAUUUGAUAUGUGGGUGGACUGGUGCUUGGGUACUGCCCUUACUUAGACAAGCAUCCCACCUAUGAUUAACCCCUAUUGAAAGCAUCCGCAACUACAAAAGAAGUAUUAAGGUAAACCUAACCACAACAUUAGACAUAUGGAUCCAAAUCAGCCUCUUACGAAGCAACGCAUAAACUAGGGUUUAAGCUUUUGUCACUCUAGCAACCCAUCAUCUACUUAUUACUUACCAAUGGCUUCCUCUAGGCCCCAAUAAUGGUGAAGUGUCAUGUAGUCAACGUUCACAUAACACCACUAGAGGAGAGACAACAUACAUCUCAUCAAAAUAUCGAACGAAUACCAAAUUCACAUGACUACUAAUAGCAAGACUUCACCCAUGUCCUCAGGAACAAAAGUAACUACUCACAAAGCAUAUUCAUGUUCAUGAUCAGAGGAGUAUUAAUAUGCAUUAAGGAUCUGAACAUAUGAUCUUCCACCAAGUAAACCAAUUAGCAUCAACUACAAGGAGUAAUCAACACUACUAGCAACCCACAAGUACCAAUUUGUGGUUUCGAUACAAGAUUGGAUACAAGAGAUGAACUAGGGUUUUGAGCGGAGAUGGUGCUGGUGAAGAUGUUGAUGGAGAUUGACCCCCUCCCGAUGAGAGGAUCGUUGAUGAUGACGAUGGUGAUGAUUCCCGCCUCCCGGAGGGAAAUUUCCUCGGCAGAACAGCUCCGCCGAAGCCCUAGAUUGGUUCCGCCAAGGUUCCCCCUCGUGGCGGCGGAGUUUCGUCCCGUAAGCUUGCUUGCAAUUUUUUCCAGGGUAAAAGCCUUCAUAUAGCAGAAAAUGGGCACUGGAGGGCCACCAGGGGGCCCAGGAGACAAGGGGCACGCCCAGUAGGGGUGGGCGCGCCCCCCACCCUCCUGGCCAGGGUGUGGGCCUCCUCUCGUGUUUUCUUCGCUCAUUAAUUCUUAUCAAUUCCAAAAAUGACUUCCAUGGAGUUUCAGGAUUUUUGGAGUUGUGCAGAAUUGGUUUCCAAUAUUUGCUCCUUUUCCAGCCAGAAUUCCAGCUCCCGGCAUUCCCCCUCUUCAUGGUAAACCUUGUAAAAUAAAAGAGAAUAUCCAUAAGUAUUGAGAUAUAAUGUGUAAUAACAGCCCAUAAUGCAAUAAAUAUUGAUAUAAAAGCAUGAUGCAAAAUGGACGUAUCAGCCUCCCCGACUCCUCCUCGAGCCCACUUGUGCACACCUACAGGGCCUGGUGAGCUUCGCCGUCCAUUUUCCCACCUUCUCCUUUGCUUCCGUCGUCGUGCAUCACCCGUAGUUGCGCCCGUCGUGCCCCUGGCCACGCUCACCGACCUUUGGCCGUGACCCGCUCGGCCCCUCCCGCCUUGGGUUGCCGCUUGCCCCUGGCUGUGGCCCCGUUCCCCCCUGGCUGGUGCCCCGCCGUGCCUGAUGGCCUCGCACCGCGCCCCAGGCCGCGUGCCUCGCGUCCUGGUCGUGCCCUUGCCCACCUCCGCGCCUCGUCGGCUACGCAGGCCCGCUCCGCCUCUGACCUUGUCGCUCCCCGGCGUCCCGACCUCUGGCCGCUGGCUGUGACCCCCCCUUCACUCUAAUCCCCCGCCGGUGGCCUCGCCAGAGGCCACGCCCGGCCGCAGUGCCGAGCCCCCUGGUGUCGUGCGUGCCUGGGUCUGACCUCCACGGGCACCUGCCCGAUAGCAAGUGCCCGCUAUGUCCUGUGGGCCUUUGACAGGCGGGGCCGAGUCCUUGUAAAAAAAGAGUUUGAAAAUAAUAAUAAUGAUACAAAAUUUAAUUAAUUUAAUUAAUUAGAUUAAUCUUGUUUAAUUAGGCUAGUUAGCAAGUUUAACUAAUUAAAACUGUUAGUUAGAUAGAUUAGUCAAUGACAGGGGGCCCUACCCCCUGUUGACUAGUCAAACGUUGACUGGUCAACUGGGACCUCCUGGACCCACAUGUCAUCCCCUGGUACACUUUUGUGUACGCAGAGCUGGGUGCACCUAGCAAUUAAUCUUAUUAUCGAAUUAAUAUUAAUUUUAGAAUAUUGUUUAAAUCUUUGAAAAAUCAUAGAAGAUUAACCGUAGCUCGGAUCGAAAAACUUUGUACAUGAAAGUUGCUCAGAACAACGAGACGAAUCCAAACCGCGGUCGGUUCCUCUGCCACACGUUCCUAGCAUAGCGAACAUGCAGCCUUUCCCCUCCGGUUCAUCUAUCUGACAGACGUCCGGAACCAGGAAAACUUUCCCGGAUGUUGUCCCCCUUUACCAGUAUCAUGUAACCCUGCGUUAGAACACCUCUAGCAUCACUUAUUGUCUGGUUAUGCAUAUGUUUCCGUGUAUUUACUAUUUUCUCCCUCUUCUCUCUGGUAGACCCCGAGACCGCUAUUGAUGCCAUUGUGAUCGACUACGUCAAUGACGACCCUCCUUCUUGUCUGAGCAACCAGGCAAGCCCCCCUUUGAUCAUCUCGAUAUCGCCCAUUCCAUUCUCUCAUGCUUGCAUUAGAUUUUGCUAUUGUUAUUGUUUGCUCCUAUUCUGAUGCAUAGCCUGCUUUUGUAACCUGCUCAUUGUACCUUACCUGCUUAUACUAAACUGCUUAGUAUAGGUUGGUUAGUGAUCCACCAGUGACCCCAGUACUUGUCGUUGUUGCCCCUGCGUCAUCAUCGAUGAAUCGAUCAGCGUGAUCGAUGACCAGAGCCUGACACCUCACAUCACAUCACGCCCCUUUUGUUGCUCGACUCUGUAGAGCUACUAUCGAGUGCCGAGGGUGAUCCCUCAUAACACACUCAUGAUGAUAAUUCUGUAGUGUAGCCUUUCGGUCGUGGUCAUCGAGGGUGAUUUCCUCUUUCACCAUUCCCGGUACAGCUCUGUCGUUCAACACCUCAAGUGUGAACCUCGAGGGUGGUCCCUCUUACGUUCACCUUGAUGAUUACAUUGAGUGGAAUCCACUAGGGGUGCUUCCUCGGGUUUUCCCCUUGAUGUCUGGACACACAGUUAUCUAGACUUACUUGAGACCAUUGUUGAAGUCGGGUCGGCCCUGAGGGGUACCCGCGAGUUGAUGUGAAAGUCGGGCGGGCCCGUAGAGCACCCGCGAGUUUUCCACAUGGCACGGCCGGGCAGUCUAGGACCUUGCCGUAAGUCCAUGAGACGGGGCGACGGGGUCACCUUAUCGUCAGUCUCUGCUCGUUUCUGCGAGCCCCCAAUGCACUAACAGGUUUGGGUAUUUGUUCUGAGUUGGCCUCUGGCCUUUACGCACUAACCACCAUGCGAGAAUAGUUAUGGGCCUCGGCGUCGUGGUAUCAGCCGAAGCUUUGUCAGACGUCCAGUUUAGCAUUGCGGCACGUCUUGGUCGGCGCCCCAGUGGAGGUGGCCUGGAUCUCCCUGCACGCAAUGAUCCGGAGUGCAACGGGCGAUGGGCCCAGACCCCAGAGUGCUUAGGAUGUAGACCGGCGGGGACCUCUCUGCUGAGCCUAGGUAGGGCUGCGAUGUGUUGAUCUUCUGAGGUUGGGCAUUAAACCCAGAAAGGUGUGUCCGGCCAGAGUGAUCGAGCGUGUUGAGUAACGUGGUGCACCCCUGCAGGGAAGAUAUAUAUUUGUAGCGACCCGACCCGAAUGGAUCAAGUCUCUGUGCUUAAGUGUCAUCCCUGGAGUGGUAUGCUGACACAGACAGUACUCGAGGAUUUAUAACAGAGGUAAAUCACAUGUAUAAAGUAACAUAAAUACUAUUACCUCAAUUCAAAUAGCGGAAGUAACAAGGUUGUGGAUUCCCAUCAACACCAAUGGCAAAGUUGAGUGUAGAAAUCGUAACCCUAACGUAUCACUUACUCGUCGUAAGAUCCUGCAACAUGAGACGUUGCAGCCACAAAGGGUCAGUACAUUGAAUGUACUGGCAAAUUCACACCAUAGGAUAAUGAUGAAUACUAACUAUCACUACAUGCAUAUUUGGCUGGUGGAAAGCUCUAUGGUUAUAGUUUUUGCGAAAAGCCAAUUUUCCCUACUGCAAAGGAAUAAAUUUUGAUUAACUAUCAUGGUAGUUGUUAAACAUUGAGAAUGGUUGACAGCAUUCUCAAUCCCAAUUAAAAGUAAUCAUUAACAACCCAACAAAUUAAUUAAGUAACAUGACGAGAUACAUGUGAUAAUCCAAGUACUAGACACUAAGAAUUGUCCAUAACCGGGGACACGGCUAAUCAUGAUUAGUUUGUACACUCUGCAGAGGUUUGCGCACUUUCCCCACAAUACUCGAUCGCCUCCGUUGAUUUCUCGUGCUGCAUGGUGUUUGAGAAACGGAUGACCGAGACACAGUCUUUCAGAAACAUUAACUCUCUUCUCCGGGUAGACCAUACCAAACCUACAAAACCCACUACCUGCUGAUCUACCUGUUCAAGAGCUUCACGCAACUUACUCAACUAUGCUAGAGCCCGUAAUAGCUUGUGGCUACACACGGAAGUUUCUAGCAUGAAUCAUCUCAGUUCCCUUUGAGCCUGGGUGGCGGUCCAUAGGAAAAUCACACGGUAACCCCGGGAUUUCCAAAAAAACAGGCAAUCACUGGUAUCCCCAGGUGCCUCAGUCCACCCAGAUGUGUAUUUAAGUAGCCACCUUAAGUUGAACCAUUAAGUAACAAUCUCACAUCUGAAAUGGAAUACACUCAAACCCAAUCCACGUCUACGAGCAUAGCAUGGCAAUAUAAGUAACGCGUAGAAGUAACUCCCAAGGGUUUGAUAUAAACAGGGCAAUAGGUUCUACCUCAUCAACUACUUCCCAACCCACAAGUUAAAGACAUCCUAAUCAUGCAAUGUUUGAGGAUUGAACUAAUGCAAUGAAAACUGGAUAUGGAAAGAGUAUGAUCAAUGUGUGAACUUGCUUGUACUGUUGAUGAAGAUGAUUCGCACUCAAAACUCUGGAUAGUUCUACUCAUCACACUCCAGUCAAACUAUCGUGAGCAAGCAAUAGUAACCACACAUAAGCAAUCACUCAAAAGGUCAGAAAGAACGAAGAAAGCAAUUCGGAAAACUUCGAAAUCAAGCAAAUAACUCUUGCAACAGAAAACAAUUUCUAACAGUACCAAAAUUAAGUGAAUUUGGCCUUAUCAGAAAGUUUAGGUCAAGAGCUUCGAUUUGCAAAAAGAAUCAACUAAAACAAAGUUAUAAAACUCUAGUUACGAUCAAACGAAGUUCAAAUACUAACUGUUUGAAUUCAAAUUUUAAAACUUUCAAAAACAUGUUUAAGUUGAUUAUCUGGAUAGAGUGGAUCAUAACGAAGAAGUGGGCGUUGGUUUCGUUGGAUUUCGACUAACGAGCAAAAAGUUAUGGUCGUUUGAAGAUUAGGGACUAAUCUGUGAUUAAAAUAUUCACAGAUGGGUCCCUGGCUGAAAUAACAGAAAAAGAAAAGAACUAAAUAAUGAAUGUUCGUUUAUAAGAUCUAAACAGUGGACGUUCGUUGUUUAAUAAAACCAGAAGAAAACAAAUCUAGUCUAGGUUUUUUUUUGAAAUAAACGAUUUAAAAGAAAAACCGGAUCGGUUUUCUCGGGUUAUACCGGUUUGCGGCGGUUCGAGGAAAACUGGUGGUUCGCGGAGCGGAUCAGACCGUCGAGCUCCGGCGAGGCGGCGCGGGGCUCCGGCGAGCGGCUUUGGUGGUCGGCUGCGAUGGCAGAGUAGACGGGGAGGGGCGGCACUGGACGACGGGUGCGGUGGCGGUGUCGGCGGCGGUCGACGGCGACGAGAGUGGCGGAGCUGCGGCGGCGGUGGCGAGAUCCGACGGCGGUGGCGCUGCGGAGCUGCGGGACGGGAAGGAGAAGGGAAACAGGGCCCGGGGCUCCGGUAUUUAAGGGGGCGGCGAGACGUGGUGGUGGCGUAGCCGAGGCGGACUCGCCGGCGUGCGGUGGCGGGAGUCGUCUCGCGUCGGGGACGAGGCAGUCGGGGCGCUGGCUGGGCUGUGGCCUGGCCUGGGAGCUGGGCCGGCCCAGUUCGGCGGAAGGGUUUUUUUUUAAAACAUUUUUCCAGCAAAACAAAAAGAAACGCAAAAUAAAUAAAAAUUUUACAUAGGCAUAUAAUAUAUCAAAAUUUUCAGAAAACGAUUUCCUACAAGAUGAACAUUAUCCUAUCAUCAAACAAAAUCUACACAAAUUCAGAUAAUUCAAACAGUGCUCCUGCUCUACUAAAAUCCAAUAAAAAUCAUUAAAAAAUACCAAAAUCAAUUCAAAUUUAUUUCUCUCCAAUUUUCUGAUGUAGGGAAUCAUGUUACCCUAUUUUCCAUAUAUUUUAUUUUUGGAGAAAAAUAAUUUGAAUAAAACUCCAAUAACUCCAAAUUGAAAAUAAAUUCAAAAGAACUUUGAAUUUAAUUCUUUUAAAACUCCCAACUCAUAUUUCAUAUAAUUUGAAGAAGUCAUUUUAUCUUCGCUCGUGAAAAUCAUUGAGUUGCAUGAAGUUUAUGAAUCGAAAUAUUUCCAAAUGAAAUUCAAAUAUUUUCAAAUACCCUUUCAUUUAAUUAAAUGGAAGAAGUCAUAUCAUCUUCGCUCAAGGGUUUUGUAUUUGAAAAGAAUUGGAAUUCAUGAAGAUGAGAAAAGAAAAUGAAAGUUUGGGAAAGUCCUUUUAUUCCCUCUCAUUUAACUUUCAAAAAAAAUCGAAUUUCGCUCAAUUUCACACAAUCAAUCAAACAAUCAAUCAAAUCUAUCUAUUUAUUAUAACAUUCCAAAAUUUAGAAUUUUGGGAUGUUACAUACCUACCACCCUUAAAAUGAAUCUCGUCCUUGAGAUUCGGAGAGGCUAGCAAGAAAUAGGUUAGGGUUUGGGGGUCUUCAAGAUCCAUCGAUCGUCUCCGAACGUCUGGGGUGCUACCACGCUUAGAAACAUGGUUACGGUUCCAUCAAAACUUAUAUACUUUAUCCUUUUUCCUGACAGUGUGGGUCUUCUCAGAUCCUCUGAAAAUUUUUCUUCUCUGGGCUCUUCCGGUGGUGGCAUAACCUUUUCCUUAAUUCUUGUAUCCAUUUCAUCUGGUAAGGUUAUUCCAAGACUGGGUCUUCUUAGCUAACGGGUCUGGCGCCAAUACUAAACAACUAUCGAUAUCUCAUGGUGGUCAACAAUUUAUGGUUUCUCCUGCAGGAAAUGGGUCUGGGUUGAACCUCACCGUAUAUCCUACGUUUGGCAACAGCUGCCUUGUACAGGGAUAAAAAAUACCUUUACCAUUCUAAGGUUUAAACAAGGUUUAAUAUCGUCAUCUCUUUACUAUAGGUAAGUCACUCAGAUUUACCAUCCCAUAUAGCAAGGCGAAUAAUAAGAGUAAGUCGGUAUGGUGAUCAAUCCAUCCCGCACCCAAAUCAUUAUCUUGUAUAUGGUUUAGCGAAUCUCGCAUUCUAACACUCGGUCAUCCUCACAAGCAUUGCGGAAUUUCUCUUGUCGAAGAACCAAGUUCGGAUAAAUCCAUUGAUUCUGCAAGCCAAACAAACAUCUAUCGUUCCUUAACAACUCCCAGGUUUUGCGUUGCUCCUAUAAAAUCGUCGGUGGGUAAAGGCAUAUCCUCUUCCAUGGGUUUUCCUUCAGCAAGAGUGUGCUUGCUUCUUGGCAGGUCCUGGGGCCUGUGGGUUAUGGCCCAUCUCAUCACUUGUAAACCUUGAACUCAUCAUCGGGGCAACUGAUCAUUAUCCCAACAUUCAACUUCCUAGCAUUCUUAAAUCCAUCCAAUGAUACUAUCUCCAUCUUCCUUCUGUUGUAUCACACUAAGACGUGAUUACUCAAACUCAUCAUGGAGUUACAAUUGCUCCAUAUCAUACCUCCUUUAUAUCCAAUAGUAAUCCAUCUCUUCAUCCUCGUGGGAUGUCCCACAUACCAAGAUAAAACUUAUACUUAUGAAGUCCAUACUCCACUUUGUGGAAUAUCAUUAUCCUUUCCAGGGUCAAGAGUCCUUACAGGGGAAUAUUGGCCACCUCUGCAUGGCACUUCUUCAACUGGGAAACGUGAAACACAUCAUGAACUCCUGACAGUCCUUUGGGUGACUCCAACUUGUUGGCCACUUCUCCCAUACGCUCCAAAACUCGGUAUGGUCCUACAAAUCUCGGAGCUAACUUUCCCUUAACUCCAAAUCGUUUAACUCCUUGCAGAGGGGACACACGAAGACAUGCUCUGUCUCCAAUUUCAUAGACUACCUCCUUGCGUUUUUGAGUCUGCAUAACUCUUCUGCCUGGACUGAGCUACCUUCAGUCUAUCUCGAAUCCACUUAACAUUCUCUUCUGAAUCCUUGAUCACAUUUGAUCCAAACAACUGACGGUCUCCAACUUCAUCCCACAUCAAUGGUGUCUGGCUCCUUCUCCCAUACAAAGCUUUAAAAAGGGGCCAUCUUCAAACUGGCUGGGUAACUGUUGUUGUAUGAGAACUCCACGUAAGGUAGAUUAUCAUCACUACUAGAUCCAUAAUCUAGUGCACACGCUCUCAACAUGUCCUCCAGAAUCCGAUUGAUUCUCUCGAUUUAUACAUCUGUCUGCGGAUCAAAGGCUGUACUGAACUCUAGCCUAGUACCCAAAGUCUGGUGCAGCUGAUUACAAAACUUUGAGGUAAACUGUGUUCCUCUAUCUGAUGCGAUGGUCCUCGGAACUCCAUGCAGACAUACGAUCCUGGUCAAAUAUAUAUCUUGGCCAACUUCUCACUUGUAUAGGCGGUUUUCACUGGGAUAAAGUGAGACACUUUGGUCAAGCAAAUCAACUACUAACCAGAUAGAAUCAUGUCUCGUUCGGGUUCUGGGAAAUCCGGUAAUGAAGUUCAUGCCAAGCUUAUCCCACUUCCAUUCGGGUAUUGGCAUAGGCUGUAGUAAUCCUACUGGCUUCUGAUGCUCUGCUUUUACUCUCUCUGGCAUACAUCACCUACGACUAGAUACUCCGCAAUAUCCUUAUUCAUACCAGUCCACCAGAAACACUCCUUCAAAUCCAAAUACAUCUUGGUGUUUCCAGGGAGAAUCGAGUAUGGUGAGUCAUGAGCCUCUUGAAGUAUUUACUUCCUGAUCCUUGCAUUAUUGUGCACAUAUACACGAUCCUUGAACCAUAAGGUGUCGUGCUCAUCCCUACGAAAACCUUUGACCUUUCCUUUGCUCAUCCUCUCUUUUACCUCGUCAAUCUCUUUGUCAACCUUCUGAGCCUCACGAGUCUUUCCCAAUAAUGUAGACUGAACUUCCAUUGCUGCAACAAAACCUUUGGGAACAAUCUCCAACCGAAGUUCCCUGAGAUCCUCUGCUAACUCCUUUGGUAAUCCUCCGCUUAUGAGGGUAUUCGUCCGUGUUUUCUUUAUGGUUGUGUCCUAUUUCUCCACAAAGCUUGUAUGCACAAGGUUUCUUCAUAUCACUUCCAUAAGGCUUCAACUUCCGGGACACAAACUAAGACUUUAGCAAAGUCAACUUAAAUUAUUUCCAAGUGGUUACUCCUUGCCAUCCAUUGAUGGUUUGGUACAUCCUUCCAAGUAGCAGUACCUCUUUCAAAGAACAGAAGAGCAUGCUGGGCCAUAUCCUUUCUAACUAUAGGGUUAUUCUCCAUAUAACCCUCCAUGUUCUGAAUCCAGUGGUCCAUCUCCAAUUGAGUCAUUGGUACAGAAAAUAUAAACUCAUCUCCAUUCAUCCUCUAUUGGGUCCAGGGGUUUUGGGGUCAGAUAAGAGAGAUAGAGAGGGAUACACACAAUACAAACAAAAUUUUGAAAAGACAGAUUUUAUUUGUGGCUGUCGAAAAAAACAUCAAACAAAUGACAGCUCACAAACGUUGCAUCUAACGUAAGAAUAUAACAGGGGUUGGGUCUUCUAAUGGUCUAUAGAUCUCAACGUCAUCAAACUUUUCAAGUCUUGGUCAUGUCUCCGAUGGCUUUGUCUGAUCGUGCUUGUCCUCCUCAUGUUCUUUUGCCAGUUCAUCUCUAUUGAUGCAAAGUCUCUCGUGGCGUCUUUCAAUAUUUCUGGAGUUGCUAACCAAACUUCUGGAUCUCAACAUCCUUGGCAUGAACCAUGUCCUCCUGUCCUUCAGUUCCUGACGAAUCUCCUGUAUCUCGAGGUUUUGCUCUUCCAGUUUGGAUACUCUCAUCUUCAGGGUCCUGAGUUCUUCAUGAAAUACUUUUUUGUCAAAAUACUGCUUCUUGUAGUACCAUCUUAACUUCUUGAUGUAAUACUCCAGAUCCUGGUGAUAAACCAGCUAAGGUUAAAGCUGCAUCCUUUGCUGACAGAUGCUCCUUCAGCCUUCCAUCCAAUCCUUCCAUGCAUAUGCAUGCUUAUCUCAGCUCGGUGACAAUAGCAUAAGCGGGCGAUGACAUUAGGGAUAACCGUGUCUAUGCCCAUGUUACUGCCAUGAGCUUUUAUUCCAUAAUUGAAUUCUCCUACCUUAGGGUUUUCCUAACAAAACUUUGAGUCCUAAUGCUCCAUGUUCCGGUCUUUCUCCGAUACACCUUGAUCUCGGGUAUUGACAGCUUCCUUAGUCUGCCAAGUUCCAUAAGGGUAGCCUUUAUAGGUCAUAAAAAAUCUGGAAUUUCUUCAUAUUCUCCUAGUCUUCAAAGUCUUUAUCCGUCUUAGUUUCCAUCAUCAUAAUGUAUGGUAAAAUCCUCUUCAUUCCAAAGUAGUCUUAGUUGUCCGAUAUCUGGUCCUUCUUGGAGUGGUCUCAUUAGUCGAAUCUUUGAGGGGUCAAAAGGGGAAAGGGGUAUGGUCUCACUAAAAGGGAACAUUUGAAUAAGCUCAGAAGAGAAGAGAGGUAAAGAUUCUUUUGAAAAGAAAGUUGUAGAGAAAAAAUCUUUCCUAUGGGCUUGCCAGUUUCUAGGGUCACGUCCUACAGUCAACAUGUGCUCUGAUACCAUCUUGUAGCGACCCGACCCGAAUGGAUCAAGUCUCUGUGCUUAAGUGUCAUCCCUGGAUCGGUAUGCUGACACACACAGUACUCGAGGAUUUAUAACAGAGGUAAAUCACAUGUAUAAAGUAACGUAAAUACUAUUACCUCAAUCCAAAUAGCGGAAGUAACAAGGUUGUGGAUUCCCAUCAACACCAACGACAAAGUUGAGUGUAGAAAUCGUAACCCUAACGUAUCACUUACUCGUCGUAAGAUCCUGCAACAUGAGAUGUUGCAGCCACAAAGGGUCAGUACAUUGAAUGUACUGGCAAAUUCACACCAUAGGAUAAUGAUGAAUACUAACUAUCACUACAUGCAUAUUUGGCUGGUGGAAAGCUCUAUGGUUAUAGUUUUUGCGAAAAGCCAAUUUUUCCCUACUGCAAAGGAAUAAAUUUUGAUUAACUAUCAUGGUAGUUGUUAAACAUUGAGAAUGGUUGACAGCAUUCUCAAUCCCAAUUAAAAGUAAUCAUUAACAACCCAACAAAUUAAUUAAGUAACAUGAUGAGAUACAUGUGAUAAUCCAAGUACUAGACACUCAGAAUUGUCCAUAACCCGGGACACGGCUAAUCAUGAUUAGUUUGUACACUCUGCAGAGGUUUGCGCACUUUCCCCACAAGACUCGAUCGCCUCCGUUUAUUUCUCGCACUGCAUGGUGUUUGAGAAACGGAUGACCGAGACACAGUCUUUCAGAAACAUUAACUCUCUACUCUGGGUAGACCAUACCAAACCUACAAAACCCACUACCUGCUGAUCUACCUGUUCAAGAGCUUCACGUAACUUACUCAACUAUGCUAGAGCCCGUAAUAGCUUGUGGCUGCACACGGAAGUUUCUAGCAUGAAUCAUCUAAGUUCCCUUUGAGCCUGGGUGGCGGUCCAUAGGAAAAUCACACGGUAACCGCGUGAUUUCCAAAAAAACAGGCAAUCACUCGUAUCCCCAGGUGCCUCAAUCCACCCAGAUGUGUAUUUAAGUAGCCACCUUAAGUUGAACCAUUAAGUAACAAUCUCACAUCUGAAAUGGAAUACACUCAAACCCAAUCCACGUCUACGAGCAUAGCAUGGCAAUAUAAGCAACGCGUAGAAGUAACUCCCAAGGGUUUGAUAUAAAUAGGGCAAUAGGUUCUACCUCAUCAACUACUUCCCAACCCACAAGUUAAAGACAUCCUAAUCAUGCAAUGUUUGAGGAUUGAACUAAUGCAAUGAAAACUGGAUAUGGAAAGAGUAUGAUCAAUGUGUGAACUUGCCUGUACUGUUGAUGAAGAUGAUUCGCACUCAAAACUCUGGAUAGUUCUACUCAUCACACUCCGGUCAAACUAUCGUGAGCAAGCAAUAGUAACCACACAUAAGCAAUCACUCAAAAGAUCGGAAAGAACGAAGAAAGCAAUUUGGAAAACUUCAAAAUCAAGCAAAUAACUCUUGCAACAGAAAACAAUUUCUAACAGUACCAAAAUUAAGUGAAUUUGGCCUUAUCAGAAAGUUUAGGUCAAGAGCUUCGAUUUGCAAAAAGAAUCAACUAAAACAAAGUUAUAAAACUCUAGUUACGAUCAAACGAAGUUCAAAUACUAACUGUUUGAAUUUAAAUUUUAAAACUUUCAAAAACAUGUUUAAGUUGAUUAUCUGGAUAGAGUGGAUCAUAACGAAGAAGUGGGCGUUGGUUUCGUUGGAUUUUGACUAACGAGAAAAAAGUUAUGGUCGUUUGAAGAUUAGGGACUAAUCUGUGAUUAAAAUAUUCACAGAUGGGUCCCUGGCCGAAAUAACAGAAAAAGAAAAGAACUAAAUAAUGAAUGUUCGUUUAUAAGAUCUAAACAGUGGACGUUCAUUGUUUAAUAAAACCAGAAGAAAACAGAUCUAGUCUAGGUUUUUUUUAAAAAUAAACGAUUUAAAAGAAAAACCGGAUCGGUUUUCUCGGGUUAUACCGGUUUGCGGCGGUUCGAGGAAAACCGGUGAUUCGUGGAGCGGAUCUGACCGGCGAGCUCCGGUGAGGCGGCACGGGGCUCCGGUGGGCGGCUCCGGUGGUCGGCGACGGUGGCGGAGUAGACGGGGAGGGGGGCGUUGGACGGCGGGUGCGGUGGCGUUGCCGGCGGCGGUCGACGGCGACGAGAGUGGCGGAGCUACGACGGCGGUGGCGAGAUCCAGCGGCGACGGCGCUGUGGAGCUGCGGGACGGGGAGGAGAAGGGAAACGGGGCCCGGGGCUCCGGUAUUUAAGGGGGCGGCGAGACGUGGAGGAGGGGGCGGGGUAAGGCGGUGGUGGUGGCGUAGCCGAGGCAGACUCGCCGGCGUGCGGCGGCGGGAGUCGUCCCGCGUCGGGGACGAAGCGGUCGGGGCGCUGGCUGGGCUGUGGCCUGGCCUGGGAGCGGGGCCGGCCCAGUUCGGCGGAAGCUUUUUUUUUUAAACAUUUUUCCAGCAAAACAAAAAGAAACGCAAAAUAAAUAAAAAUUUUACAUAGGCAUAUAAUAUAUCAAAAUUUUCAGAAAACGAUUUCCUAUAACGUGAACAUUAUCCUAUCAUCAAACAAAAUCUACACAAAUUCAGAUAAUUCAAACAGUGCUCCUGCUCUACUAAAAUCCAAUAAAAAUCAUUAAAAAAUACCAAAAUUAAUUCAAAUUUAUUUCUCUCCAAUUUUCUGAUGUAGGGAAUCAUGUUACCCUAUUUUCCAUAUAUUUUAUUUUUGGAGAAAAAUAAUUUGAAUAAAACUCCAAUAACUCCAAAUUGAAAAUAAAUUCAAAAGAACUUUGAAUUUAAUUCUUUUAAAACUCCCAACUCAUAUUUCAUAUAAUUUGAAGAAGUCAUUUUAUCUUCGCUCGUGAAAAUCAUUGAGUUGCAUGAAGUUUAUGAAUCGAAAUAUUUCCAAAUGAAAUUCAAAUGUUUUCAAAUACCCUUUCAUUUAAUUAAAUGGAAGAAGUCAUAUCAUCUUUGCUCAAGGGUUUUGUAUUUUAAAAGAAUUGGAAUUCAUGAAGAUGAGAAAAGAAAAUGAAAGUUUGGGAAAGUCCUUUUAUUCCCUCUCAUUUAACUUUCAAAAAAAUUCAAAUUUCACUCAAUUUCACACAAUCAAUCAAACAAUCAAUCAAAUCUAUCUAUUUAUUAUGGGAAAACUUUGUUUUUGCCACUCUAGCUUUUGCCAAUUUUGCUUAUGCCACUCUAGAAUUUGACAUGUCACUUUUGCCAUUCUCAGCUUUUGACAAUUAUCACAAUUGCCAUUUCGUGGCAAAAGCAAAAUUUUCAGAGUGGCAAUUAUGAUACAUUGUCAUAAUCUAAGGGUGGCAAAAGUGAAAUAAAAAACUAUUGCUUUUGCCACGGAAUGGCAAUUGUGAUAAUUGUCAAAAGCUGAGAAUGGCAAAAGUGAUAUGUCAAAUUCUAGAGUGGCAUAAGCAAAGUUGGCAAAAGCUAGAGUGGCAAAAACCAAGUUUUCCCAUUUAUUAUAACAUUCCAAAAUUUAGAAUUUUGGGAUGUUACAAUAUUCGAAUACCGUAUCCACGGUAAUGGAUGUUCAGACUUAUAUCCUGAUCAUAUAUAACUAGAAAUGGAUACUUGAGAUAUGUGAUGGAUAUGUGGCUCCGAGAUUACUUUCCCACAGGGAGUCGGGGAAGGAUCUUUAGGCGUUGAUGUUACAACAUGCUUGUUAAAUAUUAAAAUGCUAGUCUUUACUCUUCUACAUGCUGCAAGAUCCUUGGAGCUGCUUGAAGAUGCUAGUCUUCGAUAGGCUAGGCCUUCUCCCUCUAUUCUGGCAUUCUGCAGUUCAGUCCACAGAUACAAACCUUCCAUUUGAUACUAGUGCAUAUUUAGUAUAGAUCUUAUGCUUGUGAGUACUUUGGAUGAGUACUCACGGUUGCUUUGCUACCCCUUUUCCCCCUUCUUUCUUCUUUCCGGUUGAUGAAACCAGAUGGUGGAUCCUUGGAGCCAGAUGCCACCGCCGAUGGAUUCUGCUACGUGGAGCCCGUCGACGACCAGGAGUAGUUAGAAGGUCCCAGGCAGGAGGCCUUGCCUCUUCGAUCGUUGUUGGUUUUGUGCUAGCCUUCUUAAGGCAUCCUUGUUUAACUUAUGUCUGUACUCAGAUAUUGUUGCUUCCGCUGACUCUUGUGUAUCGAGCUUGUAUUCGAGCCCUCGAGGCCCCUGGCUUGUAAUAUAAAGCUUGUAUUAUUUGAUUUGUGUCUAGAGUUGUGUUGUGAUAUCUUCCCAUGAGUCCCUGAUCUUGAUCGUACACAUUUGCGUGUAUGAUUAGUGUACGAUUGAAUUGGGGGCGUCACAUUGCUUAUAUUACUGUCAACAUUUACUGAAAAAAUAUUCAUGCUCAGAACAUGCUGUUCUUAAGAUUGACUACAGUACGAGCCCUUUUUUAUUUGACUCCAACUUGAUAUGAUGUUGUGGGAUGCCUGUUGUCCUACCCCUCCUUAUCCCAAAACCUUUCAAAGAAAAGCGGCAUGGCAGUUGCAGGUGGUUCCUGGCUCGAUCAGAUGACGGCGAACGAUUGAUGAUCGUUCACACGUACCGGACGUGUUGUUUCGCGGAAUACAAUCUCAGUCACUGCAAGGUCUUUGAGCAGGAUCCCAGCUUCUCCAGGCCUCCAGGAAUUUUUAACUAGAGGCUGGUAAGUAGCCUUGGUACAUGCUCUCUAUUUCUCGGACUAAAUUAUCGGAUUAACCAUGAGAUAACCGAUGGCAAGGAUCAUGAUGGCAGCGUAGUUUCGUUCAUCAGGAAAAACUGUGUGUACAUAGCGUACCAUGCGUCUCUCCAUGCACCAUACCCUGAUAUAUGCCGCCACGCUCUGCAGCCCAAAGUAGGAGAGAGGGUCACAAGUAUCAGACUUCGACCUGCUGACUGGAGUUUCCCCCGUCAGGCACCCAUCUGUUUUAAGUCGUCAGCCAAUCUCCACAGCUCAAUAAAUAGUAACGUCUAACUGAGCCUAUUAGUUAGAUGCGUACACUUUUGGUGGAGUAGGAUCUUUAUUUAGUUUGACGCAUACACUUGUUCUUUUUUGGUAGCCCUUUUGUAAUGAUGGCUGAUGUUUGGUUUGGAAGAGAGAGUUGCGGCUUUACUCUUCUGGCCUGCUUAGUGCUUCUGUUGCACCCCCAGCCCUGGUUGAUGCUGCUUCUGUUGCACCCCCAGCCCUGGUUGCUGCUGCUGUUUUCAAUGUACAAUCAGUAGUAUAUUUUGUCUAUUGGUUGAAUAAAUGUGUUGUUAGAACGACAAACACAAUAUUUUGGAAGUCGUUGCAUGGUCUGAUCCUUUAGUGCCCCGUACCGUACGUAGUGCAUACUAUUUUUAGUACAGAACACAUUUUCCACUUGUCGACAACAUGCAGCCCACCGAUGAAGGCCCAAUAUAGGAGCCCAUAAGCAACUGGAAGGGAGGGUCUCACAUGAAUCAGACCCAGGUACAUGCUCAUGGUCCCCUAAACAUAAAUAAGUAAAUAAAUAAAUAACUAAAGCUAAAUGCUCAUGCACCAGUUCUUUAAAUUCACGAUUUGAAAAGUCAAAUUUGAACAGGAGGAUAUUAUUUCCUAUGAGAGUGCCAUUGCAUUCAGUCGAUAUUAUUCUUAGGCAAAGAUAGCGACCAAUCUUUUUUCUCCCACCAUUUUCUUCCUGCAACCAGCGGACCCAUGCAAAUCAUAGUCAACAUCGUAAAUAGUUCCGGUCCAUUACUAUUUUUUGAUAUGAAUGCCCAACCCAGCCCAACACAUUGACAACACCACUUUAUCCUCCGCCUUGAUGCACUCACCGCGGCGCCGCCGUCCGGCCCUGUCAACACAGUGAAUUGGGAGAGGACUGUAGUUGUGAGUAUGAUAGUACGGACCCACCAGGUCCACUCCCGAACACAAGCAAUUGCCUCUUUUACUACUCGGAUGCACCCCUCGUUUUAUACUCUAAUCCACCCUGCUGAUAUCUGGGACCCACAUCGUUGUCAACGUAUAAUCAAUUAACGACAGAAUUGCACAAUUUUUUUGUGGAUUUGUUUGGAGGAGCAGGCUAUAAAUUGGGUUGUGCGGUCUCUAUGGCCCGUCUAACAACAUGACCAGCCCAACAGGUUUUUCUUUGGGAAAAUAGGUAGCCCACUAUUUCUUCAUGAAGAAUACCCAAGCUAGGCCUAUUUGUUUUCUCCGACUUACUGGGCUGCAAAUCUUUCAAGACGAGGAGGGAUGCAUUCCGGCCUGUCCAAAGAGUAUGGGCAGUAUAUCUUAAAAGUAAUAUGAAAUGGGUUGCAAAUUCCAAAAAAUUAUAGCAAAUGGGCAAUUAGUUUCAUUUUUUGUUUUUGUUCUUCACUGCUAUUUUAUAUUUCAUUGGAUUUUAACAUGACAUAGUACUACUUUAUUUUUAAAUUUAUUUUAGUAUGGCAACUAAUUUUUGGAUUAAGAAUAUUUUGUUCCCCACCAAAAAUAUGCUAAUUUUUAAAAUUUCGCACAUUUUUUAGUUCAAAAUUUUAACCCUGGCACUGACCAGAAAAUGGGCAGCAAUUUUAAAAAUGGAAAAUGGGCUGCAAUAAAUUCCAUAUGAAUUAGCAAAUGGGCAAUGAAUUAUAAAAAUAAUAGUAAAUGGGAUGUACACGCCACAGAUUUCGAGGCUGACUUGGUUACGCUAGGCUUUGUCAGUCAACACACGAUUCUAGCAGCAGUGACUGUUGGAUGCCCAUCCAACGGCUGACGUGCUUCUUCAAUCUCUCAUCUUCCUGCUCCAGCCGUCUAAACCAGCACCGACGGGACUGCCUGCUCCCUCCUCUUGUGGCCGGCUGUGAUGCCGCGCAGGCUCCAUCGGCCCACCGUACUCCCUCCGCUGGCCUGGCCAUCCCUCUACCCACCCGCAUCUCCUAUUAUUCUCUGGUGACGACAGCCUCACGCCGCAGCCAAACCAGUCAACCGCCAUACUCUCCUCAGCGUGGGCAUCCACUGCUAUGUCUUCGCCGACUCCAGGUCGUUUCAUUCCUAGGCCUCACCGUCGUCCACCACGUUGGUGCUCUAGGCGCGGCGUGCUCAACAUUCAACAAACGGUAGCCAUCGGAAUAAGGAUGUACGUGGAGAGGCUGACAGUAGGGACCCCCAUGGUCCAUGGCCGCACGCAAGCAACUCCCUCCUUAUUAUGCGAAAAAAUGAUUCCUCCCACUGACAUCUGGGGCGCAUCGGUUCAGACGCUGACCUGUGGGCCUACUAAGUUGACGCAUACGCAGGGCUUUGUCAACUUAGUCAACAAACGAUUGUAGCAACAGUGACCAUUGGAUUUUAAUCGAACGGUCCUGUUGCUUCUUUAGUUGCUGCUCUUCUUGCACCAGCCACCCAAACCAGCUCCGACGAGACCGCCUGCUCCUGCUUCUAGUGGCUGGCUGUGCUGCCGCAUAGGCCUCACUGCCUCACCCUACUCUCACCGCUGGCCAGGCCAUUGCCAUCCCUCUACUGUCUAGUCACCCACAACCCGUGUUAUUCUGCGGCGACGGCAGCCUCACACUGGAGUCAAACCAGUCAACUCUCGUACUCCUCUCCACGUAGGCAUCCACUGCCGCAUCUUCCCCGGCUCUGUGUUGUCCACUUCCAGGCCUUGCCGUCGUCCACCGCCUUGGUGCUCUCGGUGCGGCAUGGUAAACGUGGUCAAGGAACGACAUCCAUCGGAAUGUACGUGGAGAGGCUGAUAGUUGGGUCCAUAGCCGCAUCAAUGAAGUGCAACCUUAUUACGCGUAAAAUAAUCAUUCCUCCACCUAACAGCAGGGACCCACCGGAAGGGACUCUGUAUUUUGUGGAAAAAAACAUUCCCCCUAACAGCUAUGACCUACCAGCUACAUCUUUGCACGCAAGGAAGUGCUCCAUAUUACGGGCAAAUAAAAUGAUUCUCCCCCUGACCACUGGGACCCACCAUCAAUAACUUCACACGCAAUGAAGUGCCUCCUUAUCCUCCCUGACAGUCGGGACCCACCUGGUCGAAGCGUACGUAGUGUUGUCAUUCUGGUCGCGAACGUGUACGUACAUACUGGUCGAUCAGUCAGUCGGCAAGCUACAGCGAUGAACUGUGGCCGAGCAAGGAGCGGCACGUGUAGUAGUAGAGCCCCCGACGUAGCAGUUCAGGCAGUCCAGUCAAAACCGUGUACACGUAUGUAGAGCCAGAUGCCAAAAAAUAUGGCCACGUACAUACAUACGGGCGGGGUCUCGAAUGCCUACUCACGCAUUUGUUCGACCAGGGCUCCUGUACAUGGAGAGGCAACGGAUGGUAGCAACGGCGUCCUGUUCAUCAGAAGCGAACCGGCUGGAUCAGAACGGAGAAACUACGUCGUGUUCAUGGGGAGGCAACAGAAUACAUCGUGUUCAUCGGGAGGCAACGGAAUACGUCGUGUUCAUCGGGAGCUAACCGGCUUGGACGGAACAGCCGAAACGAGGCCUGGUGUAUCACAGAACGGAGGAAACAAGCCUUUUGUUUGACCGCGUACGGUCGAAACGGGGUCUUGUUCAUCGAAAAGGGUUUGGCGUACCGCAAAACGGUGGAAAUGGACUUGUGUUUGAGCUCCUACAGUUGAAACGGGGUCCUGUUGAUCAGGAGGGGUGUGGCGUACCGCAAAACGGAGGAAACAGACUUCUCUUCGUCCUCCUACGGUCGAAAUGGGGGUGCUGUUCAUCGGGAAGGGUGUGGCGUACCGCAAAACGGGACUCCGCGGGCUACUGCUCAUCCACCGUCCACUUCCUCCAGCCUCCACCUGCUACUGUUCAUCCACCGUCGACUUCCUCCAGCCUCCACCAGCUACUCUUCAUCCAACCCUCCACGGGGUCCUAUUCAUCCAGCCUCCGCCGGCUACCGUUCAACCAGGCCUACAUGGGAUCCUGUUUAACUAGCCCCUCCAUGGGAUCCUGUUCAACCAGCCCUCCACGGGCUCCCUCCACUGGCUACUGGUCAUCCACCCCCACCUCCUCGAUCAGGGUCCUGUUCAUCCAGCGACAAUGGUCUCUACUACCAUGAGAUCCUGUUCAUCCAACCCCCACCGGGAACUGUUCAUCCAACCCCCACCGGGAACUGUUCAUCCAACCCCAACCACAUAUGUCUCGACUCGUUCAACGAACCCCCAUGUUCACUAUUCAUCAAGAGGCAGCAUGUUUGAUCGACUUCAGUUAGCAACAGUAGCGAAGGAAUCACUCGGGUUCAGUUAGAGCCCAACGCCUCGCUCGGGUUCAGUUAGAGCGCAAAGCCUCACACACACGCGCGUACGUGUACGAGAGAAACAUGAAAACCUUCAUGCAUCGCUCGGCCCCGACCACCCACCGUAAUCGGGAACUCCCCAAAAUUUUCCUCGCCCUCGCUUCUACCAUGAUUUUUUCCGUCAUGAACGACCAAAACAAUGUCAUGCAGGUGUGUCUCAGGCCCGCCCAAGAUGAAAAACCCAUUUUCUAUCAUGAAUUUUUGUCAUAGAAGUAGGAUCCCACAACAUCUAUGAUGAUACUGGGUUUUGUCAUAAUUAUCGUCAUAGAAGUGUCAUAAGUACAAAAAAAUUUGUUCGGCCCAAAUGUCAUGGAUGUGUCUUUUUUUGUAUUGAUUGUCGGUUUGGUCACAUGCGGUGAACUUGAUGAUGGUGGCAACGAUCAUCUUGUCCAACUGAGAGUCGUAGCUGGUGUUGACGAUGGCCAUGAACCAGUCGGUCGCCAACACCCUCUGGAAACGAUCCUUGGUGCCAUGCUGCAGGCCAGUGUCAUGGAACAUCUGGCAUCGCCGCUGGCCAGUUGAUCGCAUCGCCGCCAUGGGUCUGAAGUGAGCACUGUUGCGCUUAGUGUAGGUGUGUACAAUGUGGUGGAUGCAUUGGAAUGGAGGGGUGCCUUUAUAUGAGUGCAAACUGCGUUGCUUUCACAUCGUGUUGCCUCCUUUCCCCGUCCUCAUCCUUACUCCCCUCAACAUGCUACUAAUAGAAGGAGGAUGCAUCAUUGGUUGUUCAGCAUUUCGGGAACCGCUACCCUCUCCCUCGUCUGCAGUAAAGCUGCGUCAGGAACUGUCCUGGUUUACUACUAGUUUACUGUCCAUUUCUCAAUUUAUUUUUACCAUCCUACUUUACUAGUAGCUAUCAAAUCAAAUAGUACCGUGCCGCCCGCUGCAGCCUGCUGCACACCCGACUGAACACGACUCCUCGCCUCUAUCAAGCAUCUCCAUUAAACCCGCAUGCAAACCGAGAAACCUUCUCUAGACACAUGUCUGGCCAUGAGCGGGCCGGAAUUGAAUGCAACACCGGCCGAGCUCCUCCCAUCCGCCCUCAGUUUAAACGAGGCCAGACGCCGGCCAAGCUCGUACCGUCCACCCUCUAUUUAAACGAGGCCAGACGGAGGGCAAGAAUCGCACCCCUUUGUCGCUCCCCCAUCUCCUCCUUCACCAUUUUCUCCACUAUUCCGAUGGCUUCCAAGGAGCCGUUCUCCAGCAUACUAGCUAGCUGGGUGGCCCGCCAAGCCCUUCGGAUAUGAGCAAGGCCGCUCGAUGAUUCACCUACCUCGCCUGGCCCGAUGCUACCAGUUGCCGCCCCAAGCUGCCGCAUGGUUCAGCAACUCGCUGCUCUAAUUCAGCUCGAUGAGUAGUGCGGGGUUGCUCCAUGCCUGCUCGACGGUGAGCACGGCGGCAUGGGUGUUGUUGCUACCACAUUGUAUCGCGACUCCCGUGUCUGUGGUGGUUGCGCCUCCCAUGCUUGCGGCAGCGCCAUGCAGGCAGAGACAGAAGCUUGGUGUGCGGAGAGCGACGAGUCGAUGGCCAUCUUCUCCGUGUCCGCCGCCAUCAUCGAGGAGAAGUAGAACAGGGGAGGCCCGCGCUGCUUGGGUCCCAUGAAGGCCACCGCCAAGGCGUCGACUGCGUAUACAUGUGGUCUCUUGGUUGAUUCGUCUCUUGCGAGGACUUUCUCGACCCCGCAAGUGUCUACCAGACAUGAGGAAGACAAAGGGAUCCACGAGCGGCCAUUUAGAUUAGGUAUUAAUUAUACCACGAGAUCUGUAUUAGCACCACUUAAUUCAUGUAAAUGUAAUAAAAUCUGUCACGUUUACAUGAAUAUUUGGCUUUUUAUAUGAAAUCCUUCAUGCUUAAAUGAAAUCAGUCCAUGUUUGCAUGAAUUUCCUCUAGUUGGCUAGAGUUGUGAAAAUGAAUGCUGCUCGCAUUGGAUGUCGUCCUCUGCGGAAGGAAGCGGGAGGAAAUUUGCUGCUUGCCGUCAGAGAUGCUCUUAUGCUGGAAAUAAUAUAGUCACAUCCAAUCCAUUUGAGUUAAUUGUGAGUAUGAUUCUCCCUCUAUAAAAAGUUAAUUGCAUGUACAAUGUAUAUGACUUGCAGGGUGGUUACAGAUUCAUACAGAAAGUUAAAAAGAAACAAAUCCAUCAUUAAUCUGGUAUUCUAAGUACUCUAUGGGUUCCACUGUCAGUACAGUAGCGAAAUAAGUAUAUAAUAAAAAAAUCUAAAGUUUAAGACAGAAUUCAAACUCGGAUCAUCGCAUUUGUAGGAUCGAAAGUAUGUCUAGAGGGGGGGUGAUUAGACUACUUGACCAAAUAAAACUUAACCUUUUCCCAAUUUUAGUUCUUGGCAGAUUUUAGCAACUUAGCACAAGUCAAGCAAACUCAAUAAAAUUCAAGCAAGCAUGCAAAGUGUAUAUGGGCAGCGGAAAGUAAAGCAUGCAACUUGCAAGAAAGUAAAUGGGACGAGUUUGGAGGGAGCAAACGCAAUGUUGACACGGAGAUUUUUGGCAUGGUUUCGAUAGGUGGUGCUAUCGUACAUCCACAUUGAUGGAGACUUCAACCCACAACAGGUAACGGUUGCGCGAGUCCACGGAGGGCUCCACCCACGAAGGGUCCACGAAGAAGAAACCUUGUCUAUCCCAACAUGGCCAUCACCCAUGAAGGACUUGCCUCACUUGGGUAGAUCUUUACGAAGUAGGCGAUCCCCUUGCCCUUAUAAAUUUCUUGGUUCAACUCCACAAUCUUGACGGAGGCUCCCAAGCAACACCUAACCAAUCUAGGAGACACCACUCUCCAAAAGGUAAUAGAUGGUGUGUUGAUGAUGAACUCCUUGCUCUUGUGCUACAAAUUAUAGUCUCCCCAACACUCAGCUCUCUCUCACAGAUUUGGCUAUGGUGGAAAGAUGAUUUGAGUGGAAAGCAACUUGGGGAAGGCUAGAGAUCAAGAUUCUUGUGGUAGGAUUGGAAUAUCUUGGUCUCAACACAUUAGUAGGUGGUUCUCUCUCAGAAAUGAGUAGUGGAAGUGUAGGUAUGUUCUGAUGGCUCUCCUCACCAAUGAGCAAUGGGUGGAGGGGUAUAUAUAGCCUCCACAAAAAAUCUGACCAUUACACACAGAUUCCCAAACUUGAUGGGACCGAAUCAUAAAACUCGGUCAGACCAAUCCAGGUAAAAAUAUGAAUGUUAGAUUUUUCGGUGGGACCGACUUAGUCAUCUCGGUGAGACUGAUAUGCUAGGGUUAGGGCAUAACGUAAUCUCGGUGUGACCAAUCGCAUAAACUCAGUGGGAUCGAUUUCAGUAAUAGGCACAUAGAGGGUUGGUUAGAUAAACUCGGUGGGACCGAUUCGCUCACUUCGGUGGAACCAAAGUGUUACGAAAAGGAAACAUGGAGUUUGUAAUGCAGACUCGGUGGGACCGAUUUGCUCAUUUUGGUGUGAUCGAAAUGUUACAACAAGGAAACAGGGAGGUUGCAAUCCCAUCUCGGUGAGACCGAGAUCCCUAUCGGUGAGACUGAAGUAACUAGGGUUUGUGGCAGUGGCUAUGUCAAAUGAAACUCGGUGGUGCCGGAUAGAUCAAAUCGGUGGGGCCGAAUUUGACUUUUAGGUUUAGGACAAAUGUGUAAAUGAGAAAGUGGUUGAGGGUUUUGGAGCAUAUCACUAAGCAUUUUGAGCAAGUAAGCCAUUAAGCAACACCUCAUCCCUUUUAAUAGUAUUGGCUUUCCUAUGGACUCAAUGUGAUCUUGCAUCACUAAAAUGAAAUGUAGAGUCUUGAGCUUGUUGCCAAUAUGUGUCCUUAGCAUUUUGAGGGGUCCACAUCUCUAGUCCAUGCCAUGCCAAUCAUUGAACUUUUUGAAAUGAUCAUCUUGAAAGAGCAUUAGUUCAAUGAACUAUAUGUUGUUAAGAAUUACGAAAACCACCCAGGGAUUAGUUGUAGUUUCAAUAUCCCCCUUUUUGGUAAUUGAUGACAACAUAUAGAUCAAAGCUUCAACAAAUGAUAAUAAAAAUGAAGUACAUCGUUGCUUUGAGAGGUAUGUGAUAAGUAAGAGCUCCCACAAAAUUUGUGCAUUGUUUAAAAUUUGCUUUGGACUGCAAAUCCACAAUCUGUUAGGAUCAUUGAAAGUGCUAGUUAUCGACUAGAGGGGGGGUAAAUAGGCAAUUUUUAUGAAAGUCUUCAAAACAUGGAAGUUUCAAAGACAAACAAUAGAAACAACCUAAUUGAUAUGCAGCGGAAGAUAAACUACAACAAGCAAGCCAUAAUCAAGUAUGCAAUAGCAUUAACGUACAAAGACUAAUAGCAGCUAGGUAGUAGGAUCAGGAUGGAAGAUAGUAUGAAGCCAAUCAACAAUAGUAGUGAAGCAAUGAAGUCAAUCAGAUAAGAUAGAUAAGCAAUGACUUCACGAAGACAAACUCAAGGUAAAGGAGGGAAGAGAUAGAACCAAUUGCUUGUUGAAGACACAGGAUUUGUUGGACCAGUUCCAGUUGCUGUGACAACUGUACGUCUGGUUAGGGAGGCUGAGAUUCAACUCAGAAGACCGUGUCUUCACCUUAUUCCCCUUGAGCUAAGGUCACUUAGUCCUCGCCCAAUCACUCUGGUAAGUCUUCAAGGUAGACUUCCGAACCUUCACAGACUUCAUUCACCCGACAAUCCACAAUGACUCUUGGAUGCUCAGAACGCGACGCCUAACCGGCUGGAGGAUACACAGUCCUCAAGUGUAAUAAGUCUUCAGGUCACACAGACAGAAAGACUUCAGUGAUGCCUAACACUCUUUGGCUCUGGGUGUUUGGGCUUUGUCCUCGCAAGGAUUUCUCUCUCUCAAAUGCUUCGAGGUGGGUUGCUCUCAAACGACAAAAGCCGUAUACUAACUCUGAGCAGCCACCAAUUUAUGGUGUAGGGGGUGGGCUAUUUAUAGCCACUAGGCAACCCGACCUGAUUUGUCCGAAAUGACCCUGGGUCACUAAGGAACUGACACGUGUUCCAACGGUCAGAUUUCAAACACACACGACAACUUUACUUGGGCUACAAGCAAAGCUGACUCAUCCUACUCUGGAUAAGAUUUGCUCUCAUUGUCUUUGCUCGAAGACAUAGGAUUUGGGUUGAGCAUCACUUUAGUCACUCUGACUUAGUUCACUUGGACCCCACUUAACAGUACGGUGGUUCCUAUGACUCAACAAAGAAGAAAAGGAAGCAACGAAGCCACACAGUCUUUGUGCUCCAUAGUCUUCACGCAAUGUCUUCUCAUGUCAUAGUCUUCAAUAUGAAUAUCUUCUCAUACCACCAUUGUCAUCAAUGUCUUCAUACAUUUUUAGGGGUCAUCUCCGGUAGGUAAACCGAAUAAAUGAGGGACACUACCUGCAUUAUCCUGCAAUUCUCACAAACGCAUUAGUCCCUCAACCAACUUUGUCGUCAAUACUCCAAAACCAACUAGGGGUGACACUAGAUGCACUUACAAUCUCCCCCUUUUUGGUGAUUGAUGACAAACUGGUUGAAGUUUUCAACGGGGAUAAAGUAUGUGAAAUUGUAAAGGAUAGGAAUUUGUCUUCAUAAGUAGCAAGGGCUCCCCUUGAAGAUGUGCAUAUAAAUAAUUUUGCUUUUGGAAUGCAAAUGCACAUGGCAGGUUGUACUUGUGGAGGUCCACUUCAACUUAUGAAGAUAAUUCAUCAUGCAUGAAAUGAUAUAGCAUAUAGGAUGACAUGCAUAAUGAAAAAUGGACGUCUGCAGGAUGAUCUAAGUGCGGAAGUUAUCAUCGCACAUGGAAAUGCAAAUAAGUAGCAGACGAGCAUCAAGUUUAAGUGUUACAACUCAGAGAACCAAAUGUUUCAAAACGCAAGAGUUGUAAGCACGAGGCAAAAUAUAACGCAACCGCCCAUAUGAACCCGCUUGAAGACUAUCAACUCAUACGCUUCUCCCCCUUUUGUCAGUAAUGACCAAAAAGGUUUGAAGACAUAGAGCAUCUACUCAUCUUCUUGAUGAGUAGGUGAAGCAGCAGGGUUGUUGUCGUUGGGUGGCGGUGCAGAUGAACUUGGCGCAGUGUCGAUGCGCGCAGUAGUAGUAGGAGGUGGUGAAGUAGCAUCAUCUUCAUCAUUGAUCACUCCGGCAUUUACCGUUGCCGUGGAGGAAGAAUAUUCAGAGUCUUCAAGAGAUGGAGUUCUUCGUAAGACAACAUUCCGUGGAGGAGUGGAGUCAAACUGAAAUCUUUCAUUGAAGCCAUCGUCUUGAAGAUCUGCUUCAGCACUAACCAGGGUCAAACUCUUACAUGAUCGCCGACAAGUUUCAUGAGCAACAAAGGCAUUCUUGGUGGCAAGGUUGCGAAUGCGAUUGACAUCCACCAAGAGGCUUUGCAUCUGUCUCUUGAGCCAAAAGUGAUGUUUAUCCAGUUUCUGAUGAAGGGCCACAAGAAGUUCUCGAUCAUUGAGAACGCGAGAAUGCUUCCGAGGCCUUUGGGCAAUGGUGCUUUCGGUGGCUUCAGUAGGUGCUCGAUGAGGCAGACGAGUAUUUCCAGCCAAUGGAUAGAUUCGUGUAGCUGCUUGAACACCUUCAAUGGGUUGAGUGAAGCUUUGGUGCUCGGCAUUCUGAAGAUAAAGAGGCUUCUUGGCAGGGUCAGGAUAUAUAGCUUCAACUGACAUAUCAACCUCAGGUAGAAAAAUCACAUGAUUGCGAGCAGAAGGUUGAUAGUUGACAGUAGAGUGUCGCUUUAUGAGGCGCAUGACCCAUGGAGCAUAAAACUUCAGACCAAAGAGAUCAGAGCCAGAGGCAGCAAGUUGUAUGAUGAAGAAAUCUUGUGCAUUGAAGCUGAUGCCAUUGAAAAUGUAGAAGACCAAAGUCUUCAUAGCUCCUUCAAGCUUUGGCGCUGAUGAAUGUCCUUUGAUAGGCCAUAGAGUCCGCCUAAUGAUGUGAUAUAUGGUGCGUGGCAGAUACUCAAGGUCUUCAACAAAGAACUCUAUUGGAUAUUCAGCGUCACGGGGCAAAGGCUUCAUCAUGCUCAACAUCUGACUCAUAUUGGGUUCAGGCCUAUGAAAGAUGCUUUCUAGGGCAUUGCGAUGAUGUUGACAGCCAGGUUCAUAGAGUUCUCCGGGAGUGGACAGGUCUGUAAGCUCGAUGAUAUCCAUAGCUUUGGCUUCAUGAUGAACGUUUCCGGUCAUCCACUCGAGAACCCAAGUCUUUGUAUCUCUGUUGUAGCCGCGAAUGUGUAGUGUGGCAUAGAAUUGAAGCAAUAGUUCUUCAUUCCAGUGUUCUUUAUCUGUGACAAAACUGAGCAGCCCAGCAUCACGAAAGCAGUCAGGUGCUUCUUCUAAGCAGGGGAGUCCAGUAAUGGCUUCAGUGUCGAGGCGCAUAUGAGGGAAGAUGCGCCCUUGAUCAUACAGAACACAGGAGUAAUAGCUUCGCUGCGGAUGGCUCCAGAACCGAUCUGAUGAUAUUCGUGGCUUCGUGUAGGGGUUCUUUGAGCUGUCAAAGAAUGUGUUGUGGCUCUUGAAGCCAUUUGCAUUGAAGGACCCUGCUGAGUUUGCAGUACCUGGAAACCUUGGCAGCCUUGGCUUGGGCUGCUGGACUUGAGGCCUAAGCUCAACAUGAUAGUCAAAUUGAGGACCAGAGACAUUAGGCGGAGGGACCAGAACGGGCCAUCUGACUGUUGUUAGCUCUCCGUGGUUAUAUGCCUGCUCAAUUGUAUAGGGCCUUGGUGGCGGAACAGGAGCAGUGGCAGCAACUAAGGCUUCAGGCUGCACAACAGGUGCUUCAGAAGCAGUAGCCUCACUAGCUUCAGGUGCAGUGGCCGCAUUAGCUUCAGGCACACUGGUUGUUGCAAGCUCCACAUUAGCUUCAGCCAUGACAAUGUCAUCGACUUCACUUGCGUUGGUUGUGGCAGCUUCAGGAUUUUCAACCUCCACUUGAGGAGCUGGAGGGUCAGGCAUUGACACGUUCACUUCAUGAACUAUUUCUUCAGGAAUGGGGGGAGUAGAGACACAUUCUUCUUGACAUUCUUCAUCAGCUGAUGCAGCAGGAUUGUCUUCAGCAGCAGGUGCUUCAGACGCAUAGACAUUCACAGCAGGAGUGGCUUCUGAAAACACUUGAUGUGCAACAGGUUGAUGAUGCACUUCUCCUUCUGGAACGCUCGGAAGAGGAGCUUGAUGCCUUGGUCCUUUGCAAAGCCUUUGAAGUAAUGGUGACGCUUUUGGAGAUGGAGUGGGUAGGCCCUCAUCCUCUUCAGCUUGUACGGAUGUUGUGACUUGUUGUUGUUGGGGAGUGUUGGGGGAGUCUUGUUCUUGCGGGCGAUCAGCCCAUGAAUCAUCCUGUGCAAUUGGCGUCAGAGGACGACCAAUGCUGAUGAGUUCGCUGUUCGUACGAACAGGCGAUGAUACCACAUUGUAUUCGAUCUAAGGAAGAACUUCAUCAUCUUCAACAUUGUCAUGAUGACCAAUGUCUUCAGCAGCGGUGGGUUUAGCUGCUGGAAUAUCUUCAGCUUCAGGAGCCUCUAUGGAAGCAGGCUCAUGAACAGUCAUGUGAAGUUCUUGGGAUGCAGGUGCAGGAUGAAUCACUGAGAUGGGUUCAACAAAAAGGGGCUCUGUGGGAGCAGCCCGAUUCUCCUUGGUCUUGCGCUUCUUCUUGGAGGGAGCGGCAUCAGAGGCUUCGGUAUUCUUCCUCUUUCUGGCUUCUGCCUCUGCAGCCCUCGUCUUCUUCUAUUCUGAAGCGGUUGUGGUGACCUUUGGCUUUGAGCCAGUCAUGCUACUUGGGAAGAUAAUAUGUGGAGCUUCUUGGCUUGAAGGCGCAGGCUGAUCAGCAGGAAGCUUCUUCUUUUUCUUUGCUGCCAUCCUGGGGUCAAUGCGAGGACGGCCAAGUGACUUGCGCUUCUCAGCCUCAUUGUAGGCAAGCACACACUUAUCAGCCAAACUCUUCAUGCGCUCAUGAGAGCCUUGUGCUUCUUGGCGCUUCUUCAGAAAAGCUUCUUUAAGCUCAUGCAGCAUGACCUUAAAGUUCCCGACGUCUUGAACACUCAGCUUGGCCAUAUGCUUCUUGAACUGAGCCUUUUCAUAAUCAAUCUUAUGCUUGAGCUCAAUGAUUCGCUGAGCGAGAGCCAGCUCAGAAGCAAUGGCGCCAUUGAAAGAGACGCUGAGGCCAAUUGGAAGCUGUAAAUCUUCAAAGCUGACGUUUGGGGUGUCGAACCACUCAUCAAUGAAAUUGUGGAUGAUGGCCACAUCAAAGAGAGGCAAAUUGCUGAAGAUUUCUGCUUCUUCCUUGCUCUUUAUCAGCUUCUCAAGCGCAUCAUCCGCAAGAUCUUCAUCACUUGAUAGAUCAAUGGGUUCUUCACGCAGAAUAGCAGCAGGAGUCAGAGCUUGAUCAGUAUGCCUGACAAGUUGCUUUUUCUUCUCCAUCUUCUUGGAGAUACGGGAUUGAUCUUUAGACUGCACACUGGCUUCAGGAGGUGCAGUGGCCAGUGGCUUCACACGAGAAGCUUUUGGAGGUGCGGCUGAUGAUGAAACCUUAACCUUCUUUGGCUUCUUCGGCCUUGGAGUAGGAGCAGGGGCUUCAUCAGAAUCAGCAUCAUUGUUGGAAUGAUCCACUCUGGCACCAUGAACCAAGACGUAGGAGAUGAGACCAUCAAGGUUUGCAAAGGGGCCAAUUCUAUUCUCUUCAGCUUCACGUGUCCCAUCCUCACGGGGAGCAGAGGGACCAGGAUUGAAGUCUAAUCCCCAUGACUUCUUGUUUUCCUUUGCUGAAGACAUAGCAAACUGGAAGUUGCGCUUGAAGAGAUUGUCAUCGCGACACCAGAGCAAUGAUGAUGGGUCGACUUCUUCAGGCUGUGGCCCACGGACCAUGCAAGGAUAGAAUUCUUGCGCAAUGGCUUUAGCUUUGUUCUUGGGGGGAAGGCCUCGAUAGAGAAUAUCACCCCAAGGGCUCUUGAUAGCAUUUUUCUCUACGUACUCCUAGGUGACGAACUUGUACUUGUACCACUGUUCAGCCCAAUAGCGUCGAAUCCAUUGGAUUCGAGUCUUGCGCUGAUUGUAAUCUUCUUCAGGAUCUGUUUUAUACAUUUCUGCCAGAUCCUCAGGCAGACCCUUCGAAGUUCCCCCACGACGCUGUCUGCCACCCUUCCUUGCUGAUUUUUCUGCAGCCAUGAACUUCAAGAUGAAUGGCUUCAAUACGUUCAGAGGCUUCAGAGAUUUACGCUUGCUGGUCAAGCAGGAACUGGCUUCAGGAGAAUUGAUAUGAUGUUGUAAGUAUUCUGCAAACGAAUGCAGACUAUGAGAACCAAGGGAUUCUCCCACGGACAUGUACCUGUGACAGCAUUAGAGAUGCGAGGGAAGGGGAAGAGGUCAUAUGCAUUCUCAGAAGAUUUUGAAGAUAAAUCAGUUUGAAGACAUUGACCUCAUGAUGCGAAGACAUUCACUUAUAUGUGGUGAGUUGGUUCCAAAUUUGUACCAAUCCAUGAAUAAGUACAAGUGAGGAAUCAAACUAGAUAGGAAAUCUAAGUGAAUAGACUGGGCAUUAUGAGGUGCAGAUAGAAUAGAUCUAACAUUGAGUAGGCAGAAACCACUUUCGGUAAGUAGGAUGAAUCUAUGAAGAUCAAAAAGGUGGUAAAAAUAGAGUUAUAAUUACCGCACGACGAACUGCUAGAUGGGAAGAAUGAGAGACCGAGCAGUUCAACCCACCGUGCCCUAACUUGGCGACGGAGGACACCUACGGCGACGGUGGAGAGGACGAUGUCCGCGGCCGGCGUGAGGACGACAUCGGAGAAGUCGCGGCAGCUAAGCGUUUCGUCACCGGCGUCGUCGCGAGCUAGCGGUGGCGCUAGGGUUUUGACGGAGGUGGAGAGGUGGAAGAAGGAUUUCUUUACCGCAGGGGACAAGUAUUUAUAAGUAGGUGAGAGACACAGCGCAAUUACGCUGGUGCCCCUGGCGGUUCAUAUCUGAGGGGUACGUGGCAAGCAUGCAACAUACUUAGAAUUAUCCCACGUUCCCACGCCCGCCAAGUAUGUCGGAUGUUCGUUCCGGCUUCUCCGGAUAUCGACAGUUUAGAUGAUUCAUUUAAAUAGGACUUGCUGUUUUGUCUCUGUGUCUUCUGCUAACAAGGAUGCAGAGAAGACAUUCAACAGUUUCAAUAGAAUGCAUAUGAUUUGGACAGAUAGAGUUUGAGAUAGGAAGCAUAGAGAGAUUAGGGUCCGAUCACAUUCACUUAGUUCAAAAGAUUCAACUUGAAGACAUAGCUAUAAGUGAAUGCUGUAGAGGAUAUAUAUAUAUAUAUAUAUAUAUAUAUAUAUAUAUAUAUAUAUAUAUAUAUAUAUGCCAUCAAAUCACUAUAGCGCAGAAAAAUCACGAAGAUAAAUUGAAACUGAAGACAAACCAAAUGCGAAAUCUUUGCAAAAUAACGCCAUGAGUGAAACACUUUAAACAGAGAAAUUUGGUGGUGGCGUUACCCACCGUAUAGGAAGUAUUAGACCCAGACACGGCGCACAAUUAUCGUGGCGCUCCGAAGUCAAAUUCCAUGUUAAUGUAUUCACACUCAGAGUGUAAAUCUUCAUUGAUUGAAGAUAUACAUUACUUUGUGUGUUGCACAUCUAAAUCAUCAACAUGCAUAAGUGUUAGGAUGUGUGCCUGAUCACAGGACAUUAGAGGAUUCCAAGAUAUUUAGCUCACACCGUAACUUGCAAAACCUUUUCUCAUCCAAGGGCUUUGUGAAGAUAUCUGCCAGUUGCUCUUCAGUGUUGACAUGCAUGAUAUCUAUAUCUUUCUUCAUAACAUGAUCUCUGAGAAAGUGAUGACGUAUUUCAAUGUGCUUUGUCUUCGAGUGUUGGAUUGGAUUGUUGGCAAUCUUGAUGGCACUUUCGUUGUCGUAGAAGAGAGGGACUUGCUUCAGAUCGAUGCCAUAGUCCUUGAGAGUUUGCUUCAUCCACAGAAGCUGAGCACAACAGGAUCCAGCAGCAAUGUAUUCAGAUUCAGCAGUUGAGAGUGAUACACAGUUCUGCUUCUUUGAAGACCAACAGACAAGUGAUCGACCAAGAAAAUGACAUGUGCCUGAUGUAGACUUGCGAUCCACUUUGUCACCAGCAUAACCAGCAUUCGAGAAUCCAACCAGAUCAAACCUUGAGCCCUCUGGAUACCAUAAUCCGAGUGUUGGGGUGUAAGCCAAAUAUCUAUGAAUUCGCUUCACUGCUAAGUGAUGCGAUUCCUUUGGUGCCGCUUGGAAUCGAGCACACAUGAAAACACUAAGCAUAAUAUCUGGCCUAGAUGCACAUAGGUAAAGUAAAGAACCAAUCAUGGAGCGGUAUACCUUUUGAUCGAACUCUUUACCAUUGUCGUCGGGACCAAGAUGAUGUUUGGCUGGCAUUGGCGUCGUGUAGCCUUUGCAAUCUUGCAUGCCGAACUUCUUCAGGCAAUCUUUGAGAUAUUUUUCUUGAGAUAUGAAGAUUCCAUUUCUUUGUUGACGGAUUUGAAGACCAAGGAAGAACUUCAGCUCACCCAUCAUGGACAUCUGAUAUUGCUCUUGCAUCAUAAAUCCAAACUAAUCAUUGUACUUCUGGUUGGUGCAGUCGAAGAUUAUGUCAUCAACAUAUAUUUGGCACACAAACAGUUCACCAUCAUAUGUCUUCGUGAAGAGUGUGGGAUCGAGGGAUCCCGGUUUGAAGCCUUUACUUUUCAGGAAGACUUUGAUUGUAUCAUACCAAUCGCGAGGAGCUUGUUUGAGGCCAUACAGUGCUUUGUUGAGUUUGUACACCAUAUCAGGAUGUUUUGGAUCUUCAAAGCCAGGUGGUUGUGCAACAUAUACUUCUUCUUCAAUCUUGCCAUUGAGAAAUGCACUCUUUACAUCCAUUUGAUAUAGCAAGAUGUUCUGAUGAUUUGCAUAGGCUAGCAGUAUGCGAAUGGCUUCAAGCCUAGCAACAGGAGCAAAUGUUUCAUCGAAGUCAAUUCCUUCAACUUGAGUAUAUCCUUGAACCACAAGACGUGCUUUGUUUCUGACGACUUGACCAUGCUCAUCUUGCUUGUUUCGAUAUAUCCAUUUUGUUCCUAUAAUGUUAUGCUUGCGAGGGUCAGGUCGCUUGACAAGUUCCCAAACAUUAUUCAGCUUGAACUGUUGAAGUUCUUCUUGCAUGGCUUGAAUCCAUUCAGGUUCCAUAAAAGCUUCAGCAACUUUCUUGGGUUCUGAUAUUGACACAAAUGAAAAGUGCCCACAGAAGUUUGCUAACUGUGUUGCUCUUGAGUGAGUAAGCGGACCAGGCGCAUUGAUGCUAUCAAUUAUCUUCUCAAUUUGUACUUCAUUUGCAACACGAGGAUGAACUGGACGAAGACCUUGCUCAUGCUGAUCAUUGUCAUCAUUGGAAGUAUUGUCUUCGGUCUGAGCAUUGUCUUUAGGUUGGUUUGGUGCAGAAAUGAUAAGUUCCUCUUUAGGAUGUGCUUCAGAGGGCAUGAUCUCACCAGUUCCCAUCAACUUGAUAGAUUCACAGGGAGGAGCUUCAUCAAGUGUACUUGGCAGAAUUUCUCUUUGUGAACCAUUGGUUUCAUCAAAUCACACAUCCACUGUUUCAACGAUUUUGUAGUGGAAGAGGUUGAAGACUCUAUAAGAGUGCGAAUCCUUUCCAUAGCCAAGCAUGAAGCCUUCGUGAGCUUUGGGUUCAAAUUUUGACUUGUGAUGGGGAUCCUUGAUCCAACAUCCAGCACCAAAGACUCUAAAGUAGCUGACAUUUGGCUUCUUGCCAGUGAGGAGCUCAUAGGAUGUUUUGCCCAGAAGCUUAUGGAUGUAUACACGGUUGAUGAUGUGACAAGCUGUAUCAAUGGCUUCAGGCCAGAACUUUCUUGGUGUCUUGUACUCGUCAAGCAUUGUUCGAGCCAUCUCGAUGAGGGUUCUGUUCUUGCGCUCUACAAUGCCGUUUUGCUGAGGUGUGUAUGGAGCAGAAAAUUCAUGAGUGAUUCCCAUUGUAUCUAGAUAAAGAUCAAGGCCGGUGUUCUUGAAUUCAGUGCCGUUAUCACUUCUGAUAUGCUUGAUCUUGACGCCAUAGUUGUUCAUUGCUCGAUCGGCGAAUCGUCUGAAGACAUCUUGUACUUCAGUCUUGUAGAGAAUUAUGUGCACCCAUGUGUAUCUUGAGUAGUCAUCAACAAUGACGAAGCCAUAGAGACACGCCGUUGUUGUGAGGGUGGAGUAGUGGGUAGGUCCAAAUAAGUCCAUGUGUAGCAGCUCAAAGGGUUGAGAUGUUGUCAUGAUUGUCUUCAAAGGAUGCUUGGACCUUGUCAUCUUUCCAGCUUCGCAGGCACCACACAGAUGAUCUUUCUUGAACUUGACACCUUCGAUGCCUAUGGCAUGCUUCUUUUUAACGAGAGUGUGCAAGUUCCUCAUGCCAGCGUGCCCCAGCCUUCGAUGCCAGAGCCAGCAUUCUGAAGCUUUAGCAAGAAGACAUACGACAAGUUUUGGACCUGCUGAGAAAUCUACCAUGUAUAGAUCACCUUUCCUAUACCCUUCAAAGACUAGAGAUUUGUCAGAUUCCAUUAGUACAAGGCAACGAUAUUUUCCAAAUAUCACAAUCAUGUUUAAGUCACAAAGCAUUGAGACAGACAUUAAGUUGAAUCCAAGGGAUUCAACAAGCAUCACUUUAUCCAUGUGUUGAUCCUUUGAGAUUGCAACUCUACCUAGACCCAAUACCUUGCCUUUACCAGUGUCAGCAAAUGUGAUUUGACUCUUCUCGGAUGGACGUAAGGUUGAGUCCAUGAGAAAACUUCGAUCACCAGUCAUAUGAUUAGUGCAUCCGCUGUCAAUAAUCCAUUCUGAAGCUUUUGGUGACAUGCCCUACGGUGCAGUUAGGAGGAUAGGCUUCACAAGGUAUGUUGUGAAGCAUAAGCAGUUGAUGCACACUUGGAUUAUCACAGCAUAGAUGAAAGUUAGCACACAGUAUGACAGGUAAGCGAUUCAUAUGUGGAAUACAUAUUAAGUUAUUUUAUCAUGCAUCCCUUUGUGUUUUAGGUCCCCAGCAAUUAUAUCGGACGCCAUUGAUUGCCGGCUGGAGACCACAUUCUGCAAAAGAGAGUUAAUUCUUCUUCACCACCCACAUUUUCAGGGGUGGCUUAGAAGCAAUGAGUCUAAGUGCAGCAUCUGAGAAUUUCGGCUUUGAAGCCCUAGCAAAUAGCCUUGCAAGAGAUGAAUGAUACUCAUGUGAAUAAGCAGAAAAGUUCUUAGUUCUAUGAACAUAGCAAUUUGAAGACACACGCUCAUAUUCAUUAGUCUGAUUAUGAUUUCCCUGCAAAACAUUGGCGUUAGGGUGACUCAAGUGAGUCCUGUGUUCGUAAGUAGCCGUUGGACCAUAUGAUGCCUUUGGUCUGGGGUUUGUCUUCUUCCCUGGUGGUGUCAUGAUGACAUUCACUAGAAGAUUCUCAAGGCAGCUUUUGGGAACCCAGAUCUUCUUCAUAGGAGGUCCAUUCCUGCAGUUAGUACCAAUAUACCUGGCAAACACUUCACCAUUCUGAUUUUUGAACAAUUUAUAGUUUGCAUCAAAGGAUUCAUCAAUGAUAAUAGGAUUAGCACAGGUAAAUCCAGAUAAAGUAGAUGGAUCCACUGAAGGUUCCUUUGCAGCAACCCAUGUGGUUUUGGGAUACUGCUCAGGCUUCCAGUAGGAACCAUCAGCAUUCAUUUUCCUCUCGAACCCAACACCCUCUUUCCUAGGGUUUAGGUUCAGAAUCUGCUUUUUGAGGACAUCACACAGUGUCUGAUGCCCUUUUAGACUUUUAUACAUCCCUGUUUCAAGCAAUGUCUUCAACCUAGCAUUUUCAUCAGCAAUAGCAGUGGUAUCCUCUGCAGAGGGGUUAGUCACCACAUCAGUAGUUGAAGAUAGAGCAACAGUAGCAGCAGUGGAACAUUCAGCAAUAGAGGUAGCGUUAUCACGCUCAAUGCAUUUUAAGCAUGGUGGUUCAAAUUCAUCCUGAGCGGGACUGAUCUGUUGAGCACGAAAUGACUCAUUCUCUUUUUGAAGAUCUUCAUGAGUCACUUUCAGUUUCUCAAGCUCUUGCUUCCUUUGAAGAUAAUCAUAGGAGAGCUUUUCAUAAGUGGUUGAGAGCGUCUCAUGAAGACUUUCAAGUUCUUGAUACUUAGCAUGAAGAUUUUUUAUGUCUUCAACUAAGGACUGUGAACAUGUCAUUUCCGCGUCCAAUAGGUCAUCGCUUUUGUCUAACAGUUUUUGAGUAUGUUCCAUAGCCCUUUGUUGUCCAGUAGCAAUUUUAGCAAGUGUUUUGUAGCUGGGUUUAUAUUCACAAUCAGAGUCAUCUUCACUUGAUGUUUGAAAGUAAGCAUCGCGCGAUUUUACCUUGGCACCGCGUGCCAUGAAGCAGUUGGUGGGAGCGAGAUCGUCCUUGUCAUCAUCAGCGUUGGUGUGGGAGUCAUUGUCUUCAGUGUUGAAGAUGGACUUUGCGACGUAGGCUGUGGCCAGAGCCAGACUUGCAACGCCAGAGUCGGACUCAGCUUCAGCUUCCACCUCUGCCUCCUCAGACGCAGACUCCUCCUCUGAAUCCAUUUCCUUGCCAACAAAAGCACGAGCCUUGCCAGAUGAGCUCUUCUUGUGAGAUGAAGACCUUGAUGAGGACUUGGAAGAAGACUUCGAAGAUUUCUUCUUCUUCUUGUCAUCGGAGUCAUAUUGCUUGCUCUUCUUCUUCUUCUUCUCGUUGUCCCACUGAGGACACUCAGAGAUGUAGUGCCCAGGCUUCUUACACUUGUGACAUGUUCUCUUCUUGUUGUCUUGAGUGGAAGCUUCAUCAUUUCUUGAACUGGAUCGUGAAGACUUUCUGAAGCCCUUCUUCUUGGUGAAUUUCUGGAACUUCUUCACAAGCAUAGCAAGCUCCCUUCCAAUGUCUUCAGGAUCGUCAGAACCGUAGUCAGAUUCUUCUUCUUCAGAUGAGGAAACAAAUUUUGCCUUCAAAGCACGAGUUCGGCCACAGUUGGGGCCAUAGAUAUCUCUUUUCUCAGAAAGCUGGAACUCAUGUGUGUUGAGCCUCUCAAGUAUAUCAGACGGAUCGAGUGUCUUGAAGUCAGGACGUUCUUGUAUCAUGAGGGCAAGGGUGUCAAAGGAGGUGUCAAGUGAUCUCAGUAGUGUCUUGACAAUUUCAUGCUUGGUGAUCUCAGUGGCGCCGAGAGCCUGAAGCUCAUUUGUGAUGUCGGUGAGAAACAUGAGCUGGACAUUUUCAUUGUCGUUUCUCUUGAAGCGAUUGAAGAGAUUGCGAAGAACACUGAUCCUCUGGUCUCUCUGUGUAGAGACGCCUUCAUUGACCUUGGACAGCCAGUCCCAGACUAGCUUUGACAUUUCCAGAGCACUCACACAGCCAUACUGUCCUUUGGUCAAAUGACCACAGAUGAUGUUCUUUGCAGUCGAGUCCAGUUGAACGAACUUCUUGACAUCAGUAGGGGUGACACCUUCACCAGUUUUGGGAACGCCAUUCUUGACGACAUACCAGAGGUCGACAUCAAUGGCUUCAAGAUGCAUGCACAUCUUAUUCUUCCAGUAGGGAUAUUCUGUUCCAUCGAACACGGGGCAAGCAACGGAGACUUUGAUUAUCCCUGCAGUCGACAUAGCUAAACUCCAUGUGGUUAAACCGAAUCACACAGAACAAGGGAGUACCUUGCUCUGAUACCAAUUGAAAGUGCUAGUUAUCGACUAGAGGGGGGGUGAAUAGGCGAUUUUUAUGAAAGUCUUCAAAACAUGGAAGUUUCCAAGACAAACAAUAGAAACAACCUAAUUGAUAUGCAGCGGAAGAUAAACUACAACAAGCAAGCCAUAAUCAAGUAUGGAAUAGCAUUAACGUACGAAGACUAAUAGCAGCUAGGUAGUAGGAUCAGGAUGGAAGAUAGUAUGAAGCCAAUCAACAAUAGUAGUCAAGCAAUGAAGUCAAUCAGAUAAGAUAGAUAAGCAAUGACUUCACGAAGACAAACUCAAGGUAAAGGAGGGAAGAGAUAGAACUAGUUGCUUGUUGAAGACACAUGAUUUGUUGGACCAGUUCCAGUUGCUGUGACAACUGUACGUCUGGUUAGGGAGGCUGAGAUUCAACUCAGAAGACUGUGUAUUCACCUUAUUCCCCUUGAGCUAAGGUCAGUUAGUCCUCGCCCAAUCACUCUGGUAAGUCUUCAAGGUAGACUUCCGAACCUUCACAGACUUCGUUCACCCGGCAAUCCACAAUGACUCUUGGAUGCUUAGAACGCGACGCCUAACUGGCUGGAGGAUACACAGUCCUCAAGUGUAAUAAGUCUUCAGGUCACACAGACAGAAAGACUUCAGUGAUGCCUAACACUCUUUGGCUCUGGGUGUUUGGGCUUUGUCCUCGCAAGGAUUUCUCUCUCUCAAAUGCUUCGAGGUGGGUUGCUCUCAAACGACAAAAGCCGUAUACUAACUCUGAGCAGCCACCAAUUUAUGGUGUAGGGGGUGGGCUAUUUAUAGCCACUAGGCAACCCGACCUGAUUUGUCCGAAAUGACCCUGGGUCACUAAGGAACUGACACGUGUUCCAACGGUCAGAUUUCAAACACACACGGCAACUUUACUUGGGCUACAAGCAAAGCUGACUCAUCCUACUCUGGAUAAGAUUUGCUCUCAUUGUCUUCGCUCGAAGACAUAGGAUUUGGGUUGAGCAUCACUUCAGUCACUCUGACUUAGUUCACUUGGACCCCACUUAAUAGUACGGUGGUUCCUAUGACUCAACAAAGAAGAAAAGGAAGCAACGAAACCACACAGUCUUCAUGCUCCAUAGUCUUCACGCAAUGUCUUCUCAUGUCAUAGUCUUCAAUAUGAAUAUCUUCUCAUACCACCAUUGUCGUCAAUGUCUUCAUACAUUUUUAGGGGUCAUCUCCGGUAGGUAAACCGAAUCAAUGAGGGACACUACCUGCGUUAUCCUGCAAUUCUCACAAACGCAUUAGUCCCUCAACCAACUUUGUCGUCAAUACUCCAAAACCAACUAGGGGUGGCACUAGAUGCACUUACAAUCAUGGGUUACUCUUCCAUGUCACAUACAUCUUGGUGGAGCGCCCAAAAGGAUAGGAAAUAAGGACAAGCACUCAUCACGAAGGCAAAGUGAAUGAUCAUACAAGAAAUAGAUAAUGUCAUCAUUCAAGCACAAGCAUAAAGUAUGAUAUGAUCAAGCACAUAAUCAUACAAGGUAUCUCACACACAGGCAUAAAGUAUCUCAACCAAGCAAGCCAAGCAAAUAAGUAGCAAAAAGAAGCAAAUCUCUCUCUCUCUCUCUCUCUCUCUCUCUCUCUCUCCGAAGCCUAUGAUCUAUACACUUUCUCCCCCUUUGGCAACAAGUUUCCAAAAAUCUCGAAAAUGCAUACUGCUAUGCGACUCUUUAGGCUUGAUCUUCAGAAGCAGGUGUCGAGAUGACUCUAAGGACAAAAGAAUCAGUUGAGGAUGUUGGAGCUGGAGGGGUUGCCACUGGAGGGGCAACUGGAGCUGUGGGAGCUGUGGUUGCAGGUGCUAAAGCUGUUGUUCUUGUGUCUGGCACUGGCACUGCUGCAGACCUCUGUCCUCUAGGUACUCGGUGGAACACCUGUGUAGUUGCUUUGCCCUUUCUCUCCUCUGCUUCUUCCUGGAGCUCUUCAACUGUUGUUUGUAUCUCAGUCACUUUCAAGUCCAAAUCAUAGAAUUUAGUUUCUAUUAUCCUCUCCAAGCUCUCUUGGUUCUGAGUCAGGGUGGCCAGUCCUUUCUCAAUCCUCAAGGUUGCUUGAAUCAGAUAUCCAAGCUGGUCUUGCUUUGACUUGAGGAACACUUCUGAAGCUUCUGCAACACUGGGAAUCUUUGUUGCUUUAUCUGCUUUGGCUUUCUAUCUGUUUUCUUGUGCCUCUAGGGAAGUGGGAUCUUAAGCUGUCAUGACAACAGUGUUGUCCUCAAAGUCUGGCUGCAAAGGCAGAUGCUCUUUGUCCAACAGGUACACUCCCUUGGGCAUCUUGGAAUAGAUCAGCAUUUGAAUGUGUGGUGCAUACCCACAUGAUCUUUUCUGGUCAGCUGCUGUCCUCUUGAUUGUCUCAAUAAUCAAGCUCAUAACCUUGAACUUUUGUGGCACAACAUCAAACAGCUGUAACAAGUUGAUGGAACGGCCUCUGAUCAUCCCGUGAUCUCUAGAUUUGGGCAACAAAGUGUGCCUCAAUAUGGUGUUUAUGGUGGCCAAACUAGACAAUAAGUAGUAGACUAACCCAAACUUAUGUGUCUCCAAGGCCUUAUAUGGAAUUUCCUUAUACUUAUUGGCCAUGGAGUUAUGAUCCUUCUUCUUCUCAGCAUAGACAUCAAUGUCGUUCUCUUCUUCUUCAUGUGCAUUUAUGAGCCUGACCCACUCAUCAAUUGUAGAUUGGUGCCUCUGACCUACAAUCAUCCACACAAUCCUUCCACCGGGAUUAAAAUGAGCUGUUGUGUAGAAUUGCAUAAUGAGAACAUCAUUCCACUUUGUCAACUCUUGACCAACAAAGUCAUCAACACCAUUGGACUUGAAGCUAUCAUGCACUCCUGGGAAAUGAUCUGCAUUUGCAUCAAUGUAUUUCCAGUCAACCCAUCUCAUGUCACUUACAAUGGGCUUCUUGUUCCUGCAAAACUGUCUCAUAAAAAUCUUGUUUCUCUUUGGUGUGGAACCUGUAGUCCACUGCAGUCCUCCUCCUCACAUCAUAUGGAUCAUCUUGUCUCCAUCUUCUGAGACCUGCAUCCUUUCUCUCCUUCAUGUUUUCAGCUACUGGGUGACUGUCAUCAUGGUCUAGAAUCUUAGGUUUGAGCUUCCUGAGCACUAGGGCUUCAGCAUCUUCUGCAGCUUUAGGCACUGGGGCCUUUUUCUUCUCUGAAGCAGGUAUGUUCAUGGUGCUUCUCUUUGGAGCUGUCUUGGUGGCUUGAGCUGGAGCUUUGGGGGCUGUCUUGGGCUUUGAAGGAGCUGCCCCAGACUUGAUGGCAUCCCCCAUCAGCUUCUGAUACUUGGCAGGAGGUGCUUGUGUCUCUUCCUCCUCACUGGCAGAGUCUCUCCUCAUGGAUGGAUUUCCAAGCACUCUAACAGUGGUUUUCCUGACUCUCUUGUUGCCUUCUUCACCUGAUCUUUGCUCAAGUGAGAAUCUCAUUGUCCUUUGAAUUGCUCCCCUGGUCUUAGACAUAGGUACUCUCCUGGCAGGGGCCUUCACAUUCUUUCCUAGCUUGGUGGAAGCAUCAUCACCAUAUUCUUUCUUUAGCACUUUCUUCUUUGAGCUGACUUCCUCAAUCUCAAAGUCUUCAUCUUCAGAGUUUGAUGUUUUCUUCUUUCUCUGCCUAGUCUGAGCCAUAGGCAGGUUGCUUGGAGUGCUCGUGCUUCCUUCAUCAUAGCUUCCAGAGGGACUAGUGCCCUCACUCAAGUCCAUCUGCUCCUCUGAAUUGUUCUAACUAUCACUUUGAUCAGAGAUUCUGCACAGCAAACUGAGAAUUGACCCUGUGAAUAGUUGUAGAUGAGAUAGAGUAGAUGAGCAUCACAAAGUGCAGAGUUUUUGCAAAAAGAAUGAGUCAAAAACUUAGUUUUAGUUUUCUACAGGAAGCAUUUAGGAGCUACCGAUUUGUAAAACUCGGUGACACCGAAGCAACUUUGAGUCUAAACAUGUGGAAUCGGCCAGACCGAGACACAGUUCGGCGACUCCAAGUUUGCUAGGGUUUCACAAAGUCUUGGUAUCGGUUACACCGAUUUGCAACUUUCGGUCAGACCAAAAAUCACUUGCGCACUGGCCUAAGCCAAAUCGGUGGGACCGAUUCCUACAAUUCGGUCGGUCCGAGAUGAGUCCGGCAAAAACCUAACCCUAAAUUUUCAAAUCAAAUCUAAUCUAGAGGAUGUUUUCUGUGGAUGGAUCAAUCUCAUACUUGGAAAGAAACAUGACAUUGCCUUUCUGCUAGGAUUCAGAGUUAAAGGAAAGCACAAAGAGUUGAGCUCAUACCCUAGCUUGGCGAUGAGCUUGCUACGACGGCAAUGGAGGGGAGGAUUUCCGUUGACGGUGGAGGAGACCAACGGUGGGAGGUCGCUGGCGACGAGAAGACGAUCCGGAGACCCAUGCAGCAGAGCAGGACACGCGCGAGUGAAGAGGUUUUGGAGAGAUUUCCAAAUUCUGACCCGUCAGUAUAUAUAUCCUAGCACUAUCGGUGUGACCGAGUGGAACAACUCGGUGGCACCAAGAUGCAGAAUCGCAAUCGGUUACUGCAACUCGGCAAGAAUGAAAAGUUCUAAUCGGUUACACGGAGAUUGAAAACUUGAUCAACCCGGUGAACUUGGUGUGACCGAAAUGGAGGAGUCAGUCGGACCGAAAUACACAGAGAGGUUUUGGAUGUUUUAAGUCUAUGACAAAAGGGACUCUAAGUGCUCCUCACACAGAGGGUUUUAAUUUGACUUAGAUCAAACUUUGUGACGUAACAUGAAUAGAGUUUGAGAAGAGAAAAUCAUAGAUAGCUAGAGGGAGUUCUUGGGCAUUCUUGUCCAUCCAUUUGGCUAAAAGGAGAAAAUCCAAACAAUCAAAGCAACAAAUGGAUGUCCUCGAAUGAGAAAAGUAUGCAAUCAACAUGCUCACACAGUAAAGUAGCAAAUGAAAUAUGUGACAAAACAUGCACAAUCACUCUAGCAUCAAGCAAUUGGCGAUGACUAGGUCAUCUAUAUAUGAGUAGAUUGACUUAGGAGUCAAAUGAGAACAUUUGAUCAUAGGUCAUACUCAUCGUUUAAGCACAAGUGGGGUUACCACUUUUACAUAAAGCAUUGUUGUAUUCACACCAUUAGGGUUGCUUUAUUUUAGAGAAAAGGCCCCCCUAGAUAUGAUAUCCCCCCUAAGAGGGAUGAACUAACCUUGGGUUUUGUCAAUGAUGACUUCAUGUAGAUAUCGAAGAUGUGGAUGCUCAUUGUUGAUGUAGAUCAUUUGAAGCAAUCCAUCGAGUGAGUUGCACUUUCAAUACCUACAUGGGUUAGUCCCACAAGGAAAAAACAAGGAUAUCCAUAGACAUAGAGUGAAGCACACACACAAUGAUGUCCAUGAUAGCAUUAGGUUACCUUGUCCCUUGUCUUACCAACAAGAGGGUUUGUGACUCCUUAAACUAGUGCAAGAUGUGGAAGUUGUUUGCACUUGUCCUUGCCAAAAUGAAUAUGAGUGAAGUAUGUUGGCAGAGUCACCCUCAAGAACUCUCUAGUUCUUCUUCUUCGGGAUCCACAUCAUCUUGAUGGGAAUCCUUGGGGUUGAAGAUGUACUUGAUGAAGUUGAACUUGAUGUAGUCUUGGGAACCCACUUGAACAAGGCCUUCGGAGCAUCUACAAAUGCAUCAAUCUCCUCUUGAAGCUUGUCCUUGCCUUUUAGCUUGUGGUCUUGUGGUGGAAGAUCAUCUUGAGCUUGUGUCCCCUUGAAGGAAGUAGGGUCAUACUUCUCUUGUUGAGGAACAAACUACAUCUUGGGCUAUUGAUCUUCUUCCCACUCAACUCCAUUGGUGUUGAGCUUUCGUUGAAAACCAACACCUUGAUUCUUCCGGUGCCUUCCUUGCUUGCGUACAAUUUCCUCAAAUUGCUUACUUCCGGCAAGGCUUGUGUACACACCUUUCUCUAUAAUUCCCUUCAAUAAGCCAUUUUCUUGCUCAAGUGUAACUUGGUUAACAGAGUCAUUAGUGGAAUCAAGAGAACUACUAGAAGCUACAAUAUUGGAUUUAGCAUGAUUAUUGUUUCUACUAGAAUAAGAAUCUUUCUUGUUUUUGCUGCUAGAUUUUACUUGUGGCAUGUAAGUAGACAAGAGUAAACUCUUGGCAAUGUAAGAAGAACUUUUCUUCCGAAGAUAUCAUUGAUGGCCUUUAAGAACCCAUCCUCUUGCUCAAGAUUGAGCUUUUCGAAGCGUAACUUCUCCCGAGUUUUUAAAAGUUCUCGAUGAUCUUCUAAAGUAGUUUCAUGAGCUAACUUAUGAGUGUUUAGUUCUUUAGUUAGACACUCAAUCUCCUUCUUAUUAUUGUAAUUCAUUUUAUCUUGAUUAACAUGAUUAAUUGACAUUUCAUCAUAGUAUUCAACACUAGAGUUGUCAACAAGUAAAUCAUCAUCACUUAGGAAAUCAUCUUCAUCACUAUUGAAACCAACAUACUUGGGGUGUGAUACCUUGGGGCCUUUAGCCAUGAAGCAUCAUCCAAUUCCUUCAUUUGGUGAGUCAAAUAUGUUAUAGGAGUUGGUUGACACAAGUGCUAGACCGGCAACACCUUCAUCUUCAGUAUAUUCGGAGUCGGAGUGAUAACUUCUCUCGGAGUGGUGGUCGGAGUCGGAACUGGAUACCCAUUCACCAACAUGAGCUUGAUGUCUUCGUUUUGUGUAGCUCCUUGAUGAUUUGUCCUUCCUUUCCGAAUCCUUGCUUCUUCGAGAGGUUAUUUGUUCAUAGCGAUCAUCUCUACUCCUUCUCUCUCUUGGAGGUGAUUCUUCCCUUUUGCUUCUCCUUUUAGAUGAGUCUUCUAUUCUUUUGUAGGGAGCCAUACACUCAUUGGAGUAGUGUCCGGGUCUUCCACAAUUGUAGAAAUUUCUCUCACGACUAGAACAUCUUUUGUCAUUGUAGGACCUUGACUUGGAACUUCUUUCCUUGCGGUCUUGUAGAAUUUGUUGAAGUUCUUCACCAUUAAGCUCAAUUCUUCAUUGAAGGCUUGUUUCUCAUUUGAUGAUGUAGGAUCAUCACAUGAGGCUUUGUAAGCACCACUAGAUUUGUUGUGAAGCUCUUCUUUGUCCUUGAGUGACAUCUCAUGAGAAACAAUUCUUCCAAUGACUUCGGUUGGCUUGAGAUCUUUGUAAUUUGGCAUCAUUUGGAUCAAUGUGCACAUAGUAUCAUAUUUUCCAUCCAAGGCUCUCAAGAUCUUCUUGAUGAUGAAUUUGUCGGUCAUCUCUUCACUUCCUAAGCUGACAAUCUCAUUUGUGAUGAGAGCAAGCCUAUAGUACAUUUCAGCGACACCUUCACCAUCCUUCAUUUUGAACUUGUCAAGUUGACUUUGAAGCACAUCCAACUUGGAUUCCUUAAUGGAGUUGGUACCUUCGUGCAUAUCAAUCAAGGUAUCCCAAAAUUCCUUUGCAUUCUCAAGAUGGCUGAUUUUGUUGAAUUCUUCGGGGCACAAUCCAUUGAACAGGAUAUCGCAAGGUUGAGCAUUGUAUUGCAACAUCUUCAAUUAUUCCGCAGUAGCUUCAUGAUUUGGUUCUCUCCCAUCAAAGAAUUGACCUUGCAAACCAAUACACACAAUAGCCCAAAUAGCGGGGUUAUGUCCAAGAAUAUGCAUUUCCAUCUUAUGUUUCCAACUAGCAAAAUAAGUACCAUCAAAGUAAGGACCUCUACGGUGGUAAUUUCCCUCGCUAGAUGCCAUACUCUCCUAGGUUGUGAAACCAAGGCUAUGAUCACCAAAGCUAUGGAAAUCAAGGAAAAUGGAGACCAAAGCUCUGAUACCACUUGUAGGAUCGAAAGUAUGUCAAGAGGGGGGGGGGUGAUUAGACUACUUGACCAAAUAAAACUCAACCUUUUCCCAAUUUUAGUUCUUGGCAAAUUUUAGCAACUUAGCACAAGUCAAGCAAUCUCAAUACAAUUCAAGCAAGCAUGCAAAGAGUAUAUGAACGUUAGAGUUUUCGGUAAAAAUAUGAACGUUAGAGUUUUCGGUGGGACCGACUUAGUCAUCUCGAUGAGACCGAUAUGCUAGGGUUAGGGCAUAACGUAAUCUCGGUGUGACCUAUCACGUAAACUUGAUGGGACCGAUUUCAGCAAAGGCACAUAGAGGGUAGGUUAGGCAAACUCGGUGGGACCGAUUUUCUCACUUCGGUGGAACCGAAGUGCUACGAAAAGGAAACAUGUAGUUUGCACUGCAGACUCGGUGGGACCGAUUUUCUCAUUUCGGUGUGACCAAAAUGUUACAAAAAGGAAACAGGGAGUUUGCAAUCCCAUCUCAGUGAUACCGAGAUCCCUAUCGGUGAGACCGAAGUAACUAGGGUUUGUGGAAGUGGCUAUGUCAAAUGAAACUCGGUGGCGCCGGAUAGAUUAAAUCGGUGGGGCCGAAUUUGACUUUUAGGUUUAGGACAAAUGUGUAAAUGAGAAAGUGGUUGAGGGUUUUGGAGAAUAUCACUAAUCAUUUUGAGCAAGUAAGCCAUUAAGCAACACCUCAUCCCCUUUUAAUAGUAUUGGCUUUCCUGGACUCAAUGUGAUCUUGGGUCACUAAAAUGAAAAUGUAGAGUCUUGAGCUUGUUGCCAAUAUGUGUCCUUAGCAUUUUGAGGGGUCCACAUCUCUAGUCCAUGCCAUGCCAAUCAUUGAACUUUCUAAAAUGAUCAUCUUGAAAGAGCAUUAGUUCAAUGAACUAUAUGUUGUUAAGAAUUACCAAAACCACCUAGGGAUUAGUUGCACUUUCAGCAUUGCGAGCAUGAGACGCUAACUGGUCCACCAGAUGUUCAUUGUGGACGAUGCAAGAGAUAUAUUUCUUUUUAAAUAGUUACUAUGAUAAUUUAUUUGAAGUGAUAUAUUUUAUGUCUGCCCGAAUGAUCUCAAAUUCACUAGUAGUAACAAACAAAAGGUUGCCUUGUUCAUCAAUAGAAAACAGGGUGAAAACUAUCACAUGAGUCUGGUAAAAACAAGGCACACUGGGUUUAGCGUCAUCGUCACUACAGCUGUGCGCACACGAGAAAUCUACAUAUCAAGGGGGGCUACAGAGAGAAAGACGUAUCGAGUGUGUGUGUGACCGAGGCACAAAGACACAACUAGCGAGUGUGUGUGUGUGUGUGUGUGUGUGUGUUUGAGAGAGAAGCCAGUGGACAUAUUAAGAUCAAGAUCAAUGNNNNNNNNNNNNNNNNNNNNNNNNNNNNNNNNNNNNNNNNNNNNNNNNNNNNNNNNNNNNNNNNNNNNNNNNNNNNNNNNNNNNNNNNNNNNNNNNNNNNNNNNNNNNNNNNNNNNNNNNNNNNNNNNNNNNNNNNNNNNNNNNGUCACCCUUCUGCUGUCAUCGUUGGGGCGUGGGAAGGGGGAGAGAAAGCCCUAUCGAGAGUGCACACGCGAUAGGCACAGAGGCACAACUAGCGAGUGUGUGUGUGUGUGUGUGUGUGUGUUCGAGAGAGAAGCCAGUAGAUAGAUUAGUAUCAAGAUCAAGGUGUCACCCUACUCCUUCAGUGUCAGGAAGUGUGUGUGUGUGGGUGGGGGGUGCCAAUGACACUUAGAUAUAGGGAGAAGGAGUUUGUGUGUUACAUAUCUAUAUUAAGGGAUAGGUAGAUAGCAUGUCUGCGAGGCAUACUUUGACGCCCAGAUAAUUAAUCUACAAUAACCUCUUCUAAUGAUGCCACGUCACCACUGUUAUUGUUGUUAAACUCGCGUUGAUUCGAAACUGGUUCAAAUUCAAAUUUAAGUUAAAGUCAAAUUUAAAGUUUUCACAAUGUCAAAACUAAAUUGUUCUAAAUUUGUCAAAUAAUCUAUAGAAAAUUUUGGUGGAGAAACCAAAUUUUUAUAAACUGGUUUAGUGCCCUUAAAUAAAUAAACGGUGGCCAAAACAAUAAAUUAAAUGCCUUUUUGAUUUAUAAAGAUGCUAAUCUGUUUUAUUUAACUGUCAAUCUUCUUGUGGCAGUGACCUAAUUUGCAAUGAUAAUAUUGGUGUAAGACUCAUAUUUUAUAAACCUAAAAUGCCAUUGAAAAUUAAAAGAAAACAGAAAGCAAAAGCUAAGAAAAGAACACAUAAUGGAAAAUAAGAAGGGGACCUAACGCUACUGGACCCUUGGCUCUUUUAGUAAAACAGGUCCAGCCCACCCCUGCCAUCCCCAUCCACCUGCUACACGGAGGCAGGGGGAUCGUGGCACCCAUUGGCAGGCCAUGGCCGCGCUGUGCCUUGCAUGGAGGCCAUCCACAGCCCUCCCCUGGCGUACAAGGGCCCCGCCUCCCUCUCGCUGGAAACCCUAGGACACUUCCCCCUCGCCUCUCGCCCUCUCGCUCGAUCUCGAGCUCGUCCGACACUGACAUCGCCGCGCCAUCGUUGUUGUCGCCCACCGCAUCCACCCCGAGCCGCGCCAUGGUGACAAGGGGCUCCACCAUGGUCGUCUCCGUCACCUGAGGCCGCCCGUUAGAUCCCAACGCCUCCACAUCAAGCUCCUUGACGCUGUCUUCAGCCCCUGCAUCGCCGGAUCCGUCGCCUUCUUCAAACUUCGGUCGCCGGAAAACUUCACCGAUUCCUACGCCGACACUGCACCCCGGCGCUUCCUUAAGCGGCUCCUCGUCAAUGAUGUGAGCAGACGCCUAGAACCCCUCUAUUUCCCCAUUGACUUCGUACCCGUAGCCUAGCUUCCAGUCGUGCCCGAAACUCACCGUCACCAUUGUCGUAGCUGCCGCAACUGCUCCUACUCUGUUGCUCCUGCUAGUUGUCGUUGCUAUUGCUCCGCUGCCGACCGAGCCUCUCACCGUGAGUCCCUGUCUGCUGCUGCGCCGCCUCCGCCCGGCAGCGCCGCGUCCCCAGCCCGCACGUUAGGCCGCUCCUGCCUCUGUCGCUCGCUCGUUGUGCCACUGCUGCCUGUAGUAUUGCUGCUGCUACUGCACUGCAGCCCAUCGCCGCGCCCGUCGGCGUGAAUCCCAGCCGUGCCGCCCACGUGAGCCCCGCCGAUGCCUGCCUGCACCUGCCACGCCGUGGCCCGCCACUUCCGUAGUCGGUCGCCGCCCUGCCGUGCGCGCCUGCCGGCCCGAUGUCCCGCGCUCCACCUCUGACCCGCAACCGCGCCUCGCCUCCGCCUGGCCUCCCCGCUGCCGGCGCUGCCCCGUCGCCUCCGGCCCUAGCCCGCACCCCACCGGCGCCCCGCUGUGGCCAUCGCCCUUGCUGGCCUCGGUCCGGGCGCCCGCGCCCACUCCCCGUUAACCGCCCCGCUAGGCUGGCCUUGUGCCACCGCCAGCGAGCCCCAGCGCCAUAGCCUUUAAAAAGACAAAAACAUAUAUAAUUAAUUAAUUAACCUAAUUAAAAUGGUUUAAUUAACCUAAUUACUUAGUUAGCCUAACUAAUAUGUAAUUAACUAAAUGUGAGUAUGACAGGGGGCCAUCCCCUGUUGACCAGUCAAAUGUUGACGGGCCAACUAGGACCCCCUGGCCCACCUAUCAGCCAUGGGUGCACUUUUGUGACCCUAUGCUGGGUGCGCCUAGCAAUUUAACCUUUAUUUUUGAAUUAAAAGUAAUUUCAGAAUAUUGUUUUAAUUGUUGAAAAAUCAUAUAAAAUAAACCGUAUCUCUGAUGAGAAUACUUUGUACAUGAAAGUUGCUCAAAACGACGAACGAAUCCGAAUAUGCGGUCCGUUCGUCUGCCACACGUCCCUAGCAUAUCGAACAUGCAAUCGUCCCCUCUCUUUCAUCUGUCUGAAAAAUGCCUAACCCCGGGAAAAAUUUCUUGGAUGUUAUCCCCCUUUGCCGAUAUCGUGUAGCACCACGUUAGAACACCCCUAGCCCUGCGUGUUUCCCCGUCAUGCAUCUGUGUUGCAUCUGUUUGCAUUAUAUUUACUGUUUUCCGCCCUAUUCUCUCCGGUAGACCCCAAGACCACUGUUGAUGCCAUUGUGAUCGACUACGUCACCGACGACCCUUCUUCCCUUUCAACGUAGCUUCCAGGCACGCGCCCCCCUUGAUCAUCCCGAUAUCGCCCAUUCCAUUCUCUCUCUUGCUUGCAUUAGAUUUUGCUACUGUAAUUGAUUGCUCCUAUUCUGAUGCAUAGCCUGCUUUUGUACCUACUAUUUGUAAGUGCAUCUAGUGCCCCUUAGUGAUUUUGGUGUAUUGAAGACUUAUAGGUUAAGGGACUGAUGCGUUUGUGAGUAUACACGGGUCUAUAAGUCUAUGAGGAUUUUGAUAUUUACAGAGAAAGUUGACUCCUAAAAAUGAAGUUCUUCAACUGAAGACUUUGGAUUUCUGAGGACUUUCUGAAGACUUUGAAAGUGAAGAAAUUGGUGUGACCUUGAAGACUUGGUAAUCAUUUGAGGAAUAUGAAGCAUGAAGACUUUUGUUUUUACUAUUUCAUUUUCUCUUUCUUGAGUCAUAGGAGACACCGUACUGUUAAAGAGGGUCGAGGAAAUACUAAGGAAAAAUUUCCAUGUGAUGCUCAACUCAAAAUCCUACACCUACCAAUCCCUUUCGAGUGAAGCCAUUGGAAAUCUCGCACAGUUCAGUCAUAUUCUUCAGUGACAGAGACGAAGUUCUUCUAGUCUCUGAGGGAUUUGUUAUGACUGAAGAGUUAGGAAUUCGCUAGUGCGGAUUGCCUACCAAGUGAGGAACAUGAUAGCCCUGAGGAAUUCGAACCCCAACAUUCCGACCGGUGCUGUGCUACGCGCCAGCUGUCCCAAAAUAUCUACCCACCUAACGGUCAUAUCAUACAAGGGCAUUUAUGUCUUAUCAUGUCAGCUGCUCCCUAGGCUAUAAAUAACCGCCCCCUACAACCACUAGUUGGUUGGCUGCUCUGAGAGAAACUGACACUUGUCAUUUGAGAGCAACCCAUCCUCCGAGGACUUUGAACGAAAAUCAUCAAGUGAGGAAAUCCCAAACCCAAACCUACAAAACCCCAAGUGAUUGAGCAUCACUGAAGAGAUUGAUCUUGCGUGGAUCCGACGCUUGUUUCCUUUGAAGACUGUGCUUCUUUCAGACGGUUAGGCGUCAAGGCCUAGAGCAUCCAAGAGGAAUUGUGGAUCGCCGAGUGACCGAGUUUGUGAAGGUUCGGAAGUCACCUGAAAACUUACCACGAGUGGUUGGGCGAGGUCUGUGUGACCUUAGCUCAAGGAGAAUACGGUGAGGAAUGGGUGUCCUCGAGUUUAAAUACUCAGCCGCUCCAACCAGAUGUACAACUGAGACAGCAGUUGGAAUUGGUCUACCAAAUCAUUGUCUUCACCAAGCUAACUGGUUCUAUCUCCUCAACUCUUUCAUUUCCUCAUGUAUGUUGUUGUGUGUUUGUUCAUAUCUGUUUGAAGACUUUGACUGAAGACUUUCUCAAUUUCCUCUGUUCUAUUUCUUCAGUCUGAUCAUCUUCUUCCUUGUGUUAUCCUGUGUUUACGCUUUCUGUACUCUGUGCUUGUUUCAUUUCAGCAUGAUGACUAUGCUUGUGUUCUGAUAUGUUCCUUUCUGAGUACUUAUUCCGCUGCAAGUAGUUCUUCAUUUAGGAAUUUCUUCACCAGCAAAUUCCUCAGUGAAGAAUUCAUAAAAAUCGCCUAUUCAACCCCCCCUCUAGUUGAUAUGAUGCACUUUCAAUUGGUAUCAGAGCAAGGUACUCCCUUGUUCUGUGUGAUUUUGGUUUAACCACCUUUAGUUCUAGUUAUGUCGAUCGCAGGUAUGAUCAAGGUCUCCGCUGGGUGUCCUACCUUCGAUGGCACGGACUACCCCUACUGGAAGAAUAAGAUGCGAAUGCAUCUUGAGGCAAUUGACAACGAUCUCUGGUAUAUUGUGGAAAAUGGUGUUCCCUCAGUCACACCUUCCCUGAAUGCUGCUGAUGUGAAGAGAUUCAAGCAACUCGAUUCUCAAGCGAAGAAUAUCAUAUGUGGCCAUCUGAGUAAAGGGCAGUAUGGUAGAGUGAGUGCUUUGGAAACUGCUAAGCUUAUCUGGGAUAGGCUCUCCAAAGUAAACGAAGGAGUCUCAACUCAACAUGACUCUCGUGUUGACGUUCUUCACAAGCUCUUCAACCGCUUCAAAAGACUUGACAAUGAAAAUGUUCAGCAAACCUUUGAUUGCCUCAUUGAUAUCUCAAAUGAGCUUCAGGCGCUUGGCGCCACUGAUAUCACCGACCAUGAGGUGGUGAAGAAAUUGCUGAGAUCGCUCGAUUCUUCAUUUGACACUCUGGCACUGAUGAUCCAAGAGCAUGCUGAUUACAAGUCACUUGAUCCCGCUGAUAUCCUCGAGAGGCUAAGUACUCAUGAGUUCCAGCUUGCUGAGAAGAGAGAUCUAUAUGGUUUGAGCUAUGGCAAACCACGUGCUCUGAAGGCCAAGGUAGUCUCUAAGUCUGAGGAAGAAGACUCUACCAGCAGCCUUGGUGAUCCUGAAGAACUAAGCCAGGAACUAGCACUGCUCGUGAAGAAAUUUCAGAAGUUCUCAAGACAUCGUCGCUUUGGAAAAUCCUCAAGGAGCAAUGAUUCCUCAUCUAGUGACUACAAGAAAAGGCUGUGCCACAAAUGCAAGAAACCCGGUCACUACAUUCAAGAGUGUCCUCAGUGGGACAAGGAAUUAAAGAAGAAGAAAUACAAGGAUUACAGUUCUGAUGAUGCCAAGAAGAAGAAGAAAUCUUCAAAGUCUUCACCAUCAAAAUCCUCAAAGUCUUCAUCUCACAAGAAGAGCAGCUCCAAGAAGGCUCGGGCACUCAUUGGCAAGGAAAUGGAUUCUGAGGCUGAAUCUGAGGAUCAUGAGGAAGAAGAGGCAUCCGAGGAAUCUGAGUCAGGCGUGGAAAGUCUAGCUCUUGCUACCACAUUUGUCAGCAAGUCUAUCUUCAACUCUGAAGAAAAUGGCAACACCAACAACGCUGAUCAAGGUAAUGAUGACUAUGCUCCCACCUAUUGCUUCAUGGCAAAGGGUGCCAAGGUAACUAAAUACCCCUCCUCUGAAUCAAGUGAGAAUGAAUCUGAUGAAAAUCUUAAGCCCAGCUACUCUAAACUUGCUAAGAUUGCUGUGAAACAACAAAAGGCUAUUGAAAAGCUUCAAAACAUGCUAGACAAAAGUGAUGAUAUGUUGGGUGAUGAAAUGGACCGCACUAAAGACUUAACUGAAAAUCUUCAGAGACUUCAGUCUAAGUUUGACAACCUUCAAAGUCAUCAUAACACUCUCUUAUCUGAUCACGAGAAGCUUUCCUAUGAAUUUCUUCAAAGAAAGCACGAUCUUGAGAAGCUAAGAGUGAGUUAUGAAGAUCUUCAGAAGGAUCGCGAUUCAUUACUUGCUCAACAUAUCAGCGCUACUCAGGAAGAAUUUGUUCCUCCUUGUCUUAAGUGCAUUGAACAUGAAUCUGCUAAUUCUUCACCUGAAUGUUCAAAUGCUUCAAAUGUUACAAAUUCUUCACAUGUCUCUGCUAUCACUAAUUCCUCAUCUAAGGACAUUGCUAGUACUACUAAUGAUGCAGGGCUGGUGGAAUUGUAUGCAACAGGCAUGUACAAAAGCCUCAAAGGGCAUCAGAUUCUUUGUGAUGUGCUUAAAAAGCAGAUCCUAAACAAAAACCCUAGGAAAGAGGGUAUUGCCUUUGAGAGGAAACUCAAUGCUGAUGGAACAUAUUGGAAGCCUGAGCAGUACCCCAAAACCUCAUGGGUUGCUGCAAAGGGACCUCCAAUGAUCCAUCCAAUCUAUCUGGCUUUACAUGUGAAUCUCCUCAUUCUUCUGAUGAGUCAUUUGACUCCAACUAUAAACUGUUCAAAAAUCAGAAUGGUGAAGUAUUUGCUAGAAAUGUUGGCACUAACUGCAAGAACGGUUCUCCUAUGAAGAAAAUCCGGGUUCCCAAAAGUUAUCUUGAAAGUCUUCAGGUGAAUGUCCUCAUGACACCACCUGUGAAGAAUAGGAACCCCAGAUCAAAAUCUUCAUAUGGAUCAAAUUCUUCAUAUGGAUCAAAUUCCUCAAAAGGAUCAAAGUCCUCAUAUGAUCAUCAUCGAGCUAACCCUUCUGUUUCGCAGGGUAGAGCUAAGGGCUAUGAAUAUGAGCAUUAUUCUUCAAAUUAUUAUGUUCAUAAGUCCUCGAAGAAUUUCUCUGCUUACUCAUAUGCUUACCCUAACCCCUCUUAUGUGAAACAAAACGGACUAGCUUCUAUGCCACCUUUCCCAUAUGGUGCUCACAGAGUGAUGAACUCUUUGCCACCCCUUCAGAUGUUGGUGGUGAAGAAAAAGAACUAAUCUCUUAUGCAUGGUCAGGUCUCCAGUCAUGCUCAAAACGACUGAAGAAUUUGCUGGAGACCUGAGUAUGCCUGAAAGGACGCAGGCUAAUCAUGAAGAAAUGAAUUUUCAUUUCUCACGUCCUCAUGCUAUUUAUAUGUGCUAUUGCUUGAUGAAAUUGAACUGAUGAUAUUGAUGUCAUAUUCUUCACUGAUGAAGUAUAUGAGUUCAUAAGUUGCACUAAUUCAUCUGCAGGAUGAUCAACCCAAAGCAAACGAGUGGGUCCUCGAUAGUGGAUGUACAAAUCACAUGACGGGUGACAAGAAUCUAUUGAUGGAUGCUCCUUUAUCACCGUCACAUCUGAAGCAUAUCAUCUUCGCUGACAAAGGCAAAAGCAAGGUAUUGGGUCUAGGUAAGGUUGCGAUCUCAAAGGAUCGACACAUAGGCAAAGUCAUGCUUGUCGAGUCCUUAGGAUACAACAUCAUGUCUAUCUCAAUGCUUUGUGAUCUUGAUAUGGUUGUUGUCUUUGGAAGAUAUCAUUGUGUUGUGAUCAUGGAAGCUGACCAUUCCAAAGUCUUCGAAGGCUUUAGGAGGGGAGAUCUGUAUAUUGUUGAUUUCUCUACAGGACCACAACCAGCCGUGUGCUUACUUGCAAAAGCUUCAAAAGGCUAGCUAUGGCAUCGACGACUUGGUCAUGCUGGCAUGAGGAAUAUGCACACGCUUGCAAAGAAGAAGCAUGUCAUUGGCAUUGAGAAUGUCAAAUUCCUCAAGGAUCACUUAUGCGGAGCUUGUGAAGCUGGAAAGAUGACAAAGGCCGUGCAUCCAGCGAAGACUGUCAUGACUACCACUCGUCCAUUUGAAUUGCUUCACAUGGAUCUCUUUGGUCCAAACCACUAUUCUGCAAUUCUUAAUGAUGCAUCUCAAUAUGGAUUUGUUAUUGUUGAUGAUUAUUCUCGUUACACAUGCGUGCACAUUGUCACUUACAAACAUGAAGUGCAGGAAGUCUUCAAAUGAUUUUCCUCGAGGGCUUCAACCAACUUUGGUGUAAAGAUCAAGCACAUCAGAACUGACAAUGGGACCGAGUUCAAGAAUUCCGGUCUUGAUGGCUAUAUUGAUGAAUUUGGUAUUACUCAUGAGUUAUCUGCUCCUUAUACUCCUCAGCAGAAUGGCGUCGUGGAGCGCAAGAACAGAACCCUCGCUGAAAUUGCUCGCACCAUGCUUGAUGAAUACAAGACGCCUCAUCGCUUUUGGAUUGAGGCAAUCGAUACUGCAUGCCAUGUCAUCAACAGGGUAUAUCUUCACAAAUUCUUCAAGAAAACUUCUUAUGAACUCCUCACUGACAAAAAGCCAAAUGUGAGUUAUUUCAAAGUCUUCGGUGCAAAAUGUUGGAUUAGAGAUCCUCACCACACUUCUAAAUUCUCACCGAAAGCACAUGAAGGUUUUAUGCUUGGUUAUGGAAAGGACUCGCACACCUACAGAGUCUUCAACAGCGUUCUUCACAAAGUUGUUGAAACUGUAGAUGUGCGGUUCGAUAAAACUAAUGGCUCGCAAAGAGAGCACCGACCUUCUAUGAUAGAUGAACCAGCACCUGAAGAUUCCAUCGAGUUCAAGGCUACUGAGGAUGUCAUUCCUACCGAAGAAUCUGCUGAAGAAUUCAUUCUUGAUCAUGAUGAUCACUGAGCUGGAGCACCUGAAGAAAAUGGUGCUGAAGAAAAUGCUCCUGAAGGGAAUACUGAUCAAAUUCCUCGAAGACAACCCACUCAUCCUCGCAUUGCUAACGAAGUGCAAAUUGAGAAGAUCAUUGAUGACAUUGAAGAACCAGGUCCUCUCACUCGCUCAAAAUCUUCACAUUUAUCUAACUUUUGUGGGCACUUUGCUUUUGUCUCUAUCUUAGAGCCCACUAAGGUAGAUGAAGCAUUUCUGGAGCCUGAGUGGAUUUAGGCUAUGCAAGAAGAAUUACAUCAGUUCGAGCUCAACAACGUCUGGGAACUGGUCAAACGUCCAGAUUCUCGCAAGCACAACAUCAUUGGCACAAAGUGGAUCUACCGCAACAAGCAAGAUGAAAAUGGCCUUGUGGUGAGGAAUAAGGCACGGCUUGUAGCUCAAGGCUACACAUAGGUUGAAGGAAUUGAUUUCAAUGAAACUUUUGCACCUGUUGCUAGACUUGAGGCUAUUCACAUAUUACUUGCUUACGCUAACCAUCAUGAGAUUAUCUUACAACAAAUGGAUGUGAAAAGUGUAUUCCUCAAUGAUAAGAUUGAGGAAGAAGUAUAUGUUGCUCAACCCCCAGGUUUUGAAGAUCCAAAGAAUCUCGACAAAGUCUUCAGACUCAACAAGGCCCUGUAUGGCCUCAAGCAAGCCCCUCAGGUGUGGUAUGACACUUUGAAGGAAUUCUUCAUGAAGAAAGGCUUCAAACCCGGUUCACUCGACCCAACUCUUUUCACUAAAUCUUAUGAUGGUGAAUUGUUUGUGUGCCAAAUUUAUGUUGAUGAUAUUAUCUUUGGCUGUAGUGACCAACGCUAUAGUGAUGAAUUUGCCCAUAUGAUGAGUGAGGAAUAUCCAAUGUCUAUGAUGGGAGAGUUGAAAUUAUUUUUAGGUCUUCAAAUUCGUCAAUAGCGCAAUGGUAUAUUCAUAUCGCAGGAGAAAUACCUCAAAGAUGUAUUGAGGAAAUUCGGCACGCAAGAUUGCAAAGGGGUCAAAAUUCCAAUGCCCACAAAUGGCCAUCUAUGCACUGAUGAAAAUGGUCAAGACUUCGAUCAAAAGGUAUACCGCUCCAUGAUUGGCUCUUUAUUGUACCUAUGUGCAUCUAGGCCAGAUAUUAUGCUUAGUGUUUUCAUGUGUGCCCAAUUUCAAGCUACACCGAAGGAAUCACACCAUAAGGCUGUGAAGCAUAUUCUUCGAUAUCUAGCUCACACACCAACACUUGGAUUAUGGUAUCCCAAGGGCUCUUCAUUUGAUCUCGUUGGAUAUUCAGACUCUGACUAUGCUGGCGAUCGCAUGGACCGCAAGUCAACAUCAGGCACAUGUCAUUUCCUCGGACGAUCUUUGGUCUGUUGGUCCUCGAAGAAACAGAACUGCGUAUCUCUCUCCACUGCAGAAGCUGAGUACAUUGCUGCUGGAUCAUGCUGUGCUCAACUACUAUGGAUGAAGCAAACUCUCAAGGACUAUGGCAUCAACGUGAAGAAUGUGCCUCUACUGCGACAAUGAGAGCGCUAUCAAGAUUUCUCGCAACCCAGUUCAGCACUCGAAGACAAAGCACAUCCAGAUUCAUCAUCAUUUUCUUCGCGAUCAUGUGUUGAAGGGCGAUAUCUCCAUCUGCCAUGCAAGAACUGAAGAUCAGCUGGCCGAUAUAUUCACUAAGCCCUUGGAUGAGAAGAGAUUUGGCAAGUUGCGGUGUGAGCUAAAUAUCCUAGAAUCUUCGAAUGUUCUCUGAAAUGGACACUCAUCCUAACACUUAUGCUGACUUGAUGACUUAGAUGCGCAACACACGAAGUAACUUUUUUCUUCAAUCAAUGAAGACUAACCCUCUAAGUGUGAAGAAAUUAAUGAAGAAAUUGACUCUCAGAUCCCUACGACAAUUGUAUGCGGUGUCUGAAGUCAACUUUCUUAUACGGUGGGUUACGCCACCACAAAAGUUGAAGAUCUUCAAUUUGAGUUUUUUUUCCUCAGUUUUGAAAUUCCUCAGUUUUUCAAAUUCUUCAACUUGCAAAUGUCUUCACUAUUUCCGUCAUUUGUCUUCAGUUUAAUAUAUAUAUGAGUUUAUGUCCUCUACAGUAUUCACUUAUUGCUAAAUUCUGCAAGUUGACUUUUUCCGCUAAGUGAAUGUGAUCAGACCCUUCCCCUCUAUGCUAAAGUCAAUCUAAUCUUUUCAGAAAUUCUUCAUAUGCGUUCUGAUUUGAAACUCGUUCAAAAUCUUCACUGUGUCCUUGACAGCUGAAGAAAUUGCGAACGGUAACUCAAAACUUAUCUUAUCUAAAUUUUUGGCUUUGCCGCUCAAACCGUUCCGCUUCUCAUGACAAAUACUUAUCUAUUCACCCACGAUACUACACGAUCACCACCUCACAGUACAUGGGUGACACAUGUCAUGUGAAUGGGAAAAGCCAGGGGCACGUUCGUUCAAAAUCCUCGGGCGCACAGUUUUUCACUACCACUAUAAAUACCCCUGCCUUCUCCUCACUUCACUUUUACUCCGCUCGACCUCUCUCUCCCACUCGAGCUUCCCAAACCCUAGCGCCACCGCUACUUCAUCAUCACCGGUGAGGAAGAGCUUCACUGCCUCGACCUCGUCGCCGUCGUACUCGGCGCCGGUUGCGGAUUUCUUCACUCCGCCGCCGCCGUAGCCGUCUUCCUCUGCCGAGUUAGGGCGUGGAAGAUCUGAACGGACGAGCUUCACCUCAACACUUCUCAGUUCGUCGUGUUCUUCACUGAUACGUCUCCAAUGUAUCUAUAAUUUUUUAUUGUUCCAUGCUAUUAUAUUACCCCUUUUGGAUGUUUAUGGGCUUUACUUUACACAUUUGUAUCAUUUUUGGGACUAACCUACUAACCGGAGGCCCAACCCGUAUUGCUAUUUUUUUUGCCUAUUUCAGUAUUUCAAAGAAAAGGAAUAUCAAACGAAGUCCAAACGGAAUGAAACCUUCGGGAGCGUGAUUUUUGGAACGAACGUGAUCCGAAGAGCUUGGAGUGCAAGUCAAAAAGCUCCCGAGGACCCCACGAGAUAGGGGGCCACGCCCCCUGUCUCGUGGGCCCCUCGGGCGUCCACCGACGUACUUCUUCCUCCUAUAUAUACCUACGGACCCUGAAAACAUCAAGGAGCACCACAAAACACAAUUUCCACCGCUGUAACCUUCUGUAUCCGCAAGAUCCCAUCUUGGAGCCUUCGCCGACACUCUGCUGGAGAGGGAAUCGACCAUGGAGGGCCUCUACAUCAACAUCCUUGCCCCUCCGAUGAGUUGUGAGUAGUUUACCACAGACCUACGGGUCCAUAGUUAUUAGCUAGAUGGCUUCUUCUCUCUUUUUGGAUCUCAAUACAAUGUUCUCCCCCUCUCUUGUGGAGAUCUAUUUGAUGUAAUCUCUUUUUGCGAUGUGUUUGUCGAGAUCCGACGAAUUGUGGGUUUAUGAUCAAGUUUAUCUAUGAAUAAUAUUUGAAUCUUCUCUGAAUUCUUUUAUGUAUGAUUGAGUUAUCUUUGCAAGUCUCUUCGAAUUAUCAGUUUGGUUUGGCCUACUAGAUUGGUCUUUCUUGCCAUGGGAGAAGUGCUUAGCUUUGGGUUCAAUCUUGCAGUGUUCUUACCCAGUGACAGAAAGGGUUGCAAGAUACAUAUUGUAUUGUUGCCAUCGAGGAUAACAAGAUGGGGUUUACAUCAUAUUGCAUGAGUUUAUCCCUCUACAUCAUGUCAUCUUGCUUAAUGCAUUACUCUAUUCUUAUGAACUUAAUACUCUAGAUGCAGGCAGGAGUCGCUCGAUGUGUGGAGUAAUAGUAGUAGAUGCAGGCAGGAGUCGGACUACUUGUUAUGGACGUGAUGCCUAUAUACAUGAUCAUGCCUAGAUAAUCUCAUAACUAUGCGCUUUUCUAUCAAUUGCUCGACAGUAAUUUGUUCACCCACCAUAAUACUUAUGCUAUUUCGAGAGAAGCCUCUAGUGAAACCUAUGGCCCCCGGGUCUAUCUCUUAUCAUAUUUGCUUUCCAUCUACUUUAUUUGCAUCUUUACUUUUUGCAUCUAUAUUAUAAAAUACCAAAAAUAUAUUUAUCUUAUCAUACUAUCUCUACCAGAUCUCACUUUCGCAAGUGGCCGUGAAGGGAUUGACAACCCCUUUAUUGCGUUGGUUGCGAGUUCUCAGUUUGUUUGUGUAGGUGCGUGGGACUUUUGAGGAGCCUCCUACUGGAUUAAUACCUUGGUUCUCAAAACUGAGGGAAAUACUUACGCUACACUUGCUGCAUCACCCUCUCCUCUUCGGGGAAAACUAACCUAGCUCAAGACGUAGCAAGAAGGAUUUCUGGCGCCGUUGCCGGGGAGGUCUUCGCUCAAGUCAAGACAUACCAAGUACCCAUCACAAACUCAUCUCCCUCGCAUUUACAUUAUUUGCCUCGUGUUUUCCUCUCCCCCACUUCACCCUUGCCGUUUUAUUUGCCCUCUCUUUCCCAAUCUCCUCUCUCUUUUUCGCUUGCCUUUUUCCGUUGCCCGUGUGUUCGCUCGUUUGCGUUGUCGUCAUGGCUAGUCUCCCUAUCCUCUUUAUCACUUCCGAACAGGAAAUCCUCAAUUUUAAACAAAGGGAGGGAGAAAAUUUAAAAGAUGCUUGGCAUAGAAUUUGCAAUGCUCAAAAUAGAUCUACUAGGAAGCUUUCUACUUCCGUUCUUCUCCGCAGUUUUUAUGUAGGCAUCACUCCUUGGAAUAGAUGUGUUCUUGAUACUGUCGUCGGAGGUGAUUUCUUGAGUAGCCAUACGUUUGAUGCUUAUAAUGCUAUGUUAGAUUUGUUUGGCCCACCACUUCUUUUGGUUAAUGGAACUUUUUUAACCUUAGAACACGUUAUGCAACGGCUUGAUAUUAUUGAAAAUAAAAUUGCCACUGUUGAGUUGGUUGAAAAUCUGGAUAAAAAGAUUCAUAAUCUUAUCACUCAAUAUGAAUCUAGGGUUGGAGUCAUUUUGAAAAAUCUUAAAGAGAAAGAACAUAUAGUCAAUGAAAAAAUAGAUCUUGAUUCUGCUAGAAUUGGUAAAAUUGAGGAUAUAAUUACCAACUUAGGUUCGGCGUUUUCUCCCAUGAAAAACACUCCAAAACUCCCUACAAAAACCACCAAGUUUAUUUAUGUUCCUAAAAAUAAGGGUGAAACUUCUAGUAAGGGAGACACGGACCUCAAAUCCAUAAGUGGUCGUCCCAAUUGUCUUUCUAUCGUUAAGGAACCUUUUGCUACAAACAAAUUUCUUGAAUUUUUUCCCAAAGGUUUAAUCAUUGCUGAAAAGGGAGAACCUCCUAAAGAUUAUAAGUGCUCUAAUGAGGAAUCAAGUGCCAAAGAUGGCACUACUUGAAUCUAUCUUCGCUUUUAUGCCUAGCUAGGGGCGUUAAACGAUAGCGCUAGUUUGGAGGCAACCCAAUUUUUCUUUAUGUUUUUUUUUUGCUCCUGUUUAGGAAUAAAUCUUGCAUCUACUCUCUGUUUAGAUGUGUUUUUAUCUUUUAGUUAGUGUUUGUGCCAAGUAGAACCUAUAGGAUAACCUACGAUGAUAGUUGAUUUGAUUCUGCUGAAAAACAGAAACUUUGUGCUCACGAGAAAAAAUUCAAUAAAUCACAGACACGUGAUUUUGCAUUGAUUCUUUUUGCUGCUGAUCAAUAAAUAAAUUUUCCAGUACGUCCUAUUUCGGUAGGAUUUUUAGAGUUCCAGAAGUUUGCGUUAGUUAUAGAUUCCUACAGACUGUUUUGUUUUUGACAGAUUCUGUUUUUCGUGUGUUGUUUGCUUAUUUCAAUGCAUCUAUGGCUAGUAAAUUAGUUUAUAAACCAUAAGGAAGUUGGAAUACAGUAGGUUAAACACCAAAAUAAAUAAAGAAUGAGUUCAUGGCAGUACUUUAUGUGGUGGUUUUGUUUUCUUUCACUAACGGAGCUUAUAAGAUUUCCUGUUGAAUAAGGAGUGGCAAGAGCCUAAGCUUGGGGAUGCCCAUAGCACCCCAAGAUAUUCGAGGAUAGCCAAAAGCCUAAGCUUGGGGAUGCCCCGAGAAGGCAUACCCUCUUUCGUCUUCGUUCAUUGGUAACUUUACUUGGAGCUAUAUUUUUAUUCGCCACAUGAUAUGUGUUUUGCUUGGAGCGUCGUGUAUUAUAUUAGUCUUUGCUUUUUAGUUUACCACAAUCAUCCUUGCUGUACACACCUUUUGGGAGAAGCCUAUUUUAUUAGAAUUUGCUAAAAUACUCUAUGUGCUUCACUUAUAUCUUUUGAGCUUGAUAGUUUAUGCUCUAGUGCUUCACUUAUAUCCUUUAGAGCACGGUGGUGGCUUGAUUUUAUAUAAAUUGCUAAUCUCUCAUGCUUCACUUAUAUUAUUUUGAGAGUCUUUUAGAACAGCAUGGUAUUUGCUAUGGUUACAAAGUUGGUCUUAGAAUGAUGAGCAUCCAAGUUGGGUAUAAUAAAAACUAUCAUAGAAAAAGAAUUGGAUGCUAUGAUCAACUUGAUGCUUGAUAAUUGUUUUGAGAUAUAAAGGUAGUAAUGUUAGGGUCAUGCUACUGGGUAAUUAUGAAAUUGAGAAAUACUUUUGUUGAAGUUGGCAAGUCCCAUAGCAUGCAUGUAUGGUAAAAGUUGUGUGACAAAUUUGUUGCAUGAGGUGCUCUUUUGAGUGUCUUCCUUAUGAGUGGCAGUCGGGGACGAGCGAUGGAAUUCUUUCCUACCAAUCUACCCCUCUUGGGGCAUGCGUAGUAGUACUUUGCUUCGAGGGCGAAGUAGACUUUUGCAAUAAGUAUAUGAGUUCUUUUUUUGACUAAUGCGAGUCCAUGGACAUAUGCACACUUAUCCUUUUACUUUGCUAGACUUUAUUAUUACCGCGCAACUCUCGCCGGUAUUGAACCCUUUAUUUACCUACCUCAAAACAACCACCAUACCUACCUAUUAUGGCAUUUCCAUAGCCAUUCUGAGAUAUAUUGCCAUGCAACUUUCCACCGUUCCGUUUAUUAUGACACGUUUCAUCAUUGUCAUAUUGCUCUUUGCAUGAUCAUGUAGUUGACAUCGUAUUUGUGGCAAAGCCACCAUCAUAAUCUUCAUACAUGUCUCUCUUGAUUCAUUGCAUAUCCCGGUACACCGCCGGAGGCAUUCAUAUAGAGUCAUAUCUUGUUCUAGCUUUGAGUUGUAAUUUUUGAGUUGUAAAUCCAUAAAAGUGUGAUGAUCUUCAUUAUUAGAGCAUUAUCCUAGUGAGGAAAGGAUGAUGAAGGCUAUGAUUCCCCCACAAGUCAGGAUGAGACUUCGGACUUUACAAAAAGAAAGAAAAAAAUGAGAGAAGAAAAAAACUGAGAAAGGCCAAAAAGAAAAGAAAAGAAAAGGAGGCCAAAGAAAAGAAAAAAAAGAGAAAAAAAGAAAAAGAAAAGAAAAGAAAAAAAUAAUAAAAUGAGAAAAAAGAGAGAAGGGACAAUUGCUACUAUUUCUUUUUCCACACUUGUGCUUUAAAAUAGCACCAUGAUCUUCAUGAUAGAGAGUCUCAUAUGUUGUCACUUUCAUAUACUAGUGGGAAUUUUUCAUAGAACUUGGCUUGUAUAUUCCAAUGAUGGGCUUCCUCAAAGUGCCCUAGGUCUUCGUGAGCAAGCAAGUUGGAUGCACACCCACUUAGUUUCCUUUGUUGAGCUUUCAUAUAUUUAUAGCUCUAGUGCAUCUGUUGCAUGACAAUCCCUACUCAGUCACAUUGAUAUCUAUUAAUGGGCAUCUCCAUAUAGCCCGUUAGUACGCCUAGUUGAUGUGAGACUAUCUUCUCCCUUUUUGUCCUCACAACCACCAUAUACCACCAUAGUGCUAUUUCCAUGGCUUGCGCUCAUGUAUUGCGUCAGAGUUGAAAAAGCUAAAGCGCGUUAAAAAUUAUGAAACAAUUGCUCGACUCGUCAUCGGGGUUGUACAUGAUGGGAGUAUUUUGUGUAGUGAAAAUGAAGCAUGACCUAACUAUAUGAUUUUGUAGGGAUAAGCUUUCAUUGGCUAUGCUAUUUUGAUAGGACAUGAUUAUUUGUUAGUAUGCUUUGAAGCAUUAUUAUUUUUAUGUUUUAUAAGCUUUUAUUUUGAAUCAUUUGGAUCUGAACAUUCAUGCCACAUGAAAGAAAAUUACAUUAUGAAUUAUGCUAGGUAGCAUUCCACAUCAAAAAUAUCUUUUUUAUCAUUUACCUACUCGAGGACGAGCAUUCACUUCGGGUAAUUAAAAGUUACUUUUAUUGACCGCUUUGAUUCAUGUGUUUUCCUAAAAAUCUUCAAAAGUGUUUAUUCUUCAAAUCUUCACACACUAAAACACCUCACAUGUUAUCUGUUCUUGAUUCGUUUCUCUAAGCAAUGAUUUUCUUCAAAAUUCCUCAAUUGUGUGGAUUUUCAAAUCUGUACAACUCUGGAACCUAAGAUAAAGAACGCUUAGCGAAAUUCUUCAAGACUCGUCGGUCAAAUUCCUCAAACCUAUUCUGUUUUGAAAAUCUUCCGAGAACGCAUAUGACCUCUCCAAAUUUCUCGCAACUAUACUCUGUUCACAGGUACAAAUGUCCGCUGCUGAAUCACUAGGUUCUCAUCAACUUAACUAAUUUGCAGCGUUCCUCGAAGAAAAGUUGCAUACCUCUUCAGAAACUUCAGUUGUUCAUAUUCCUCAGCUGAAGAAAAUGGCUGACAAGAAGCCACAAAAGGGAGGAAAAAGGCCUAAGGUCAACACAAUGUUUGAAAUCCCUGAAGAUAUCUAUGCUGGAUACUGCACUCCUGAUGAGGCCAAGUUUGGCAAGGAGGAAAAGAAUCAACGCAAAGUGCGCAUCCAACGUAUUGAGAGGAGAUGGGCACGAGAAUGGAGGGAGUACCGGUAUGUUACUCCCAAGUACAUGAAGAAAUUUGCACUCAAUCAUCCAUGCUCAAGACCUCCAUUGAGACCUGGCCAACUGGCGGAUCCCACCAGCCUCAAGCGCGGUGAGAACUAUGCUACUGAAUGGGCUAGGCGCCAGGCCAAACUAGCCAAGCAAGCAAAAGAAGCAGUGAGGAAAUUCAAUGAAGAUUUUGCUGCUGCUGCUAACGCUGCUGAGGCAUCUGGUAGUAAGCCCAAGAAGGCUAUGCCAAAGAAGCCUGCCCACAAGUCCAGUGCUUCCCCUUCAAUGCCCUCACGGCCAAGUUCCCCAGCAAUGCCCUCACGGCUAGCAUCUUCAAAGCCCUCACAGAAAAUUCCUCAGUCUGCUCCUCCUCAUCCGACAAAGUCUUCGGCUGCUCCGACAAAAUCUUCGGCACCUGUGCAUCUUGCCACGUGCCAAAGGACUCGAGGCUUAUCUAUUGCCUCAGGAGCAUCUGCAAGCUCCUCAGCUGCUCAACCCUCCUCAGCUGGUCCCUCACUGCUGAAGAAAAAGGCCACUGCUGGACGAGGUAUUCGACCAAGUCCUCACAAGAAGCAAGUCGCUUUCCAAGUGCCCUCUGAUGAUGAUGAGGCGGAUGAUGAUGAACUUGCUAAAAUCAUCAGAGACAGGCAAGCCAGGGCUGCUAGAGCCAAAGGCAGCAAUGUGCCACUACUUCUGGAUCCCAAGCUGAUGCUCGAUUUCAUUGACUUAUGGCACAAGGACCCUGCUACACCUUUGCCAGAGAUGGACCUCACUCCUGGUCAAAGUCAUGUUCUCACUCACUUCAUUGAGGAAGAAAAGUGGAAAUAUGAAGAAGGACAAAGGCUGAAGAAAGCGCAAUACAAGAAACAACGCUACCUCAAGGACAAUGUCCUCACUCUCACCCCCGAACAACUCAUUGCUGUACAAGCUGAAAUCAAGCAACUGAGUGAUGAUUUCAAUCGGUACCAUGCUGAUUGGAAGGGAGCAAAGGUUCGAUUCGUCAAUUUGACGAAGACUUUCUCUUCAACUGCCACUGCGCCGGUGCAUGUUGAAAUUCCUCAGGCUGAAGAAUCUGCUCAGCCCACUGAAGAACAUGCCAGCACCGCUGAUGUCAGUAUGACUGCUGAAGAAAAUGAGAGUACCAGGGCUGAUGACUCCAUUCCAGCCGCUGAUGAUAUUGCCAGGGCAUCCACUAGUGAUGCGCCUGAAGAAAGUGAACAAGUCAGGGCAACUACAAUAGUUACGCCUGAAGAAAAUGCACCUCCUGCGCCUACACCAACUCCUAUCCUUCCAUCUGCUCUUGAUGUGAAGAAGACCAAGGCUGCAGAACAUGCAGCGAUGAAGAAAAGGAAGGCAUCAGCUUCAUCAAAUUCUUCAGCUCCGAAGAAGAUCAAGACUCUGAUCAGUUCAAUUGAGAAUCCAAUUGAUGUCGUUCUCGUCUCAUCAAUGCCAUCAAAGGACCUUGUUCCUUUUGGUGAAGAAUAUGAGAUUCCCGAGGAAUCUGAUGAAGAAAAUCCAACUGCUGCUUCGACAGAGCAGUUGGAUGAAGAAAUUGAAGUGGAUGAGAUCCCUUCAACCUCUGUCAUUUCCUCACCUAUGCCUCAGUUUACUGCUGAAGAGGCAGGUGUUGAAGAAAUUGAAGAUGAGGAUGUGGACAUUGGAUGUACCACUCAUGUGCUCAAUGAUUAAUUUUGGGACAGUCAACAUCCAAACUCACCAAUGUUCACUCCUCUCCAAGCUGUUCCUCAGUCCCCAGCCACUACUGAAGUUCAAGUGGGAUCUGAUGAACCACGUGCAACCCCGUCUGUUCAUGAAGACAUUCCAGCCACUAGUGCUGAAGAAACUGUGAAUGAAGAAGUGAUGACUCAGGCUGCAGAUGCAGAAGAAAAUGAAAUUCCACAGCAUGAGGAACCUAAGAUUGCGAUUCUUGAGGUGAUAUUGAAAAUCUCAGACACUCCUCAACCCAGGCCAAAGAAUCCCUUCUCCAAGAAUCCGAAAUUCAAGGCUGAUGAUUUCUUCGGUGAGCACAUAUUCUUCACUGAAUUCAACCCGUAUGACAAUGCUCGUCUUAGAAGGAAGCAUUUCUGGACUGCUAGCCAGACAAACUUCUAUUCCUCAGUCCUCUUUGACAAGGACAAAGUCUUCGAUCAUGAGCACAUUCCUCACAUGGACAUGGAAUCUAUGCCUUGCUUCAUGCCGGUUCUCAGUAUGCUUCACGAUGCAGGCUUGCUGAAUUUCUGCACUGACAUCGUUGAUUGGAAUGAAGAACUUAUUCUUCAGUUCUACGCAACUUUGCAUAUCACAGACAAUGUUGCUGAUGUCAACUCAUGGGUGUUGGACUGGAUGACUGAAAACGCUCACUACAAGGCACCAGCCUCUGAAUUGCUUCGUGCCUUGCCAAUCAGUCCUCCACCAGAAGGCGCUCGCUGUCUGUAUGAUGAACCUGAACUUACUGAUCACUAUAUGCAAGUGCUCAUGAAGCCGCUGAAGCCUGGACAAACCCAAAGGACCAAAUUCCUCGUGAAGGAUUUGUUGUAUGUGCCAAGGACUAUAUAUCGCAUUCUGACGAAGACUAUCAGUCCAAUCAAAGGUCAUGAUUCAUCUGAUGAAGAAAUUGUGGGGAUGAUGAAGAAUAUGCUCUUCAACAUCAUGCAUGGUAUUCCUAUCAAUUACCAUGAUUUCUUCAUGUGGACUCUCACGAAUGUUGCACUUUCUCCAUUUGAGCUGAAGCCUUACGCGCCGUGGAUCAUGAGAUUCCUCAGAACAAGGUCUUCACUCAACUACAAGGCUGAUUUUCAGAAUCACCUCAGCUACUUGGCCCCAAUUGAAGUCCUCAAGCGGACAAUUUCCUCAUCUGAUGAGAAUGGCAAGUCACCAGGUGUGAUCGAUGAAUGCACUUGUCCAUUGGAUGGUCAGUUCCGCAAAGUUGCAUCCUACUCCACCAAUGAUGACUCUGCCACACAUGAUUCUCCUGCCAAUGCUCCAAAGUCAAGUCCUCAAGCUACUGCUCCUCGUGUGAUGACUGACCGUGAACUGCUUAUAAGUCUUGACCAGAAGGUCGAUCGGAAUCACAAAUGGGUUAAGCGUCAGUUUGGCUCUAUUCUUCACAACAUGACUUCUACACAUAAUGCAGUGAAGAAAAACCACUACUACCUCCAUGAAGUGUUUGAUCGCACCUGGGCUAUUUUGUCACAUCUGGUGAAGAAGAUCUGAAGCAAAUGGGCUUCAAGGAAGACUUUGACUGGUCUGCACCUCCACCAAAGAAAUUUAAGAAGGUCAAGGUUCCUUCCUUGGUGGCCAGCUCAUAUUCUUCAUCACGCGCCAGGGAUGAGAAUGAAGACUUGGCCGACACUGCAGCAGGCCCUACAACGACUCAAGACCCUGACAAUGCUGGCGCUCCUCCAUCAUCAUGAUAUUCUUUAGGGGCGGUAGUCCUCAGUUUCAACCCUUUUGGUCAUUCGAUGACAAAGGGGGAGAAAUUUGAGUUAGUAUUCAAGCGGGUCUAUAUAUGGGCAUUUUUUUGCUAAGUUACAACUCUCGUUCUUCUGAUGACUUUGCUGGAUCGAGUUGUAAUCUUAAACUCUAUGGUGGCUUGAUACUUUUGCUGUGUUCUUCUGCAUGCUUAUUCCUCAUUAAUGUUAAUGCACGCAUGCUAAAUUACAUCAGUCACCAUAUUUCAUCAUGCAUUUCAAAUUCCUCAUAUUAUAUGUCAAAUGCGUGUAUGAAUUACAAGAUAUAGGGGGAGAUCUCCAUGAUUAUACUCUUCAAGUGUGCAUUGCUUCAAAAGCAAAUUCCUCAUGUUGCACAUCUUCAGGGGGAGUUCUUCUAUAUCUUGCAAUCAAAUUCCUCAACAUUAGUAUUUACACUUCACAUGUUUAUCCCCAUUGAAAACUUAACCUAUAUUGUCAUCAGUCACAAAAAAAGGGGGGGAUUGUAAGUGCAUCUAGAGCCCCUUAGUGAUUUUGGUGUAUUGAAGACUUAUAGGUUAAGGGACUGAUGCGUUUUUGUGAGUAUACACAGGUCUAUAAGUCUGUGAGGAGUUUGAUAUUUACAGAGAAAGUCAACCCCUAAAAAUGAAGUUCUUCAACUUAAGACUUUGGAUUUCUGAAGACUUUCCAAAGACUUUGAAAGUGAAGAAAUUGGUGUGACCUUGAAGACUUGGUAAUCAUUCGAGGAAUAUGAAGCAUGAAGACUUUUGUUUUUACUGUUUCAUUUUCUCUUUCUUGAGUCAUAGGAAACACCGUACUGUUCAAGGGGGUCGAGGAAAUACUAAGGAAAAAUUUCCAUGUGAUGCUCAACUCAAAAUCCUACACCUACCAAUCCCUUUCGAGUGAAGCCAUUGGAAAUCUCACACAGUUCAGUCAUAUUCUUCAGUGACAGAGAUGAAGUUCUUCUGGUCUCUGAGGGAUUUGUUCUGACUGAAGAGUUAGGAAUUUGCCAGUGCGGAUUGCCUACCAAGUGAGGAACAUGAUAGCCCUGAGGAAUUCGAUCCCCAACAUUCUGACCGUUGCUAUGCUACGCGCCAGCUGUCCCAAAAUAUCUACCCACCUAACGGUCAUAUCAAACAAGGGCAUUUAUGUCUUAUCAUGUCAGGCUGCUCCCUAGGCUAUAAAUAGCCGCCCCCUACAACCACUAGUUGGUUGGCUGCUCCGAGAGAAACUGACACUUGUCAUUUGAGAGCAACCCAUCCUCUGAGGACUUUGAGCGAAAAUCAUCAAGUGAGGAAAUCCCAAACCCAAACCUACAAAACCCCAAGUGAUUGAGCAUCAUUGGAGAGAUUGAUCCUGCGUGGAUCUGACGCUUGUUUCCUUUGAAGACUGUGCUUCUUCCAGAUGGUUAGGCGUCAAGGUCUAGAGCAUCCAAGAGGAAUUGUGGAUCACCGAGUGACCGAGUUUGUGACGGUUCGUAAGUCACCUGAAGACUUACCACGAGUGAUUGGGCGAGGUCUGUGUGACCUUAGCUCAAGAAGAAUACGGUGAGGACUGUAUGUCCGGGACUGGGUGUCCUCGAGUUUAAAUACUCAGCCGCUCCAACCAGAUGUACAACUGAGACAGUAGUUGGAACUGGUCUACCAAAUCAUUGUCUUUACCAAGCUAACUGGUUCUAUCUCCUCAACUCUUUCAUUUCCUCAUGUAUGUUGUUGCGUGUUUGUUCAUAUCUGUUUGAAGAUUUUGACUGAAGACUUUCUCAAUUUCCUCAGUUCUAUUUCUUCAGUUUGAUCGUCUUCUUCCUUGUGUUAUCCUGUGUUUACGCUUUCUGUACUCUGUGCUUGUCUUCAUUUCGUCAUGAUGACUAUGCUUGUGUUCUGUUAUGUUCCUUUCUGAGUACUUAUUCCACUGCAAGUAGUUCUUCAUUUAGAAAUUUCCUCACCAGCAAAUUCCUCAGUGAAGAAUUCAUAAAAAUCGCCUAUUCACCCCCUCUAGUCGAUAUAACGCACUUUCACUAUUGUAACCUACCUGCUUAUCCUAAACUACUAAGUAUAGGUUGGAUAGUGAUCCAUCAGUGACCCCUGCCUUGUCCAUGUUGCCCCUGCUUCAUCAUCAACGACUCAAUCAACGUGAUCGACGACCAGAGACCGACACAUCACUUCACCCCCUUAGAUGUACGCCUCUGCAUAGUUACUAUUGAGUUCCGAGGGUGAUACCUCGUAAUGCACUCCUGAUGAUAACUAUGUAGUGUAGCUAUUCGGUCGUGGUCAUCGAGGGUGAUUCCUCGUUCACCACUCUCGAUAUGACACUGUCGUGCAACCCCUCAAGUGUGACCCUCGAGGGUAAUUCCUCCUACGUCCACAUUGAUGAUUACAUCGAGUGGAAUCCACCAAGGGUAAUUCCUUGGGGUUUCCCCCUUGAUGUUUGGACACAUGGUUACCUUUACUUUACUUGAGACCUUCGUGAAAGUCUGGCGGGACCGUAGAGCACCCUCCAGAUAAUUAUGUGGCAUGACCGGGCAAUCUGGGCCCUUGCCGUAAGUCCACGAGCUAGGGUGACGGGGUCAGAUCGAUCGUGAGUCUAUGCUCGUCUCCGCAAGCUCCUAAUAAACUAAUGGUUUGGGUAUUUGUUCUGAGUUGGCCUCUAGUCUUUACGCACUAAUCACCACGUGGGAAUAGUUAUGGGCCUCGACGUGAGCCGAAGAUUUGUCAGACGUCUAGUUCAACAUUGUGGCACGGCUGGGUUGGCACCAUCCAUGUAGAGGUGGAGCCUGGACCCGUCCUGCAUGCAAUGACCCGGAGUGCAACGGGUGAUGGGCCCAAGACCCCGGAGUGCUUAGGAUGUACAUCGGUGGGGACCUCUCGGCUGAUCCUAGGUAGUGCUGCGACGUGUUGAUCUUCUGAGGCAUGUCAUUGACCUAGGAAAGUGUGUCCAGCUAGAGUAAUCAAGCGUGUUGGGAAAUGUGGUGCACCGCUGCAGGGAAGAUUAUCUAUUCAAAUAGCCGUGUCCAUGGUAAUGGACGUUUAGACUUGUAUCCUGGUCUAUUAUAACUAGAAAUGGAUACUUGAGAUAUGUGAUGGAUAUGUGGCUCCAGGAUUGCUUUCUUGUCGGGAGUCGAGGAAGACCUCUAGGCAUUGAUGUUACAACAUGCUUGUUAAAUAUAAACAUCUAUUCUAUACUCUUCUGAAUGUUGCAAGAUGCUUGGAGCUACUUGGAGAUGCUAGUCUUUGAUAUGCUAGGCCGUCCCCUCUAUUAUGGCAUUCUGCAGUUCGGUCCACAAAUAUAUCCCUUCCCUUGAUACCAAUGCAUACUUAGUAUAGAUUUGAUGCAUGCAAGUACUUUGGAUGAGUACUCACGUUUGCUUUGCUAGCCCUUCUCCCCUUCUGCUUCUUUCUUUCCGGUUGCUGUGACCAGAUGGCGGAUCCCAAGAGGUAGAUGCCAACCCCAUCGACUACUACUACUACCCCGAGGGUUCCUACUACUAUGUGGAGACCGCCGGCUACUAGGAUUAGUUAGGAGGUCCCAGGCAGGAGGACUUGCCUCUUCAAUCUUGAUGUUUGUGCUAUCCCACUUAAGGGAAACUUGUUUAACCUUAUGACUAUACUCAGAUAGUGUUGCUUCCACUGACUCUGUUGUGUUCGAGCUUCUUUAUUCGAGCCCUCGAGGCCCCUGGCUUGUAAUAUGAAGCAUAUAUUAUUUUAUUUGUGUCUAGAGUUGUGUUGUGAUAUCUUCCAGUGAGUCCCUGAUCUUGAUCCUACACAUUUGCGUGUAUGAUUGGUGUAUGGUCCAGUCGGGGGCGUCACAAGUUGGUAUCAGAGCUGACGACCUGUAGGAACAGCCUUUCCAACUCCUUGGCUGAAGUUGAGUCUAGUGUUUGAAAAAAUGAUUUAGUAACAUGGAUGUGCGGCUUACGGGCCCAUGUCGCCAUUGGAUGGUAUUAGGAUCUUUUAUUUCUCAUCUAUACUCUGGGAAUCUGAUCUCUCUUCUAUUCGGGUUAAAUGAAUUUGUUAACUCUAAGUCUAGGUUCUCGUAAAUACUUUCUCUGGAGAGCCCCUCUCUCCAGAUGAUUGCUUGGUGCACCAGAAGAUUCCGAAAAUACUCUCCGUUGUCCUGAGAAUUCUUUGAGCCUACUGCCUUGCAAUUAUUUGCCACAUGAAUACCCAUACGGAUAAUUACUCGCGCUUGCCGAGUAUCCGUCGUCCCCAAUUGUUCAUGUGUUUCACAAAAUUUCUUUGAAAUACAAUCUGAUCUUCCAAUAAUCCUCUGCUAACUAUUGCUCUGCAAAUAUUUGUCUGCUUGCAUUAUGGUUAUUUCCACAUGUCUAGCAAUAUUCAUUGAAAUUCCUUUGUGAUUGUUAUCCUGACCCUAUUGAUUCAACAUGUGCAAAUGCACGCAAUCAGUAGUCGAUCCUUAUAAAUUAUCUUUCCGGCUCAGGCGUCUUACCAAAAAUGAGUUGGUUCUCGACCAAUCAAAUUGCCAUCGAUUGUGCCCCUUAAGUCUAAUAAACUUAUCCGUCCUUGAUCGGAGCAUCUGCUUCUAAUCCUUCGUUUGGAAAUCAUAAUUCCUUCGAAUUUAAUCGUUAAAAUAUUCAAAUAUUCCAUAAUCUGAUGCCUUUGUAUUCCUUCCUCCUCUAGUUGAGUAUCGAUAUUCACAUCAGCUCCGUUGUGGAUUGCCAGAUCCUUUGUUGGAUUUUAUCUGACAAUGUAUUCCAUUUUCAAUAACCUUGUGAGCCUUUCCUCGGAUACAUAAUGCCUUUGGUAAAUUAUAUCCUCUGCUUUCUCAACCAUGCUCUACUCUUAAGCUGGUAUAAAUCACUCCUAAAAUUUGCGUUAUAUGUUCCUAAGAUUCCUCGAUGGGUUGAAUCUAUGUCUUCCCUAAAUCCGUGCGAACACGAAAAUUAUCCGGGUUAUACCCUAUUGGCUUUUCGUCAGGUAAAAUUUCAACGCUACAACUUCUUAGAAUGCGAGAAGUGAAUUGAAAGUUGUGCAUUAGAAAAGUGGGAGUCGACCUUGAACCGUUGUGUUCAUGCCCAUGGACCCGAUGUGGAACUUAUCAUGGAAGCUUCUUGUUAUAAUAAUAAUAAUAGUAAUAAUAAUAAUCCCCUUGUAGUAAGUUCAUCUUGUAUCUAUAAUUGGUCCUUUGCAACCGUGGUUCCGACCAUGUUGUUCUUCUGUAGUCCCCUUUCUUAGACAUGUUGAAGUACUUGUCUUCUGCAGAUCUUUUCACCUGUCCAAUCUCUAUCCUAUUCUACCUUCGAUAAUUACCCUCUGGUAUCUCAAAAAUAUCACGGAACUACAUAACUUCUUAUGAGUUCUUCAUGAACUAUUAUUUCUCGCCGAUUCAAAUUUUUCACGGGUUAUGAGUUGUUAGACACUCGAGGACACCAAGAAAAGACUCGGGUCUACACUUUCCUUUCCAUUGUUUUGUUUAACCUUUCUUAUAACCGAACAUAUCUAAGAAGUGAUAAUUCCCUGCUUAUGUAAACACCUCGAUGUACAAACUUUGUUAGUAAGACCUUAUUACGAUUGUUGAUGACAUUCCGGUAGCCACCGAUGGACGAGAACUUUGCCUAUUGCUCCGUCUCAUCUUAAUAAGCAGGAAAAUGGUUCUCUUCGUCCCUCGCGCUUGGUACCAACGUUGAUGCCAACAUAACUGAUAGGCUAUCCUCUAACGGGCCUUGCUAUCAGGUCCAUGCAAAAUGUUAGCACCCUUCCUGCUUUUAACCAACAUGGUGGGCCCAUAACCCACAAUUCCAUAGGAUCGAAACCUGACUCUCCUGUACAACCUUAAUUCCAAAAUAUUAUUUGCACUUGGCUUUGUGUGUAAUUCACAAGCUAACUUCCUCGCCAUGUUUCAUCACAGUAUCAGAGGCAACAUUCUUCUUCAUUGCUCUGAACCCCUUCAUCACCUGUUUCAGGCAUCAGCUGGAUGCCUACCUUGUGGAAAUUUGUUGAAACUCCUUAUAGCACUCUCGAUACAUUUCCUAGUGCUUCUAAGAUCUCCUUCCUUGAGAUAACUACUGGAUGCCGAUCCUUUCAAACAUCUAUCCUUACAACUUUUCCCUUAUACCCCAUUCGUAAGUAUGAUGGAAACCCCGAAGACAGGAUGACGACUUCAUCAUGAUGACCUGAAGCAAAAAAUGAAGACAUCAACAUAAUGGAUCGACCUCAUCGAGAAGAGCAACCAAGACUAAGAACACUCGCUAGAUUUUCGUAUCCGAUUCUUUCCCCUUAACUUCAACUCGAAAAUCUCGGGACGUGAUUUCUUGUAGUGGAGGAGAAUUGUGAUGCCGGAUAAUUAAGCUACAGUAACCUCUGCUAAUGAUGCCACAUCACCACUAUUGCUGUUGUUAAACUCGCGUUGAUUCGAAACCGAUUCAAAUUCAAAUUUAAGUUAAAAUCAAUAUUUAAAGUUUUCAUAAUGUCAAAACUAAAUUGUUCUAAAUGUGUCAAAUAAUCUAUAGAAAAUAUUGGUGGACAAACCAACUUUUUAUAAAAUGGUUUAGUGCCCUUAAAUAAAUAAACUGUGGCCAAAACAAUAAAUUAAAUGCCUUUUUGAUUUAAAAAAUGCUAAUCUAUUUUAGUUUAAGUGUCAAUCUUUUUGUGGCAGUGACCUAAUAUGCAAUGAUAAUGUUGGUGUAAGUCUCAUAUUUUAUAAACCUAAGAUGAUGUUGAAAAUUAAAAGAAAACAUAAAGCAAAAGCUAUGAAAAAAAAGAACACAUAAUGGAAAAUAAGAAGGGGACCUAAACCUACUGGACCCUUGGCUCUUUCAGCAAAACAGGUCCAGCCCACCCCUGCCAUCCCCAACCUCCUACUACAGGGAGGCAGGAGGGUCGUGGCACCCAUCGGCAGGCCAUGGCCGCGCCGUGCCUUGCGUGGAGGCCAUCCAUAGCCUCCCCUGGCCUACAAGGGCCCCACCUCCCUCUCGCUGGAAACCCUAGGACACUUUCCCCCUCGCCUCUCUCCCUCUCGCUCGAUCUCGAGCUCGUCAUCCACUGACAUCGCCGCGCCACUGUUGUUGUCGCCCACCGCAUCCACCCCGAGCCGCGCCUAGGUGACCAGGGGCUCCACCACGGUCGUCUCCGUCGCCUAAGGCCGCCCGUUGGAUUCCAGCGCCUCCGCAUCAAGCUCCUCGAUGUCGGAUUUAGCCCCUGCAUCGUCGGAUCCGUCGCCUUCUUCAAACUUCAGACACCGGAAAACUUCACCGAUCCCUACACCGACACUCCACCCCGGCGCCUCCUCGAGUGACUCCUCGUCAACGAUGUGAGCAGACGUCUAGAACCCCUCUGUUUCCGCAUUGAAUUCGUGCCCAUAGCCUAGCUUCCCGUCGCGCCCAAACCUCAUCGUCACCAUUGCCGUAGCUGCUAGUGUUGCUCCUACCAUGUUGCUCCUGGUAGUUGUCAUUGCUGUUGCUCUGCUACCGACCGAGCCUCUCAUCACAAGUCCCUGUCUGUUGCCGCGCCGCCUCCGCCCGGCCGCGCCACACGCCCAGCAUGCACGUUAGGUGGCACCCUGCCUCUAUCGCUCGCUCGUUGUGCCGCUGCUGCCUGCGGUACUGCUGCUGCUGCACUGCAGCCCAUUGCCGCGCCCGCCGGCGUGCAUCCUAGCCGCGCCACCCGCGCGAGCCCCGCCGGUGCCUUCCCGCACCUGCCUCGACGUGGCCCGCUGCUGCCGUAGUCGCUCGCCACCCUGCCCUGCGCGCCCAUCGCCUUGCCGACCCCUGGCCGCGGCUUGCCUCCCUGCUGUCAGCACUGCCCCGUUCCCUCGGGCCCCAGCCCGCACCCCACCGGCGCCCCGCCAUGGCCGUCGCCCCUUGUGGCUUCAGUCGCGAGUGCCCAUGCCCACUAUCCGUUAACGGCCCCGCUGGGUUAGCUUUGUGCCACUGCCAGCGCCCCCCAGCACCCUAGCCUUUUAAAAAAAGAUAUAAAAAUAUAAUUAAUUAACUUAAUUAAAAUGGUCUAAUUAAACUAAUUACAUAGUUAGACUAACUUAUCUGUAAUGAACUAAGUGUGAGUAUGACAGGGGGCGCACCCCCUAUUGACCAGUCAAACGUUGAUGGUCAACUAGGACCCCCUGGCCCACCUGUCAGCCACUGGGUGAACUUUUGUGUACCCUGUGCUGGGUGCGCCUAGCAAUUUAACCUUUAUUUUUUAACUAAGAGUAAUUUCAGAAUAUUGUUUUAAUCUUUGAAAAAUCAUAUAAAAUAAGUUGUAUCUCCGAUGAGAAUACUUUGUACAUGAAAGUUUCUCAUAAUGACGAGACGAAUCCAAAUACGUGGUCCUUUCACGCGCGACACGUCCCUAGCAUAGCGAACAUGCAACCUUCCCCUCUCUUUCAUCUAUCCGAAAAAUGCCUAACCCCGGAAAACUUUCUCGAAUGUUAUCCCCCUUCGUCGAUAUCGUGUAGCACCGCAUUAGAACACCCCUAGCCCUAUGUGUUACCCCGUCAUGCAUUUGUGUUGCAUCUAUUUGCAUUAUAUUUACUGUUUCUCCCCCCUCUUCUCUCCGGUAGACCCCGAGACCGCUGGUGAUGCCACUGUGAUCGACUACGUCAUUGACGACCCUUCUUCCCUUUCUACGGAGCUUCCAGGAAAGCCCCCUUUGGUAAUCGUGAUAUCGCCCAUUUCAUUCUCUCUCUUGCUUGCAUUAGAUUUUGCUAUUGUAAUAGAUUGCUCCUAUUCUGAUGCAUAGCCUGCUUUUGUACCUGCUAUUGUAACCUACCUGCUUAUCCUAAACUACUUAAUAUAGGUUGGAUAGUGAUCCAUCAGUGACCCCCACCUUGUCCUUGUUACCCCUGCUUCAUCAUCAACAACUCGAUCAACAUGAUCGAUGACCGGAGACCAACACAUCACUUCACCCCCUUUGUUGUACGACUCUGCAAAGUUACUAUCGAGUGACGAGGGUGAUACCUCGUAACGCACUCCUGAUGAUAACUCUGUAGUGUAGCUAUUCAGUCAUGGUCAUCAAGGGUGAUUCCGCGUUCACCACUCCCGAUAUGAAUCUGUCGUGCAACCCCUCAAGUGUGAACCUCGAGGGCGAUUCCUCCUACGUGCACCUUGAUGAUUACAUCGAGUGGAAUCCACCAAGGGUGAUUCCUUGGGGUUCCCCCUUGAUGUUUGGACACACGGUUACCUUUACUUUACUUGAGACCUUUGUGAAAGUCGAGCGGGCCCAGAGAGCACCCGCAAGAUAAUUACGUGGCAUGACUGGGCAUUCUGGGCCCUUGUCGUAAGUCCACGAGACGGGGCGACGGGGUCACAUCGAUCAUGAGUCUCUGUUCGUCUCCGCAAUCUCCUAAUACACUAAUGUUUUGGGUAUUUGUUCUGAGUUGGCCUCUGGCCUUUACGCACUAACCAUCACACGAGAAUAGUUAUGGGCCUCGGCGUCAUUAUAUAAGCUGAAGCUUGUCAGAUGUCUAGUUCAACAUUGCGGCACGGCUGGGACGGCACCAUCCAUGUAGAGGUGGAUCCUGGACCCGCCUUGCGCGCAAUGACCCAAAGUGCAACAGGAGAUGGGCCCAAGACCCCGGAGUGCUUAGGAUGUAGACCGGCGGGGACCUCUCUGCUGAGCCUAGGUAGAGUUGAGACGUGUUGAUCUUCCGAGGCUGGGCAUUGACCCAGGAAAGUGUGUCCGACCAGAGUAAUCAAGCGUGUUGGGAAAUGUGGUGCACCCCUGCACAAAAUAUUAUCUAUUCGAAUACCCAUGUCCACGGUAACGGGCGUUCAGACUUGUAUCAUGAUCUAUUAUAACUAGAAAUGGAUACUUGAUAUAUGUGAUGGAUAUGUGGCUCCGGGAUUGCUUUUUCGCCGGGAGUCGUGGAAGGACCUCUGGGCAUUAAUGUUACAACAUGCUUGUUAAAUAUAAACUACUAUUCUAUACUCUUCUGAAUGUUGCAAGAUGCUUGGAGCUGCUUGAAGAUGCUAGUCUUUGAUAUGCUAGGCCUUCCCCUAUGUUCUGGCAUUCUGCAGUUCAGUCCACAGAUAUAUCCCUUCCCUUGAUACCAAUUCAUACUUAGUAUAUAUUUGAUGGUUGCGAGUACUUUGGAUGAGUACUCACGGUUGCUUUUCUACCCCUUUUUUCCCUUCUGCUUCUUUCUUUCCGGUUGUUGCAACCAGAUGGCGGAUCCCAGGAGCCAGAUGCCAUCCUCGUCGACUACUACUACUACCCCUAGGGUGCUUACUAUUGCGUGGAGACUGCCGACUACCAGGAGUAGUUAGGAGGUCCCAGGCAGGAGGCCUUGCCUCUUCGAUCGUUGAUGUGUGUGCUAGCCUUCUUAAGGCAAACUUGUUUAACCUUAUGUCUUUACUCAGAUAUUGUUGCUUCCACUGACUAUUGUGUUCGAGCUUCUGUAUUCGAGCCCUCGAGGCCCCUGGCUUGAAAGAUGAAGCUUAUAUUAUUUUAUUUGUGUCUAGAGUUGUGUUGUGAUAUCGUCUAGUGAGUCCCUGGUCUUGAUCGUACACAUUUGCAUGUAUGAUUAGUGUAUGAUUGAAUCAGGGGCGUCACACAUACUUAAAGCAUCACAGGGAUAAACAAGCAGUGUGCAUGAAAGUGCCGGAAAAAAUGAAGAGAGAAACAAUGUGUGCACGGGUGUGUUUGUCUGUGUGAGAGAGAGAGAGAGAGAGAGAAAUCCCAAAACAAAAUGUGCUUUCUGGAAUCCCAUUGGAUGUAUUCAUAUGGUUCCGGGACUCGAGUUAACCUUACGCAUAUGUGUGCGAGACAUAGUUUUAAUUUGAGACAUUAGUGGUGGUGGGUGGGCGAAUUAAAGGGGGUGGGCGUGUUCGACAGAGAGAGCGUGUGUGUUUUUGUGUGAGAGACUUGUAGGACGUUGUAGAAAGAUGAAUUCUAACCUUGACGCAGGGAGAGAAAUACACGAAGUGAGCGUGUGUGAUUUUGAUGCCCACGGAGAAAUGAUAUGUAUGCGUGUGAGAGAGAUUGCACAAUUCGUUCAUGUAUCAUUAUCUAGCAAUCGUGGAUGUGCAUCACUUGAACGUAAUCAAUAUCUACUUCGUAUCGUGGCCGAAGAUACAAUAUUGAUUCAACGAUGUAAAGAUUGGACACUCACAUAUCGCAUUUUUUUCAAAUAGUCUUUUUCAAUUGUGCAUGCCAAAGUUAUAGUGAUGAUUCUUUAAACAACCACUGUAGUUAUAAUGUACAUGCACCAUUGUUAGUUUUGCAUUCAAAUUCAUUUGUCUUGGAUGAUUUAAGGUUCUAUUACGAAGUUAUUCAUAUAUGAAUUCAACGGGUACGCAAUUUAUGAAAUGGAGGCCAUGUAACCAUAUGAGGUACCACUUUUAAGUAGCAAACUACAAUAUCCAUUUCUUUUUGUGCAUCUAUAUUAUCCAUUUGUUACCAUGAAAUAUAAUUAAAAUUAACACGUCAAUGCGUUGUGUUUAAAAUAAAUGAGCAAUGGAACUAAAUUAUAUAUUUACACGAGAAAUACAUAGGCUAAGUGUUUGAUCCUUUUUUGUGAACGCGCCUCUACACCCGUACGAUUGGCUGCUGCUACUUCUUGAGAUUGCGUUGGUUUUUCCCUUGAAGAGGAAAGGGUGAUGCAACACAGUAGAGAUAAGUAUUUCCCUCAGUUCAGAACCAAGGUAUCAAUCCAGUAGGAGAAUAACGCAAAUCACCAAUACCUGCACAAACAAUCAAACACUUGCACCCAACGCGAUAAAGGGGUUGUGAAUCCCUUCACGCUCACUUUCAAAAGUGAGAUCUGAUAGAGAUAUAUAAAUAGAACUAAACAAAAAGAUAAAAUAUUUUUUGGUUUUUUGGUUUAUAGAUCUGAAAAUAAAACAUUACAAAAUAGUAGAUCAGAAACUAACAUGAUGGAAAAUAGACCCAGGGGCCAUAGGUUUCACUAGAGGCUUCUCUCAUGAAGGUAAAUAAUACGAUGGGUGAACAAAUUACUGUCGAGCAAUUGAUAGAAAAACACAAAGUUAUGAAGAUAUCUAAGGCAAUGAUUAUGCAAUAUAGGCAUCACGUCCGUGUGAAGUAGACCAAAACGAAUAAGCAUCUACUACUAUUACUCCACACAUCGGCCGACUCCUGCUUGCAUCUAGAGUAUUAAGUUCAUAAGAACACAGUAACACAUUAAGUAAGAUGACAUGAUGUAGAGGAACUAACUCAAGUAAUAUGAUGAAAAUCCCAUCUUUUUAUCCUCGAUGGUAACAAUGCAAUACGUGUCUCGCUACCCCUACUUUGUCACUGGGUGAAGAUUGAACCCAAAGCUAAGCACCUCUCCCAUUGCAAGAAAUACCAAUCUAGUUGGCCAAACCAAACCGAUAAUUCGAAGAGAAAUACAAAGACACCAAAUCAUGCAUAUAAGAAUUCAGAGGAGAUUCAAAUAAUAUUCAUAGAUAAGCUGAUCAUAAAUCCACAAUUCAUCGGAUCUCGACAAACACACCGCAAAAGAGUAUUACAUCAGAUAGAUCUCCAAGAACAUCGAGGAGAACAUGGGAUUGAGAAUCAAAGAGAGAGAAGAAGCCAUCUAGCUACUAGCUAUGGACCCGUAGGUCUGAGGUGGACUACUCACGCUUCAUCGAAAGGCAAUAGAGUUGAUGUAGAUGCCCUCCGUGAUUGAAUCCCCCUCCGGCAGGAUGCCGGAAAAGGCCCCAAGAUGGGAUCUCAUGGGAACAGAAGGUUGUGGCGGUGGAAAAGUGUUUUUGUGGAUGCUUCUGAGGGUUUGGGAAUAUAUGUGAAUAUAUAGGAGGAAGAACUAGGUCAGGGGACCCCCUGGGCGCGCCCUCCGCCCUUGCCACCACCUCGUGGCUCUUCUGGCUUGAACUCCAAGUCUCCUGGGUGUCUUCUGCUCCAAGAAAAAUCAUCGUAAAGUUUUAUUCCGUUUGGACUCCGUUUAGUAUUCCUUUUCUGCGAAACUCAAAAACAAGGAAAAACAGAAACUGGCACGGGGCUCUAGGUUAAUAGAUUAGUCCCAAAACUAAUAUAAAAUAGCAUAUUAAUGCAUAUAAAACAUCCAAAACAGAUAAUAUAGCAUGGAAUAAUAAAAAAUUAUAGAUACGUUGGAGACGUAUCAACCAUCCCCGAGCUUAAUUCCUGCUCAUCCUCGAGUAGGUAAAUGAUAAAAACAUAAUUUUUGGUAUGGAAUGCUACCUUUAUCCAUGCAAUUUUAUUCAUUGUGGCAUGAAUGUUCAGAUCCGUAAGAUUCAAAACAAAAGUUUAAUAUUGACACAAAAACAAUAAUAUUUCAAGCAUACUAAUAAAGCAAUCACGUCUUCUCAAAAUACCAUGGCUAAAGGAAGCUAUCCCUACAAAAUCAUAUAGUCUGGCUAUGCUCCAUCUUCAUCACACAAUGUAUUCAAAUCAUGCACAACCCUGAUUUUAGCCAAGCAAUAAUUUCAUGCUUUAGUAUUCUCAAACCUUUUCAACUUUCACGCAAUACAUGAGCAUGAGCCAUGGACAUGAGCAUGAGGUGGAAUAGAAUAUGGUGGUUGUGGAGAAGACAAAAAGGAGAUAGUCUCACAUCACCUAGGCAUAUCAACGGGUUAUGGAGAUGACCGUCAAUAGAUAUCGAUGUGAGUGAGUAGGGAUUUCCGUGCAAUGGAUGCACUAGAGCUAUAAUUUUAUGAAAGCUCAAAAAGAAACUAAGUGGGUGUGCAUCCAACUUGCUUGCUCAUGAAGACCUAGGGCAUUUGAGGAAGCCCAUCAUUGUAAUAUACAAGCCAAGUUCUAUAAUGAAAAAUUUCCACUAGUAUAUGAAAGUGAAAAAAUAGGAGACUCUCUAUCUGAAGAUAAUGGUGCUACUUUGAAGCACAAGUGUGGGAAAAAGAUAGUAAAUUGCCCCUUCUCUCUUUUCUGUCAUUUUUUUGAAUGGCUUCUUUGGCCUCAUUUUUAUAUUUUCUCAUAUGGGACAAUGCUCUAAUAAUGAUGAUCAUCACACUUUUAUAUACUUACAACUCAAAAAUUACAAAUCAAUACUAGAACAAAAUACAACUCUAUAUGAAUGCCUCUGGCGGUGUACCGGGAUGUGCAAUGAUUCAAGAGUGACAUGUAUGAAAGAAUUAUGAACGGUGGCUUUGCCACAAAUACUAUGUCAACUACAUGAUCAUGCAAAGCAAUAUGACAAUGAUGAAGCGUGUCAUAAUAAACGGAACUGUGGAAAGUUGCAUUGCAAUAUAUCUCGGAAUGGCUAUUGAAAUGCCAUAAUAGGUAGGUAUGGUGGCUGUUUUGAGGAAGGUAUAUGGUGGGUGUAUCGCACCGGCGAAAGUUGCGCGUUACUAGAUAGGCUAGCUAUGGUGGAAAUGUGAGAGUGCAUAUAAUCCAUGGACUCAACAUUAGUCAUAAAGAACUCACAUACUUAUUGCAAAAAUCUAUUAGUCAUCGAAACAAAGUACGAUGCACAUGCUCCUAGUGGAAGGGUUGGUAGGAGUUAACCAUCGCCUGAUCCUUACCUCCACACAAAGGAUGACAAUCAAUAAAUAAAUCAUGCUACGACUUUGUUACAUAACGGUUCACCAGACGUGCUAGUAUUCAAUGCACUUUAUAUUAAAGUUUUUAUUAUAUACCUCUUGGUUGCCUAUCAUAUUAGGACUAAAUUCAUAACCUAAGCAAAUUACCAUGCUGUUUAGAGAGACUCUCAAAAUAAUUUAAGUGAAGCAUGAGAGUUCAACAAUUUCUAUAAAAUAAAGCCACCACCAUGCUCUAAAAAGAUAUAAGUGAAGCACUAAAGCAAAAUUGCCUAGCUCAAAAGAUAUAAGUGAAGCACAUAGAGUAUUCUAAUAAAUCACUACUCAUGUGUGUCCCUCUCAAAAGGUGUGUACAGCAAGGAUGAUUGUGGCAAACUAAAAAUCAAAGACUCAUAUCAUACAAGAUGCUCCAAGCAAAACACAUAUCAUGUGGUGAAUAAAAAUAUAGCCUCAAGUAAAGUUACCGAUGAACAAAGAUGAAAGAGGGAUGCCAUCCGGGGCAUCCCCAAGCUCAGGCUCUUGGUUGUCCUUGAAUAUUACCUUGGGAUGCCUUGGGCAUGCCAAAGCUUAGGCUCUUGCCACUCCUUACUCCGUAGUCCAUCGAGGGUUUACCCAAAACUUGAAAACUUCACAACACAAAACUCAACAGAAAAUCUUAUGAGAUCCGUUAGUAUAAGAAAUCAAAUCACCACUUAGUUACUGUUGUAAACUCAUUCUAAAUUUAUAUUGGUGUUAUAUCUACUUUAUUCCAACAUCUCCAUGGUUCAUACCCUCCUAUACUACUCAUAUAUUCAUCAGAAUAAGCAAACAACACAUAAAAAACAUAAUCUGUCAAAAAACGGAACAGUCUGUAGUAAUCUGGAACGUUCCAUUCCUCUGUAACUCCAAAAAUUCUGAAAACUUAGGACAACAUAGAAAAUUUGUAUAUAAAUCUUGUGUAAAAAAUUCAGAUCAAAUUCACGUUCCAGUGAAUUUUCAAAAUUCUUAUACUUGGAGCAAAAGUUUUUGUUUUUGCACAGAAUCAAGUCAACUAUCAUCCACACUCUCCCAAAGGCUUUACUUGGAUCUUUAUUGAAACAAAAGCUACAAAGCAUGAUUACUACAGUAUCUUAAUCAUGUUAACACACAAAAACAGUAGGGGUAAAUAUUGGGUUGCCUCCCAACAAGCUCUUUUCUUUAAUGCCUUUUAGCUAGGCAUGAUGAUUUCAAUGAUGCUCGUAUAAAAGAUAAGAAUUGAAACAUAAAGAGAGCAUCAUGAAGCAUAUGACUAGCACAUUUAAGUAGAACCCACUUCCUAUGCAUAUGGAUUUUGUGAGCAAACAACUUAUGGGAACAAGAAUCAACUAGCAUAGGAAGGCAAAACAAGCAUAACUUCAAAACUUUCAACACAUAGGGAAGAAACUUGAUGUUAUUGCAAUUCCUACAAGCAUAUAUUCCUCCAUCAUAAUAAUUUUCAGUAGAAUCAUGAAUGAAUUCAACAAUAUAACCAUCACAUAAAGCAUUAUUUUCAUGAUGCACAAACAUAGAAAUUGUAUUACUCUCCACAUAAGCAAAUUUCUUCUCAUGAAUAGUAGUGGGAGCAAGCUCAAAAAAUAACUAUCAUGUGAGGCAUAAUCCAAUUGAAAAUUAAAAUCAAGAUGACAAGUUUCAUGGUUAUCAUUAUUCUUUAUAGCAUACAUGUCAUCACAAUAAUCUUCAUAGAUAGCAACUUUGUUCUCAUAAUCAAUUGGAACCUCUUCCGAAAUAGUGGAUUCAUUACUAAAUAAAGUCAUGACCUCUCCAAAUCCACUUUUAUCAAUAUAAUCAUCAUAAAUAGGAGGCAUGCUACCAUCAUAAUAAAUUUGCUCAUCAAAACUUGGGGGACUAAAAGUAUCAUCUUCAUCAAACAUAGCAUCCCCAAGCUUGUAGCUUUGCAUAUCAUUAGCAUCAAGGCAUUCAAGGAAUUCAUACUAACAACAUUGCAAUCAUGCUCAUCAUACAAAGAUUUUAUGCCAAACAUUUUAUAGGCUUCUUCUUCUAACACUUGAGCACAAUUUUACUUUCCAUCAUUUUCACAAAAGACAUUAAAAAGACGAAGCAUAUGAGGCAACCUCAAUUCCAUUUUUUGUAGUUUUAUUUUAUAAACUAAACUAGUGAUAAAACAAGAAACUAAAAUAUUCGAUUGCAAGAUCUAAAGAUAUACCUUCAAGUACUAACCUCCCCGGCAACGGCGCCAGAAAAGAGCUUGAUGUCUACUAUGCAACCUUCUUCUUAUUGACUCGUGUUGGGCCUCCAAGCGCAAAACUUGUAGGACAGUAGCAAAUUUCCCUCAAGUGGAUGACCUGAGGUUUAUCAAUCCGUGGGAGACGUAGGAUGAAGAUGGUCUCUCUCAAACAACCCUGCAACCAAAUAACAAAGAGUCUCUUGUGUCCCCAACACACCCAAUACAAUGGUAAAUUGUAUAGGUGCACUAGUUCGGCGAAGAGAUGGUGAUACAAGUGCAAUAUGGAUGGUAGAUAUAGGUUUUUGUAAUCUGCAAAUAUUAAAACAGCAAGGUAGCAAGUGGCAAAAGUGAGCGAAAAUGGUAUUGCAAUGCUUGAAACAAGGCCUAGGGUUCAUACUUUCACUAGUGCAAGUUCUCUUAACAAUGAUAACAUAAUUAGAUCAUAUGGCAAACUUAAAGUUCACACUUAAGUUGAUCACCAAAAUAAACAUCAAGUGGAUCACGUGAAGAUCCAACUAUAGUAGCAAAGCUUGCGGUACAUCAAGAUUGUGCCAUAUCAAGAACACAAGAGAGAGAGAGAGAGAGAGAGAGAGAGAGAGAGAGAUCAAACACAUAGCUACUGGUACAUACCCUCAGCCCCGAGGGUGAACUACUCCCUCCUCGUCAUGGAGAGAGUCGGGAUGAUGAAGAUGGCCACCAGUGAUGGAUUCCCCCUCCGGCAGCAUGCCAGAACCGGCUCUCGAUUGGUUGUUUGUGGCUACAGAGGCUUACGGCGGUGGAACUCCCGAUCUAGGUUUCUUUUCAGGGGUUUAUGUAUUUAUAGGAAUUUUUGGCGUCGGUUUCACGUAAGGGGGGUCCACGAGUCAACGCAAGACUGGAGCACCCUCCCGGGGGGUAGGGUGUGCCCUCCACCCUUGUGGUUGACUCGGGACUCUCCUGGCCCAAAUCUUUUGCUUCGGGGGCUUCUUCUAGACCAUAAAAAUCACCGUAAAAAUUUAGGUCAUUUGGACUCCGCUUGGUAUUCCUUUUCUGUAGAACUCAAAAACAAGGAAAAAAACAAAAACUGGCACUGGGCUCUAGGUUAAUAGGUUAGUCCCAAAUAUCAUAUAAAAUAGCAUAUAAAACAUCCAAGAUGGAUAAUAUAAUAGCAUGGAACAAUAAGAAAUUAUAGAUACGUUGGAGACGUAUCUGGUCGCUAGUACAUGUUAUGCAGCUCGCAAGAACUACAAGGAUGAUGUUUCUUAUGGAUCUAACGGCUUGGCCAACCAAGAUCCUGGACUGAGGCAUUGCUAUGAUCUUGUAAGUGCGUCUCUCUCUUGUAUUGUUGUGUGCCUGCCAGCAUGCUUUGCUAGGAUUUUUGACCAGUAAUCCCUUUGUGCAACCAAUGAUUUCCACUACUGGCUGCUAAAUUAGAGAUGUAGAUAUCAUACAUGAUACUCCCUCCGUUCCUAAAUACAAGUCUUUCUAGAGAUUCCACUAUAGACUACAUACAGAUCAAAAUGAGUGAAUCUACACUCUAAAAUGCAUCUAUAUACAUCUGUAUGUGGUCCAUAGUGGAAUCUCUACAAAGACAUAUAUUUAGGUACAAAGGUACUACAUUACACAAAAUUGUAGGUGGCAUGUAGGAAUUCCAGUGAACUACAUUAGGCUCCCUUAGAGUGCGUGCUAGUCUAGUACACAGAGUCAUGGCUAGUUUAUGCUACGGCUAUGCACACAAUCGUUAAUUGGUGGUUUAAAUAUGCGCAAGGGAUAUGCAAUGUAUUAUCAUGUAGAGAUAUUUCAAAUUAGCCGUGUCAACCUGCAGAUGGGGUGCCACAACGAAAAGAUACAAGAUUUCUUAAUACAAGAUGUAUGCGGCAAUUUCAUGGAACAUCGCAAAAAAAAGGAGAGGCAGUGGUGAGUCUAUACAGUGUGCUAUGGUAGGUCACUCCAUUGCAAUCAUCGUGACAUGUUAUUUAUAUGUCAGUGCUAUUGGCCAGGGUUCUUAGGGACAGUUAUUUCGAGUUAUCUUAAGAAGAUAAGCCCCUUUGAAUAUAAGCUCCAGAUAAUAAGCCAACCAGUUCUUUUCAUUGCCUGAUUUCAGCUUAUUUGUGGUAUGAUCAGUGAAAAGUAUAGAUUGCAUUAUAUUUUGUCAUUUUGCUGCCCAUAUGAAAAUUAAUUUGACUUGCAAACAUCACAAAUUGAACCCAGUGCAGUAAUUAAUAUGAUAGGAAAACAAACCAUCAACAUUUGUUCAAAAUGCAAAUACAAAGAUACCAUCUACUUGGCACAAUCUGCUUUGGUCAUUGUCUUCCAUAGAGAACCCAUUGCCUAAUUUAAACAAAGAAUGCAUGGAUAAAUUUAAAUGUAGAACCAUUAUUUAUCAAAUUUCGAUGGUCAAAGUGGCUGGUUAUUAUCAUACAACAGCACCACCCGAAAGCGUCAUAUAGCAGCAGCUCAUAGCAACUCAUCAUACAGCAGCAGCAAUAGCUAGCAAUUCAUCAUAUACCAGUAGCAGCUCAUGGCAAUUCCUCAUAUAGAAGCAACAUGAGCAGCUCAUAGCAAUUCAUCAUAUAGCAGCAGGAGGAGAAGCUUAUAGCAACUCAUCAUAUAGCAGCAGCAGCUCACAGCAAUUCAUCAUAUAGCAGCAGCAGGAGCAGCUCAUAGCAAUGCAUCAUAUAGCAGCAACAGCUCGUAGCAAUUCAUCGUAUAGCGGACUAGAAUGAAAAUUUGGCAAAAAUCAGAGGAGAUCCUCACCUUGUUGGAUGACCUCAACCUGCAACAGCACCUCAAGGCCACAACCUAGGAGGAGGGGAGGGGGAACGAGAUGCCUUCUGCUGGAGUGGGGCAUCGGCCGUAGUUGUGCGGCAACCGCCUGAGUAGUGCGCUGGAUGGACCAUAGCGGAGCAAUUGCUGGAGACCAUGAGAAUGAGGGGCAGCGCAAGAGGGAGGGGCAGCCGGGGAGAUUGGGCCCUACCUGCCGGCCAUGUAGCCUAGCUAGAUAGUGCAUCAUCGAGGAGCAGGCCAGAUGGGACCAGUCGCGGCGGCUCUCUGGAGGAACCCUAGCGCUGCAGGUAGGGGAUCGAGGUAGAGGGAAAGGAGAGGGGAGAUGCAAGCGGGCAAGGCAAUGAACGCUUGUGUGUUUGGUUUUACUAGAGGCUCAGGUGUGACAUGGGCGUGAGCAGUGGAAUUUUGAGUGUAAUGUAGACCAACAACCGAGUCAUUUCGCUAUUCCCCUUCCGUUCAUUUUUCAGUGAGCUUCUACGCGAAGCACCCCCCCCCAAGCGAAAUAAGUUAAGGCCAAGACCAUAACUCAAAAAUGAGUUCUUUACAUAUUUUAUGGCUUAUUUUGACAAUAAACUUUGAAAAGUCAGAAUAGAACUGGCCCUUAACCUGCAAUUCAAUUGUGCGUAUAAUGAUGAAUCACUUCUACCUGCUAUAGUGUACAUUUAGGCAUCAUACAUGGCAUAACCUAAUACGUGUGCAUUUCAUUAUAGAAUCUGAAAUAUGAAAUGUUUAUGUUAGUUCAAAUGUUGCACAUGAUGUUUAAAUGCCCCUUAAGUCUGGUCAUUCAAGUGAUGGUCUUUAAGCCUCCUUCUAUGCUUCUUUUCUUGAUAUGUAAUUCAGUUUUGUGCAAGAUUUGCUAACACAUUUGUUCAAUUGCUUGUUUUUAUCAGCCAACUAUACUAGGACUGUUUGCUUCGAUUACUUGUUGUUCUUGACCUAACAGAACUUGUCAAUGAUUUAAACACUAAGGGUUGCUGUAGUGGGGUCUUGUAUAACUCAUAGGUGACAUAAAGGUUUGGCUGUACACUAAAGUAUGCUCUCCAAGAGUACCUGGAGGUCCAGUUCGAAGGUAUGCCUGGUUUUUGCACAAGGCACACAUAAUAAAUGCUCAUUUCAUUGUCAGGAGAUGUGUCAUGUUUCAUUAUGUGGUGUCAUUUUGUUAUAAACUCAUCCUUUGGUGUUGUUCACAAACUGGAAAGUAUGCAUAUUUAUCUUCCAAGGAGACUAAUACGUCUCCAUCAUAUCUACUUUUCCUAACGCUUUUCCUCUUGUUUUGGACUCUAAUUUGCAUUAUUUGAAUGAAAAUAACUCGGACUAACGUUGUUUUCAGCAGAACUACCAUGGUGUUGUUUUUGUGCAAAAAUAAAAGUUCUCCGAAUGGCACGAAAAUUUUUGGAGAUUUUUUAUGGAAUAAAAUAAAAAUACUGGAGCCAAGAACCACCGGAGGGGGGCCCUGGGUGAGCACCACCCACCAGGGUGCGCCCCCCUCCUAGCGCGCCUAGGUGGGUUGUGCCCACCAGGUGGCCCCACAGACCCUGAUUCCAACUCAAUAAAAUCCUAUUUUCAAACAAAAAAAUCAAGGAGAAAGAAUCAUCGCAUUUCACGAGACGGAGCCACCGCCACCUCCAGUUCUUCAUUGGGAGGCUAGAUCUGGAGUCUGUUUGGGGCUCCGGAGAGGGGGAUCUUCGAUCUUUGUCAUCACCAACCCUUCUCCAUCGCCAAUUCCAUGAUGCUCCCCACUGGGAGUGAGUAAUUCAUUCAUAGGCCUGCUGGUUGGUGAGGAGUUAGUUUUGUUAGGGCUUGAUCCCGAGUGUCCAUUAUGUUCUGAGAUUGAUGUUGCUAUGACUUUUCCAUGCUUAAUGCUUGUCACUUUGGGCCCGGGUGCCAUGAUUUCAGAUCUGAACCGUUUAUAUUAUCACCAUUAUAUCUAUGUUCUAGAUCCGAUCUUGCAAGUUAUAGUCACCUAUUACGUGUUAUGAUCCGCAAACCCCGGAGUGAUAGUAGUCGGGAUACUUUCCGGUGAUGGCCGUAGUUUGAGGAGUUCAUGUAUUCAGUAUGUGCUAAUGCUUUGUUCUGGUUCUCUAUUAAAAGGAGGCCUUAAUAUCCCCUAGUUUCCAUAUGGACCCUGCUGCCACGAGAGGGUAGGACAAAAGAUUUCAUGCAAGUUCUUUCCAUAAGCACGUAGGACAAUUUACGGAAUACAUGUCUACAUUAUAAUUAUGAACUGGAGCUAGUGCCGUAUCGCCCUUGGUUAUGACUGUUAUAUGAUAUAUAUCAUCCAACAAAUUCACCGAUCCAAUGCCUAUGAAUUUAUCUUGUAUUGUUCUUGCUAAGUUAUUACUGCUACUAUUACUGCUACACUUGCUACAAAAUCAUGUCUAUCACUUUACCAUUACUAUUGUUGUUGCUACUACUAUCAAAGUUAUCAUAUUACUUUCCCACUGAUCAUAUUGCUGCAGAUAAUUAAUCUCUAGGUGUGGUUGAAUUGAAAACUCAGAUGUUAAUACUUGCAAAUAUUCUUUGGCUCCCCUUGUGUUGAAUCAAUAAAUUUGGGUUGAAUACCCUACCAUUGAAAACUGUUGUGAUUCCCUAUACUUGUGGGUUAUCAUGACCUUUUUCUGGCGCCGUUGCUGGGGAGCAUAGCUAUAUUUGCUGAGACACUUGGGAUCAUUAUCAAUUUAUCACUGUGAAGAAUAUGAAGGAUACCAAGACUAAAAUAUUUCCCUCUAAGACGAGGGGAGGUAAGGAACUACCAUGUAGCUCUGCACUUGAUUCACCUUCUAUUUUGAGUAAACUUGCAACAACACCACAUGCUAUUAAUUUUGAUAUGUCGCAAGUUAUUGAUGAUGCUACUUCCACUAUGGAUAAUGCUUGAGGCUAGUACCUUGUUUGAUGAUGGUGUGCCACUAGGUUAUUUUCUUGAUGGACAAAUUGCUAGAGCCAAAGACAAUGAAAUUACUAUAACUGGUAAAAUACCUAAAUCUGAAAAGCUUGAUACACCUAUUAGACCUAGUCCUCCUAGAUAUGAAUUGCCUAAGAUACUGGAAGGUUAUGUUAUGGAUGAGGAGACAACUAGAGACUUUCUUGCUUGUAAUGAUAGAGAUGAUCUUAAGAAAUUACUAUGCAAAUUGAAAGAAAAUUCUUUGAAUGCUAGAAUGAAAUGUGAUCCUAAGUUUGCUACUUCACCUAUCUUUGUUGAUGAUAGGGAUUAUGAAUUCUCUGUCGACCCAGAGUUAGUUAAUUUGGUUGAAUCUGAUCCUUUCCAUGGUUAUGAAACUGAAACUGUUGUGGCACACCUCACUAAGCUAAAUGAUAUAGCCACUCUAUUUGCUCAUGAUGAGAAGAUUCACUACUAUCAUAUUCUCAAGUUAUUCCCAUUCUCAUUAAAGGGUGAUGCUAAGAUUUGGUAUAAUACUCUUGCUCCUGGUUGUGUGCGCAGUCCCCAGGAUAUGAUUUAUUACUUCUCUGAAAAAUAUUUUCCUGCUCAUAAGAAACAAGCUGCCUUAAAGGAAAUAUUUAACUUAGUGCAAAUUGAAGAAGCGAGUCCCCCACAAGCUUGGGGGAGGCUUCUCCAAUUGCUCAAUGCUUUGCCAGAUAAUCCUCUCAAGAAAAAUGAAAUACUUGAUAUCUUCUAUAAUGGACUAACUCAUGCUUCUAGGGACUUCCUAGAUAGUUGUGCUGGUUGUGUUUUCAGGGAACGAACUGUUGAACAAGAUGAAGAAUUAUUGAAUAAUAUAUUGAAAAAUUAUGAUGAUUGGAUCCUUCCUGAACCACAGCAUAAACCCACUCCAAAGAAGAGGGGUAUCUUAUAUCUCAGUCCGGAAGAUAUGCAAGAGGCAAAGAAAUCUAUGAAGGAAAAAGGUAUUAAAGCAGAGGAUGUUAAAAAUUUACCUCCUAUUUAAGAGAUACAUGGGUUUGACACACCACCACCCAAGGUGGUAGAGGUAAACCCCUCAAUGAAAUUUAAUGAAAAGGAUAAUCCUUAUAAUAUGCAUCCUAGUCAAUGCCUUCCCGAGUUUGAUAUUUAUAUUAGAAAGCAAGAUCACUUCACUGAAAAUGUUAUGAAACAAUUGAAAUACAAAUAUGAUAUGAUUGCUCGUUUGAGUGACUUGUUCUUUAGAAUCUCUAAUGAUGUUAGAGGUGUAGGAAAACAUGCUUCUAUGGUUCAAAUUCAAUUAGAACAAGUUGCUAAAUCUGAAAGAGAGUUGCUAGAUGAAAUGAAUAAUAAUAUCAAUGAUCAUGCUAUUAGAGUAAUAAAUAGAGGAGGUAGAAUGACUCAGGAACCACUUUAUCCUGAAGGUCACCCUAGAAGAAUUGAACAAGACUCUCAAUGAGUUAACACUGAUGCACCUAAUCCAAAGAAAAAGGGAAAUGAUAGGACUUUGCAACCUGAAACAGAAAAACCUCCUAAAGAUAGUAAUGAUGUUUCUAUCUCUGAUGCUGAAACUCAAUCUGGUAAUGAACAUUCACCUAGUGAUAAUGAAAAAUACAAUGAGGAAUUCAUGAAGACACUAAACCAAACAAUGUAAAGAACCAGAUAAUGAUGUUGAGAUAGAACCAGCUAUUGAUCUUGAUAACCCACAACCUAAAAAUAAAAGAUAUGAUAAAAGAGACUCUGUGGCAAGAAAACAUGGAAGAUAAAGAGAACCAUGGGUUCAAAAACCCAUGCCCUUUCCACCUAAAUCAACUAAGAAGAAAGAUUAUGAAGAAUUUGAACGCUUUGCUGAAAUACUUAGGCCAGUCUUUUUGCACACUCGAUUGACUAAUAUCUUAAAAAUGGCACCUUAUGCAAAGUACAUGAAAGACAUCAUUACCAAUAAAAGAAAGAUACCUGAAGCUGAAAUCUCCACCAUGCUUGCUAAUUAUUCUUUAAAGGAUGGAAUGCCUAAAAAACUUGGAGAUCCUGGAAUACCAACUAUACCUUGCUCCAUCAAAAGAAACUAUGUUAAAACUGCUUUGUGUGAUUUAGGAGCCGGUGUUAGUGUUAUGCCUUUCUCCUUAUAUAAAAGAGUUGAUUUGAAUAAACUCACACCUACUGAAAUAUCUUUGAAAAUGGCUGACAAAUCAACUGCUAUACCUAUCGGUAUUUGUGAGGAUGUGCCCAUUGUUGUUGCAAAUGUUACUAUCUUAAUUGACUUUGUCAUACUUGAGAUGCCCAAGGACGACAAUAUGUCGAUUAUCCUUGGUAGACCCUUCUUGAAUAUUGUAGGGGCUGUUAUUGAUUGCAAUAAAAGCAAGAUCACUUUUCAUAUCAAUGGUAAUGAGCAUAUAGUGCACUUUCCAAAGAAACAAUUCCAAGUGAAUGGUAUUAAUGUUAUUGAAAAAUCUCCGACAAUCACUAUUGGAAGUUUUCAACUACCUCUACCUACUAGCAAAAAGAAAUAUGAGUUGCUUAUUUUUGGGGAUGUGCACAUCCCUGUUGAGGCAACCUAGUGUUUUACGAAGGUUCUUCCGUUUCAUGCUAAUCGAAAGUGGUUGUUAAUAAGACUUGAUCAACCUUAUUAAUGGAUCAUUUUUGAGAGGUAUGAAGUUGAUGAAUUUAGUGAACACUACCUUUUUUCCUUACCUUUUAUUUUCUAUUUUUCUUAGUUAAAUAAAAUAAAAUGCCAUGUUUAUCCUGUUUUCUGUAUUUCUCGUGUAAUAAAAAUGAUCCAAAAAUAAAUGUUCUCAGAAUGCCCUGAAAAUUUGAUACGUUUUUUUCUGAAUAUUUAAGAAUUUUUGAUGCAAAUAACAUCAGAGGGGGGGGGGGUGCCCCAGGUGGGCACAACCCCCUGGGCGCGCCAGCAGCCCCAGGCGCGCCCUAGUGGGUUGUGGUCCCCACAUGGCCCCUCUCACUUAUCUCUUUAGCCCAUGUCACCACCUACCUCUAGAAAAAAUUCAGCAUUGCUCUCUCUCUCUCUCUCUCUCUAUCUAUCUAUCUAUCUAUCUCUCGUGUUCUUGCUCUCAAACCCGCGGAUUUCAAUCUCUUCGCUCGAAGCUCCGUUUUUAUACUAUUUUGAGGGAUUGCUACUUGGUAUGUGAUACGUCUCCAAUGUAUCUAUAAUGUUUGAUUGUUCCAUGCUGUUAUAUUAUCAUUCUUGGAUGUUUUACAAUCAUUUUAUAGUCAUUUUUGGUACUAACCUAUUGACAUAGUGCCCAGUGCCAGUUGCUGUUUUUUGCAUGUUUUUUACAUCGCAGGAAAUCAAUAUCAAACGGAGUCCAAACACAACGAAACUCCUGGAGGAAGUUUUUGGGCCAGAAGAAAGCCAAUGGGCCAAGGAAGCACCUGGGGGGCUGCUCGAGGGGAGCAGCACCCACCAGGGCGCGCCAGGAGGCCGAGGCGCACCGAGGUUGGUGCUGCCCACCUCGGGUGCCCCCUAAACCGUAUCUUUGCUCUAUAAAUACCCAAGUAUUCCAUAAACCCUAGGGGAGUCGACGAAAUAUUGAUCCAGCCGUCGCAGAGUCCAGAACCACCAGAUCCAAUCUAGACACCGUCAUGGAGGGGUUCACCACUUCCAUUGGUGCCUCUCCUAUGAUGCGUGAGUAGUUCUUUGUAGACCUACGGGACUGUAGUUAGUAGCUAGAUGGCUUCCUCUCUCUCUCUCUCUCUCUCUCUCUUGAUUAUCAAUACAAUGGUCUCUUGGAGAUCCAUAUGAUGUAAGUCUUUUGGCGGUGUGUUUGUUGGGAUCUGAUGAACUUUGAGUUUAUGAUAAGAUCUAUGUUUUUAUCUAAGAAAGUUGCUCGAGUCUUCUUUGAUCUCUUAUAUGCAUGAUUGCUUAUAGCCUCGUAUUUCUUCUCUGAUAUUUGGGUUUUGUUUGCCAACUUGAUCUAUUUAUCUUGCAAUUAGAAGAGGUGCUUUGUAGUGGGUUCGAUCUUAUGGUGCUUGAUCCCAGUGAUAGAAGGGGAACCGACACGUAUGUAUCGUUGCUACUAAGGAUAGCAAGAUGGGAUCUAUAUCUCCGCAAUAGAUAAACGGAUCCCGUCUACAUCAUGUCAUCGUUCUUAUUGCAUUACUUCGUUUUCUCAUGUAUUAAUACACUAGAUGCAUGCUGGAUAGCGGUCGAUGUAUGGAGUAAUAGUAGUAGAUGCAGGCAGGAGUCGGUCUACUAAUCUUGGACGUGAUGCCUAUAUAAUGAUCAUUUCCUGGAUAUCGGCAUGAUUAUUUGAAGUUCUAUCAUUUGCCCAACAGUAAUUGUUUUCCCACCGUUUGCUAUUUUUCUCGAGAGAAGCCACUAGUGAAGCCUACGGCCCCCGAGUCUCUUUUCAUCAUAUUUGCAUUUGCGAUCUAAUUUCUCUUGCAUUUAUUUUCAGAUCUAUUAAACCAAAAAUACAAAAAUACCUUUCUGCAAUUUAUUUGUUCUGCUAUCUAUUUGUCCUAUCUACCACUUUUUACCCCACGUUAUUUGCCUAUCGUGAGGCAUCGUACCCGGAAGGUAUUGACAACCCCUUUAACAUGUCGAGUUGCGAGUAUUUGUUAUUUAUGUGCAGGUGUUGUUUACGUGGUGUGAGGAGGUUCUCCUACUGGUUCAAUAACCGUGGUCUCAUCACUCAGGGAAAUACCUACCGUCCUUAUACUGCAUCAUCCCUUCCUCCUUGGGGAAAUACCAACGUAGUUCUAGCAGACAUUAAAAGUAAUUUCUCGCGUCGUUGCGGGGGAGGAUCUUCAACACCAACCAGGUUCCUAAUCACGAAUCUCAUCUCCUCAGAAUUUACAUUAUUUUCCAUUUGCCUCUCGUUUUCCUCUCCCCCACUUCACAAAAAAUUUGGGGUUUUAUUCUCCCUCUUUUUCGUUCACCAUUUUCUCGCCAGACCUGUUUUUGAGUGCAAUCUUGUUGCGUAGUCAUCAUGACUCAAGAGAACAGCAAGUCGUCUGAUUUCUCAAACACCAACAACAAUGAUAUUAUUAGCACUUCGAUUGCUCCUCCCGCCACUAGUGCGGAGUCUUGUGAUAUUAAUGCUGCUUUGCUGAAUCUUGUUAUGAAAGAUCAAAUUGCCGGUACUCCUAAUGAGGUUGUCGCGUCCCAUCUUAACACAUUGGUGGAAUUAUGCGAUAUGCAAGAGGAAAAAUAUGUGGACAAUGAUGUUGUGAAGUUGAAAUUAUUUCUGUUUUCUUUGCGAGAUCGCGCAAAAAUUUGGUUUUCUUCUUUGCCUCGCAAUAGUAUCGAUUCUUGGAACAAGUGCAAAGAUGCUUUUAUCACUAAGUAUUUUCCGCUCGCAAAAAAUAUUUCCCUUAGACCCAAAUCAUGAAUUUCAAGCAACUUGAACAUGAUCAUGUUGCACAAUCUUGAGAAUGGAUGAAAUUGAUGCUAAGGAAUUGCCCAACUCAAGGGUUAAAUCUUUGUUUGAUCAUACAAAAAAAUUAUGCGAGAUUGAAUUUUGUUUCUCGUAAUCUUUUAGAUUCCGCCGCGGGGGUUACUUUUAUGGAAAUUACUUUAGGUGAAGCUACUAAAUUACUAGACAAUAUUAUGGCAAAUUACUCGCGAUGGCAUACCGAAAGAGCUCCUACUAGUAAAAAAAGUCAAUUCAGUAGACGAAAUAAAUUCUCUGAGUGAAAAGGUUGAUGCUCUUAUGAAGUUGGUUGCUAGUAGAAGUUCUCCUAUUGAUUUUAAUGAUGUGCCUUUGUCCACUUUGAUUGAUCAAAAUAGUGAUGCUGUAGAUGUGAAUUUUGUCUCACAAAAUAAUUUCAAUAACAAUGCUUAUAGAGGUAAUUCUAAUCAUAAGCCUUUUCCUAGUAAUUCCUCUAACAAUUAUGGUAAUUUCUAUGGUAAUACCACCUUCAAUUAUAAUAGAAACACCUCUAAUCUUGAGAACAAUAUUAAAGAAUUUAUCAAUAUGCAAAAGGCUUUCAACGCUUCAAUAGAAGAAAAGUUGAAUAAAAUUGAUGAUUUGUCUAGAAGUGUUGAUAGAAUUACUCAUGAUGUAGAAACUCUCAAGAUGAAACUUUUUGUGCCUAAAGUUGAAGAAUCAAUUAAAGCUCUUUAUGUUUCUAUGGAUGAAAGUAAGAAAAGAACCACUAUGCUUAGAGCUAAAAGAGCAUUUUUAGAAAAAGCGUUUUCUAGUGAUUAUUAUCAUAAAAGUGAUGAAGAUCUUAAAGUGAUUGGUUUUUGUUCUAUUGAUUCUUUGUUUAGUAAAUUUAAGAUUGAUGAAAAAUGGAUUGGAGAAGAGUCAACUUUAGUUAGAAGGCGUCCCUAUGAUUCGGAGGGUGAAAAUCUUGUUGAAAAAAUUGAGGAAAGUGGGUUUGAAGAGGUCAAGACUUUAACUAGUGAUGUGCCCACUAUUUUGGAUUACAAAGACUUUAAUUAUGAUAGUUUAUCUUUGAUUGAUUGUAUUAAUUUGUUGCAAUCCAUGAUAAAUUCACCCCAUGCUUACGAACAAAAUAAAGCUUUUACUAAACAUAUUGUUGAUGCCAUGAUGAAAGCUUUUGAAGAAAAGUUGGAAUUAGAAGUUUCAAUUCCUAGAAAAAUUGCAUGAUGAAUGGGAACCUACUAUCAAAGUCAAGAUUAAAAAUUAUGAGUGUUUUUCUUUAUGUGACUUGGGUGCUAGUGUUUCUACAAUUCCGAAAUCUUUAUGUGAUGUGCUUGGUCUUACCUAUAUUGAAGAAUGCUCUUUAAAUUUGCACUUAGCGGAUUCUACUAUUAAAAAUCCUAUGGGAAGAAUUAAUGAUGUUCUUAUUCUUGCAAAUAGGAAUUAUGUGCCCAUAGAUUUUAUUGUUCUUGAUAUUGAUUGCAAUCCUUCUUGUCUAAUUAUUCUUGGUAGACCGUUUUUGCGUAUUAUUGGUGCCGUGAUUGAUAUGAAAGAAGGCAAUAUUAAAUUUCAAUUUCCACUAAGGAAGGGAAUGGAACACUUCCCUAGAACAAGAAUUAGGCCACCAUACUAAUAAAUCAUUAGGGCAUCUUAUGGAUCUAGAACCAAAGAUGACAAAACUUAGAUCUUACGCGUUAUGCCUGUCAAGGGGCGUAAAACGAUAGCGCUUGUUGGGAGGCAAUCCAAUGAAUAAAAUUUAUUUUUUCUUUUUUAUUUCUUCUUGAGUGUUAGAAAAAUUAUGCUACUUUUAUAAUUUUAUUUUUUGUGUUGUAAUUAGUGUUUGUGCCAAGCAAGGCCUUUGGGAAGACUUGAGUGAAAGUUUAUUUGAUCUUGCUGAAAAACAGAAAGUUUUGCACUCACGAGAUUCGUUGUAAUUUUCUGCAUAAGAGUGAUUUUGAGUUGAUUAUUUUUGCAAAGGAUUAAUAGACAAUUUCCUCACGUCCACCAAUUUAUUUCAUAAUUUUUGGAGUUACAUAAGUAUUCAAAAUUUUCAGAUUGCUACAGACUGCUCUGUUUUUGAAAGAUUCUGUUUUCUUUGCGUUGUGUGCUUGUUUUGAUGAUUCUAUGGUUUUAUUUGAUGAGUUUUUGCCAUAGAAAAGUUGGAAUACAGUAGAUAUAAUACAAAAAAUAGGUUUUCUACAGUACUUAUCGUAGUGGCUUGGUUUCUUAUACUAACGGAUCUUGCGAAGGUUUUGUUUGAGUUUUGUGUGAUUGAAGUUUUCAAGUUUUGGGUUAUCUUAAGAUGGAUGAAGGAAUAAGGAUUAGGAAAAGGCUAAUCUUGGGGAUGCAUGAGGCACCCCAAGAUAAUAUUCAAAGAAUUAGCAAGUAACUAAUCUUGGGGAUGCCCCUGAGUGGCAUCCCCGCUUUCUUCUAACGACCAUCGAUAUUUUAGUUGAAACUAUAUUUUUAUUCGUCACAUGAUAUGAGUUUUGCUUGGAGCUUCUUGUAUGAUAUGAGUAUUCGCUUGUUUUGCUUUGUGUUUUAAGUGUUUAAUCCUUCCUGGACACACCCUUUUGAGAGAGCCAAAAAAAUGCUAUGCUUGCUCCUAUGAUUCACUUAAAUUUUUAGAGCCAUGGAUUUGCUCUAGUACCUCACUUAUAUCUUUUUGAGCACAGUGUGGUUUGUUAAUUUUGAAGAAAUGCUCUCACGGUUCACUUAGAUUUAUUUGGGAGUUAGUAAUUUUUUAAGAAAUUCUCCCUUUCUUCACUUAGAUUAUUUUGAGAGAAAAGAAAAAUUUAUGCUCAUGAUCUUCACUUAAAUUUGUUUGAGCUUAUCAAAAGCAACAUAUGAAAAUAGUCCCAAAGUGAUAGUUAUCCAAGGAGGAUAUAAUAAAAACUAUCAUGAAGAUCAUUGGACAAAAUAAACUUGAUUCUUAGUACUGGUUUUGAGAUACGAUGAUAUGAUAUGUGAGUCAUGUUGGUGAGUAAUUGUGCUUUAGUAAGAAUAUUGAUGUUAAGGUUUGUGAUUCCCUAUGCAAGCACGAAAGUCAAUAGUUAUGCAAUGAAAUUUAUAUCCUACUUAUGGUGCAUUAUUCGGUGUUACUUAUGCUUAAUGCUUGGGUACGAGAUUUUUCACUUUUUGGUUGGUUGCUUCUCAAUCUUUUUGCUAGUCUUCAUUUUGCAAUAAGUAUGAUCACUACUUGUGCAUCCAAAACCCUUUAAACCAGUUUUGCCAUAUGAGUCCACUAUACCUACCUAUAUGCGGUAUUUCCAUGCCGUUCUAAGAAAAUUUGCAUGUUCCAUCUCUAAUGUUCAAAAUAAAUUUCUCUUUUGUGUGCUCUACUACUCGCGAGGCAGUAAAGGGUAGCCAAUAUUUUCCAUGCUAGAUGUGUUAUUCUCACGAUGAGUGUUUAUUCACUUGUCAUUGCACAAGAGUACGACAAAGGUACUAGGGAUGACCAGUCCUGAAAUGAAUAAUGAGUUUACUUUAUGUUGUCAAAUAAUAAAUUCCUUGGAAAGUGUUGGUAUGUAGGGCACCCGUGGAUACGGUUAGCCAUGGAAAGUGAAAGUUAUGGUGGAAAAAGGAAUAAACUUUAUUUUCUGUUUCGGAACCGCCUAUGAUGUAUCUAGCAUGGAAAGUGUUGGGAUGCUCCAAGUCAUUUUUGUUGGUAGGAAAAGUAUGCCUCUUAAAAAUAAUUUUAUCUCUCAAUUUAAGCUUUGAACUCUGGCACCUCUACAAAUCACUACUUCCUUCCGCGAAGGGCCUUUCUCUUACUUAUGCAAUUUUUAUUUUGAAUUUGAGUCUCCAUCUUCUCUUAUAAAGCACCAACUAAGGGGCACUAGGAUCAUAUUUUAGCAUUGGGUGUAGCUAAUAUUCAAGUGUGUUUCACGAAUGGAUCAAUGAUUGAGCAUGAUGGGCUAGGGAUAACUUGCUUUAGUGUUGAUAUUUUGAAAGACAUGGUUUCUUGUUGGUAUGCUUGAGUAUUAAAGUCUUCAUGUCAAAACUACACUAUUGCUUUGAAUCAUAUAACAGUCCGUAUGUCCAUGCUAUAAAGAAAAGAAUGUGAUGAACAUGUUAGGUAGCAUUCCACAUCAACAAUUCUGUUUUUAUCAUUUACCUACUCGAGGACGAGCAGGAAUUAAGCUUGGGGAUGCUGAUACGUCUCCAACGUAUCUAUAAUUUUUGAUUUUUCCAUGCUGUUAUAUUAUCAUUCUUGGAUGUUUUACAAUUAUUUUAUAGUCAUUUUGUAUCAUUUUUUGGUACUGACCUAUUGACAUAGUGCCCAGUGCCAGUUGCUGUUUUCUGCAUGUUUUCUACAUCACAGGAAAUCAAUAUCAAAUGGAGUCCAAACGCAACGAAACUCUUGGAGGAGGUUUUUGGGCCAGAAGAAAGCCAAUGGGACAAGGAAGCACCUGGGGGCAUGCUCGAGGGGCUCAGCACCCACCAGGGCGUGCUAGGAGGCCCAGACGCACCUAGGUGGGUGCUGCCCACCUCGGGUGCCCCCCGAACGGCCUCUUCCCUCUAUAAAUACCCAAAUAUUCCAUAAACCCUAGUGGAGUCGACGAAAUAUUGAUCCAGCCGCCACAGAGUCCAGAACCACCAGAUCCAAUCUAGACACCGUCAUGGAAGGGUUCACCACUUCCAUUGGUGCCUCUCCUAUGAUGCAUUUGUAGUUCUUUGUAGACCUACGGGUCCAUAGUUAAUAGCUAGAUGGCUUCCUCUCUCUCUCUCUUGAUUAUCAAUACAAUGGUCUCUUGGAGAUCCAUAUGAUGUAAGUCCUUUGGCUCUGUGUUUGUUGGGAUCCGAUGAACUUUGAGUUUAUGAUCAGAUAUGUGUUUUUAUCCAAGAAAGUUAUUCGAGUCUUCUUUGAUCUCUUAUAUGCAUGAUUUCUUAUAGCCCGAUAUUUCUUCUCUGAUAUUUGGGUUUUAUUUUGCCAACUUGAUCUAUUUAUCUUGCAAUAGGAAGAGGUGCUUUGUAGUGGGUUCGAUCUUACGGUGCUUGAUCCCAGUGACACAAGGGGAACCGACACGCAUGUAUCGUUGCUAAUAAGGAUAACAAGAUGGGAUCUAUAUCUUUGCAAUAGAUAAACGGAUCCCGUCUACAUCAUGUCAUCGUUCUUAUUGCAUUACUCUGUUUUCUCAUGAACUUAAUACACUAGAUGCAUGUUGGAUAGCGGUCGAUGUGUGGAGUAAUAGUAGUAGAUGCUGACAGGAGUCGGUCUACUAAUCUUGGACAUGAUGCCUAUAUAAUGAUCAUUGUCUGGAUAUCGUCAUGAUUAUUUGAAGUUCUAUCAAUUGCCCAACAGUAAUUGUUUUCCCACCGUUUGCUAUUUUUCUCAAGAGAAGCCACUAGUGAAACCUACGAACCCCGGGUCUCUUUUCAUCAUAUUUGCAUUUGCGAUCUAUUUUAUCUUGCAUUUAUUUUCAGAUCUAUUAAACCAAAAAUACAAAAAUACCUUGCUGCAAUUUAUUUGUUCUGCGAUCUAUUUAUCCUAUCUACCACUUUUUACCUCACGUUAUUUGCCUAUCUUGAGGCGCCGUACCCGGAAGGGAUUGACAACCCCUUUAACACGUUGGGUUGCGAGUAUUUGUUAUUUGUGUACAGGUGUUGUUUACGUGGUGUGAGGAGGUUCUCCUACUGGUUCGAUAACCUUGGUCUCAUCAUUGAGGGAAAUACCUACCGUCGCUAUACUGCAUCAUCCCUUCCUCUUUGGGAAAAUACCGAUGUGGUUCUAGCAGACAUCGGUAUGAGACUCCUCCAUUGGUCCAAUUAGUUUUUGCUUUAGUAGUUUAUAUUUUGAAUAAUAAGCUACUCUUGGUGUUGCUAUAGAUGAGCUUUCAUGUUGAAUUCUUAGAGUUCUAAGUAGUUUGAAUGCUUAAGAUAGCCUCUAUGCAUGCUUAUGAGUGGUUACUAUCAAUCUUGUGAAGUUUUGUUGAGAAAAAUUGUGUGGACUAAAAAUUUAGAAUUUUGUCAUAGGAAUAAGAUGACUUUCUUUAGGAAGUUUUCUUCCAAGAAGAACUCCAAGGGAGUUAAGGGUGAAUCAUCAAUAGUGACCUCCAAACUCGGAGAAUGGCGGAAGUGCGGCCAUGCAAAUAGCCACAUAACCCCUUCAUGGAUGGAGCCGAAAUCCGUCAAGGGUUUGCACAAUUUGCUGCCAAUGCUGGCCUCACUCACUUCAUCGCAGCUGAGUGUGAACAAUAUAAUCUCCUUACAAAUUCCUUUGUGCAAAGUUUUCAUUUCAUAAGUAGUAAUAAUCCCCCGAGGUGCGGUUUAAUUUAUAUGCUGAAACCCAUCAGAUACCACUUACUAAAUUUUGUGAUAUAUGCUUGCUCCCUUCUGACGGGGAAAUAAGAGAAUCUAGGCCUGCAGAGUUCGAGGGAUUUUAUCGUACUCUGUCAGUGGGAGAUGAGAGAGGGGUGUCGAGUGUCACCGCCACUAGCUUGCAGUUUCCUUCACUGCAUUAUUUUAUCCUAUUCAUUGCUAAGUGCUUAAUGGCUAGGGAGAAUGUCGGUGCACUCUGUGCUCCGAACUUCGCCAUCUUACGUCGUGCACUAUACGGCGACAACACUUAUAGCAUAGGGGCUAUCAUUGCACGUCGCCUGCACCUUAACAGAUCCAAGGGUACAAUUCAUGGUGGUAUUUAUGCGACUCAUUUAGUGAGUGUCAGAUUCAGGUCACCGCAGACCCAAGAAAGGUUUGAACUCUGGGGCGUGUGUGAAGAACUCAACCUCUCCGGCUAGCCGACUCACUGCUCUCACGGCCUAGGUCGAUGAACGGGAAAGGAAAUGGACAUGGCCGUUUACCCAGGUUCGGGCCACCUUGCGGUGUAGAACCCUACUCCUCCUCUAUGGUGGAUUAGCCUCGCGGGGGGCUGAGGAUGAACUAGUACAAGGAAGAACAAUCUCGCGAGAUCUGCUCUGGGGGUGGAUAUGAGCUCAGGGGAUUUGAUCAUCCAGGGACUCGAUCCCUUGCUACGGUGGUGGAUAGGCUAUACUUAUAGUGGCCUCAGUCCUCUUCCCCCAAAACUUAGGCGGGAAGGGAUCCAACGGUGGCCAAUUUUGAAAGGGGACAAGUAGUACAUCUUAUCCUGACGAAAGGUGGCCUUCUCUUGCAAAGCUCCUGGUCGUGACAUUGUGGUGGGCUUGCUGAUGACAUCCGUCCUGCCAUCCUGGCGGUCUUGGUCUUGUUGCACGUAAACGGUAACCUUUGGUUAAUUCCUUGGGACUCUGCGCCUGUGCUUUCCACCUUCGCACCGAAGAGGAAACCUACCGCUCUGCGCCAGCUGGCGCGCACCUGGCCUCGGUAGUUAUGGCUGGCGUCACCUCAACCUCAUGAGGUGAGCGCUUGCAUAGGAAUCUCUGCUCCUCAGGAGGCCGCCUGGGGAGGCCGCCCCUUCAGGAGGUCUUGGUGUCGUCCGCGUCGCUAGGCUUGGCCCCUCACAAGGGUCUCGUCUUGUCGAUGCUAAAGAUGGGCCAUACCAGGCUGCCGAUGGAGCCAUGUCGUGGGCCACAGGUAGGCAAGUUUGGGUACCCUGGUUAACAAAACGCUGACAGAGAGUUAGUUUGACAUUCAGAUUCGCCAACAUGAUUAUCGCUUGCCCAAGGUUUACUUAGAUCGCCAGGCCAUGUCUAACCAUCAGUUUAUUGAUAGCGAGAACAUUGACAUUCAUGUUCCCUACAACAGGGUUUUUAGUUAGAACACUCGUGAUGUUAUUCCGUUGCCUGCACCUGCUUUAUUUGAUUCUAUUGCCAGGGGCGGAUACAUGAUCAUGCCAAAGGAUAUCAUUGCCUACCGAAACACCCAGGUAGCAGCAGAGGAGGAACCUCAAGAGUGGGACCCUCAGGUGCCCGCUCCCCAGCACUUCAACAUGGGACCUGAUGGCUUCAUCGAGUGGUGAUUACCAAGCUAGGCUAAAAGCCUAAGUUUGGGGGAGUACGUAUGCCCACCGACCUUACAUUCAUGUUUACACAUUUCACUCCAAUUGUUGGUGUCCACACUUUUCUAUUGUUUUAUCCAUGCUAGAUUUAUUUCCUCGCCUUCUUCUUGUGUGUUUGAAAUUUUUUGAGAAAACCCCAAAAAGUGUUGCUUGCUUCUUUCUGGUUUUUCUUUCUAGUAUAGUUAGCUAUAGUAUUAAAAUAAACCAAAAAGAUUUCUCUAUUCUUCUUUUGCUUGUUGGGAGCUCUCCUGUGUAAAUAGUUUUUCUCGUUUUUAUUUUUUCCUCUUUAAUUUGCUUUAUUUUAAAGAAAAAUUAAAAACUCCAAAAAUAUUUUAGUGUGUUUAUCUGAAUUUCUUUUCCGUUUAUUGAGUCAUAUUGAGGAGAAGACCACGAUGAAAAUGUUGAGUGGCUGUCAUAUGCAUUAUUGUUGAUCUAACAAAGAGCCCAUAUUACCUUGUCUUCUCCUUUUUGAAUAAAAUUGUUUGCAGAUUCCAGCUUAGUCCACGGCAUUCUUGCACUAUUAUUAUUUUCAUAUCAUUCAGUCGUGCAAGUUAAAGGAAAUAAUGACAAUAUUUACUGAACUGGCUCUGGUAGGGAGAAACGGGUAUGAACUCAACUUGUUCUAUUUUUCUUAAUAUGUUUAAUCUAGUAUCCAUGAUUCAGCCUAUUAUGAUUAAACAUUUUUCAACGACCCUUAGAGACUACUAGUCGUCCACCCGUGCAUCUGCACAGGCUAGUGUUAUACAUAGUUAUAUUUAGUAGGAGUUCACAAAUAUUUAUUGUACUUCCAUUUUCGGGAACAUAAGAUAUGAUUAGAAACACUAAGUCUACUCAAAAUUUUUUAAAUUAUAUAAUUGGUAUCAUCAUAUGUAGAAAACAGAUAUAGUGUUUGUUCAACCUUUCAUAAUUAUGAGAUAAAAUGAAUGCAAAGAAUUUGAAGCUUUAUUGUGUUUGGUUAUAGAAUAAGUUUACCUUUAAUAAUUAUGACCUUGAUGAUAAUCCACUACAAUGGCAAACCGUUGCUUAAUCAUGUUGGGUUUACUAAUAGAUUGUUUUAUUAUUGACAUUAGAUUGUUUGAGCGGAAUCAAACAUAUAGAAAAAUAUAAGCGUAGCAAUGCGAUAAAACUAUACUUUUAUUUGAACAUCACCUUUAAUGGAAAUGCUAGGUCAUCAAUGUCAACAAACAACAACCAAUUAUGUUAUGUGUUAAAAGCUUUAGCCAUCAAGGAAUUCUAGUUUCUACAGACAGAAAUAAGAAAUAGAUAUGAACAACCAACCAUAGAGAUAUUCCUGGAAGUACAUAACAUACAUAGGAGAACUACUACAUUAACACCAAGUCAAAAUGUUCACACCAGGAACAUUAUCGUAUUGACAUACAAUGAAGCAAGCUGAUUAAAUUUAGUUCACAAAAGAUAUUGUAUAUAGAAUAUUUUUCUCUGUAAUCUCAUUGGCAGAUUAUCUAGUUAUAAGUUCUAGAAGAAUAGAUUUGCAUUAUAUUCUAGCCUUUGACCUGUAGUACUUUUCCUGUUUCUUACGUAUAGUUGACAUGGAAACUCAUGCAAUGAAGCAGCUCACUUGUCCCCAAGCAAUGCAUAAUGACUGAAAGAAACAAAAGAAAAACACAUCAUGGAGACGUAUAUAGUACUGUAUAUAGCUGCACUUUCUAGCUAUAGUUACUUAUCCUUUUUUCUGGUUGAACAAAAGUCCUUGCACAGAAUUAACAUACCAAACAAAAAUCACAUCAUGUACACACCAUGAAAACCUUUAUUGUGUAAUUUUAUUUAUCUUAGGCAAGUCCAUUCUUCUAUUAUCUAAAAUUUUAAAAUUAUUUGAGAUCGCCUUCUAGUACUGUUUGCUACCUCACGUAAUCUCAUUUUAUAUAAAAAAACAUAACCAACCACUGAAAAAUUAUAUAUGCUUGUUUCACAUGUCACACAGAUCAAUGCAUAAAUCCGACUUCAAUAUCCGUUCACUUCCUAUUCUUCUUAGGAAAUUAAGCAUCCACAAAAGCUACAAAAUAAAGUUCUAAUCUAUUAUGAUGAACAUUAGUCAACAUUCAUGUUUUUACAUAUAGUCAGCCUAUCUCCAAAUAAUUCAUUUGCUUCAUAUGGUAGAUAUAAAUCUAUCCUAUAAAUGCAGUUAGAAAUAUUAAAAUGGCAAUGCAGGGAACAUAUGGGAAUUGAAUAUGACAAAACAAAGACCAAACAAAUAUCGUACUCUGAAUUUGCAAGGCUACUUUGCAGUUCACCGCGAGCAAGUCUGAGGCCGAGGCCAUACAUAUCGUCCCUCCGGGCAUCCCCGGCCAAGGUGUGCUGCCCAUUGUCUCAUCAUUCCACAUGUAACAUGUUAUGGGUACAUUUUGCUGCCGGACAGAAGCAUUAGCGGAGCUGAACGUGGAAAUUGAUGAACCCAACAGGUUGUAGUAUGUAUGUGUCUUUCUGGUCGAUUAAAAGCUAGGUAGAUGGUUGUAUUAUUUACGUAUGUUUUCGGAUAACAUGAACUAAUCCAACAUCCUGACUCCAAACCCAGAUCAUAGACUUGUCUAUCCAAUCGGAAUCAACAACCAAGUCAUACGUGUGCGCCGGCGCCAUGCAGUUGCGCCUACAGUCCAGAUUGCAACCCGUGUACAAUACAAUGUCCACAUCAUGUGCAUAGUCUGCCUGAUAGUUGAUAACUCAUAGAUUAUUUAUAUCAAUUGGAGAUGGCAGAACUAAAACUGGUACUGAUGAAAAUAAUGAAUAAGUCUCUAGCAUUAACAUUGUUGAGACUUAUCAUCUAAACCAUUAAUAAUUCUAUAUAGAACAUAACUAAAACUAACGAAAGCAUUUAUCUAAUCAAAAUUUAUUUCAAAGUUUGAAGUCACACAUGGAGUAAAAUUUGAAACCAUGUACAGCUUCCGGGCAUACAACAAAAUUGUUAUGCCGUACUGCAGGGAUUGAGCACAAUGUAGGAGAUGCACACAACAAACCACCCCUUUUGGUGCCCCUCGCUCCCUAAAGUGGAUGAUCUGGUCAUGAGCAGUGUUGAUAGAUGGACACCAUGGUGCAAAUUAAUUUUUCUUGAUAAGACGUUAGGCAUUAACAAAAUUUAUAGGGGGGGGGGGCUUGUUUGAUAGCUUGAACAUGUUGUACAAUAGAGCAUAGAUUUGAGGAGAACUGCUUACGUGCCUGCAUUGCGAGGACAUAAAUGAGGGCCACGAACUCUAGCAACGCAGGUGAUGUGUAUCAGGGCACCAUCAGUCUAUCAUAGUUCCUCCACUAUGAACCUUCAUAAAUAAUGGCAGAUGUCCGAUCUGAUUAAAACUCCCUUCCGUACAUCUCCUUCUCCGAUCCAUCGUCUAUCGCAGAUUGCAAUUUGGUAGAGGAAUCACGCAAAGGAGACUGAAAGGGCCUCCUCCUCAUAGCCAAGAUGGAUCACAACAUAGUUGAGGGCUGGGGGCAUAGAAGAUUGCUGCGUGAAUAGGUUGAUUGGAUCAUGAGGAGGUGCAAUCGGUCAGUGUAUUACACGUGGGUUCGUGGGCAGCGUAGGAUAGGAUCGUGAGGGCAAGGAAUCUGCAAGAGAGAUCCUUUUUUAGCGUGAGAGAUGAUUUUUGUACUAGAAGGGAGAUGUUUGGCAUCCCGUGGAGGAGUUCGCUCAAGAGGCAUGAAGGUGUGACAAUUGGUGAGGACCUCCUGAGACAACUCAUCGGACGACUAUUAAAGUUAAUAUACAGAUUGAAUGAACAAUUUGAUUACUUUGUGAGGAUUAACGUGGAACCUCAAAAGGUGCUUAUGAUUAGUAAAUAUAAGAUGGUUUCUCAUGCCAUGCUUAAGUAGCUAGGAGUGGAUAAUGAUUUAUCUUGGAUGUCAACAUUGCAUUAAAAUGAUUGUGAUGUAGUAUGAUGAUAUGGUAUCCUCCUCCGAAUGUUCGAGUGGCUUGACUUGGCACAUGUUCACGCAUGUAGUUGAAUCAAAACCAACAUAGCCUCUAUGAUAUUUAUGUUCUUGGUUUCAUACCCUACAUGAUGCUAGUAUCCAAUGUUACUUAUGCAUAAUGUAUGUUCAUGACCGUUUUCGCUCUCUAGUUGGCCACUUCUCAACCUAUUUGCUACCUUCACCUGUACUAAGCGGGAAUACUGCUUGUGCAUCAAAAUCCUGAAACCCAAGUUAUUCCAGAUGAGUCCACCAUAUAUCUACCUAUAUGCGGUAUUACCCUGCCAUUCCAAGUAAAUUUGCAUGUGCCACCUAUAAAAACUUCAAAUAAACAUUCAUUUUUUGUGUGUCUGGAUUGUUCAUAGAGUGGCAGGAGGUAGUCAAUAUCUUCCACGCUAAGCGGGUUUUUCUCAUGAUGAGUGUUUAUUCACUCGUCCUUGCACGAGAGGGGCGGUAAUAGGGAUGCCAGUCCCGAAUUGAAAAUUGCAAAUAAUUAAACAAAACUCCCCCAGGAUUGUUGUUGGUAUGGACGGUACCGGUGGAUUUGGUUAGCUGUGGAGUGUGUUUGUUGGUGGAGGGGGAGUAAACCUUUACAUUUAUUGCUUGGGAACCGCCACUAAUGUGUUUAGCAUGGAAGAUACCGAUAACUAAUGGUUGUGAAGUAAACAGGAAGGGUGCAUUUCUCAAAAUUUGAUUUAUCUCUGUUUUGAAAACUUGAGCUUUGGCACCGCUGCAAAUCACUACUUCCCUCUGCAAAGGGACUAUCUAUUUACUUUUAUGUUGUGUCAUCAUCUUCUCAAAUAAGCGCCAGACUUGAGAGCACUAUUGUCAUCCUCAUGCAUUGUGUAUAGCUAAUACUGGGAGCAUCAUGAUUGAAUCUUUUCUAUCAUGAAUUACAAUGUUUACUCGCUGCUUGAACUUUGGAGGCGCUCUGUGUUUAUGUUUUGCGGUCUCAAAAAGGGCUAGCAAGAUACCAUUGUUGUCAUAUUAUAUCAUGGUUGUUUUGACAAAGUGUUGUCAUUUGAGAUAUCUUAUUAUUGCUCACUAGUUGAUUAUACCAUUGAUAUGAGUUAAUAAGAUUUUAAGAGCUAUUGUCGACAUGGUUAGUCAUGAUCUUUGCUGAAAACGUGGGUGCUACUUAAGCUUAUUUAUGUAAACAAGAGCAAAAGAGUUCGUAAAAGUUUUUCUUUUUCACUUUAGUUUAUCAAUUGAAUUGCUCGAGGACAAGCAAAGGUUUAAGCUUGGGGGAGUUGAUACAUCUCCAUCGUAUCUACUUUUCCUAACACUUUUCCUCUUGUUUUGGACUCUAAUUUGCAUGAUUAGAAUGAAACUAACCUGGACUGACGUUGUUUUCAGCAGAACUACCAUGGUGUUGUUUUUGUGCAGAAAUAAAAGUUCUCGGAAUGACGCGAAACUUUUUGGAGAUUUUUUAUGGAAUAAAAUAAAAAUACUGGAGCCUAGAACCACCAAAGGGGGCCCCUGGGUGAGCACAACCCACCAGGACGCGCCCCCUCCUUGCACGCCUAGAUGGGUUGUGCCCACCUGGUGGCCCCACAGACCCUCAUUCCAACUCUAUAAAAUCUUGUUUUCAGAGAAAAAAUUAGGGAGAAAGAAUUAUUGCGUUUCAUGGGACGAAGCCGCCGCCACCUCCUAUUCUUCAUCGGGAGGCUAGAUCUGGAGUCCGUUUGGGGCUCCGGAGAGGGGAUCUUCGAUCUUCAUCAUCACCAACCCUUCUCCAUCGCCAAUUCCAUGAUGCUCCCCACCAGGAGUGAGUAAUUCCUUCAUAGGCUCCCUGGUCGGUGAGGAGUUGGAUGAGGUUCAUCAUGUAAUAGAGUUAGUUUUGUUAGGGCUUGACCCUUAAUGUCCAUUAUGUUCUGAGAUUGAUGUUUCUAUGACUUUGCCAUGCUUAAUGCUUGUCACUUUUGGCUCGGGUGCCAUGAUUUUAGAUCUAAACUAUUUACUUUAUCACCAUUAUAUCUAUGUUCUAGAUCCGAUCUUGGAAGUUAUAGUCACCUAUUACGUGUUAUGAUCCGUAAACAUUGGAGUGACAGUAGUCAGGAUACUUUCCGGUGAUGACCGUAGUUUGAGGAGUUCAUGUAUUCACUAUGUGCUAAUGCUUUGUUCCGGUUCCCUAUUAAAAGGAGGUCUUAAUAUCCCUUAGUUUCCAUAUGGACCCCACUGCCAUGGGAGGGUAGGACAAAAGAUGUCAUGCAAGUUCUUUCCAUAAGCACGUAUGACAAUUUACGGAAUACAGGCCUACAAUAUUUAUGAACUGGAGCUAGUGUGAUAUCACCCUAGGUUAUGAUUGUUAUAAGAUGAAUAUCAUCCAACGAAUUCACCGAUCAAAUGCAUACAAAUUUCUCUUAUAUUGUUCUUGCUAAGUUAUUACUGCUACUGUUACCGUUACACUUGCUACAAAAUCAUUGUUAUCACGGUUACCCGUUACUAUUGCUUUUGCUACUACUAUCAAAGCUAUCAUAUUACUUUGCUACUGAUCAUAUUGCUGCAGAUAAUUAAUCUCCAGGUGUGGUUGAAUUGAUAACUCAGCUGUUAAUACUUGCAAAUAUUCUUUGGCUCCCCUUGUGUUGAAUCAAUAAAUUUGGGUUGAAUACUCUACCCUCGAAAGCUGUUGCGAUCCCCUAUACUUGUGGGUUAUCAUAGAAUUGCUCUCUUCAAAUGCUUUAUUUUUCCUCAGUUAAUGAGAUGCCCAGACAAUGAUGCCUGAUGUAGGGUACUUGUAUAACUAUAAGUUGACAUAAUUAAAGGCCUCGCCAUCUAAUUACUCUGUGAAGUGUGCCUGAAGCUUUGAAGUCUAAUAACCAACUAUUACUGCAUGAGGCUCACAAUCUAGUUUAUACGAGGCUAAUGAUUGCAUAGUUUUGCUUCUUGUAGUAGGUUUGUAUGAAUCCCUUUGUUGUUCAUUAUGCUCCCUAAGACUCUUUUGGAACAUGGCACACAAUGUUCCAGCUAAUUAAUUGAGCUACAGAAUGGCCAACUGCUUGCUUGCUUAUACGCAAUAUAUAUAUAUAUAUAUAUAUAUAUAUAUAUAUAUAUAUAUAUAUAUAUAUAUAUANNNNNNNNNNNNNNNNNNNNNNNNNNNNNNNNNNNNNNNNNNNNNNNNNNNNNNNNNNNNNNNNNNNNNNNNNNNNNNNNNNNNNNNNNNNNNNNNNNNNNNNNNNNNNNNNNNNNNNNNNNNNNNNNNNNNNNNNNNNNNNNNNNNNNNNNNNNNNNNNNNNNNNNNNNNNNNNNNNNNNNNNNNNNNNNNNNNNNNNNNNNNNNNNNNNNNNNNNNNNNNNNNNNNNNNNNNNNNNNNNNNNNNNNNNNNNNNNNNNNNNNNNNNNNNNNNNNNNNNNNNNNNNNNNNNNNNNNNNNNNNNNNNNNNNNNNNNNNNNNNNNNNNNNNNNNNNNNNNNNNNNNNNNNNNNNNNNNNNNNNNNNNNNNNNNNNNNNNNNNNNNNNNNNNNNNNNNNNNNNNNNNNNNNNNNNNNNNNNNNNNCUGUGUUUUGGAUUUAGCCCCAACAUCAGGAUCCUCUGGUGAGGUAAGAGAGAUUUAUGUAUGCGGGCUGCACAGACUACCAUUUUUAUAAUUUUUAAAAUAUCACUUGAUUAUGCUUCAUGACGUAUAACAUUAUUGUUAGUCAUGUUUUGCCAUGUACAAGAUAGUCUAUCUUGCUCGCUUCACUGUUGUAAAUAUAUAUUUGCCCUAGUCAUGUGUACUUACAGAAACAUUUCAGGAUGAAGUGACAUCAACGCAAAGGACUCAGACAAGUGCAACAUGGUUGUUACCAAAUGAUUAUGGAUUGGAAUUGGAAUGUGUAGAUGUUCUCGAGCAUCAACUAGAAGUGGCAAGACAACAUGUAUAUGCUUCUCAACAUGUAAUCAAAAUACUGAGGCUGGAGUUGCAGGUAUUAGAUGCAGGAGUAAAAAAAUGAAACAAGACACUGAGGUUACCACAAAGUAAUUGGAGAUUUUGCAGACUGAAAUUUGUGUUAUCUGAAUCCGGCCAAUCCUAUUUUCUGAAUAGAUUAUAGUUCAAAUGGUAAGUUCUGUUGAUGCAGGUCCAUGAUGUAUGAGCUUUAUUUGCCUAGUGUAUGUAAUCUGUUGUUUCCGUAUGCUUUAUUAUCACUGGUGUUGAACUAUAAUGCCCAGUGGAUAUAAUCUACUGUAAAUUAUUUAUUGUAUAGUGUAGGAUUAUUCUUCGUUUCUAUGUCUUAGUCUCUUUAUUGUAUAGUGUAGGUUUUUUAGAGGUGAUAGUAUAGAGUAGGAUAAUUCUUUGUAUAUGCUAUGUCAUUGAAACAAGAGCCAACACGCCCAAACAUUACUUGGAUGCCAUCCAAACGAACAAACAUGUGUAGUCAAAGAGGGCCUUAAUUGGGCUGGUCAGCUAAUAUGUAGUGGAUCCCAAUUGAUAUGGCCCAUCGUAACAAUGACUCUUAGCAGGCCGUUAACAGGCCGAAAGCUCGAUAGGGCCGUAUAAAUGGAAACAACCCGCGGGCCUCUAGUAGGCCGAAAUAAAUGACAAUUUUGUCUCGUCCCUUUUAUUUUACGGGCCAGUAAGGGGCCGAAACUGUUUUGGGCCAAAAGAGGCCCAAUUUACAAACUAGGCUUUCAACAGGCCGAAAGUCACAUCAGGCUAAAAUUGUGUCUUGCUUAACAUGGGCCGCUAAUGGACCCAACAUCAGGUGGCACCAGGAAAGGCCCAACUAUUGUGUGGGCCGUUAACAGGCCGAAAGAAAAAAUGGGCUAGAGGUUAGCCCAUGUACAGAAUGGGCCGAAGAAAGGUUGAAAGUCACAACAUGCUAGAAGUUGGCCCAACUACAAAAUGGGACGAGAAAAGGCCAAAAGACAUACUAGCGGCAUAUUGGUCCAUAUCUAUAAUGGGCUGCUAACAGGCCGAAAGAAGGUCGGGCCGUAAUUGAGCCCAAAGACAUAGCGGGCUGUUAACGAGCUGGAACUGACGAUGGGCUGGAAAUUGUCAAAUCUAGAAUGGGCCUUUGAUGGGUUGAUUCUGUGUAACUCGUAUGGGCUAUGGUUGUGAAUGGGCCUCACGCAACUAGGCUGCUACCUGGCUGACCCACUUAUGUUGACAGGCUCGGCCUUUUAACCAGAAUGGGCCACUGUUGGGUUGUGUCACGUGUUGACAUAUCAUAGGCGUCUUCCGUCCAUUGUAGGGAUGACAUCUAUCCCAACUAUGAGUUGACCUGUGGAUCAUCCGGCGAAUGAGAAUUUUACAAGUGGAAAAUCCCCAUUAGUCGGGGAUGUUAACGGGUUAUCGGAUUCAAACCGGAACCCGAUAGCUUAAUGGCGAGCCGUUACGGUGGAUGCCAUGUGUUAGUUACCCUUGAUGAAAAGACUUCUAUGACGCGCCAUUUACCGUCAUGGAAGUGGACACUUCCGUGAUGAUAAUUUUAGUAUUGUUAGGGAACACUUCUAUGACAGGACAGAUAUGACUAUAUUGAUUCGGUCAUAAAAUUGUCAUGGAUGUACAUUCAUGAUAGAAAACGUGACCUAUAGUGACAAACACAUAUCAUCACGGAAAUGGUUUUUUUGUAGCAAUGAUAGAUUUUGGGUCGUUCUUCAACAAUUGGUUUAGUAGGUACAACUACUUUUUUUGAUAUUUUGCGUUUCUACCCAUAACUAAAGAUAGGAAACAAGAGCACAAAAUAAAAAUACUUAGUGAUAAAGCAAACAGGCACACAUGAAAAUAUUCACCCCACGCUAUUAUUCUCGGCAACAGCGCCAGAAAAAGGUCUUGAUAACCCACAAGUAUGGGGGAUCGUUUGUAGCCUUUUUUGAUAAAUAAGAGUGUCGAACCCAACAAUGAGCUAAAGGUAGAACAAAUAUUCCCUCAAGUUCAAUCGAGCACCGAUAUGACUCUACGCACACCUUAACAUUUGAUUUACCUAGAACAAGUAUGAAACUAUUUUGUAGGUGUGAUGCUAGAACUACUUUGCAAGAAUAAAACUAUAAAUAAAUUGCAAGAUAAUAAAGUUUAGUUGUUUAGUAGAGAGCUUUUUUUCACACAAGAUAGUUAUUUGUCCCUAGGUGAUCGAUAACUAGACAUGUGAUCAUUAUUGCAAUUUUAUAUGAGGGAGAGGCAUGAGCUAACAUACUUUCCUUACUUGGAUCAUAUGCACUUAUGAUUGGAACUCUAGCAAGCAUGCGCAACUACCAAAGAUCAUUAAGGUAAACCCAAACCAUAGCAUUAAGCAUCAAGUCCUCGUUACUCCCACACGCAACAACCCACUUACUCGGGUAUGUGCUUCUCUCUCUCUCUCUCAUGCCACCCACCAUAAGCGAAUCAUGAAUGUAUUGCAACACCCUACAACAGGGAUCCCUGCACGCUUGUGCAACACGGAGGGCACCAUAGGACAACACCAAAAUAAAACAUACAACUCAAACCAAUCAUGAUCAUCUAUCAACCCAUAUGACAAAACGAAUCUACUCAAACAUCAUAAGAUAACCAUAGAAUAUUGGGAGCGUUGAGUACCAUGUUUAAGUAGAGAUUACAUCGGCUAGAAGAGAGGUUACACCGCUGCAUAGAGGGGGAGAGAGUUUGUGUUGACGGCGGCGAAGUUGUUGGAGUAGAUCGUCGUCACAAUGAUUGCCACGGCGGCGCUCCAGCGCCCUCCGAGAGAGAGGGGAAGAGAGCCCCCUCCUCCUUCUUCUUGCUUGGCCUCCCCCCUAGAUGGGAGGAGGGUUCCCCCUCUGGUCCAUGGUUGACAUGGCGGCGGAGGGGCAGGAGCCCCUCCUAGAUUGGAUCAAUCCCUCUAUUCUCUUUAGUUCUGCAUUCCUGUUUUCUUGCCCUUCACCGUUUCUUAAAGUCCUGGAGAUCCGUAAUUCCGAUUGCGCUGAAACUUUACAUAAUUUUUUCCAUAAAUUAUCUUUCUUGUGCCCCAAGAAGAGGCCAACCGACUUACGGGGAGCCCACAAGAACCUAGGCGUGCUAGGGGGUGCCCGACGGGCCCUGGUGGGUGGUGGAGGCCGUGGACCACCGUUUACGAUGAUUCCAACUCCCAAAAAUCACAUAUAUUCCAAAAUAAUUCUUCCUAAAUUUUUAUCAUGUUUGGACUUAGUUUGAUAUGGAUAUUCCACGAAACAAAAAGCAUGCAACAAAUAUGAACUGACAUUGGGCACUGGAUCAAUAUGUUAGUCCAAUAAAAUCAUAUAAAUUUUUGUCAAAAGUAUGUGAAAGUUUUAUAAUAUUGGCAUGAAACAAUCAGAAAUUGUAGAUGCGACGGAGACGUAUCAGGGGGAUGUUUCAGUCAAAUCAACGGAAUCAUAAUUAUCUAUAGAUUCAUGCAUAUCAUUAUUCUCUUCCAAAGCAACAAACAUUCUCCUAAUGAAUUCACUAACAUAGGCAUUAAAAGCAUAGUUUUCAUAGAGAUAUUCAAGUAUGGCAAUUUUUUCAGAUUUGUAGAGAGUAAUAUCAUACUUUUCAAUCAAAGAAAGCAACUUCAUAAGCACCCUUAAAAGCAAAAAAUUCUUCAAUUUGUUUGAUAUCCUAGUAACUAUAAACACCUUUGGCAUAAGGAAGAUAAGAUUUCAUUAUCAUUAAACUCACAUAGGUAGGAAAGGUAAUUUUUAGGGUUCUCCGAGCAACAAGUAAAAUAUUAAAUUUCACAUAGAUUCCAAGCAUAUCAUAGCAAACAAUUUAUUUGAUUCCAUAAGUGUCUCUAUUUUUGAGACAAGCAGUGAUACACAAAAUGAGCAUGCUCAUCUAAUGAUUUCCCCUCAACUAAACUAGUUGGGGUUUCAGCACGAGCACAUAUGGAUUGAAGAUUAUCCAAGUAGAAAACAUCAAGUGGAUCCAUUGUCACCUUAAUUUUUCGCUUUAAUUUUCUAUUUUUAAGUGUGCACAAGAAAGCAAAUAAAACAAGCAAGGAAGCAAAAAGGCAAACAAAUUUUUUUCUUUUUUUGUAGAAACGUUUUAGAAGUGGGGGAGAUGAAAAUGAGAGGAAAUGGAAAUUAAAGUACAUCAUAGGAGAUCAAAGUUUAUGCGUAGGUACCUCAUAGAUGUUGGUGAUAUCUCCCCGACAACGGCGCCAGAAAUUCUUCCUUCUACUUGUGAGCUAUGUUAGGAUUUUCUCGAAGAGGAGAGGAUGAUGCAGUACUGUAGAGAUAAGUAUUUCCCUCAGUUAAGAACCAAGGUUAUAAAUCCAAUAGGAGAACCAUGCAACACCUUGUUAGCAGUACCUACACAUAAAAUAACAAAUACGUGCACCCAAUGCAAACAAGGGAUUGCCGAUCUCUCGGUGGUUAAUUGUAAGGAUUAAAUCUCGUAGUGUUAAAUAGAUAAUAAAACACAAAAUGAAAUAAAGUAAAGAUAAAUUGUAGCAAGGUAUUUUUGCAUUUUAAUACAUGAUAAAAGUAAACCCGGGGAUCAUAGUUUUCUCUAUCUCUACUCCUAUAAAAAUGCGAGUUGGUGGUGACGGUGUGCCUACUUUUGUGGCAUAUGUGUUGUCUGAUCUGAAACGGACGGCUGAGAGUGAGAUAAGUUAUGCUUGAGCCACUUGUACAACAUUUUGCAGAAGCACCCCGCAUGUCAGAUGGACUACUUGUUUCUAUUUCUCUCGGGAAAGAAACAGAAGUUUCGAGUACCCCUCCUAAAGAUCAAAGUCGCUACACACGGUGGGAAUCUCUCGGUCUCUCUCCCGACGCGCGAGGCGGUUUCCAGGCGGGCUGCCUCCGCUGGUCUCCAUCGCCUCCGGUAAGCCAUCGGGCUCUCGGAGGUGUGCGGGACAGUGUACGACCGCGACGCGGUUGUAGAUAAUGUUGUUUUAGGAUUUUAUUCUGGCACUGGCGGGCAGGCAGGGGCGACAUCAACGCUGUGGGAUAAGGUUCCCCCUGGCUCCUUUCCCGUCUCCGCAGUGCUCCCUCCGGCCGGUGGCACUGCGGGGUUAGGGAGGUUGGCCUCUCUCUUAUCCGGCGAGGUUUGGUCGGUGAUGGGGGUGCACAAUAGUAUAGAAGUUGGGAUUUGUGGAGAGGGAUUCCCAGAUCAGGUCGCCUCGGACGGCCGACAGCUGCGCACUGUUGCGGGCAAAGUGGUUUGAGUUGCGGCUCCACUCCGUCGUAGGUUGCCGCUGGUCAAGGGAUCACUUGGUCUACCCCAGGCCGAUGCACCGGAACCCUCCCUGGUUCCGUCUUUUGGGGCGGGACUUACAUGCGGCUCACAAAGCCAUGGAUCAGCGAUGUUGCUCCUCAUGCCCGUUGUCUUGUGGAUGACGGCUAGCACCGGCGAGUGCAGAGAUCAGCGUGCCUAGGUGAAUAAGGAAGAUGAACUGGGCUGUAAGUUACUUUGUUUUCUCUGUCGGCGUUAUUCCCUUUAGUGUUAUCUCUGCCUCUCUGGUUCUCAACCUCCAACGACAUGCCCUUUUUUGUGCUGGCCAUGGAGGCUAGCAGCGGCAGGACUGCCAUGACUAGGCCGCGCAAUAUUUCUAACAGUGUUGAGCUACUCGUUCCCGACAGCUCCGGUGCCAAGCUGCCAAUAGAAGCUGAGCAGGUAUGUGUGUGAUGGAUCUUUUAAUUUUAAGUUUGCUUCCUGUUCGAUUAGGUGCAUAUUUCGCAAGAUAAUGUUGUUCUAUCAUGUCUCUGAUUUUGAUUUUGAUUUUGAUUUUUCCUGCAGAUUUCAGGAUAUAGAAGGCAGCUUCAGGAAGGGCUCGCUGACGAGGUGAGGCCAUUGCGUCUAUUCUUGUGUUAGUUUGUUUCAAAGAAAUCACACUAAUUUCUCUCAGUAUACUCUGCAGAGAAAUAAGUACUGAAGCAGGCUUCACCGAAGACUGCUGAUCUAGAAUUGUCUGUUGCUGAAAUAAGUCCAGGAGCGGUGGAGCAGGCAGAACAAUUUUCUGUUGAUUUUACUGAAUGGAUUGUCCCUGUAAUUUGACCAAACAUCAUGUCGCCGUGCCACUGAAGUUUUUGCACAGAAUUCUUGUCUUUUUGGGUGGUGCCAAGCUGUCUUUUUAUUGAACAAUGCCACAAUUGCAUAGUUGUAAGUUAUUUAGGAUUGUCUCUAUUGCAUACGACCUGGAGUUACAAGAGGUCCAGUACUAAUUUUGUGUAUGUAUGUACAUGUGCAGUCACCCAUUUUCUAUACACAUGAUUCCAAAGCAUCUUUUACUGUACAUUUUGUUUCUUUGCUCGGUACAAAAUGUAUUGCAAGUGUUGUUCAUUUUUUCCCCUUCUGUAAAUAUACUAGAGACCUUCUAAGGGCUCAGUUUUCUUCCCGUUGUCUGAAUAUACCCAUAUUUAUUUUGUGUGUGCGUAUUU
rnacentral:lncRNA from 1 species